rnacentral:lncRNA from 1 species
AACUUUUCACGUUGUUGCUUUGUUUUCAAAUUCUUCACCUUGUUGCUUGACUUUCAACUUCUUCACUUUGUUUCUUGACUUUUCAUUUCUUCACCCUAUUCUCCAGGUGGGUUCCUGACUUGCUAUUUCAUUAACUUGUUGCCAUGCUUUCAACUUCUUCAUCCUUUUCUGCAGGCGGGCUCCUGACUUGCUAUUUUUCAAUCUGUUUAACUUUAAAUUUGUUCACCUUGUUGCUUGGUUUUCCAUUUAUUCUCCCUGUGCUUUGGGCAGGCUCCUGAAAUCACAUCAAAACUAAAAAGAAAAUUAUCCCAAACAAAUAUUAUUAUAAAGAGGUUUUAUUUGCCAGAAAAGUAAAGUUUCAAAAACAGAAAUUGAAUUUUAUCCCUUGUUUAUCAUCAGAAGACUUUUGGAAAAGUCACAUCAUACUUGCAUGUUGCAAUAAUGAAUCAAAACUCUGACCAAGAAAUGCAUCUCUUGAGAGUACAAUUGAAUAAGCAAGACUAGGAAGUGUAUCUCCUAAGAAUUAAAGUGAGGGAUUCUAACUAGAAAGUGUGUCUUCUAGAGAUACAAGUUUAAGUUAAAAGUGUGUCACCUGACAAAUGAAAACUAGCAAGGAAGUGUGUCUCCUAAGGAUUAAGUGCAAUAAAUCAACUAGAAAGUUCAUUUUCUAGAAAUCAAGACUCAAGUUAGGAAGUGCAUCACCUAAAAAUCAAAAUUCGAAAUACGCAAUCAAGGAAGUGCAUUUCCUUACCAAUGUUGCUUAAAUUAUCAAAACGAGGAAGUGCAUCACCUAAAAAUCAAAAUUCGAAAUACCCAAUCAAGGAAGUGCAUAUCCUUACUAAUGUUACUUGAAUUAUCAAAACAAGAAAGUGCAUCUCCUUACCAAUGCCGCUUGAAUUACUCAAACAAGGAAGUGCGUCUCCUCACAAAUGCUUCUUGAAUUAACCAAACAAGGAAGUGCAUCUCCUUAGAAAUGUUUUCAUGAAAUAACCAAACAAGGAAGUGCAUAUCCUUAGAAAUGUUUUCAUGAAUUAACCAAACAAGAAAGUGUUUGUCCUUACAAAUGUUGCUCGAAUUGCCUAAACAAGGAAGUGCAUCUCCUUACAAAUGUUGCUUGAAUUAACUGAACAAGGAAGUGCAUCUCCUUACCAACACCGCUUGAAUUACCAAAAUAAGAAAGUACGUCUCUUAACAAAUUUUGCUUGAAUUAACCAAUCAAGGAAGUGCGUAUCCGUACAAAUAUCGAACGAAUUACCAAAUAAGAAAGUGCAUCUCCUAACAAAUGCCUCUUGAAUUACUCAAACAAGGAAGUAUGUCUCCUCACAAAUGUUUCUUGAAUUAACCAAAUAAANNNNNNNNNNNUACAAAUGUUGCUUGAAUUAACCAAACAAGGAAGUGUAUCUCCUUACCAACACCGCUUGAAUUACCAAAAUAAGGAAGUGCGUCUCCUAACAAAUUUUGCUUGAAUUAACCAAUCAAAGAAGUGAGUCUCCUUACAAAUGUUGAUUGAAUUACCAAAUAAGGAAGUGCAUCUCCUAACAAAUGUCUCUUGAAUUAAUCAAACAAGGAAGUGCAUCUCCUCACAAAUGUUUCUUGAAUUAGCCAAAUAAAGGAAGUGCAUAUCCUUACAAUAUUGCUUGAAUUGUCCAAACAAGUAAGUGCUUCUCCUUACCAACAUCACUUGAAUUACAAAAACAAGGAAGUAUGUUUCCUAAUAUAUGUCUCUUGAAUUUCUCUAACAAGGAAGUUCAUCUCCUUACAAAUGUUGUUUGAAUUACCAAACCAAGGAAGUGCAUCUCCUUACAAGGAAGCGUGUCUCCUAGAAAUCUUUAAUUAUGAAUUUUACCAGGGCUUUGAAUACCAAAUAUGUGCAGAAAUAUUGUCUCCUUCAUUUGUGGAAGUGCGGUAUUGCAACUUUCGAUGUUUAGGCUUUGAAAUCCUUGAUUCGAAGGUAACAUGUGUUCCUCUUUCAUAUAAAGAAAACUUGUUAGUUUAAAAACAUGGUGGCUGGUUUGCGGUUUUGGCUUUCGUGGAAAUUGCUCUUGCCCCAGUUGUAUUUAAUCUUGCUUUCAACCAUUAACAUGUGUCACUGUCUUGCUGUAUCAAUGACCCGAACUCAGAUUAUUAAGAGUGACUCUUAAACAAAUACAGUAUCCUUGCUUUGUCAUGCUUCUCAGAUAAACCCUUUAAACCUUGGUAUUUCCAUGAGUUCCCAGACUUGUCGGUUGACAAAACUUUCUGCAUGCCUUGUUUUGGCUCACAAUCAUGUCUUUAGCAUGUGCUGACCCCUUUGUCUUGCUUUGUGUAAUUGAAGAAGCUGGUAGCCAGUUUUGAAAUAUUUCUCACUUAUUUUGACAUGAACUUGACUCAAAGACAAGAGAAAAAUGACAAUGACUUUUAUUUGGACAAUUGACUCAUAAAAACAAAAUAAAAAUAAAGAGAAGAAAGAAAAGACAAUGAGUGUCCCCAUUUGAAACAAAGAAAUGAAAAUUUUUUCUAGACAUGACAGUCAACUCUAAUGAUUAUGCCUUGCAUUUUGGAUUAAGCUACCUAAUCUUUCCAUCCAAACUUUCUACCAAUUGUUGUUGAGUUAAUGGCCUUGAAACUGAGUUGCUCUCUUAGGACAAUUGCAUUCAGACCUCAUUCGGCUAGUGAUGCCUUGAAGGGUCUUUUCCUAAGCUCACCAUUGUCUUAUGGUGUCUGUGAGGUUUUUUACUAAUGAGACUCUCUUAUUCUCAUUUCUCCCAACUCACAAUUGUCUCACGGUGCCCAUGAGGGUUUUCACCAGUAAGACUCUCUUAUUUUUAUCUCUGUCAACUUACUAUCGCCUUACGGUGCCUGUGAGGAUUUUCACCAAUAAGACUCUCUCAUAUUUUAUUUCUCUCUUGAUUCCUUAUGCUGAGAAACACAAGUAGUUUCCAAAAUGCGUCAUCAUAUCCAUUGCAUGCUUAGCCUUAACAUUCUUAAAGAUUGAUCUAAAGGUCUUUCUUUGAUUGUAACUUGUCUUUUGGAUAGGGUUAGAAAGAAAAGAUGGCAUGAGGCCCAAACGACACUUGAAGUGGGUUAGAACUUACAACUUUUGGAAUCGACUCAAAUAAAUGAGGAUUAACUCAUGCCCCAGUUUCUUUUGACCGGAUGAUUCUAAAUUGUUUAUUUAGUUGGACCAAGCCCUCUUUUUUUGGAAACAUUUUUGUCUCUUUUUUGAAACUUUUUGACUUUAUCUUUUUACUCGACACUAUUCUUUGAACUUUGCUUACUCUAUCUUGAUUCCAAAAGAGGGGUAUGAAAGAAAAUAACACUAAGGCUCAAAUGGGGUAAACAAAGGAUGACACAAUGUUUGCAUAGCAGAAUGAAAUGCCUUCAUCAUAUCAAUCCUUGAGAAUGCAAGUACAUAACAUACAAUUGGAAGUGAGAGAUGAAGAUCAUUUGCGACAUCUUUUUAAACAGAUUGAGUCUGUGUGUCACUACUUCUUCUAUAAACUCCACCUUUGUUGUACAUUCCUCAUAUCAAAUGACUCAUACUUUCGUGGAGCAGCUUAUCUUCUUGUUUCUCUUGAUAUAGCGAUCACACAUCCACUAUUUGACCUAAUUGGGACUUGCCUUUCGAUCGAUGACCAAGUUGUUCUUGUGAUUCUCAAAAUAAUUGCCUUAACUUGUCACCAAAUGUCUCAGCNNNNNNNNNNNNNNNNNNNNNNNNNNNNNNNNNNNNNNNNNNNNNNNNNNNNNNNNNNNNNNNNNNNNNNNNNNNNNNNNNNNNNNNNNNNNNAAACAACACAUAUUUAAAACACAAAGGAAAAUGAGACUCUUCAUUUAGUCAAAACAAAAGAUAAAAGGGUUUGAACAUAAACAACAAAAGGACAAAACAAGACAGAUCCCGAACUACAACCCUGAAAUAAUUCAGAGAACAAAAAAUAAAACAAAACAAGCUACCAAACCCCUUUCUACUAAGGAGAGAGAUGACUUCUCAAUUGCUCAGCCUGAUAUCUUAGCCACUGGUUUGCAUAUCAGCAUGACUAUAGUUUUGCUCACUGUCAAUGUUCUGCACCAUGAUUGAUUUAUCUUGAAUAAUCUUUUCAAUUUCUCUUUUCAAAGCACGACAAUCUUCAAUACUGUGACCCUGAACAUCAUAAUGAUAUGUACAUCGUACAUUAGGAUCAAAACUUCUUGAAUGUGGGUUAGGAGUAUAACCAAGGAGAGAAGUGAUCAUGCCUUGCUGUACCAAUCUCUAGAAUAAACUUGCAUACGACUCUCCAAUGGGUGUGAAGCUAUCCCUCAACUUCUGUCUCAUUUCAUUAUUUGGCCUAAAUUGAAAACCAGGCCUAGAAGGGCUUCGGUAUGUAUGUGGAGUUGGAGGAUAACUCGGCAGAGUUGGCGCGCGCCAGUGUGGGUAAGAUGAGGGUUGAACAUAUGGUUGCGCAUUAUAAACUUGAUAUGGAGAUGGGGGAAUGGAAUAUAAUGGAUUUUGGGAAGGAUUCUGUGGAACUUGGGCCAUAAACUUGGGUUUGAGCCCGGAGGUAACGAUGGUAUGGUCCUCUUGCCCGUGCCUUUUGUCCAACUAUAAUAGCAGAUGCAUCUUCCUCAUUCUUCUUUCCUUCAACACUUCCCGAACCUUUUUGAAUUGGUUGAGUAGUAGCUUUCAAUGUUGCAAAACUCACAAUGCGAGCGGUCUUAAUUCCAUCCUCUACAAUCUCCCCUAUUUUGAGGACCUCAAUAAAUGGCUUGCCUAAUGUAGGUAAAAAGUAUUGAUAAUAUGUUUCAUCUUGCGCUUGAAUAAACACCUCCACUAUCUUGCUUUGUUUCAUUGGCGGUUUUACUCUAGCAGCUUAUUCGCGCCAUCUGAUCGUAUACUCCCUGAAACUCUCAGUAUUCUUCUUUUUUAUACUAGUUAGGGAUUUUUUGUCAGGUCAACUCCACAUUGUAUUGAAAUUGUUGCACAAAUCCGUUAGCUAGGUCAUCCCAACUAAUCCACUUGUCAAUGUCUUGAUCAACAAAUCAUUCCGAAGCUAGGCCUGAAAGACUCUCCCCAAAAUAAGCCAUGAGUAGUUCUUCCUUUCCUCUAGUGCCCCUUAGCUGGUAGCAAUAGCGUCUCAAAUGUGCUACAGGAUCGCCAUGUCCAUCAUACUUCUCAAACUUCGGCAUUUUAACACCAAGAGGAAGAUGUACACCUGGAAACAUGCACAGAUCUUUAUAUGACACUUUUGUACCCCCCAAGUCCUUGCAAUUUUUUAAUAGUCAGUUCCAAACUUCUCAAUUUUCUGGCUAUUUCCUCUUGUUCUUCUGUCAUAACAGGAUUCUCAGUGUUAGGAGGAAAUUCAGGUGGUUGAAGGCAAUCGUAAGGACCAGUCGACUUAAAUGUGGGCUCGGGAGCGUAAUGCUGAUCACUAAAAAUAUUCAAUACACGGUCGCCUCUAGAGUGAGGAAUCACAACCAUUGGAUUGACAUUAAUAGCAGGAGCUCCAGACGGGAGUGGGGCUGCAAAAACAUGAAUAGCAGGUGGAGCCGAGCAUGUGGUAAUUUUGUAUUGAGGAGUGAGGAAAUGAAUAUUGGAAGUGUUUGGAUAUUGUUGCCCCGGAGUAGGUCCUGAUGCAUGUCGUGGCAUGUCGACCAAAAUAGGAAAUUGUGCAUGUGACACUAGAGGCAAACUAAAAAGAUAUUCCAGAUUAUCUGCGGGAAAUAGAGGAGGCGGCAACCCAUUAGCCCAAGCUCGAUGCAUUUCUAUCAUUUGUUGCCUCAAUUUCCGAAUCUCUUCAUUAGCUCCUACAUUCUCAUUCCCCAAACUCCCUAUCUGAUUAGUGACAACAAACUCGGUAUCCUUGUUGGCCAUAACUUUCUCUGUGACUUGGAGCAAUAUGGAGGACCAGCCAAAAUGCUACAAACCAACCACCUUAAAUUAACUAGACAAGAGAUAAUAAAUGCGUUAGAGUUCAACGAUUUUUCAAAACCUCUUCUUUUUUUUUUCUUGAAAAAAAUCACCGAACCCUAGAAGGGCGCCUACGUAUCUCACCCCGAAAGGGAAGAAUCAGGUGUGCGUAGUUCGUGAAGUUUUUUCAAAAUGGCCAAUUAAACUCUUUUUUCUUUCUUGAAACAACGUGUCAAAAGAAUUGACGAAUUAUAUUUUUUUUCAGUUUAAAUCUCUAUACAAAAUGAAACCUGUGAUUACCAAAGAAAAAUCUUUUUGGGUUUUCGAUUUUUGAAUUUCAUGUGAAAAUUAAACUUGAACCUAUUAAAGGAAAAUCUUUUUGUAGUUUUCUUUUAAAGACGUAUAUGAAACGCCUACUCUAAAUGGAGAGUGAAGAAAUAUUUUUGGAUUUUUCAAAUAAGAUUCCCGAACCAACAAUAGGCUGUCUACGUAUCUCACUCCCAAAAGAGGAAAAUCAGGGGUGCGUAGUUCGUCCAUAUUGGACAAAUAAAGAUUAACUAACAGACUGAUCCUAACUUAAGAGACACAACCAAAGACCGAAGAAUAAAAUAAAAUAAAAUAAAAUAAAAUAAAAUAAAAAUUGGGUUUUAAUUUGACACCAACAACUAUGAAAGAAUUUUUUUUUGAAAUUUUCAAAUUAUGAAUGCGUGGUAAAGGAAUAAAAAGAUUUUUUUUUUUUUUGAUAUUUUCGUUAUAUGAAAUGUACAAAACUUCUACCAAUUUUUUCAUUAUAUUUUUUUUUACAUUUUCCUUUAUAAAACCUCCUAUUGUAAAAACAAAUCUUUUUUUCGAAAUUUUUGAAUUGUGAAAAACAAAAGCCAUAAAGAACUCUAAAAACUACAAAACUCUUUUUAGGACUAAUUUUUUUCUUUUUCUUUUUUCUUUUUUUUUUUUCACACACUUUACUUUCUAACACAUGCUUUACCCCACAUCAUUCUGUCAAAUGACCACAUUAUCCUCAAAGAUGCAACAUUUAGCACGUACGAAUGCUUUAGAGGUAAGUCUCCUACAAAGGACCCAGUGGACCCGCUAGGUCUCAAUAUGAUGCACAUAAGCAUGACCUAAAGGCUGACCCACGUUGGGGUUCACUAAUAAGGCCGUUCGAGGGAGCGUAUGGUCGAUAGUGUCUGCUUAGAUUUUCAUCUACUCCAUACAUCCAACGGCUCCCCCCUAAAAUAAAGGUGACUCAACUAGAGUUCGUGCGCACGACGUGCGCUCCGAGACUUGUUGCAGAAAGAAUUGACUCGGGUUAUGCAAAUGAUGUCAGAUAUAAAGCGGUAACACAUAAGGAAAACUGUAAACAAAGAGCACAGAAACACACAACAGUGAUAACAAUAACACAAACAAUAUUCACAAACAAUGUUUAUACACCCAUAAUGCCAAACAAAGUUGAUACGACUCCAAAAAUAAGCCCAAAUUCUGCAACAUCCUCAGUGGAGUCGCCAGAGCUAUCACACCCCUUUUUCAUACUCCAAAAGAUUAAUUUUUAAGUUCGAAAGGGUUUUUUUUAUCAAGUGACAAAAAAUGAAAAUUCUAUUCCGUAAAGGAUUUUUUUAUAAUUAAAUUUAGAGUAGCCACUUGGCAUAAUCCGGUGUGCCAAGUCACCUUUGGAAAAUUCUUUUCGAAAUGGUUUGACUCUUUAAAACUAGUUUGCAAACAAAGAUUCCGGCUAAGGAAUUCUAUUGACCAAGGGGAAGGUGUUAGGCACUCCUCGAUCCCGUGGUUUGACCACGGUCGCUUGGCGGAGCGUAUAGGCUAAUUUGACAUUAUGAAUAUAUAAACCACACAAAACAUGCAAAACAAUCAAUCAAGCAAACAAGAUAANNNNNNNNNNNNNNNNNNNNNNNNNNNNNNNNNNNNNNNNNNNNNNNNNNNNNNNNNNNNNNNNNNNNNNNNNNNNNNNNNNNNNNNNNNNNNNNNNNNNNNNNNNNNNNNNNNNNNNNNNNNNNNNNNNNNNNNNNNNNNNNNNNNNNNNNNNNNNNNNNNNNNNNNNNNNNNNNNNNNNNNNNNNNNNNNNNNNNNNNNNNNNNNNNNNNNNNNNNNNNNNNNNNNNNNNNNNNNNNNNNNNNNNNNNNNNNNNNNNNNNNNNNNNNNNNNNNNNNNNNNNNNNNNNNNNNNNNNNNNNNNNNNNAACGUUUAUUUCAAGUCAAACAACUAAUGAAUCAAACUAAUCAAAAUUCACUAAUUAUAUCAAGUUUUCAAUUCUCGCCCCACUUAUUCUUAAUGAUUAAACCAAUUCUAUACACAUUUUAUCAAUCAAGUUUUCAACUUCAAAUUCAACAUCAAACCAACAAACAACGAUAAAAUUCAAUCAUGUCAAACACACAAAUCAUUCAUAACUAUGUGGAGAUUGAGAGGCGAAAGGAUAGAAUUGGACUUUUAGAUUGACUUAAAGGGAGAAGUAAGAGUCGUUCCGAGAGCCUCAACGGUUACCAAAUCUCGAAUAUGAUCCAACUCCAACACGGAUAUCUCCAGAAUCCGAUUCAAACUCAAAAAUAGUGAACACCCAAAAUAAAAUACGAACAAAACCGAGACUGGAAGACGAAAUUCACGAGGAUUAAACUGAAUCUCUCUAGAAUUAGAUUGAACCUCACCGGAAUUAGACCCAAAACCGGUCAAGUCGACUGAUUCGAGUCAGGUACCAUGGUCAAAAUCCACAGUUACCUUUCCGUUGGAACUCCGGUGACGGUGACCGAAACAAGCAGAAAGAGAGCACAAUAACAUUUUUUGGUGAAAAGAUGCUAUUUCUUGGCCACAAACGCCGAAAUAGUUAAACCCCAGUCCCUUUUCUCUCCCCUCUUGCUCGGACAUCUCUCCAAUUCCAUUCACUCUAUCCCCUGUCGAUCCUCAUCUCCAUCCCUCUUUUCGAUUUCACUAUUCCCUCCUACGAUUCAUCUCACCUUUCACUAUUUUUCACCCCUUUUAUGCGAUUUUUUAUAUGGGUGUGCGUGUGUAUGGCUAUAUUUGAGAGUGGAAUGGUGAGUUGUGUGUGUGUUAUUCUGUGUGUAUGCGUGAUUUCUUUUUGUGAAGAAGGAAGGAAGAUUUUUGUUUUUUGUAUCCGUCCUAGAGAGAGGAAAUAAUGGUAUCUGCCUCUUUUUCCCUCCCCCCCCCCACCCCGAAAAAGGAAGUUCUCGGCGUAUAUAUAUGUUAGAAUGGAAAAUGGGGAAUGAAUUUUUCUUUUGCUGUGGGGCCCGUGAAUUUUAUUCCUUGGGUUCCUUUUUUGUGUGUUGAUGUGUGGGACACGUGAGUGGGGUGAGGGGGUAGGGGUAAGGUAGGUACGGGUAUGGCAUGGGGUGGUGAGGUGUGAGGUGUCCACUUUUAAUUGGAUAGGUUAUUAGGAUAAGAUAAAUUAGUUAGAGGUAUUAUUUUUAUUUAUUUUUGUAUUUUUCUGGGAUAUAAUUAAAUGAGGUUGGACACAUGGUAAGGUGAACUAAAAAUGAAUAAAAUCAGACUUCGGAAGGGACAAAAUUAAGUGUCUACACAUUGGAUAUUAUAUCAUUCUAGAAUUUCGAUUUAAUGCCCAUCUCAAGCACCAUUUUGUUGAAAAAUUUCACAUGCAAUUUAUUUUUUCUUUUGUUUCUUCAUCAAGUUUCAUUAAAUUCAAAAGUUUCCUCAAUUAAUGCUGCUGCAUUAAAGUUAACAAUGAGAAAACCACAACAUGUGUGUCAAACUAUUGAUCGAACACUAUUUUUUGUUGGAUUGAAGUUUUUUCUUUAUCUAUUUUUGAGAAAAAAAAUAAAAACAUAAUUAUCUUCUCCUAAAAUUCUAUGUUCACGAGUUUUUCCAUCUAUUCCAUAAUCACAGCAAUCAAAUAUUUCCACUAUUGCUUUCUCUAAUUAAUUCAACCCAUUCUUGCUAAUAUUACUGUUAUUACUAAAGUGAAAGAAGAUACAACCUUCCAUUGGCCAAAUACCUAAAUUAAUUGAAGGACAAAGCCAAAGAAUUUAAUUAUCUAGUAGCAACAAUAAGAUUCUUUUUUCAUGAAAAUAGUAGAAAGGAAAGGUCAAAUGAAAUAUCCAUGAAGAUGUUCGUAAAGUUCUCCUUAAAAUAUGUCCUUUGCAAAAUACAUAAAAUCAAACUCAUACAAAUCAUCACUUACAGUACAGUUGCAAUAAUCAUAAUAUUUGUCGCCUUCAAUCUUGUAGUGUCCCUUGUUCAUUUUGUGAAAGCGGGCAGACAAGGGUUGGAAAGAAUUCCGUCAAAAGACCAUAAUGAAAUUCAUUAAUAUGUAAACAGUUGCUUACAUUAUCCUUCAGAUUGUAUAUCAUGAUUUUAUCGUGAAACAUAAGCAGAAAUUCACCUCUUUUUGUUAGAAAAAAGAGUGAGAAAAUAAAUAAUCCACGGGAUAUAGAGAAUAAUUGAUAGUAAAAAUCUUUCUCCAGGAUGCUUUAUUCUCAUACUCCCUCAUUGUCCACACAUCCACGUGAGUAGUCGAAUUAUUAUAAAUCAUAGACAGAUUACUUUUCAACACUCCCAACACUAGAAAUUUAUCCUCUUCUCCACAAUAAGGUCGCUCUACCUUUUUCCAUUUCUCAUUCCUCAAAUCAAAAGAGGUUAUGCUCCAACCACUUUUUAUAUCAAUACUAGUAGCCCAAUAAAACGUGCCAUUCACAAAUUUACCUGGACCAAUUAACCGCGUCACUCUCCGAGAACAAUGUAUUGUUCGCCAAGAAUUGUCCUUUAGGCUAUAGAUAUUGAUCUCUUGAAAGUUACGUGGAUAGCGAGUAAUAGAAAAACUGCACAGUACCUUAUAAUCAUCAUGAAUAUCAUCAUAUCCAAAACCAUAUGUGCAAUGAGCAUCAUCCUUCAAUUUAGUUCUAAAACCAGGCAACUUCUUAUACUUUCUUAAUGCUGGGUUCCAUAAAAACAAUUCUUUUGCCUCAUUGACAAGACAAAUCAAUCCAUUGACAGAACCCUCAAUCACACAAGAUAUACCAGAGUUUUUCAUGUGAUAAUCCAAGUUAGUUUCCUCCAUAAUAGGACAUUCCUUAAGGUUGAAUUCUGGUUGGGCUAUCCUCCACAUAACACUAUGGUUAGUAUAGUCUUUGUUCUUAUUAGCUGAUAAACUUAGAUGAUAUUUGGUAAACUCAGGGCUAGAAAUCAAAGAACUCCAAGAUUUUAAAACAGACUUGAAUUGCAAGAGAGAUUUAAUGGGAAGCCUUGAGAGAAUUUUAGUAAGGAUUUCAGCUGGCCAAUAAAGUUUUGUGGGGUUGCUUUGAUUUGGGUGUUGAUGGGAGACUUCAUCAGAUACCGGGUGUUUUUUUAAUAAGUCGAAGUCAGUUUCAAAACUUAUUUGUCCUUCUAGUUUCAGCUUUUCCAUGUCUCUUUGAUUGAUUAAUCUGUUACCUUGUUUAUCAGAUUCUGAAUUUUCUUGCUUUAUUGCAUUAUUCUCUCCAUUUAGUAGCAUUUGGAUCUUUGUAAAUGUUGGAGCCGAUAAAGAGAGAAAGAGAGAAAGAAAGAAAGGAAUGAAUGAACUAAAGAUGAAGUUUCUUUUGCUAGAAUUUAUAACUUGAUCAUAUCGCUAGAUUAAGUGAAGUGUUAUACUAAAUCUCUCAUCUCACUCAUUUAUGUAAAUUUAUGAUUAGAUUAUGGUGAAUUAAUUAAGGAUGAAAUCAAGUUGAAUGAGCAAUUACAUANNNNNNNNNNNNNNNNNNNNNNNNNNNNNNNNNNNNNNNNNNNNNNNNNNNNNNNNNNNNNNNNNNNNNNNNNNNNNNNNNNNNNNNNNNNNNNNNNNNNNNNNNNNNNNNNNNNNNNNNNNNNNNNNNNNNNNNNNNNNNNNNNNNNNNNNNNNNNNNNNNNNNNNNNNNNNNNNNNNNNNNNNNNNNNNNNNNNNNNNNNNNNNNNNNNNNNNNNNNNNNNNNNNNNNNNNNNNNNNNNNNNNNGUUGAGAAACAGGGUGGAUUAUCUCAGGGUAAUAUCUCGUACGUGCUGCCAUAUUCAUAAGAGUUAAGAAAUGUUGCUCUAAUGUAAUGAUCUCAGGUUCCAAUGCUUGGCCACGGCAUUUAAAGUUGGGAAUUGAAGUUUUGAUGUAAUCAAUAAAUUUCUCUGAAUAAGGAGGAUAUGGAACUACUCCAUGAUUAGAGUGGUAAUGAUAGAUAGACUUCAAGAUUGCAAAAUUUUGAUUAUAGUCAUAGUCAUCUUCAUUUUUCAAUUCAUUUUAUGAUGUUCCUCCUUGUUCGAAAUUGGAAAAUGUUGGCACAUUAAUGAGCUUCAAUUCAUAUGAUUCGGACAUGGGACACUUUCCUUUUUCUUCAGUUUUUGGAAAUGAUUCAAUUCAUUUGCUUGCUUAUUAAUGAAUUAAACACAAUAUGAAUUGCUAUGCCAACAAUUUUGCUUAUAUUCUUAGUUGAUCUAAUUUAUGUUAUUAGUUGGAUUUAUGUUUUAUAAUUGAUUUAGUUUCUAUUCUUUGUUGGAUCUAUUAAUAAGUAAUGCGUUUCCUCAAUUAAAUAUGAGAAAACGACUCACACAUUCAGGUACAAUUUUUUUCAACUUAUCAAUUUUUUCCUUUCUAAAUCAUGCAUUGUUGCUUUUAUAAUUUAUUUUUUUAGGGUACUAUUGAAAUGGACCCAAAGAAAAGAGGUAUUGCAUGGCAAACAUAAUUUCUGGUGGUAAAAUAUAUAUGUGCUUACACUAAAAUGUAUGUUUAUAUUUACACUAUUAUAUUAAAGUGUGAAGGAUAUUUGAAAAGUGAUUUGAACUUUUUGUACUUCAUUACAAAUCUCCGUAAUAAUUAAGACUAUUUAAUUUUAAAUAAUCAAAUGUUACACAUGUAAGACACGCGCGGUUAAACUAGUUUAACUAAAAUCACUAAAAAAUACUGUACUUGACUUCAGAUUAUUAUUCCAUAAUGUCAUUUAAUGAAUGGAUUAUGGAGAAUAAUUAAGGAUGCAAACAAUGAAUUUGAAAUAACUUCAGCGUUAUCAAAAUUAGUCUUACAAAGAGAAAUGGUUAACAAUGAUAUAAACUCAUUCCUAUCUUAAUUACUCGCUCCAUUUCAAAAUAAUUAUCAUGUUUUACUUUUUGAAAGUCAAGUUGACUAAUUUUUAAGAGAUAAGGCAAAAAUACCACCCAAAAAAAAAAAACUAUAUUCGAAAUUCUAGCGACACAACUAAACUUUACAAGGGUCCAAUUACCCCCCUAAACUCAUAUAAGUGUAUUUUUAUACUCGUUUUAGGCUCACGUGGCUGUCAAGUCAAACAUAAAAUGAACAUAAAAUAUUUUGCUACUUAGCAGCCACGUCAGCAUAAAAGGAGUAAAAAAUAAUAGAAAAAUGAGCUUAGGGUGCAGUAGGACNNNNNNNNNNNNNNNNNNNNNNNNNNNNNNNNNNNNNNNNNNNNNNNNNNNNNNNNNNNNNNNNNNNNNNNNNNNNNNNNNNNNNNNNNNNNNNNNNNNNNNNNNNNNNNNNNNNNNNNNNNNNNNNNNNNNNNNNNNNNNNNNNNNNNNNNNNNNNNNNNNNNNNNNNNNNNNNNNNNNNNNNNNNNNNNNNNNNNNNNNNNNNNNNNNNNNNNNNNNNNNNNNNNNNNNNNNNNNNNNNNNNNNNNNNNNNNNNNNNNNNNNNNNNNNNNNNNNNNNNNNNNNNNNNNNNNNNNNNNNNNNNNNNNNNNNNNNNNNNNNNNNNNNNNNUAGUUUAUUUAAUUAAAAAGAAGACUUGAAAAGGCCAUUUAACAAAAGAUCCCGUGCUAUGUCUACUUAAGUGUUUCGUUGUUAAAUGAAAUUUACUCCUUUUAGGGUUCAGUUACUAUUUUCUACUCAUUGUUUGUUAUAUUCAUACCAAAAUUUAAUUUUUCACUUUAUUCGAAAAUUAACGUUUGACCUUUGAAAAUUUCAAAUGCAACUGUUACAUUCUUUCGAAAAAGUUUAGUCUUUAGAAAAUAAUGUUUUGUGAAAGAUCUUUUAUUUAAGUUAUGAAUUAGUUAUUUUAUAUUAAAAUAAAACUAAAAAGGAUAAAUUUGUAACAUCUUGAUUGAUUUAGCAAAAGUGUGGGCAAACUUCACUAUUCAUUAAUCUAACACACGUGGCACACACGUGUGCCUAUGUGGACCCUCAGUGUAGACACGUAAUUUUUUAUCUUCCCUAAAUUUUAACUUGUCUAUCAAUAUUUAAUAUUUAUAUUUAUAUUUAUAUUUAAUCAUAUAUUAUUUUUAUUUUUAUUCUAAUCUAAAAAAAUAAUGUAAAAAGUAAAAAUAUAUGUUUUCUUUUAUAAAUUUUAAUAAAUAAAUUAGUAGUUUAAAUACUAUUUUAUUAUAUUUAUAUUUGUCUAUUUAUAAAUUGUUAUUAUGUUUUAUUAAAUAUAAAAUUAAUUAAUUAUUAUUAUAUUAAUGUUUUAUUAUUUCAUUUGUUUAUUUUUCUAUUAUCUUAUUUAUUUAUUCAUUUACUUCUAUUUAUUAUUUAUCUUUAUUUAUUAUUAUUAAUUAAAUAAUAUAUAAUAUAUAGAUUUUGAUUUUUAAAUUUAUAUCCCCCCUUCCCCUUAUCUGACUUUUAACUGUUCCCUUUCAAAAGUCCUUUUAUAAAAGGACUCCCUAUUCAGUUAAAAAAAGGCAGAGACUACGUACUUGAGCUCUACAAUAUCAGAUAGAUUAAUUAAAUAAUAUAUAAUAUAUAGAUUUUGAUUUUUAAAUUUAUAUCCCCCCUUCCCCUUAUCUGACUUUUAACUGUUCCCUUUCAAAAGUCCUUUUAUAAAAGGACUCCCUAUUCAGUUAAAAAAAGGCAGAGACUACGUACUUGAGCUCUACAAUAUCAGAUAGAAAGAAAACCAGAGAGAAAAAUACAGAGAGAAAAACACAGUAAGGAAGAACUCUGAAGGAGAAAACAAAGAAAAGAAAGAGUAAAAAAUCAAAUUUCAAGAUUAUGUUGAAGUUUUCGGUGACAAUCUUUUAUUUCAUCGCUCAAUUUAUUCAUUACAGGUUCAUAUUCAAACAUUUAUGUUAUCAAUUUUAUGGUGAAAAAACAUGAAUGAAAUAUUCAAUAUGUUCUCUGUGGAUGAACACAUAUAAUGAGAUAAUUUAUGCUUGAUAUUUCACACAAUGUAUUAUUAACAGAAUCCAUCUUUUACAUUGUAUAUUCACAACACACUACAUCACUGAUAUUUUAAUUUUUUAUUGCCAUACACACAUACCCCUCCGAAAACACAUGCAUAUACUGUAGCACGCACAAACAUAGUAAUAAGAAUUGACAAAAAAUUAGCAAAACAGAGAAGAAAAUCAGUGACAAAUGAGAGAAAGAUCAGAAAAUAGAGGAGUGAAUAGAGAAGAAUUGAUUUCUUGAAUUUUCCAGUGAGUUCUCAUCGGAAACCCGCCGGAAAACAACCCAAAAAUGCUGGAUUUCUCUCUCCGUUCAGCCGUCACUGUCCAUCAGUGGCCGGCGACUCAGGCGCAGCAUCGCCGCCGAUGUCCUUUCUCCUCUUCUGCCGCCCUUGUCGCGCCAUGGAAGGGCUUGAUCUAGCCGGAAUCGUUUACCGGCGAAGCCCAAACGGUGCUGCCCCUCCUCUUUCCUUUCUUCCGACACCGGUGAACCUCCUUAUCACUGUCGCUGGCAAAAUUCCGAAGAAUUUCCGUCAUCCACACACUGAAAAAUCCUAACCCCAAUAGCAGAUUUGGCUAGUUUGAUUGUACGUAAAAAAUAAGUUGUUAAAGAUAAUUUAAUGUACUAUUGUAUAUAUAUUUUUGAAUAUUUAAAUGAAGUUUAUGUUUAACUUAUAUUCUAUUUUGCUAUUUAAAAAUUUAAAUGAAAAGGCUUUACGUUUAUAUAUAUAUAUAUUAUAUAUAUAUAUUUUAUUAUUUUAUUAUUAAACUUAAUUCUUAAAACUUAAUAAUUAUUUAUUAAAUUAAUUAUAUGCUUUAAUUGUAUAUUGUUCUAAUUUAUUGUCAAGGUUAAAUAGUAUUUUGAAAAGACAAAUUGUAUGAAUUUACAAAAAAUAAAUUAAAGUCUUUAAUACCAGAUAAUUUUUAAAUACGUUAAAAUAUUUGUCUCAAUUAAGAAUGCGACAUAUGAAUCUUUCUGAGACAUUUAAAAAUUUAAGGAUGCAAUAAUGCACCUCGAUAAAUAUUUUUCUAAUUUUUUUUCACUGAGUUAACACGAGAGUAUUAAAUAGUUUCAGUAUAUUAAAAAAAAGGAGAGAACCUAGGCCUUAACAUAAUUUAUUCAAAAUAGUUUAAGUUAAGAUAAGUCAAUAAAAGCGACCGUGCUAGAACCACGAGACUCGAGGGGUUCCUCAUACCUUCUCCCCGUUCAACAGAAUUCCUUACCCGGUCUUCUAUUUUUGCAGACUAACAAAGAGUCAUUUCCUUUUGAUUAGGGAUUCAAUAAGGUGACUUGGAACACCAUAACUCAAUUCUAAGUGGUGACUCUGAAAAUGAUAAAAAUUAAUCCUUAUUCAAUACCGUUAUUUUAAUUGAAAAAAAUCCUUCGACUCGUUCCUGGAGCGAAAAAGGGGUGUGACAUCUAUGGCGACUCUGCUGGGGACUAAUAAGAAUUCAAGAUUUUUAUAUUAACUUAUAAUUUCUUUAAUUAUUGUUGACAUUGUGUUUGUCGGCCUUAUGUGCUACUUGUCGCUUAUUUACUGCUUUGAUAUUUAUUGAACUGUAUUACAUACUGUCUUUUCUUGCACACCCCUCUGAGUCUCUGAAAUAGGAUCGAAGGAAUGCAACCCAUGCAUCCUACUUUCUUUUGGGAUAGCCGGAGUGUUAAGAUACUUGGUGAAGGAUAUAGUCAUACAUGUUAGGCGGGGUUCGGAUCGACAACAAAGGCAGUGUUGCCCUGCUACCGACCAAGUUGACCUUCCAUGGCUCGACUGUCCACUCGGGUAAGCCAGUCUAGACACCUAUCCCUAUUAGGUUUAAACUUAGAAGAACUGAAAACUCAGAAUCUGGUUAUCCCUAUUAGGUACCGCUUUAUUUGCAUCAUAUGCAUUUGACUUAGCGAGACUCGGAACAGGGGCCGAGUCUGUCUAGGACAGGUAACCUACUUUAUAAAGACCAACAUGUGCAUCCUACGUGCUUUUUGACAUUUGUUUGGAAGGCUAUUUGUUUGUUGACCGGCUUUUAGGCAACAUUAAAAUGCAAGAGAUUAAAUUAUCAUCACAUUUAGUGAAUCAUUUUUCAAAGAAAAAUUUUAUUUUUUAAAAGAGAAAAUUUUUAGUAAUAUAGUUUUAUGGUUUUCAUGAACUAUGAGGGUCUGAUUCUCACAUCUUAGCAGGAUACGUAGGAAGUCCUUCUCAGGAUACGACCCUAUCUUUGGAAAAUUAUUCAUUGACUUAUUGGGAAAUAUUUUGAAAAUAUGAUUACUUUCAUAAUUAUUUUUCUAAUUCUGUCUAAUUUUUAUGUAUCUUAAUAUAUAGCCCUGAAUCUUUAGGGAUCAUGAGGCUAAGUUUUACAAAAUAAAAUAUAUAUAAAUCUUAACAAUCCUAAACCUUUAGUGGUCGUGAGGCUGAAAUUUUUAUACAACUUCAUCUAUAAAACAAUCAUCCUUAUUUUCUAAGUCAUUCUAUUUUGUUUUCUUUUCUUUUGUUCCUUUUAAGUGUACUUAGGGGUAUUGUCUCCAAAUAUAUAGUUAAAAUUGUCUAGAGGUCUGUUAUUGCAAAGUUUUUGAUAAAGUCAAUUCAGAUAAGUGUUUUUUGUAAAAAUAUUAUUAGGCAUAUUUUUCUCACUUUGAUUUUGAUAAAAUUGUUCUUUGCAACUAAGUAAUGGUCGCACUAGGUCUCACGAGUCAAGUUAAAAAUUCUUUUCAAAAAUUAAUGAAUUAAGUCUUGCCUAAGUCUAGAUAUUUAUUAAUCUCAUGUCCUUGUCAAUAGGUAUAAAAUGUCUCCUCCUAUUCGUGGAAAGCGUCCAAAGAGAACGAGGGAUGAGAGUAUACCGCUUCAGGUUGUGGAUUGUACCCCUUUGCAUCUUUGGUUGUGGUGGAACGAAAUGGAUACAUUCGAUUAUGAUGAGAUACAUAAGUAUUUGAGUUUUUUGACGAGUAUUAUGUCAAUCAAGCCUAAUAGGGAGGUGAUUGAUGCAUUACUAAGCUUCUGGGACCUGAAGAACAAUGUGUUUCGUUUUUUGGAUUUUGAGUUGACUCCUACUUUAGAGGAGAUACCGGCAUAUGUUGGAUAUGGGGAUGUGAAUCGGAAUAAACUUAUAGUCCCAAGACUCAUUUCGAUAAACAGAUUCUGCAAGCUCAUAAACAUACGAAACUCAAAAGAAGAAUCAAUGAAAAAAGGUUGGGUUUCCUUGCAGUUUUUGUAUGACAAAUAUGGAAAACGAUAGGGGUUUGAAAACUACGGUAAACAACUUUCUAAUAAAGAAAGUUUUGAGGAUUGGAAAUUUCAUAGACGAUUUGCAUUCAUGGUAGCCUUUCUAGGCACUAUGAUCUUCCAGAGGAGAGAAGAAAAAAUUAAUAUUCGUUUAGCGGGGGUGGUACAGAUACUGAUUAAGAAAGAUUACACUAUGGUACCAAUGAUCCUGGCAGAUAUCUAUCGUGCUUUGGCCGUUUGUCAGAAAGGAAAGAGUUUUUAUCGAGGGAUGUAAUAUCUUAUUACAGAUGUGGAUUGUGGAGAAGCUUUACCGAUGUCCUACAAUGGAAAGGUUUAAUUCUGAAUGAUUUAAUCGCAUCAAAGAUUACGAAGAGAGGUUAGAGAAAUAUAAAUGCCCAGAAGGAGUUAGAGAUUGGGAUAAGCUUUUUUGUUCUCUGAUAGCAGAUAAAAUCACUUGGAAUCUGCCUUGGUUCCCUUGGAGGCAAGUCAUACAUAGUUAUUUCAUUCGGCCGUUCUUGUUAUUAAUGGGUAUUAAGGGUGUUCAACCGUAUGUUCCAUUGAGAGUUCUAGUCAGCUAGGAAGACAUCAAAUAAUUCCCAUAACGAAAAAUAUGACCGAGUUUGUAUUUGAGAUCAGACCAGAGAUCCCACUUUCGAAGGAAUUGGCCCAACAGAUUUAGGAGGGUUACCGUAUCAUGGGGAUUGAAACAAUGAUCAUAGAGCGUGAGAAAGUAGAAGUGCACCCAGAUUACCGUGAAUGGUUUGAAGAAUAGUUAAGUCCACUAGCUAGACUAGAAAUAUCGAUUAGGGGACCUAUAGAUCAAAAAGAUGCAAUCAGGAUAGGGAUUGAGAGAGCUAUGCGAGAAUAUCAUGAGGACAACCAAGCUUUGAGAGCAGAAUUAGAGCAUGCCAGGGAAAAAAUAGACGAACAACAAAGGGAAUUUAUAGAAGAGAAAGCUAAAUCAGCAAAUAUUGAGGUUACACUUUGGGGAUAAAUCAAACUGGCUACCACUAUGGGGUCUGCCGCAUCUCCCCGAUAGCAACUGCAAGAAGUUGAAAAGAAUAUACAAGAAUAAUUUGAUCGAGAGAGAUCUCAAUGGAUCCGUGAAAGAGGAAUAUUACAAGAAAAUUUCGAGGUUGCUUCUGUUUGUGAAUAGCGUGCAAGAGAGAUGGUUGAUUUCCGAGAUCGACAGGCCCAUGAAUGGGAUUAGGCCUUCAGUUCCCUUCGAGGGAAGGUCCGUGUAGCACAGGAUACUACCAGAAUGGGUUUAGAUUAUCAACAGUUAGAUCGUGAUGACUUUUUGGUGCAAGUACUAGAUUUUGCACAGGGUCUCACUACUUCAUUGGAGGACAUAUACUUGGGUUUGGGAGGACAUAUCAAGCCGAAGUCUCCUUGAAUGGAUAAUUGUUUUCUUGGUCAUAGUUUUUCAUUUUCAUUUUUAAAACUUCUUGUUUAGAUGUUAUGACUUUUAGUUUUCAGAUAUCAAUUAGUAGGUUUUAUCUUAGGAGUUGGGUCAGUUAUUUUGUCGUAUUUAUAUUAUAGAAUGUAAUGAAGUUGAUUGUUUACUCCUAUAUAUAUUACAUAUGUUUUACUUCACUUACUUUAUUUUCUUCAAUAAAAAAAAGACAAAACAAUCAUUUUGUUAAAAUUCCUCCCGAACUAUGCAAGAUCUGAUUCAUGUCCUGGCAUGAUACAUAGGCAACCCUCCAAAGGGUUCGAUCAUAACUUUUGAAAAGUAUGACUAGAAAAGCCAGGAUGAAUCACAAAGCCUUUCAUGGUAGGUUGGGAAAUGCAUAUAGAAGCAUGACAUAUAAAGUGGCAUUAUAAUGUGUUAAAUAUAUAACACUCACUUGUUUACAACUUGAUAAUAGAAAGAUAAAAUGAUUGGUGGUUGGUUUGUGGUUUAAAAUGGCACCACAUCCAUACAACACCAGAUACAAAGGAAAAAGAAAAAUGACCCACAAAGAAGAUAUAGAGUCUGACAAAGAAGGUAUAGAGUCUGACAGUGAAGAAGAGCAAAAUCAUUUGAUUUCGCAGGAAAUAGCAUCAAUGGAAGAACUUAAGUUGUGAAACAAUAGAUGGUAGAGAUGUACCUAGCUUGUUUGAAUAGAAAAGCUCCACAUUCUUCAAUCCCUAGACUUUCAAGUUCAAAUGAUCCAAAUCCUUCUCUAGCUCAAACUAAUGAUCCAUUUUACCCACCAGGAUUUGGCCCAUUUGCUUAUAUGUUUGGUAUUACUGGUACUUCUACUACGCGCCCACCAAAUUCGGCUGUCACAAAUAAUCCACUUUUUACUUCUAUGGUACCAGCUGUUGCGGGUACUCAAUCGACAGUACCAAAGAAUAUGGGGGAACCAAGUCAUGAUCUGUUAUAUCCUCCUGAAAUAACUUUCAAAUCCCAAAAUCCUCAUUAUCAUUCUUAUCAACACGAUUCUCUAAUCAUGAUUGAGAAGAUUAUUAAAAAUAAGGAACAAGAGAAAAUGGCUAGAAAAGUAAGAAGCUUGGAGCAAAGUAUGAGAAAUAUGCAAGGAUUAGGUGGAUUAAAAAGUGUUUCAUACAAAGAUUUAUGUAUGUUUCCUGACGUCCAUUUGCCGCUAGGGUUCAAAUUGCCAAAGUUUGACAAAUACGAAGGUCAUGGCGAUCUUGUUGCUCACUUGAAAAAGUUCUGCAACCAAUUAAGGAGAGCAAGAGGAAAAUAAGAAUUAUUAAUGGCUUACUUUGGAGGAAGCCUGACAGGAAUAACUUCUGAAUGGUUUAUUGACCAAGACAUUUCCCGUUGGCACGUGUGGGAUGACAUGGCUUGAGAUUUCGUUCAGCAAUUUCAAUAUAACAUUGAAAUAGUGCCAGAUCGCACUACGCUUGCUAACAUGAGAAAAAAAUGACUGAAAGUUUUCGAGAAUAUGCUAUCAGAUGGAGAGAGAAGGCUUCAAGCGUCAGACCAUCGAUAAAGGAAUUUGAAAUGAUCGAUAUCUUUUUGCAAGCUUAAGAACCCGAUUAUUUCCAUCACUUACUUUCUACUAUUGAAAGCACAUUUGCUGAAGUAAUUAAAUUUGGAGAGAUGGUAGAGAAUGGAAUAAAGUCGGGAAAGAUUAUCAGCCAUACUGCUUUAAAAGCAACAACACAGGCAAUUCAAAGUGGUGUAGGAAGUUUUGGGGGAAAGAAAAGAAAAGAGGAUGUAGCAACUGUCGUACCAAGUCCACGACAACAUUGGGGAGGUGUGCAUCAACCAUAUGCACAAAAUCCAUUAUAUUUCGUUCCAUUCCCCCAAUAUCCUUUUUACAAUGCAUAACCAAAUGCUCGGGCUCCUUCAUACCCGCAAUGCGUGCACCAGCCAUUCAAAAUCAUCCACCGGUCCCGUAAGUUCAAAGAGGCCCUCCUAGGUCUAAUUUCUGACCUAGAGCAGACUACAAAAGGGAUAACAUGGGCAAAUAUAACUUCACUCCUAUUGGAAUAUCUUACACCAGUUUAUUUCAUAGGCUGAGGAAAAUGAAUGUUCGAAACCCAAUUGGGAGAAGAAUCCCGAACCCUCCUUCGAAGAACUUGGACUAUUCUAGAAGAUGUGAAUACUGUUCUUAUGCCCUAGGGCACGACACAGAGAAAUCUUGGUAUCAGAAAAGAGCUAUUCAAGGACUGAUUGACACCCAACAGAUCAUGGUACAAAGUUCAGACGCUCCAAAUGUCAAACAAAAUCCACUGCCAGAUCAUAAUGAAGCAAACAUGCUCAAAGUGAUACCUAGUGGUAAAGAUGCUUUAAUGUCCUUCAAGCCAAUCAUUAAAAUUUAAAAUGAUUUAGAAAAAUCAACAAAUACUAUGGAUUUGACAAAAGAAAAACCUAUAGAAGCAGAGGUGGUGAUAACAAAACCUGAAUCAUCGAAUGUUCCCUUGAUGAUGGAGAAAGAGAUUCAAGAAAGGGUCAAGUCAAGUAAAGCCAAAACUUAUUGUUCCUGAAAGAUCCCCUAAACCUCUCUUAAUCAUAAAAGGAGCUCCUAUAGCUCCCAUUGUUAUUAAACCAGUGUCAUAGUUGCCUAUGGUUAAUACUAAGGCAGUUCCUUAGAAUUAUGAUCAUGUUGUGGUGAUGCACAAGGGGAAGAAAGUGAUUAAAGUUGUGGACAAAGUAGGGGGAUUAACUCGAUAUGGAAGAUGUUAUGCCCCAAUAGAGUUAAGAAAUAAUAAACAAGGAAAUGAAGAACGAAUGACGAUCAAGAAGCCUUUUACUGAUGAAGAAGCUGAAGAAUUCUUAAAGAAAAUGAAAUUGCCAGAAUAUUCUGUUGAAAGGAUCCUUGAAGCAAACAAGACAGACGAUGAAUUUCCUGUGGAAGGCACUGGACAUAAUAAGGGUCUCUACAUUACUAUGAAAUGUGAACAUUCCAUCGUUACUCGAGUGUUAAUUGAUGGAGGAUCAGGCUCUAACAUUUUUCCUAUGUCAACUUUGCAAAAGUUGAAUGUUAAUGUAGAAAGAAUUCGACCUAACAAUGUAUGCGUCAAAGGUUUUGACGGAUCAAAAACUGAUGCCAUUAGUGAAAUAGAACUCAUAUUGACAAUUGGGCCUGUGGAUUUUCUAUGGAUUUCCAAGUACUGAACAUUGAUGCUUCAUAUAAUAUGUUAUUUGGAAGGCCAUGGAUUCAUAGGGCUAAAGCAGUCGCAUCAACAUUGCACCAAAUGGUAAAAUUUGAACAUGACAGACAAGAGAUAGUCGUUCAUGGUGAAGGAGACUUAUCCAUGUAUAAAGACUACUCCGUUUCCUCCAUCGAAGCAGAUACUACAAACCGAGUAUUAAUUCAUCAAACUUUUGAGGUAGUGGCUGUUGAGCAUAUCCUCGAGGGAAAUCUCAUCGUAAGACCACAAUUAUCCUCUGCAUCUGUUAUGGUAGUGAAUGAAAUGUUGAAGCAUGGUUUCGAAGUAGGUAAAGGUCUAGGAUUGUUUUUGCAAGGCAGGGUUCAUCCAGUAAACCUCCAUGAGAACCUUGGUACUUUUGGUUUGGGAUACAUGCCCAAUGCUGAAGAUAUAAAAAAGGUUAAAAGGCAUAAGAAAGAGUCAUGGGCACUUACCAAAUCGAUACCGCCACUCACGAAUCCUUUAUAAAAGUCAAUGUUGUUAGGUCCUAUAUGUUAUAUACUGCAGAGUCAGUGGAUGAUGAUGAUACAGUGUUGAUUGGCCUUUUCCAGAAUAUGUUCAUUGAAGCUGAUAUGGUUAAAAUUGGGGAAGGUAUCAGUAAUGCAUAUGUGCAGUUUAUCGGCCCUGAUGUCCAGCUUAACAUUUGGGAGGCCACUCCUCUCCCUACUAUGAAGGAGUUUUGGUAGUUUGUUUAUUUUUCUUUCAGUCUUGGUAGCUUGUUUUUUUUCUGUAAUUUGAAUAAUUUUAGGAUUGUAAUUCAGAUCUUUACCUUGGUAUUUUAGGUUAAAACUCUUUCUAGAUUUGUUUUUAAUAAAGUACAGUCUCCCUUUAUUUUAUUUUGAGUCUGAUAUUUAUUUGUUUAUUUAUUUUCUAUCAUAUAGUUCUUUCUAUACUGAUUCUAAUGAUAUCACAUGCAUGAAGAAUUGUCAACUAAAUUUAAAAACCCAAUCUAAUUAUAAAAUAAUGAAUAAAGAAGUUGAAUAUGAUGAAAAAGAAGCAUUUGAAGAUAUAAGCAAAGAUUUCAAACAGUUUGAGAACAAGUCAAACCCUAAUUUGGAGGAAAAUGAAGCGAUCAAUUUAGGAGAUUAUGAAAAUAUUAGGGAGACUAAGAUAAGUGUAUAUGCUCAACCACAACAAAAUAAAGCUAUAAUUGAAGCUUUUCUUGAGUACAAAGACAUCUUUGCGUGGUCAUAUGAUGAUAUGCCCAGUUUGAGCACCGAUGUGGUAGUUCACAAGUUGCUAAUUGAUCCUGCUUUUCCACCUAUCAAGAAAAAUUUAAGGAAUUUUAAAAACGACGUGAUUGUAAAAAUCAAAAAGGAGAUCACGAAGCAACUUGAAGCUAAAGUUAUUGGAGUGGAUCAAUAUCCUACUUGGUUGGCAAAUAUUGUCCCUGUUCCAAAGAAAGAUGACAAAGUUCGAAUGUAUGUUGAUUAUCGUGAUCUAAAUAAAGUGAGUUCGAGAGAUAAUUUUCCACUUCCUAAUGUCCAUAUUUUGUUGGACAAUUGUGCUAAACAUGAUCUUGUCUCUUUUGUGGAUUGUUAUGUGGGAUAUCACCAGAUCAUUAUGGAUCCAGAAGAUGCCAAAAAGACAUCAUUUAUCACGUUAUGGGGGACAUAUUGUUAUCAAGUUAUUCCGUUCCGACUAAAGAAUGUUGGGGUAACUUAUAUGAGGGCAAUGACUACAAUGUUUCACGACAUGUGCACAAGGAGAUUGAAGUUUAUGUUGACGAUGUGAUCAUUAAAUCCAGAGAGCAGUCUAACCAUGUCAAAGAUCUUAGAAAAUUCUUUGAAAGGCUUCGAAGAUAUGAUCUCAAACUUAACCCAGCAAAAUGUGUAUUUGGCAUACCGUCAGGAAAGAUCUUAGGGUUUAUAGUCAGUCGACGCGGCAUUGAGUUAGAUCCUUCAAAAAUAAAAGCUAUUCAAGAUUUGCCUCCACCAAAGAAUAAAACAGAGGUGGUGAGUCCACCAAAGAAUAAAACAGAGGUGGUGAGCUUACUUGGAAGGUUGAAUUAUAUCAGUAUAUUCAUUGCUCAGCAUACGACAACCUGCGAGCCAAUAUUCAAGUUGUUGAAGAAGAAUGCUAAAGUUGAAUGGAUUGAAGAAUGUCAAGAGGCAUUUGAAAAAAUUAAGAGAUACUUGUCGAAUCCGCCUAUUUUGGUUCCUCCAGAGCCAGUCAGACCCUUGAUAUUGUACAUGUCUGUCUUAGAAAAUUCUUUCGUCUGUGUAUUGUGUCAACAUGACGUUAUAGGCAGAAAAGAACAGGCCAUAUACUACCUUAGCAAACAGUUUACCACUUAUGAGGCUAAGUACACUCUUCUUGAGAAGACAUGUUGCGCCUUAACUUGGGUAGCCCAAAAGCUGAAACAUUACUUUUUAUAUUAUACUACUUACCUCAUAUCUCGUAUGGAUCCUUUAAAGUACAUUUUUCAAAAGCCAAUGCCCAUAGGCAGACUCGCAAAAUGGCAGAUAUUGCUCACAGAGUUUGAUAUUGUCUAUGUCACACAAACUGCAAUGAAAGCUCAAGCUUUAGCAGAUCAUUUGGCUAAAAAUCCUAUUGAUGAGGAGUAUGAACCAUUGAAGACUUACUUUCCAGAUGAAGAGGUAUUGUAUGUUGAUGAGUUUGUUUCUGGCGAUAACCAUUCAAGCUAGAAGUGGUUCUUUGAUGGAGCUAUUAAUGUAAAAGGAGUGGGAAUAGGAGCAGUUCUUAUUUCUGAAUUAGGACAAUAUUAUCCUAUAAUAGCCCAACUUUGAUUCUAUUGUACCAAUAGUAUGGCAGAAUAUGAAGCUUGCAUUUUGGGUUUGAGAUUAGCUAUUGACAUACGGAUCCAAGAAUUGUUAGUGUUAGGAGACUCAGAUUUGUUAGUUCAUCAAAUUCAUGGAGAUUGAGAGACUCGUGAUUCAAAGAUCCUACCAUAUCGAGGUUGUUUGCAAGAUCUAUGUCAAUGAUUUGUAUCAGUAAAGUUCAAAUACAUUCCCAGAGCUCAUAAUGAGAUUGCUGAUGCUUUGGCAACCUUAUCUUCGAUGCUUAAACAUCCCGACAAAACUUAUAUUGACCCUUUGCAUAUACAGAUUCAUGAUCAACAUGCAUAUUGCAAUGUGGUUGGGAAGAACUUGAUGGGGAGCGGUGGUUCCAUAAUAUCAAAGAAUAUAUUCAGACUGGAAAAUAUCCUAUACAUGCCGAUGGUAACCAAAAGAGAACCAUUCGAUGUUUAUCUAGUGGAUUUUUACUAAGUGGAGGAAUCUUGUAUAAGAAGACUCCUAAUUUGGGACUUUUGAGAUGUGUAGAUGCUAAAGAAGCUUCAAAUAUCAUGACUGAAGUACAUUCUGGGAUUUGUGGACCAUACAUGAGUAGGUAUGUUUUGGCAAUGAAAAUUCUCCGAGAAGGUUAUUAUUGGCUCACCAUGGAGCGAGAUUCCAUCAAUUUCAUUCGUUAAUGUCAUGAAUGUCAAGUACAUGGGGACUUGAUACAUUCCCCUCGAUCUGAGUUGCAUACAAUGACUGCUCCAUGACCUUUUGUGGCUUGGGGAAUGGACAUAAUUGGACCAAUUGAACCAAAGGCUUCGAAUGGACAUAGGUUCAUCUUAGUAGCCAUUGAUUAUUUUAUAAAGUGGGUGGAAGCAGUGACUUUCAAGUCAGUGACCAAGAAAGUGAUGGUUGAUUUUAUCCACUGCAACAUCAUUUGUCGGUUCGGCAUUUCAAAGAUAAUUAUCAUGGAUAAUGCUGCGAAUCUCAAUAGCCAUCUGAUUCAAGAAGUGUGCCAACAAUUUAAGAUUAUGCAUCGGAAUUCAACUCCUUAUCGUCCAAAGGCGAAUGGAGCUGUAGAAGCUGCCAACAAGAACUUAAAGAAAAUACUCCGUAAGAUAGUGUAGGUUCCCGAUAGUGGCAUGAAAAGUUAUCUUUUGCUUUGUUGGGUUAUCGUACUACAGUUUGGACUUCAAUUGGUACAACUCUUUACUUGUUAGUGUACGGAACUGAAGCAGUUAUACUUGUAAAGAUUGAAACUCCAUCUCUUCAAGUAGUUGUAGAAGCUUAAAUUGAUGAUGACCAAUGGGUCAAGAUUCAUUUGGAGCAACUAAGCUUGAUUGAUGAAAAAAGAUUAACAUCAGUAUGUCAUGGACAACUAUACCAGAAGAGAAUGGCCCGAGCAUAUAACAAAAGGUGUGUCACAGACAUUUUGAAGUUGGUCAGUUAGUACUAAGAUGCAUCCUACGCCAUCAGAUUGAAGCCAAAGACAAAUUUUCUCCUAAUUGGCAUGAACCAUUCAUGGUGAAGAAAGUGUUACCUAAUGGCGCGUUAUAUCUGAUAUAGAAGGCGAAAUGGAAGGAAUCCCGGUUAAUGUUGAUGCAGUUAAAAGAUAUCAUGUAUGAUAUUCUUGUACAAUUACAUUAUGUCUGUUUUGUACUUGCAUUUUAAAAUAUUGAAAUGAUGAAGGCAUUUUGUUCCACUAUCCGAAUAAUAUAUCAACCUUUGCUUAUCCUUUUUGAGCUUUUAUCUUUCUUCGUACCCCUCUUUUGGAAUCAAAUUAAAGUGAAAAAAAAUCAAUCAAAAAUUCAAAAUCAAGCAAAAGAAAUUUUCCUGAACUACGUUUGACCUGAUUCUUGCUAUGACAAGAUACGUAGGCACCCCUACUUUGGGGUUCGGUCCAACCAAAAGAAAAUUCAAAUUACCCAAAAUAAAAUGAAACUGAGGCAAAAGUUUAUUUCCCUAAAAAGAGUCGAUUUCAAAAGUUGUAUGCUUUACCCAAUGUUGUGUAAAUUUUGAGCUUCACGCUGAUCUUUCUUUCUAACCCAGUCUAAAAGCCAAGUUACAACCAAAGAAAGACCUUCAGAUCAAUCUUUGAGAAUGUCAAGACUAAACAUGUUAUGGGUGCAUGAUAUUUAUAUUUUUGGUGUUUACUUAAAAGAAAAAGUGAAUGAAAAUGAGAGAGUCUUAUUAGUGAAAACCCUUUUGGGCACCAUAAGGUGACUGUGAGCUGAAAAAAAUAAAAAUAAGAUAGACUCAUUGGCAAAAACCCAUUGAGGUGCCACUAGAUGAAGGAGGUUUGUUAUCCAGAAGGAACAAGUUCAAGAUUGACCUAAUUUAAAGUUCAAUAAGUGGACAAAAAUUGUAAUGAUUAGUGUGGGUAGAUUUGGCUGUUUGAUUCAAAAUGCAUGUCAUAAUCACCCGAAUCAGUUUCCACAUUCAGAUAAGUUUUUCUUUCUAUUUUUAAAAAGAGAUACCUAUUGUCUUUUUCUUUUUUCUUUUUAUUUUGAUUUUUGAUAUUUUGUGUCCUUAUCAUCAAAUGAAAAUUUUUGUUGUCUUUUGUGUGUUUUUGAGUCAAAUUCACGUGAGGUCAAGUGAGAAAGAACUCCAAACUUACUACCAACUUCUUCAAUGGUAAAAAGCAAGCCAAAGGGUCGACGUACAAAGACAACACUUCAAAGUAUAAUAAAGUACUCAGAAUGAUCGUGAUUUGACAAUUCUUGGCUAGUUGAAAGAUAAAAGGUAUAUGAAAAGUUAAAUCUUGAGAUAUUAUACAGGAGAAAUAUGUUUUGAGUUGAGAGUAUCAGUAGUCAGAAUUUUGGGUCAGAAGUAUGACAAGUCAAUGGAUAUCAAUCAAGGAAUGAAAAGGAGUUGAGCAUGGAAAGUGCAAGAACAAUCAGUUCAAGAUCCAAAUACCACAAACCAACCACCAUGUGUUUUUAAAACUCACAAUUUGUCUUUGUUGAAACAGAAACAGAAAGUUUUCAAAUAAAGGAUGCAAUUUCAUACUUCUGUCAAUGCAAGAGUCAUGAUUACAACAUACGAUAUUGGAUCUCAGUUAUGGAUCAUAUUUGAAAAAUUAGAAAAAGGAAGUCUAGGAGCCCACCUGAAGAAUAGAGUGAAGAAAUUGUAAGUCUAGGAGCCUGCCUGAAGAACAGGAGGAAGAAAUUUGUAAAUCCAGGAGCCCGCCUGAAGAACAGGGUGAAGAAAUUACAAGUCUAGGAGCUCGCCUGAAGAACAAGGUGAACAAAUUAUAAGUCCAGGAGCCCGCCUGAAGAACAUGGUGAAAAAAUUUGUAACUCCAGGAGCCCGCUUGAAGAACAGGGUGAAGAAAUUUGUAAGUCAAGGAGCUCGCCUGAAGAAUAGGCUGAAGAAAAAGAAAGUCCAAGAGCCCGCCUAAAGAACGGGGUGAAGAAAUUGUAAGUCUAGGAGCCCGCCUGAAGAACAGGGUGAAGAAAAAAGAAAGUCGAGGAACCCACCUGAAGAACAGGGUAAAGAAAAGAGAAAGUCCAGGAGCCCGUCUGAAGAACAGGGUGAAGAAAAAAGGAAGUCUAGGAGCCCGCCUGAAGAACAGGGUGAAGAAAAAAGGAAGUCCAGUAGCCCACCUGAAGAACAGGGUGAGGAAGUAACAAGUUAGGAGCUCGCCUGAAGAAUAGGGUGAAUUUUCAAGUUCAAGUCACGAAGAUUUGAAUCAAGAUUUUAGAGAUUGUAAUUUUCAUUUAUAUUUUUCAUUUUUGAUCUUUUGUUAGCCAUUUGAAUGUAAAAGGCAGAAGUUGUUAACUGGAAACUCGACAGAAUAUCAUUCGACUUUUAACUCUUUUUCCCUCCAUAUUACCUUUGAACUACUCGUGACCUGAAUCCCUUAUAACCCGGGAUAGGUAGGAUGUCCAAAAACAGGACUCGGUCACAUUUUUACUUUUAUUUUUAUUUUUAUUUUAUCCUUAUCUUUCAAAUAAUUGGAGGGUCAAAAAUCAUAUCUUGUCUACUUCUUUGUAUGAAAAUUCUUCGAGAUUCCACACAAAGAGGGGCAAAAAUGUAGACACGUGAUUUUUGAUCCUUCCUAAAUUUUAACUUGUCUAUCAAUAUUAAAUAUUUAUAUUUAUAUUUAAUCAUAUAUUAUUUUNNNNNNNNNNNNNNNNNNNNNNNNNNNNNNNNNNNNNNNNNNNNNNNNNNNNNNNNNNNNNNNNNNNNNNNNNNNNNNNNNNNNNNNNNNNNNNNNNNNNNNNNNNNNNNNNNNNNNNNNNNNNNNNNNNNNNNNNNNNNNNNNNNNNNNNNNNNNNNNNNNNNNNNNNNNNNNNNNNNNNNNNNNNNNNNNUUAAAUUUUUGCCCCCUUCCCCUUAUCUGACUUUUAACCGUUCCCUCCCAAAAGUCCUUUUAUAAAAGGACUCCCUAUUCAGUUUAAAAAAGGCAGAGACAACGUACUUAAACUCUACAAUAUCAGAUAGAAAGAAAACCAUAGAGAAAAAUACAGAGAGAAAAACACUGUAAGGAAAAACUCCGAAGGAGAAAACAAAGAAAAGAAAGAGUAAAAAAUCAAAUUUCAAGAUUCCGUUGAAGUUUUUAGGGACAAUCUUUUAUUUCAUCACUCAAUUUAUUCAUUACAGGUUCAUAUUCAAACAUUUAUGUUAUCAAUUUUAUGGUGAAAAAAACAUGAACGAAAUAUUCAAUAUGUUCUCUAUGCAUGAAUACAUAUAAUGAGAUAAUUUAUGCUUGAUAUUUCACACAAUGUAUUAACAGAAUCCAUCUUUUACACUGUAUAUUCACAGCACACUACAUCACUGAUAUUUUAAUUUUUUACUGCCAUACACACACACACCUCCGAAAACACAUGCAUAUACUGUAGCGCGCACAAACACAGUAAUAACAAUUGACGAAAAAUUAGCAAAACGGAGAAGAAAAUCAGUGACAAAUGAGAGAAAGAUCAGAAAAUAGAGGAGUGAAUAGAGAAGAAUUGAUUUCUUGAAUUUUUCAGCGAGUUCUCAUCGGAAACCCACCGGAAAACAACCCAAAACCACUGGAUCUGUCUCUCCUUUCAGCCGUCACUAUCCAUUUGUGGUCGGCGACCCAGGCACAACAUCGUCGCUGUCCUUUCUCUUCUUCUCCCACCCUUGUCGCUCUAUGGAAGGGCUAGAUCUAGCCGGAAUCGUUUACCGGUGAAGCCCAAAUGGCGCUGCCCCUCCUCUUUCCUUUCUUCCGACACCGGCGAACCUCCUUAUCACUGUCCUUGGCAAAAUUCCAGCGAAUUCCCAUCAUCCACAUACUGAAAAAUCCUAACCCCAAUAGCAGAUUUGGCUAGUUUGGUUGUACGUAAAAAAUAAGUUGUUAAAGAUUAUUUAAUGUACUAUUGUAUAUAUAUAUAUUUUUGAAUAUUUAAAUGAAGUUUAUGUUUAACUUAUAUUCUAUUUUUCUGUUUAAAGAUUUAAAUGAAAAGGCUUUAUGUUUAUAUAUAUAUUAUAUAUAUAUUUUAUUAUUUUAUUAUUAAACUUAAUUCUUAAAACUUAAUAAUUAUUUAUUAAAUUAAUUAUAUGCUUUAAUUGUAUAUUGUUUUAAUUUAUUGUCAAGGUUAAAUAGUAUUUUGAAAAGAUAAAUUGUAUGAAUUUACAAAAAAUAAAUUAAAGUCUUUAAUACCAGAUAAUUUUUAAAUACGUUAAAAUAUUCAUCUCAAUUAAGAAUGCGGCAUACGCAUCUUUCUGAGACAUUUAAAAAUUUAAGGAUGCAAUAAUGCACCUUGAUAAAUAUUUUUCUAAAUUUUUGUUUUUCUUUUCACAAAGUUAAUACGAGAGUAUUAAAUAGUUUUAGUAUAUUAAAAAAAGGAGAGAACCUAGGCCUUAACAUAAUUUAUUUAAAAUAGCUUAAGUUAAGACAAGUCAAUAAAAGCGACUGUGCUGGGUUCUCCUCGGUCAACAGAAUUUCUUACCCAGUUUUCUAUUUUUGCAGUCCAACAAAGAGUCAUUUCCUUUUGCUUAGGGAUUCAAUACUGAAAAUGAUAAAAAUUAAUCCCUAAUCAAUACCGUCAUUUUAAUUGGAAAAAUCCUUCGACUCAUUUCUGGAGUGAAAAAGGGGUGUGACACUCAGUGUGUUGAUUUACUGAUGUGCCACCUAGACACUAAGGUUGCCAAAAAUCUGAUUUUAAUUAGUCCAGAGGCUAAUGAGAUCCUUCUAAAGUACGGGUGUAUCUCAGUAAUUUCGUGUAUAGUUCAGGGUGGAAGCAGAACAUUUUUUCAAAAAAAAAUUAAAACUAGUCGUGAAUGGGUCUCAAACCCGAGACCGUGAGGCCCUUUGCGUGAAAGUUUACACCCCUUUUGCCAUUGAACCAAGCUUUUUGCUUGUGUCAAGGGGGUUCAAUUUAAUAUAUAUACACACAGAGAAAAAAGAAUUCAUAUAUAUAUAGUACUUUAAGUUAGUUAGUACGGACAAGAAUCUCGAGCGUAUAAAUUAAUAUGGUACAAAAAAAAAUCAAUUAAAAUAUCAACACAUUAAGUUAAUAAAGUACAGAAAAAUCCUCAAAUAUAUUAAAACACACACACACACACAUAUAUAUAGUAUGAAAAUAAAAUAACUUUAAACAUCAAUACUCUUAAUUAUAUUAAAGGUUGACUGGACGAAUUAAGUAAUAAUGAAAUAAAAAUAAUCUAAAUCUUAAGGGCAAGAUAAAACAUAUCUGUCAUAAUAUAUAGAUCAGUCAUGUAGAAGGUUAAUACAAGAAAAUAAGAAAGCAAGAAGGAACUUUUUUUUAUUUGAAGUGACUGAGGAUAGGGUAUAUGUGUGAGAAUGACGAUGCAGCUCUUCCUAGAUUCAUAGUACUAAAAUCAGUGUGUACAUAUUUCACUAGAACUAUUAAGUAUUUACUGAAUUAAUGAGUUCUUUGUUAUUUUGCCCUUAAAUGUCUAUUUUUGUUUGCGAUUUGCAUCUUAUUCUUUUAAUGAUUCCUAAUAUAUUAAAUUCCUUGCAACUUAUAAAGAAAGAAAGCAAAAAUAAAAAAAAAUAUUGGAGUUGGUUGAAAAGAAAGUAAUUUAUAUACUAUAUCUCACUUCAAAAUACCGCGGUUUAUAUAUUCAUAAUGUCAAAUUAGCCUAUACGCUCCGCCAAGGGACCGUGGUCAAACCACGGGUAUAUGUUAUUAUCUUUUUCAGAUUGAGUUAAUAAUUUUAUGUACCGAAAGUCUAUUCUUUUUACACUGCUAGAUUUUAAAUGUCAAUUAUUUUUAAACAUCUUAGAAAUAAAACAAACAUUCAAUAUAAAUUAAUAGGUCAAAUUACACUAUCAUUACAAAAAUCACCUAUAUAAGCUAAAUCCUACAACAAAUAAAUAUGUACAAAUGCUUUACACGAUUAAUUAAAUAACUCAUUGAUAUAUCUUGUUUAAAGCCGGUUAAAUAAGAAAAACUUAAAAUUUAUAAAUAUUCUUUAAAUGAUCUGAUAGUAAAAAAAAAUAAAAAAAUUAUACUAAUAAUGUAUAUAAGUUAAUGUAAGUGUUGUUUGUCAUUUCAAUAGUUAAUCACUUCGAGGAGAAAGUGAAAUUAUUAAUUAAUCUUCUGACCCUAGGAUUUUGGUUACACAUCGGAUUAUAUAUACACACACAUAAUAUUAAUUUCCUUUUUUGAACAAAAUAAGGACGUUAUCUUGAUUCCGCUCACUUUUCUGCUACUUAUUAAUUAGGGGAGUAGUGUUAAUCUUUAUUUCUAAGCUUUCACACAGUUGAUUUUUAGUAUCUGUUAGUUUUGUUCUCUCUUAAACUACGCCAUUCCAUCAAUGAAAUCAAUCCAUUGACAGAACCCUCAAUCACACAAGCUAUACCGGAGUUUUUCAUGUGAUAAUGCUAGUUAGUUUCCUCCAUUGUAGGUCAUUCCUUAAGGUUGAAUUCUGGUUGGGCUAUCCUCCACAUAACACUAUGGUUAGUGUAGUCUUUGUUAUUUUUAGCUGAUAAACUUAGAUGAUAUUUGGUAAACUCAUGGCUACUAAUCAAAGAACUCCAUGAUUUAAAAACAGACUUGAAUCGAGCCUUGAGAGAAUUUCAGUUGGCCAAUAAAGGUUUGUGGGGUUGCUUUGAUUUGGGUGUUGAUGGGAUGCUUCAUCAGAUACCGGUUGUUUUCUUGAUAAGUCAAAAACUUCAGUUUCACAACUUGUUUGUUCUUCGAGUUCCAGCUUUUCCAUGACUUCUUGACCGAUUAAUCUGUUAUCUUGUUUAUCAGAUUCUGAAUUUUCCUGAUUUACUCCAUUAAUCUCUCCAUUUAGUUUUUCCGCAGGUAGCAUUUAUAUAAAUGUUGGAACCAAUAAAUAAAGAAAGAAAAAGGAAAAAAUAAUGAAAAAGUUUGACCAAAUGUUCAAAUCUUAACGGAGGCUAUAAAAGCUAAAUGAUUCUUUUUUCUUCGAUGAGAGUGUCAAAAAACUUUCAACAGUAACAAAGCCGGUCUUACUAGGAGAAAUGGUCAAUAGUGAUGUAAUUUCAAGGAAACAUAAAAUACGACCUCCUCCAUAUUUUCUACAUAUUAUAUAACAAUAGAAAGAAAGAUAAAUAUAUGCCCCUCUAUUACUGUAAUUUCAAGUGGAUAGUGUACUUAUACUCUCGCCAUCUACCAAGUUAAAAUUAAUUCUUUUGAAUUUCAAACAAUAAGACAUGGCUUUAAAAAUUAUCUCACUCAUUUUAUUUACCUCUCGAUACCCAACCUAACUAAAAAAAAUCAAUUCGUCUUUUAUUCAGACAUGACACAAUUUCAUUUAUUGAUUGUGUAGAUGGAUUGGACUUUUUUCAAUUGGACAGGGUUUGGAGUGGUAAAAUGUGAGGUAAUUAUUUUAAAGCCGCAUGAUAUUCUUGGAAUUUAAAAAAAGUCAGUUUUAGAUUAUUUUCUAAUUCAGUAAAUAUAGGUCUUUCAACAAAAAAUGUAAAUAUGCCUAAUUCGUCAAACGAUGGCGUAUAUAUGCAUAACUUUUUUUAAUGAGGCAUAUAUGUCACGACCCGACCCGAGGCCCUGGCCAUGACGGGCAUCCCGAACCACGAAGGCCCGAGAGACCCCUGUCUCUGCCCAACCCACCAGUGAUAUUGUCCGCUCUGGGCCCUGGCCCGCACGACUUUAAAACGCGUCACUAGGGAGUAAGAUUUUCUUACAUAUAUACCCAGCAUCCUUCUUGUGUUUAUGCCGAUGUGGGAUUCUAAGUUGGGGUGUUACAUACACCCCUUUAUGGACUCAGCGUCCUCGCAGAGGUUUGUCCCACCGAAUGGAAUUUGCCUAGACUCAGGACUGAUGUUUGCCCUGCCUUACCGGGAUUUGCCUACGCUUAGUUUGAACUCUAGCCCACAUCGAUAGGGCUGACACAGAAGCAGCUCUGAUAUCACUAGUGGGUUGGGGAGUUAUAGGGGAGUCUCGGGCCUUUGUGGUUUGGGAUGCCCGUCGUGGCUAGGGCCCUGGCUCGGAUCGUGACAGAGUGGUAUCAGAGCCGCUCCUGUGUCAGCCCUGUCGAUGUGGGCUAGAGUUCAAACUGAGUAUAGAUGAAUCCGGGUAAGGCGGGACAAACCUCAGUCCUGAGUGUAGGCAAAUCCCAUUCAGUGGGGGCAAACCUAAGCGAGGACGUUGAGUCCAUAAGGAUGGGUGUAUGUAACACUCCAACUUAGGAUAUGGAGUCCCACAUCAGCAAAACACAAAAGGGAUGCUGGGUAUAUAAGUAAGAAAACCUUACUCUCCAAUGACGCGUUUUAAUGCUGUGCGAGCUUGGGUUCAGAGCGGACAAUAUCACUAGUUGGUUGGGCAGAGACAGCGGUCUCUCGGGCCUUCAUGGUUCAGGAUGUCCAUCGCGGCCAGGGCCUCGGAUCCGGUCAUGACAAUAUAUUCUCUCUAAAUCACAAAAUUGGAGGGUAUAUUUACCCCCUUUUUCCUAUAACAAUUGUUAAUUAUGCAUGAUUUGUUAUUAAAUGAUAUGCUUCUUACAUCGACUUAUGAUUAAUCAUGGUCCAGGGCCUCGGGUCGGGUAAUGACAAUAUAUUCUCUCUAAAUCACAAAAUUGGCGGGUAUAUUUACCCCUUUUUUCCAAUAACAAUUGUUAAUUAUGCAUAAUUUGUUUUCAGAUGAUAUGCUUCAUACAUCAACUUAUGAUUAAUCAUGGUCCAGGGCCUCGGGUUGGGUCAUGACAAUAUAUUCUCUCUAAAUCACAAAAUUGAUGGGUAUAUUUACCCCUUUUUUCCUAUAACAAUUAUUAAUUAUGCAUAAUUUGUUUUCAGAUGAUAUGCUUCAUACAUCAACUUAUGAUUAAUCAUGGUAAAAUAUCGCGCUGCGUCUACUACUCUUUUCAGUGGGGUCAAAAAACAUGCACGAACUAUAUUUUUUCUUCAACAACUUAAUAAUAUGUUCGAUAACGAACAUUUAACUCAGUGUUUAGUCUAUAUGAGAAUGUACGCUAUGCUUGAGGACAUUCCUAUGUGUUUUUAGUUUUCCAUAUAAGCCAAGUUUUACCAGCCAUAAAUCACGACAGAUCAGUACACGCCUUACUCGAAAGGUCAUUUAUUGUCUGGUCAACAAAAUAAUCUAGUGUGAACACUAUACAUAGAGUUAUGGACAGUAAUCUGCAGUGAGAUCUAGUACAAUUAAUAUUUUACUGAUUUUAAAGAAAUCAAUUAGCUAUAAAUAUUAGCAAGAGAAAGAACCGUCUCCGCAUUCUCAUAAAAAAAUCUUCUUUCUUUAUCAGCUUCAACAUUUUCACAAAGAAUCACCAUGCCCAAAAUGCUAACUUCAGGAGAAAAUCAAGAAUCAAUCAUCCCUGAACUUGCAAAAGUAACAGGAAAAAGAAAGCUCCCAGCAUCUGAAGUGUAUCAAUUGAAGCGUGUGUUUGCGAAAAUUUAACAAAAAGGAAAGCAUCCGAUGUCUGAAUCAUAUGAAUUGAAGCCAAUUAAUGUGCCUACAUUUUCCAUGCUUGAAAGAGGAGGAACAUCUGAAAUUAAACUGGAAAUAGAGGACGAUUAUGAUUAUAAUCAUGACUAAGCAAUCUUGAAGGCUAUCUAUCACUACUAUUUCAAUGGUGCGGUAAUUUCGCAUCCUCCUUAUUCAAAGAACUUCAUCAACUACUUCGAGGCUUCAGUUCCCAAUGUGAAAUUUCGUGGUCAGGCAUUGGCGAAUAAGAUUGUUAUGUUAGAGCACCAUUUCUUAAAGGUUAUGAAAAUGGCUGCACGUGUAGGAUAUUACCCCGAAAUAAUCCACCCUAUUUGUUGCAAAUUUUCAACUUGUCGAUGGGUUUAUGGGGAUAAUUCAGGAGACUAUUAUCCAGUUGGACAAGAUCAAGAUGAAACUGGAGUUGUUGAUGCGUCCAUGAUUUUCAAAGUCGAUGUCUUCAUUGUGGCAUUUUAAAUUAUUUCUUGGAGCAUUAGUUUAAAGUUUUUAAUUUUCUUUCAUUAAACUGAAUCUAGCUGUUUGUGUGAAUUAUUAAUUUGGAUAUUCGUUAGCUCGAAAUUUUCAGUUCAGCUCAAAAAUUUGAUUUGAUAUAAAAUGUUUCCUUUUUCCAAGUUUGAUAUCUUGUCUUCAACUUAUAGAAUCAGAUAUGUUAAUUGUUCCUCUCUUCUUCCGAGGAAGGAAAAGAAUAACGAUGAAAAAUGACAUAAUUUAACAUAGAACAAAAUCUGCAGAUACUAAAAUCAAUUGCGCGAAACUUGAAAACUUAGAAAUGAAGAGCAACACUACUCCUCUAAGUUAAUAGAAAGUUAGGAAAAUCAAGGGAACGUCAUCAUUUGUCCAAAUGAGGGAAUCAGUAGCUACGGUUAAGUCUGGAAAGGAUACAUCGUACAUAUAUGUAUAGAGAAGUAUCACUUAAGAGCAUCAACUUAUGCUUCAAUACCGAGAAAACAACCUAGAAUUAUGCUUCAAUUUCAAAUGUGAUACACAUUUUGGAAACUGUGAUAUGGGAGCAACCUUAUCUACCUAAAACUGCUGGGGUAUGAAUGUGGUACAGAUUUUAGGUAACUGUUGGAUGGGAGCAUGAACGUAAAUUGGCAAGGAGAAUCUAUGAACUUAAUUUUUCUAUAUAUCCUAGAUUUAGUUUAGCUGCAGGAUCUAUCGAAAACAACCUCUCUACAUCACAUGGACUGCGUACACUCUACCCUCCUCUGAGGUAGUGUUCAGUGUAAUCAAUCCAUACCACUACCUUAGAGGUGAUAUAGAGAGGUUGUUUCUGAAUGACCCCCCUGCUCAAGAAACAUGUACUCUUUAAAUAGGAAUAAAAAAAAACUCAACCAACUAGAGAAACUUACUGAAAAACAUUACCCACUAACCUAACGACUAAUUAUCCACUUAUCUAAAUAUUAGCAACUAAUAAAGAAAUGUUUUGACUCAACUAGGACUACUAACAAGCGUGUUACUAUUGUCAAUUUUCUGAGUCGAGUUUUGUGAGGCAACAAUGGCAACAAUAGUUCUCAUCGUCUUCAUUUUUGCUACCGGUGCAAAAGUCUCUUCAUAGUUCACACCAUACUCCUGCUUGUUACCAAGAACAACCAACCGAGCUUUGUAUCGAUCAAGAGUUCCAUCAGAAUGAAAUUUAAUUGAAUAAACCCAAUUACAUCCAAUUGGAUGGACAUUUGAAGGACAUGAAACAAUAUCCCAUGUGUCAUUUUCUUUGAGAGCCAAAAGUUCUUCCUCUGUUGCCUUCUGCCAACAUUCAUGCUUAGAAGCAUGUGAGUAAUAAGUUGGAACAUAAAUGGUGGAUAAAGUAGAUGAAAAGCCAUACCAAUUAGGAGUACGAGAUACUCUCGUAGAUCGUCGAGUGGGCUCAAGAGGAGUAGGCCUUGAAGAAUUCUCAGAUUCUAGUUGUGGUGCAGUUUCAAGUGGUGGAUCAAUAUCAGGAGGGGGUAAAGUUGGCCGCCGAUGUUCGUACAUAAAUUCGGAUUUGAACCUCUUAGAAGAAUAUGAAAAAUCUUCAAAAGUAGGAAGAAGAAGAGAAUCAGGAGAUGACUCAACAUGAGUAGGAAAAAAAUACUGAUUCUCAAAGAAAACAACAUUUCUAGAAAUAUAAAAUUUAUUAGAACAUGGAUCAUAACGGAGAAAACCUUUAUGUGAAGUACUAUAACCCAUAGAAACACAUUUAGUAGACUGAACAGAAAGUUUAUUAUGCUGAGAAGGAGGAAGAUGCACAAAACAAAUACAACCAAAUGUAUGAAAAUUAUCAUAGCUUGGAUUUUUGUGAUAAAGACAAAAAUAUGGAGACUCAAGAUUUAACACUUUAGAUGGCAGCCUGUUAAUUAAAUAGACAGCAGUAGACAAAGCUUCAACCCAAUAUUUAGAUGGGACAGAGGACUCAAUCAAUAAAGUACAAGUGACAUCUAAAAGAUGACGACUUUUACACUCAGCGACCCCAUUUUAUUGUGGUGUAUAUGGACAAGAGCGUUGUGAGACAAUUCCUUGUCUAGCAAAAAAUUUUUGAAUUCAUUUGACAUAUAUUCUUCACCAGAAUCAGAUCAUAAUAAUUUGAUACAAGUAGAAAAUUGAGUCUCUAUGUAAGCCAAAAAUAUCUUGAACAUGGAAAAUACUUCAGAUUUGGUACGAAGAAAAUACACCCACGUAAAUCGAUUAUAAUCAUCUAUGAAUGUCACAAAGUACUUGAAUUGAGCAUGAGAAACAAUUGAUGAAAUACCCCAAACAUCACUAUGAACAACAUCAAAACACUUUGUAGCACGACUACCCAAAUUAGGAAAAGGAAGAAUUUACUUUUGCCUAAUUUACAAGUAGAACAAUCAAAUGAAGCAGGGAAAAAUUGAUUUUUACUUCCUAAUAAACCAGAAUUUGAUAAAUAGGACAACACAAAAGAAUUUGGAUGUCCUAGACGCUUAUGCCAAAGCUCAAUCUUAUUAGCCACAGAAGUACAAGCAAAAGAUAUAACAGGAGGAAUGGAAAAUUGUAUAGGAAACAAUCUUCCAACUUUAGGCCCUUUUGCGAUUAUCGUCCCCAACACCUGAUCCUGCACGAGACGACCAUUACGAGAAAAAUUUAUAUCACAAUUGUCAACCAAUUGUCCAACUGAAAUAAGACUAGUUGAGAGCUUCAGUGAAACAAAAACAUUCUUGAAAGUUGGAGCAAUAUCCCCAACCUUGGUAAUGGGUAAAUUACUACCAUUAGCAACCUGUAUUUCUAAUGAACCUUGAUACUUACGAACAUAUUUUAGCAUGCUUGUUGAGUUGGUCAUAUGAUUGAUUGGAAGCACCAGAAUCAACAAUCCAAAAGUUAGAUUUAACAUCAAUACCUUGUAAUCCCAAUGCUAAAAAGGCUGAUACGAUCAUUUGUUGUACCAUUUCAGGAGUAACAACUUGUCCUGAAGGUCCUGAAUAUGAGUUCUCAAGAGUGGAACCAUUUAUUGCUGCAUAAAAAUUAUUUACCUUACGAUUCUGAGGGCGUGUGGGACACUCUUUGAUAAUGUGUCCUUGUUGUUUAGAAUAAUUACAAAACUUCUUGCCAUAAUUUCUAGCAAUAUGGCCAUAUUCCUUGCAAUUGUAGCAUUAAGUUCUAUUCAUAUCCCUACUCAUCCCUUUACCUUGAGCAGCAAAUGCAGCAGUGACAUCAUUUCCUCUUCUGAAAGCAUUUUGUGUGACAUAACGCUGCUCUUCACAAAGCAAUUGCCUAAAACAAACAUCUAGGGAGGGAGACGGUUCACGAUUCAUCAAGUUAGAGAGAACACUCUCAAGCUCAGAGCGUAACUUCAUCAAAAAUUGAUCUCAGUUUCUUUGCUCAUGAACUUCCUGAAUUAUAGAGAGAGAUUCGGAAGGUAUUUUGGCAUAGAAAAUAUCUAUAAAUUCAGCCCAUAAUUUCUAAAAUCCAGAAUAAUAAUCCUGAAUAGAAAGACCUCCUAGAGAGUAAUUAGCAAUUUCAUAUUCUAAGUGAAAGCGCCGGGCACUAUUAACUUGGUUAUAAACUUUUUGUAAAUAAUCCCACAUGGCCUUACCUGUCUUGUAAGGCCUGAGAUUAGAAAUAAUAAGAGGGUCAAUUGACCCUAAAAGCCAUGUCAUCACUCGAGCAUCUUUAAUCUUCCAUUCACUUAACUUUGUAGGAUCAGUAGGAGCAGGAUUGGCUCUAUCUAUAUGGCCCUAUAGUUCUUUUCCGGUGACAAAUAACUGAAACUGAAAUUCCCAUGACAAAAAUUUCUUUCUAGUGAAACGAACACUGAAUGAUUCAAACUGAUAUGAACUCAUAAUUAUGUAAACUAGAAAUACUAACUCAAAAAGAACAACCAAAAUGACCAAGAUCAAAUUCCUAGGUGUUAAUUGUCGAGGAACAAUCAACAAAAACCAAAAUUUUCAAAAUAAAUUUUGAAAGAAACCACAAAUGAACUCUAAGAAAAAAGACAGCCAAGAGAAGGCUUUGAUACCAUGUCAAUUUCCUGCUGAAUACCUCACAAUAUUGAGAGUCUUGUCAUUAAAUAGAAAAUAUUCAAUGAUUACAUCCCUAAAGAUCCGUCUUCCUAUCCCUAUGGAACAACUUUUCUAUCCCUCUAAAUCCACUAUUCUAUCCCACCAAAUUGCUCUUACUAAAGUCACUAUUAUUCUCUUUAACUACUAAUUAAAAUUUAUGUAAUUACACCAAUAUACAACAAUAUAUGAUUACAUUAAUAUACAAUAUUUACAUCAUACUAACAACUAUGCCAACUAAAUAGGCACCACUAAUAAUAUUUGAAUCAAAAAGUGAUAAUAUUGAAGGUAAAUAAUGCCCGCCAGCAACCAGCCCUCUCCGGUGGCUGGUCUACAUCUAUCUAAUACUGAGUUCCCACCAUUGCCCUCUAAUUUCAAUAGUAAUACUGGCCUAAUAACUCAAACCCUAGUUUGCACAAAAAGGUAUCAUUUGCAGAUUCUCUUAACCAAACGGAUCAACACACUUAUAAAAGUCUCUGUAAAGACUUUACCAUGGUUGGAGGUACCCCUCAGAUCAGAUAGAUGGAGGAAUAAGUCAAUAGAAUGAACCAAAUUCAAGAUCUUCAAUUUGCAGUCAUUGGUAAAUUUACAUAUGAAUAGAGUGAUUUAGAUGAAUUAAGGAGGCUUAUUCCUCAACAAUGUGAUGUUAAAGGCGGAUAUCAGAUUGGAUUGUUUCGGGGUAAAAAUAUUCUUAUUCACCUAAAAAAGCAGGAUGAUUUUAUUAAUCUUGUUUCGAAAGGAGCAUAUUACAUCAAUUGCAAAGACGGGUAUUCUUACCUAAUGCGUACAUUGAUAUAUGAUACUAGGUUUAAGGUUAAUGAGGAAACAUCGAUGUCCAUGGCAUGGAUCUUUUUUCCUAACCUUUUGCCUACCUUUUUGUGAAAGAAUGUUUAUUCUCUUUAGCUGCAGCUAUGGGCAAACCUUUACAACUAGAUCAGGCUACAAUUAAUAAGUCUAGACCUAGUUGUGCUCGUGUAAAGGUGCUAAUAGAUCUAAAGAAAGAUUUUCCUAAGGCAAUACAGAUGAACAUUGUGAAUGAAGCUACUGGGAGGUAAGAGCUAACAUGGUUUCUAUCAAAUACGACGAUGUCCCCAAGUAUUGUUGGGAAUGUAAGAUGCAGGGAACAGUAUGGAAGAGUAUCGAAUGAGUAAGGUAUCAAAGCAUAAGGAAGAAAAUAAAGCACAACAAUACAAUAAUGAACAUGGUGGUGAGAAAAGGUCAUAGGAAACUAUUCUUCCUUAUCUCCCACAAGUGCAUAAAUUUCAAAAAGGAAAGGCUAGAAUUCUCUCUAGCGGUAGAGUAGUUGGAGACCCUAGUCAAUGGAAUGUGGUAAAUGAUAAACGACAUAUUAACAAUCACACCACCAUACCAAUUAAGAAUAAGUUUGAUGGCCUUGUCCAAGAGGAGGAUGAUAAUGCAAGAGAUCACAUACAACAGGUGAUAAUUCCAAGGAUUUAAAUGCUACAAAAUGGAGUGAAGGGGAGAGGAUAUCAAUAAAAGAUUGGGUCGUAAAGUCAUUUGGACAGAUUCUACAACCUGAAACAUUAUUUGCAGGAGCACUUGAACAACAAAAAAGGGAAGAAACAUCAUCUGCAACAACUCUUGAACAACAUAACAGGGUAGAAACAUCAUCUGGAGCAACUUCUGAAGAACACAAAAGGGUAGAAACAUCAUAUGCAUCAGUUGUUAAACAACACAAAAUGGUAGAAGAUCAUCAAGUGGAGGAAACAGAAAAAAAGCUCAUGAACAUAAGGAUUGCGGAUACUGGUAAAGGUGAUAAAUCAUUAGUACCUUAUAGUCAACAUAGUGAACAUGAUAGACAAGAUGAGACCAGUACAAAAAUUCAAGAGUAUUCUGAUAUUAACAAUAAUAGUGAUGAUCAAAUGGUAGAAAGUAAUAAGAGGGCAGUAGUUUUAUUUUCUACAGAUGAGUCCCAAAUAGUGAUCUUGCAAAAAAAGUCCUCGAAUAAAGUUUUGCAUGAUAUCAUAUCUCAUAAUGUGGAUGAAAAAGAAUUGUUUGAAAUCGAAGUACCUGAGCAGGUAGAGGCUCUCAUGGAAGGAGAAGACACUAAAAAUGCAUUACUACACAUUACCAAAGAUGUUGAUUUAUCUCCAAAGGUCAUGAAAGCUGCUAGAAAAGGUAAAAAAACAAGUAGAUAAUGGAAGUGCUCAAAUUGUCAGAGUCCUGCCAAAAAGAAGUAGAUCAAUCUAUAAAAUAUGAAGUUAUUCAUUUGGAAUAUAAGAUCAGUGAAGUCACAACAAGCUUUUCAGAGGGUUCAAAUGCUACAUAAUUAUCACAAGUUUUCUUUUAUUGCUCUAAUGGAACCUUUUCAAGAUAGUAAAUUUAUCAACAAAUACAGAAGAAGAUUGCGCAUGCCAAUAGCUACUUCUAACUGUAAUGGAAAAAUAUGGGUCUUUAUAAACCAUGAUUUUGAUAUUAUAGUUAUUAGUAAUACAGAACAAUAGCUUAUUAUAAAGCUGAAACAUCAGAUUAUGCAUCAUAGUUUUUACGUCACUAUUGAUUAUGUUAAGUGCAGUACAGAUCAAAGAUUAGUUUUGUGGAAUAAUAUUUAUCAGGUGGAAAAUAAAAUGAUGGCCCUUGGUUAGUUGUGGGUGACUUUAAUGUGGUAAUGAAUGCAGAAGAGAAAAUAAGAGCUCUGUCUGUGGUAGAUACUGAUCAUGAAGACUUUGAAUGUUAUAUCUCAUCUUGUGACUUAAUAGAAGUUCCUUUCAAAGAGAGCCCCUUCACAUGGUGGAAUGGUAGAGCUGAUAAUGAUUGUAUUUUUGAGAGGUUGGACAGAUUUUUAUUAAUCAAGAGAUGCAGAACUGGUUCAAUAAUACUGAAGUUGAACAUUUACCAAGAACUGGAUCAGACCAUGCUCCAAUGUUGCUUACUUGUGAAGAAAAUGAUUCCAGGAAACCAUUCAGGUUCCUACAAUUUUGGACAGAGCAUAAAGACUUUAAGGAGAUUGUUAGACAUAAUUGGGUUACCAAUGAGUUUGGAAAUCCUUUUCUAGCUUUUAAGGAAAACAUCAAGAGGGUUAAGAAUGCUUUGACCAAAUAGAGCAAGGACACUUAUGGGGAUAUUUUUAAGAAAUUGAUCAUUAGAGAAGACAUUGUUAGAAUCAAAGAGAAUCUCUUUGAAGAAGUGCGAAAUACUAUCAGAGUUAUGUUGCAAAAGGUUCAAUCUGAAUUUAAAAGAUAUCUUCACUUUGAAGAGAUUUUUUGGCAACAAAAAGAUGGGUAUGAUUGUUUGAAAAUAGGGAUAGAAAUACAAGAUUCUUCCACAGCAUAGUAAAGGGAAUAAGGAAUAGACUUUAUCUAAAGAGAAUACAAAAUAGUUAGGGGACCUGGUUGGAAGAGAAAGGACAGAUAGCUACAUAAGCCAUUGAUUUUUACCAUACACAGUUCUCUCAAGAGAAAGAUUCCACUGAUUUUUCAUUAUUGAAGCACAUCCCUGAAUCUGUGACUCUUGAAGAAAACCUUUUGUUACGCAAAACCCCAUAGUUAGAGGAGGUUAAGAAGGCUGGUUUUUUCUUAAAUGGUGAUAGUGCUAGUGGACCUGAUUGUUUAAUAGGGAGAUUCUACCAGUGUUGUUGGGAUAUAGUUGGGAAUGAUAUCCUAACAAUGGUUCAUGAUUUUUUUCAAGGUAACUCUUUGCCAAAGUCUAUUACUCAUACUAAUUUGGUGCUUUUACCUAAGAAAGAAAAUGUUCAAUCUUUCUCAGAUUUAAGACCUAUUAGUUUGAGUAAUUUCAUCAAUAAAAUUCUUUCUAGAAUUAUUCAUGAUAGACUUGAGGCUUUGCUACCUAAUUUGAUCUUUUGUAAUCAAUCUGGUUUUGUAAAAGGUAGAAGCAUCAUCAAAAAUAUUUUAUUGACUCAAGAGAUUGUUAUGGAUGUCAGAAAGAGAGGUAAUCCUGCAAAUAUGAUACUUAAGUUUGACAUGACUAAAGCCUAUGACAGAGUUUCUUAGUUCUUUCUGAUGAAAGUUUUAAGAAAAAUGGGCUUCUCUCAUAUUUUUGUAGAUUUGAUUUGGAGAUUGGUAUCUAACAAUUGGUAUUCUGUGUUGAUUAAUGGGCAAGCUCAGGGUUUGUUUCAUUCAACUAGAGGUGUUAAGCAAUGAGAUCCUUUAUCUCCUACCCUUUUUAUUUUAUCGGCAGAGGUUUUAUCUAGAUCCUUGAAUGCUUUAUUUGAGGAUAUGCAGUUUGUGGGUUAUGGUCUUCCUAAGUAGAGUUCACAAUUGAAUCAUCUUGCAUAUGUAGAUGAUACUAUUAUUUUUGCUUCUGCUGACAAAUAUUCUUUGAAAAAGAUUGUGUCAACUUUACAUGAAUAUGAAGUUUAGUCUGGUCAGAAAAUUAAUAAAGAAAAGAGUUCUUUCUUUAUACAUCAGAGUGUUACUACAGAUUUAAAAAGAUUAGUGGAAGAAUGCACAGGUUUUUUCAGAGGUCAGUUUCCAUUCAAAUACCUUGGUCGUCCGAUCACUCAUGCUAGGAAAAGAAAAGAGCAUUACGUGGAGCUUAUUAGAAGGGCGAGAGACAAACUUCAUGAUUGGAAAAGUAACAUGUUGUCCUUCGGGGGAAAGGAAGUGUUAAUCACUAGUGUUUUACAAAGUACUCCAAUUCAUGUGUUAUCGGCGAUUGUUCCUCCUAAUUGUGUUUUGAAAGAGCUUCAUAGAAUUUUUGCAAAACUCUUUUGGAGUAAUAAAAUUUUAGGUAGGGGAAAGAAUGGUGCUUCUUGGGAUAAGGUUUGCUUACCUAAAAUUGAAGGUGGUUUGUGUUUUAAAUCUAUGGGUGAUAUAUCUCAAGCUAUGUUUGCCAAGCUUUGGUGGAAAUUCAGGACCCAAAAUUCAUUAUGGGCUAAUUUCAUAUGGAACAAGUACUGCAAAAAACAAAUUCCCACUCUUUUACAAUGGAAAGGUGGUUCUCAAUUAUGGAAACACAUGCUACAAAAUAGAGAGAUUGUUGAGCAGAAUUUGUGGUGGGAACCAAGAGGAGGUUCAUCUAGCAUUUGGUUUGAUAAUUGGACUAAUCAUGGUCCAUUAUAUGUUCAACCUACUGAAGUUCUAGGAUGUCAUUCUCUGACAGAUAUUGAUAUGUUCUUGACAGAAAAUGGUUGGGAUUUUGAACUCAUGCAAUAACAUUUGCCUAGUAAUACUGUUGAACAUGUUAGGAUGAAUAUGGGCAAUGUUAGAUAGACUAGAGAAAUGGAUAAACCUUGGUGGAUAAAGAAUAGUACUGGGAAGUUCACUAUCAAAUCUGUUUGGGAAAUUUUAAGAAAGAAAUCUGCUCCUAAUAAUGAUUUUAUGAUGUUGUGGGUGAAGGGGAUUCCUUUCAAAAUUUCUUUUUUUGGAUGGAGGGUAUGGACAUAUAGGGUUCCUGUGGCUACUGUCAUGGCUGCCUGGAAUCCUACCAUUUCCCAAAUGUGUUAGUGUUGUAGAAUUUCCAUCAGGGAAAUCAUAGAGCACCUAUUCUUGAUAGGAGCAGAAGCUAUUUUUAUAUGGGGUUAUUAUUCUAGAUGUGCUGGUCUCUUUGGCCCUUGGGUACAAGUUAAACAGACUAUGAAGAAAUGGUGGGUUGUUCAAGGUAAUAUUAGAUAGAAAAUAAUCUUUCAGGCACUUCCUAACAUCAUCCUAUGGUUUCUAUGGAAGAGGAGGAAUACAAUUCUUCAUAGUGGUCCAUACUCUAGAAAUAAGGUUUUAUGGGAUAUUAAUGAUUCUAUCUGAAAAUUUAUUAGGUUAAAGUUCAAUUUAUCUUUUCCUAAUAAUUGGCCCCAAAUGGUUUCUCUGUUGGAAAUUAUAGACCUAAUUUUCAUUGUAAAGUUGUUAGGUGGAUGGCUCCUCCUUUUCGUUGGUUAAAAUGUAAUACUGAUGGUGUCUCUAAAGGUAACCCAGGUCCCAGUGCUGCUGCUUUUUGUUUGAUAAAUCAUGAAGGAGAAUUUAUGGGAGCUAACGGUUUUCAGAUUGCUGAUACAACUAACCUAGUGGCUGAGGCUAGAGCUAUAAGGGAAGGGCUCCGAUACUGUUUAGAUAAUCAGCUCACCAACAUUAUCCUGCAAUCUGACUCUUUGGCUAUGGUUAACAUUAUCAAUGGAAAUUGGGAGAUUCCUUGGACUAUUUCUAUAGAGGUCAAGACUAUUAACAGGAUAAAAAAUGGCCUAUCAGUGAGAGUACAACACUCCUUAAGAGAGGGAAAUACUCUUGCUGAUUUUUUUGCUAACUUAGUUUUUAGUUCUGCAGGUACAUAUUAAUUCAGCUCAAUUCAGGAAGUCCCAAGUGCAGGGAAAAAGAUUAUUAAUCUUGACAAGACCAACACUCCAAUCUUAAGAAUCAGGAAAAUAAAUAUAUCAAGCAAUUCCAACUGAUAAGUUCAAAUCUUAAGUUUUACUGUACAUGUUUCAUUACUGAGAUAUAAGUAAGGCCACUAGUGAAUUUUUGAAUAGUUGAUUGGGAAGACUGAAGCAAUUUCUAGUGGUUAACAGUACCUGCACCUGGUGAGAGCAUUGAGGUGUUCAUUGGGUACUAAACCAGGACUUAACAACAUCAUUCAUAUUCUUCAUCGUAGCCCAAGAUUGUUUCACUCAGAUACAGUGUUUCAAGUAUAACACUGUUGGGGUGAUAAUCAAUUUUAGUAUCUUGACUUCAUAUGGUGGUAUUAAUUCCUUUGGAAUUCAAUCCAUAGAAGGAAAGGUAAUGAAAUCAAAAAUUACUUCGAAAGGUGUUAGAUGUACCUGAGCUCCUAAGUUGAUGUGAUUCAUUUCAACUUCUAGAUAUAAGUUAGAGAUCCUAAUCUUGACUUCAUGCACCAGUAGAGAAAUUGAGUUAAAGUCAAGAAACGAGCUAAUAUGGGGGGUUCCAACUACUUGAGAAAUUGAAGAUGAUUUACCUUUUCAUUGAUUAUUUGAGGCGCAUCAUUCAUCUAGAUUAUGAAUAACGUGGGAGUAAUCUUAUAGCAAACAAUCAGAACCCAUUCCUUUUUCAGUAGAAUUUUGACCCAGAUUAUGAAGUUGAAGCUUCUACAGAGGCUUUACAUGUUCCACUUUCCUAAAUGUUUAUUUAAUUCUUUUGUUUCAUUUAAGCUUUGUUCUAGGACCGGGUCAACAGCUUUGGGCUGACUUUUAUUAUAUCUUUUCAUUAAUAAAUGUGGUCCAUUUGGGCUUUUUGAUUAAAAAGAAUGAAUCAAUAUUCAAUAUUCCUUCUUUAUUCAAAAUUACAAACUCCAUGUUUCUGCCAGAAAUUAUCAGUGCUUGGCUUGUACUACAGAACUUAAUCUCUAUAUCACCUUUUGUUGCGUGAUCAUGAAUGAAAUGAUAACGGAUAUCGAUGUGCUUUAUUCUUCUAUGAAGAAGAAGAUGAAGACGAAGAAGAAGAAGAGCUGCUGAAAAAGGAAAACAAGUGUCUGAACAAGGAAAACUAGAAUACUACGUUGACUAUGAUGCUGAUCAUCUGGAUGUCGUGAUUUUAAGAUCAAUCUUGGAUUUCAACUGGUGCUAUGGGGAUUUUCCAUAUCCAUCCUAACUUAAUCUCAUCUAUCAGAUCAUGAAUGCAAUCCUCGAUUUGCAAAUCACCAUAGAGGAAUUAAGGUAAAAGAUUUACUUGCAUAUAAGGAAAAUCUCAAUAAAGUUAGGGAACUGGAAGGCGAUAACCCCAAGAUGGACCGACCUAUUCAUCAGGAUUUUUUCGAGUUGUGUAUGCGAUUAUGGGGUAAUUAGCCGGAAGAUGAUGGUGAUGACUGGAGAUGGAGAUAUAUAGCUUGAAAUACUAAUUUUCAGACUCACUGCAGUAUAAAGUUUACAGCAGCAUUAGGAUUUUCUGGCUAAAAGUUCUUCUACGCAUUAGCAGGUUGAUUUUGUGAGUGAAUCUGAUGUAUGGGCUAUUCUUGUUAACCUGUUUAACAUAUCUUGUUAAGUAUUCACUUUGAUGAUGCCAAAAGAGGGAAGAAUUAGGUGUAGCUGUGUUGUGAUAGUGUGUGUGUGGUGUAGCAGUGGCUGUUAGUAUGAGGUGCAGUGUGUAAUGUGGCUGUGUAUUUUGUUAAUAUGUGGUAUGAAGAGGGAACAGGCUAGUGAAUGAAGAUAGGGUCCUCACACUCAGGGGAACCUUAGGUACAACAGGUGGAGAUAAAUGCUUGAGGGCAUGUGUUAUAAGUCCUUAGUUUUAAUGAUUGAUAAAUUGCAUGUUGGGACCUGAUUCUUGAAGACUGUACAACAACAACAACAACAACAACAACAACAAACCCAGUGUAUUCCCACCUAGUGGGGUCUGGGGGGGGGGGUAAGAUAUACGCAGUCCAUACCUCUACCUCUGAUGAAGUAGAAAGGCUAUUUCCGAUAGACCCCCGGCUCAAGGUACGAGAUACCACACAAACACAUAGUAAAACACAGAAGCAGGUUACAUAACAUAAAUACGGCACCCAUAAGUAUGAUGAAAAAAUUGCAGAUUACUUGGGGAACAGGUUGCGGUGACACAUCACUGUCACAGUUAACCUCACAGUUGGACGAAAGUACAAAAAGUUGGUGGAAAGCUGCUGCAACCUUUUUUUCUCAGUCAAUGGGAUUCUUCCUAGGUUUUCUUGUGUCAUACAUAUAUUUCUCAUUUUCCACAACAAUAAAUCCAAGCUUCUAUAUACUUACAACAUAUUUCUCUCUUAAAGCUCUUGGAUCAAAGACUCACUUUUGUAACAGGGAACUGAUAGCUCAUAAAGUUGUAAUUUACUUUCUUGUUAUAUUUGAGUCUUUGUAUUGUGAUCUUAAAUGUCACCUACUGCUUCUUGCAUGAUUAUUAGUAGGCAUUGUGGUGUAAAUCUCAUUUCACUAUAAUCAUCUAGAGUUAGGUUAUUUUCAAGAUAGAGUUAGCUUGGAUGGUGUGUGGUGCAGCAGAGUUACUGUGAGAUUCUCCUUGUAAUACAGUUAUUACUAGGAGAAGAAGGAUUAGGAGUUUAAUCCUUGAAAUUUGGAGUCUGUGUUCAAGUUUGCUUAGAUAUAGUAGAGCUUUAGAAAUUCUAGAGGAAAGUCCUGUUUUUUCUUCCUUGAGCAAGGAGUUUCCACGUAAAAUUGUUGUACCUGCCAUUUACUUUCUCCACUCACUUUAUUAUUAAGCUUUCUCCAAGUUCUUGCUCGUUGAGUCUGUUUGGGAUCAGGUCCCAAAGUUGAGGAGCAACCCACUACAACUCUUCAUACCUUUUCUUCCAUUUAUAGAAAAAAAAGAUGGAGUAUCGUUAGUUAGUAUGUCAAUUUGAAAACAAAGAGCACGAUGCAGUCUAUGAGAAUGUGAGAAACUGGAGCUUCUGAUCCAUUUAUUCUGAUAUGCAAUCCAUGGUUGGUAUAUAUUACAUGUAUAAUAUGUUACAAAACCUUUAAAAUAGAUAAUCAGAUCAUCAUGGUGUGGUUUGCCUGUAUUUUCUGUUUGACUAUAGUUUUCAGUUCACCUGAAAUUUGUGUAAUAUUGGAUCACAGAUCAUGAAAGGUUAUUUCGAUAUGAAUUCUGAAAAUUUUUCACUUUCCGCUUUAGUUUGAUAUCUUCUCUUUAACUUAAUUACAGAAUCAGAGAUGCUAAUUCUUCUGAUGAAGGCAAAAAAAAUAGAUAGAUAUGCAGUGUAUUUUGAAAUGUACAAGAAGAUAGUACUAGCUAUCAUAUUGAUGAAACUCUUAAGCCCUAGAAAUGAUGAGCAACACCACCUAAUGAUAGAUGUAGCAUAUAAUCUAUGAGUCUAACUGUACUCGAUAUAUAUUUGAAAAAUCCUCGGAGAUGAAUUAACGAGGAUUUGAAGAUGAAGUUUGUCUAAUGUGCUAUGCACUAUGCCUCUGGUAUAGAUGAAAUGAUUAUCAUAUCCAAAUUAUAAAGCUAUGACACAAUCAAAUCCGAGCAAAUAAAAUAUUGAAUUGGAUCGAACCAAUUUCUGCCGGAAGUUACCAGAAGUAGUCUGCUGAGCACUUUUCAGUUCAAGAUUAAUGGGAUCAGAAAACAUACAUGGACUAUAUAUUUUUCUUCAACAACUUAGUAAUAUGUUCGAUAACGAACUUUUAACUCGGUGUCUAGUCUAUAUUAGAAUUGUUACACCCUUGAAGUUUUGAUGAUCCGCAAACUAUUCCACAAGGGACCUGCUAGAUGACAUACUACGUGUCCAUGGGACUUGGUCUCGUUCACAGUGCUCCUUGACAUACAUUGUUUGGCUACAGCUGGAAGUUAUACUUUCUUAUAAAAAGUUGGUGGCGCGGCAGUAGAGGAGCUGAACCUUGACCAAUAGCAAGAUGCCUAGGUUUUGUUGCUCACAACCAAUAACAAGGAUCAUUUACUCACAACAAUACCUUGUUUUUGCUUGCAAAAAGUUGAACUUUUAAGAAAUAAAAGCCACUCAUGAAUACAGCUCAUUCAGGGGACCUGAUAACUCAUUCAUCUUAAGUCUAGUGUGUGUGUUGUAUUACUGAUUCAAUUGAUCUUAUAUUAUAAAUCUACUCAUGAUUACAAAGGAUAGUAGAUGUGUCACUUGUCUAAGUCUUAGUUCAAGUUGAAGCAACUAGAGUUGGUUGUUCGAGUUGUUUGUAAGUUGGUUAAGUAUUUGUUCCUCUCAUUCACAAUUUGUGUCCCUGGUAGAGUUACCUAAGAUGUGUGAGUAGAUUUAGUCAGUUGUAAGUAUGUUAGGCUUACCACACUUUUCUUGUGAUAGAGCUAUUACAAGAGUUAGUUGGAAAUACUGAUGGCAGGUCGUGGUUUUUAGUUCCCUUGAGCAAGGAAGCUUCCAUGUAAAAACUUUUGUGUUCUUUACUUCUAAUGCAUUGUCUCUUCUUUAUUUAUUUUGCACUGCAUUCAUAGAUCAGGGACCAGGUCCUGUUGUGUUAGGUGGACUCAUAUUGUUGAAGUAUGAAGAAAAGAGUGGAGAAGGAUCUAGAAGAAGCAAUAAUAGACUAGUUGUUUUUCUAUUAUAACUAUUUUUAGUUAGUCACACUAGUGCUAAUGGCUAGUUAGUUAGUUAGGUAGCCUAAUCUCUAGCCAAUAAAUGUAUAUGACUAUACACAUUGAAGAACAAUGAAUACAAGCAGUUACUCUUCUCUCUCAUUUUCUUGCUCUUUCAGUUCUCUUCCUUCCUCUCUUCUACAAAUGCUAUCAAAAUCUGUACUUCCUCUAUUGUUGAAUAAACAAGAAGCUUACUGAUAUCUUGUAUAAUUACAUGGUAUCAAAGCCAUUAAUCACUAGAAAACUAGUAGAUCAAGGUCGAUUCUAGUGCAUUGAAUCAAGAUCAAUAAGUCUUGAAUUAAGGUUUACAAAUCUGCAAUAAUGGUGAAUCCAAAUGCGGAUGUUGAUGGUGCUGAAGCAUCUAGAGUUACUCCCAGUUCAUUGGCCUACAAUCAUCCUCUCUUUCUCAGCCCUUCUGAUGUAAGUGGCAUACAAAUCAUCUCUUUUCAAUUAAUAGGAGUUGAGAACUUCUCAAUCUGGUUUAGAUCCAUACGUAUAGAUUUAUUAGGGAGAAAUAAGUUGGGCAUGGUAGAUGGAACAUGUUCUAAAGAUAAGUACUAAAAUGAGUUGAGUAGUCACUGGGAAAGAAUCUAUGCAAUUGUACUUUCUUGAAUCAUGAAUUCAGUUUCUAAAGAGUUACUUGGUGGAAUCAUGUAUACAUCUUUGGCUAGUGUAGUUUGGAAUGAGCUAUCUGAAAGAUUUAACAAAGUUGAUGGGGGAAAGAACCUUUAAUCUGCACAAAAAAAUAUCCACAUUGUCUCAAGUAACUGCUUCAGUGUCUGUGUAUUUCUCAAAACUAAAGGAUUUACGGGAAGAGUUUGAGGCUUUUGUGCCUGCACCAGGGUGUGAAUGUGAGAAAUCAAAAGAAUAUGUACUGCAUCUGCAGAAACUGAAACUGUUUUAGUUUCUUAUAGGUCUGAAUGAGACCUACACACAAGCAAGGAGUCAAAUCUUGCUUAUGACUCCUUUCCCAAAUAUGAACCAAGCUUAGGCAAUGAUCAUAAGUGAUGAAAGUCACAAAUCUGUUGCAAGUCAGGAUGGAAUCUUGGGAAUGAAUCUUGCAGUUAAUGCCAAGAACCUUGAGAUAGACAUGUAUGCAAGAAAUGGUUUAGGUGGAAAUAACAAUCAGAAGUUCAAGAAAAAAUUCAAUCUACAAUGUAAUUUCUGCAAACUGAAGGGGCACAAACUGCUGGAAGUUGGUUGGAUAUCCUCAAGAUUACAAAGAUAAGAAGAAGUUCAAACAUGAAGGAACCAACUCAGCUUGCAAUAUGUCUGUGGGUCUUCAUGAGUGUGCAAUGGAUCAAAAUGGUUAUGAUCUGUGUGCAGGUCAGUACUCUCAUUCUAAGUCUAUGUAGAAUUGGGCUACUAAAGAUGCAGGGCAGGCUCCAGUAUAUGACAACUCUAUAGGUUCUUACAAAUGUCUCAUCUUAAGGGGUUCCUAACUCAAUCAAAUAGCAAGAGCAGCUGCAACCAAGUGUGCCUAUUAUAAGACAACCCAUAACCAAAGUGCAUCAAAGGAGAUCAAAUAGAGGUCAAGGAGUUUUUCAGAAAAACCAACAACUGUAGAGUGUUUCUACUACAACAGAAGUUGUAGUUCAACCUUGUUCAUCUUAGGAUCAAAGGAAGUCCACUAGAGAAAGAAAAUCACGAGCAUGGAUGAAUGAUUUUGUUUCCAAAAACACAAGGAAGGUACCUCAUGCUCUUGCUAAUCAUGUAUCAUAUAACAAACUGUCCCAUCCCUAUAAUAACAAUGUGCUGAAAACAUCAUGUGUGGCUGAACCUACAAGUUACUCUGAGGCCUGUAAAGAUCCAAGAUAGGUGGAAAUAAUGAAGACUUAAAUAAAUGCCUUGAAUUCCAAUCACUCUUGGGAAAUUGUUCCUUUGCCUAGAGGAAAGAAAGUUAUUAGUUGCAGGUGGAUUUAUAAAGUGAAAUACAAAGCUUCAAGAGAAGUUAAGAGGUUUAAAUCUAGACUGGUAGCAAAGGGAUAUGAACAAAGAGAGGGGAUUGAUUAUAAAGAAACAUUCUCACCUAUUGUGAAGAUGAAGACAGUGAGAACUGUUCUUGCUGCCGCAGCUAAAAAACACUGGCGUGUUCAACAAAUGGAUGUCUACAAUGCAUUCCUAAAUGGAGAUCUAGAUGAUGAAGUAUACAUGGAUCUACCUCAGUGAUACGAAACAAACAAGGAAACACGAAAUCACACCCCAAAACAGUCCAAAAAUUACAACAAAUCAUGGACCAAAUAGGGACCUCUCUUGGAUUCACUAUCUAGAACAAGAAAGAAGAGGAUACAAGGUGUUAAUACACCAAAACAGCUAGCCAAAAACAAGUUUAGCAACACAAUAUAAAGCUGCACAAUAUUACAAUAGCAACAAGAACAAACGGGUUACAUUAACAGAGCAAGAAGCCGAAACACAAACAAGAUACAAGAUAGAUAGUUAGACAAGUUUUGAUGUAUUCUUAACAACCCAAGAGCAUAUUCCACUCUUGGACCUUUAACACUUCACACAAAAAACACCUAACACUUACAAUUGACAAAAGAGAGGCGUCCACCACCCAAGCACCAACGUAUCAAGCAAAAUGCAACACAAAAGAGAAUCCACCCUUAUGCUAUGCCCUAGUUUCGGUUAUGGACUCUCUCUCUCUAAGAAGAGUGUUCUUUCUUCAACAUUCAUAAAAACUACCAACUAAAACCCUACAAUGUUAAAUUUAUAUUACAUUACAAAAUAAAAGACAAAAGACUAAAAGACCUUUUAAUGAAAAGGGCUCCAAAAAUAGCCCAUGGAGUGUGCUUGGGACGGUUUUGGGCCUCCUUCACACUUAGACUUGUGCACUCUUUAGGUGGUCUUCAAAUUACUCAAAAAGUGUACAUGAUCAUGAUCAUACUUGUAUUACUUAUAGAUUGUCUAGUCAGGGGGAGCAUACAGUGUGUAGACUACUCAAAUUCCUUUAUUGUCUCAAAUAAGCACCAAGACAAUGGAACACCAAGCUAUCAGAGGUUUUGAUAAGGUCUUAGUUUAUUCAGAGCAAAUAUGAUCCAUCCUUGUAUAUCAAAAAGACAAAAGAAGGAAUCAUUCUUGUGCUAGUGUAUGUUGAUGACAUGUUGAUGACUGGAGAUAGUCUAAAGCUAAUAGAAAAGACCAAGACAACGUUGCAUCAAAACUUCAAGAUGAAGAAUUUAGGUGAGCUAAGAUAUUUCCUUGGAAUAGAGUUUGGAAGGUCUGAUAAAAGGAUAUUGAUGCAUCAAAUAAAAUAUGUAUUGGAGUUACUACGUGAACUAGGCUUGACAGCAGCCAAGUCUGCAGCUGCUCCUAUGGACUACAACACCAACCUGACAUCUAGAGAGUUUAAUGAGAAUGUCAAGCAAAACCAGUCUGCUGAUGAUCCACCAGCAAACCAAGAAGCUUAUCAAAAGUUGAUUGGAAAAUUGUUGUACUUAACUAUGACAAGGCCAGAUAUAGCCUUUUGUGUUCAAACUCUAAGUCAAUUCCUUCUGUUAGGGUUUUUGCACUGAUUUUGUUACUAAAAUUAAAUUUUACUUUUUCUUGGAGGAAAAUAAAAGUUACCAUAAUUACUUUUAUUUUUUCUAAAAGGAAAAUAUAAAACUUUUCCAUAUUUGACAAACCUCUUUCAUGGAGGAAAGAUUUGGACAUCUAUAAAUAGAAGACCUCCCUUUUCAUAGCAAUAACACAAUAGCAUCCACAAUGUAGUACUUAAAAGAGUCUUGUUUAGGGGAAACUUCUCCAUUGUUUUUAUGUUUUUUAAUAAUAUUAGUUUUUAAUAUGUAGUCCAAUUGGCCAAACUAUAUUCAAUAAUAUAUUUUUAGUAUAUUUUUAUUUGUCAUCUGAAUUAUCACCGUCUUGGUUUGCAAACUUUAAGUUUACAUGACGCCCUCUCGAUUUCGAACCCAACAAGUGGUAUCAGAGCCCACAGUUCAAUUAAUCGAUGGUCCAAUUGUUGAACAAAGUUGCAAUCAAUUUGAUGAUAAUGAAGAUAUAUGUCCAAAUGCUACAUGUGGAGAGCAAGUUUCAACCAUAUUUUCAACACUCCUACUGCUGCAUCUUUAAAAAUAAAAAUAAAAAUAAAAAAUUACUUUUAAACCAAUUUUUAACCAUGAUAUUUUAAACCUUAUUUUUAACCAUGGCAAGCAGCAGUUAUGAAGAUUAUAUCAAGAACAAAAUUCAUGCAUGUGAUGUGAAAAAGGCGGAUCAAGUGAAGAAAAUCAAGCCAAAAAAGGGGAGAUUUGUUAGGGUCUUUGCCCUGAUUUUCUUACUAAAAUUAAGUUUUACUUUUUCUUGAAGGAAAAUAAAAGUUACCAUAAUUACUUUUAUUUUUUCUUAAAGAAAAAUAUAAAACUUUUCCAUAUUUGGCAAACCUCUUCCUUGAAGGAAAGAUUUUGGACAUAUAUAAAUAGAAAACCUCCCUUCUCAUACCAAUAACACAAUAGCAUCCACAAUGUAGUCCUUAAAAGAGUCUUGUUUAGGGGAGACUUCCCUAUUGUUUUCAUGUUUUUUAAUAAUAUUAGUUUUUAAUAUGUAGGCUAAUUGGACAAACUAUAUUCAAUAAUAUAUUUUUAGUAUAUUUUUAUUUGUCAUAUGAAUUAUCACCAUCUUGGUUUGCAAACUUUAAGCUUCCAUAUGACGCUCUCUCGAUUUCGAACCCAACACCUUCAAGAUCCUAAGAAGUCUCACAUGGAAGCAACACUUAUGGUUGUGAAGUAUGUUAAAAACCAUCCAAGUCAAGGUGUGCUACUGUCUAGUAAUGCAGAUGACAGAGUAAGUGCCUAUUGUGAUGCAGACUGGGCAUCAUGUCCUCAGACUAGAAGGUCUAUAACAGGCUACUUUGUGAAGGUUGGAGAAUCAUUAGUUUCCUAGAAAUCAAAGAAGCAAACUAAUGUCUCCAAGAGUUCAGCAGAAGCAGUGUUUAGAAGUCUUGCAGCAGUCACAACAGAGUUGGUUUGGAUCCUAGGCUUGAUGAAAGAAAUUGGGAAUGAAGUAGUUCUACCAGUAGAUGUGUUCAGUGAUAUCAAAUCUGCUCUGCAAAUAGCAGCAAAUUCAAUAUACCAUGAGAUAACAAAGAAUAUUGACAUUGACUCCUUCUUUAUAGGGAAAAACUUGUGAAAGAAAUGAUUAGAACUCACUAAAUUGCAACCCAAGAUCAACCUGUAGACAUGCUAACUAAGGGAAUGACAAGAGCACAACAAGUUCAUCUCAAUGCCAAGCUAGGGAUCAGUGACAUCUUCACACCUUCCUAGCUUUAGGGGGAGUGUUGAAGUAUGAAGAAAAGAGUAGAGAAGGAUCUAGAAGAAGCAAUAAUAGACUAGUUGCUUUUCUGUUAUAACUAUUUUUAGUUAGUUACACUAGUGCUAACGGCUAGUUAGUUAGUUAGUUAUCCUAAUCUCUAGUCUACAAAUGUAUAUGACUAUACACAUUGAAGAACAAUGAAUACAAGCAGUUACUCUUCACUCUCAUCUUCUUCCUCUCUCAGUUCUCUUCCUUCCUCUCUUAUACAAACACUAUCCAACUCUGUACUUCCUCCAUUGUUGAAUAAACAAGAAGCUUACUGCUAUCUUGUAUAAUUACACAUAUACUCCAUCAAGAAUGUACGCUAUGCUUGAGGACAUUCCUAUAUGUUGUAGCUUUUCCAUAAAAGCCAAGUUUUACCUUCCAUAAAUCACGACAGAUCAGUACAGGCCUUACUCGAAAGGUCAUUUAAUGUCUGGUCAACAAACUAAUCUAGUGUGAACACUAUACAUAGAAUUCUGGACAGUAAUUUACAGUGAGAUUUAGUACAAUUACUAUUUUACUGAUUUAAGAGAAAUGAAUUGGCUAUAAAUAUAGCAAGAGAAAGAACCAUCUCCGCGUACUCAGAAAAAAUUCUUCUUUCUUUCUUGCUUUCUUUCUUUCCUUCUUUCUUUCUUUCUUUUUUAUUUCUUUAUCAGCUCCAACAUUUUCACAAAGAAUUACCAUGCCUAAAAUGCUAACUGAACUUGCAAAAGUAACAGGAAAAAGAAAGCUCCCAGCAUCUGAAAUGUAUCAAUCGAAGCGUGUGUUUGCGAAAAUUGAAGAAAAAGGAAAGCAUCUGAUGUAUGAAUCAUAUGAAUUGAAGCCAAUUAAUGUGCCUACAUUUUCCAAUCUUGAAAGAGGAGGAACAUCUGAAAGUAAACUGGAAAAAGAGGACGAUUAGGAUUAUGAUCAUGACUUAUCAAUCUUGAAGGCUAUCUAUCACUACUAUUUCAAUCGUUGGGUAAUUCCACAUCCUCCUUAUUCAAAGAACUUCAUCGACUACAUCGAGGCUUCAGUUCCCAACGUGAAAUUUCGUGGUCAGGCAUUGGCGAAAAAGAUUGUUAUGUUAGAGCACCAUUUCUUAAAGGUUAUGAAAAUGGCUGCACAUGUAGGAUAUUACCCCAAAAUAAUCCACCCUAUUUGCCGCGAAAUUUUCAACUUGUCUUUGGGUUUAUGGGUAUACUUUCGGAGACUAUUAUCCAGUUGGCGAAGAUCAAGAUGAAACUGGAGUUGUUGAUGCAUUCAUGAUUUACAAGGUCGAUGUCUUCAUUGUGGCAUUUUAAAUUAUUUCUGGGAGCAUUAGUUUAAAGUUUUUAAUUUUAUUUCACUAAACUGAAUCUAGCUGUUUGUGUGAAUUAUUAAUUUGGAUAUUGGUUUGCUCAAAAUUUUCAGUUCCGCUCAAAGUUUGAUUUGAUAUAAAAUGUUUCCUUUUCCAAGUUUGAUAUCUUGUCUUCAACUUAUAGAAUCAGAUAUGUUAAUUGUUCCUCUCUUCUUUCGAGGAAGGAAAAGAAUAAUGAUGAAAUGACAUAAUUUAACAUAGAAAGUUAGCAAAGUCAAGUGAACGUCAUCAUUUGUCCAAAUGGGGGAAUCAGUAGCUACGGUUAACUUGAUUAUAUCGCUAGAUUAAGUGAAGUGUUAUACUGAAUCUCUCAUCUCACUUAUUUAUGUAAAUUUCUUAUUAGAUUAUGGUGAAUUAAUUAAGGAUGAAAUUAAAUUGAAUGAACAAUUAUGAUUAGAUUAUGGUGAAUUAAUUAAGGAUGGAAUCAAGUUGAAUGAGCAAUUACAUAGGUUAUAAAUGCUAAGCGGUUCUUUUUGUUGUUUCGGGUACACAAUCUGUAUGUUACUUCGCAUAAACUUCAACUAAGUUCAAGAACAAACUAAUUUCCAAACUAAUAAUCCAUGUAAGUGUAGCAACUAGGUUCAGCUUAGUGAAAUAAUAUUGAGAAAUUUAAACUAUUGCUCCAAGAAAUUAUUUAAAAUGCUGCUAGGAAGAUUUCAACCUUGAAAUCAAAGAAUGGAUUAACAACUCUAAUUUCCAAUUUCAUCUUCCUGUUCAUCAACUAAUAAUAAUCUCCGAAAUUAAUCCCAUAAAGCCAUACACAAGAAGAAGAUCUGCUGAGAAAUAGGGUAGAUUAUCUCUGGGUAAUAUCCUGUACGUGCUUCCAUAUUCAUAACAGUUAAGAAAUGUUGCUCUAAUGUAAUGAUCUUAGUUGCCAAUGCUUGGCCACGACAUUUCAAGUUGGGAACUGAAGUUUCGAUGUAAUCAAUAAAUUUCUCUGAAUAAGGAGGAUAUGGAACUACCCCAUGAUUAGAGUGUUAAUGAUAGACUUCAAGAUUGCUAAAUCUUGAUUAUAGUCAUAGUCAUCUUUUUUUUUCAAUUCAUUUUCUGAUGUUCCUCCUGGUUCAAUACGUAAACAGGACUUUUAACUUGAUACUUAAUUAUAACUAUGACCUUUUUUAAUCAAUCCAAGAGGAAUCGAUUUAGCAGUCUAUACAAAAUCUGAACAAAAAAACACUCCAAUCCUACCUGAAAAAAUUCGAGUAUACAUUCAAAACCAUGCGCGUCAGAGUUAAAAUUGAAGUGUUUUUUUUGUUCAACUUUUAUAUAGUUAAAAGGCCUACUUGUGUACUGGCAAAGUUAAAGGUCAUAGUUAUAAUGCGUAUUUUUUAUUAGGUGGCGGCAUCUAAGUAGAUCAGUAAUCCACGUUGGAGCGAUUGAGUUUCACGCAUGUAAGUUGCAGAAUUGGAGUAUUUUUUUUGUUCAACUUUUACAUAGUUAAAGGGUUUAUUUGUGCACUGACAAAAUUAAAGGACAUAGUUAUAAUUUGGUGUCAAGUUAAAAAUCCUGUUUAUGUAUUAUGCCUAACUAAAAUACUGUACUUCACUUCAGAUUAUUAUUCUACAAUGUCAAUUAAUGAAUGGAUUAUGGAGAAGUAAUUAAGGAUGUAAACAGUGAAUUUGAAAUAACUUCAGCGUAAUCAAAAUUAGUCUUACAAGGAGAAAUGGUCAACAAUGAUAUAAAGUCAUUCCUAUCUUAAUACUCGCUCCAUUUCAAAAUAGUUGUCAUGUUUCAUUUUUUGAAAGUCAAGUUGACUAAUUUUCAAAAGAUAAGGCACAAAUAACCCUUUCCCUCUCCCCUAAAAAACACUAUAUUUAAAAUCUUAGCGACACACCUAAACUUUACGGGGGGUUCCUAUUACUCCCUAAACUCAUUUAAUUGUACUUUUGUACUCUCUUUGUUCUCACGAGCUGUCAAGUCAAAAACAAAAUGAACAUAAAAUAUUUUGCUACUUGGCAGCCACGCCAGCACAAAAGGAGUAAAGUUUAGGUAUGUCACUUGAAUUUCGGGUAUAGUUUGAAAGAUAGUUGUGCCUUAUCCCAAUUGUCGAAGCUAAAUCAUUUUAUCUUAACACAAAAUUUUAAAAUUAAAUUUAGAUAUUCAAAAAUUAAAUAUAUAUUACACUUUUUCUCAUAUCAAUAUGAUGAAAAGUAAAUCUUAAAACAUUGAUAAAAAAUUAUAUCAUCUGUCUCUCAAAAAGAAAACUGUGACAAGUAAAAAGAAACGACGAAAAGAUUACUAUAUGUUUCUCAUAAUAUCUCUCUUGACAAAGAUUUCAUAGAAACAUUAAAUAAGACCUCCUAUACAUGUUUUAUAAUAAAUGUAAAUUAUGUUAUUAAAUAAUUAUUAAGUCAUGUCAAUACCUGGUGUUUUCUUGAUAAGUUGAAAACCUCAGUUUCACAGUGUUACGUUACUGCAUUAUUCUCUAGAUCUAGUUUUUCUGAAGGUAGCAUUUGGAUCUUUGUAAAUGUUGGAAUCGAUAAAGAAAGAAAAAAAUAAAGAACUUUUACUUUCUUUGGAACGAACGGAAGAUGAUGAGAUUAUCCUUCUUUUGCUAGAAUUUAUAACUUGAUCAUAUCACUAGAAUAAUUAAAGUGUUAUACUAAAUCUCACAUCAUAUUAUCACUCAUUUAUAUCAAAUUAUGAUUUGAUUAUGGUGAAUUAACUGAGGAUGGAAUCAAUGAAGUUGAAUGAACAGUUACAUGACCAAAUGUUCAAAUCUUAACAGAGGCUAUGGAAAUACUGGUUUACAAGUUGUUUCCAGUUUGAGUAGUGAUCUUGGAAAUGUGAAAAGAGUGGUAAUUCUCAAUGUAAAUAAUUUAAAAGGUACAGUGUUCAAACUUGUCCAUGCACUUAUUGUCACGACCCGAACCGAGGCCCUGACCGUGACGAGCAUCCCAAACCAUAAAGGCCCGAGAACCCUUAUAACUCGUAAUCAUAUACACCAUUCACAUACAAAUAGAAAAUAUGGAAUAAUAAAAAAUGAAAGGAAAUCAUGGUCAUAAGUCUGAUAUAAGUUGAACCAUGGAAAAUGAAAUCCAAACCAUCUAACAAUAUCUGAAAACCGUCUGCGAAAUCUCUACUACAUGGCCACUAACAAAAUUUGAAAAUUGGGACAAGGCCCCCGGUAGACCAAAACCAUAAUUACUAAUAAUUAACUGAAAGUAAACAGGCCUUCUGGAAUAUAGAAUGCUCACCAACUGGACAAUGCAACUCUGUCUGAUGACUGGACCCCUAUUCUGAGCCUCAGAACCUGAGAGGUAGGGGUAGGGGGUCAAUACAGAUGUACUGGUAUGCAAAGUAAUUCAAAAUAAAGCUUUUAUAUAAAUAAAAUAAUGGAGAGCAAUUUGUCAAAACAUCAUACAUAAAAUAGUUUUCAAAACACAUGGGCACCUUUCUAAAAAAAAUCAUAAAUCAUUCUUGACAAUGCAAUUUUUGAUCUUCGUAUUAAUUCUGAGUUAGGUGGUACACCCCUAAAAGUCUAAAACCCCACGGGAAAUAUGGAGUCUUUCAUUGACUCGGCGAGGAAGCCCCCAAUCCAAGUGUGCUGUAAGGGUUGGAGUGUCUAAGUCUAAUACACCACAGGGAAAUAGGUCAGCGUAUAAUAAUAUACUAUGAUCGGCAAAUCACGGCUUUUGGCAAUGAGUUGUAUGAAACUCGUGCCUUCUUCGGGGGACCACCUAAUCUCUUUGUGCCCAAUUUUAAUCCAUUACUAGAACAUAUCAUUCUGAAAUCUUUAGUCAUGAAAAUCUGCUUUCUAAGCUUGUGAGUCUAUUAUGACAUUGUCUAUUUUGAUAUCGUCAUACCAAGACUUUCAAGUCGUAAUUCUAAGCCAUAGUUUUUAAAGCAUAUUUCUUUCAUUAAAACUCAAUUCAGACGACCCAGCUUUGCAAACAGUAUAAAAAAUUUCAUGUUCCUAAACAUAAGUCAAAACUAUGCAAGAAUCCUUCAAACAUAUGGUGGUCAUGUGCUUUUGGAAAAAUCAUGCACUCUUUCAUUAUAUGAAUAUUUUCAACAUUUAUCAACACAACUACCCUCUCUUUUGAAAUUGUAAUCGUAAUCCAAUCAUAACAUAAUUCAAGACAUUUUAUGCCAUGCUUUCCAAGGAUGCAUUCAAAACAAUCUAUAGCAUAUGAUAAGUAAAGAAAAAUCAAAACAAGAGAGGGAUUUUACAUAAGUCAUGCUCUCAAUUAAAUAGUCAACCUUAAACCACAAGCAUACAUAUGUACACAAUUUCAAAUCAAUGUGGGGGAAGGUCAAAAGACCAAAACAACACCAUCAAGAUUUCUAAAAUAUCAAUGUAUUCAUAAAUCUGAAAACUCCUUUCUUAAAAUCAUGAUUUCUAUGCCCAUGAGAUUUUAGGAAAACCUCGCGUACCUCUAUUUAGGAAAUUAAAGGAUGCUUCUUGAUGCUUACGGCUUGGGGAUUCCAAAUCUCCAAUUUUUUCCAAAAACCCAUGGUUGAAUCUUGAGUUAUUUGGGUUUUUAGUUAGAAACCCUUGAGAGAGUUCUUGAUGAAUUUUGGAGCAAAUAUGUGUAAUGUGGUUAUUUAGGAACUUGAUCCCAUGUUUAAUAUGUUAUAGGGAUUGAAAAAUACCAAAAAUAUGUGUUUAAUAUGGUUAUUUGGGAUUGUACCUUCCAUUUCAUUUCUUGCUGGAUCAAAUAAGUUUGGGUAUCCGUAACGCCCCAAAGUUUUUUUUAGCUAAAUUUUGUCCCUAAAAUAUCAAGCAUUAUCUUCUAGAAUGAUUUAUAAUUAUUUACCUAUGGAAUCCCUUAGAUUUCAACUUUUCAUUACGUAGAUGAUUGAACAAUAUUUCCAUCGAUAUAAGAUUUGUCCAAAACGGACACUCAAUUAAGAAGUUAUGGCUAUUUUAUAUGCUAGUCGUAAAACAUCAUCAUUCUGGUGUUUAGCGCAUUGCAUAGAGGGUUUAAUUAGCAAUUGUCAAUUUCCAGUGGGACCUCAUGAUAGUGGAGCGUCGCGGAGGAUCCCAAUUUUCCAUUCGUUAAUUUCCAGUGAGCCACCGCGAUAGUGGCAUGUCGCGGUGGCCCAUAAAAUCGGGUUCCUAUUUUAAUUUUUCCAGCUUCAUUCAGAAGUUAACAAGGGUAAUUUGGAAUUUUCCCAAUCCUCUUAAAAUGUCCAAACAAUAGAUUUAAGACCUCUACAAGCAGAAUAUAUGACAUUCUCAAGAUUUUCCUCAAAACAAAAACCCUAGUUCAUAUACUUCUCCUCCAAGAAACUCAAGAUUCAACCGUGGGUUUUUAAAAUUGACUGAAGAUUUGGAAUCCUCAAACCGUAGGCUUCAAGAAUCAUCCCUUAUUCUUUUUAAUCGAGGUAAGUGGGGUUUUUCCUAAAAACUACAUGGGAUUAAAACCAUUAGAGCUUGAUUUUUAGAUUUUUAUGCAUGAAUUUCAAAUGGGUUUUGGAAUCUAUGUUCUAAAUUUUGUACUCCAAAUGUUUUAAUGUUUUUAUUAUUUUGACCUUGUGUUCCUAUCCCAUAAAUUGAUUUACAUGCAUACGUAUGUGUAUGGAAUUUGAGAUUUAAGAUCGUUGAGAGCAUAAAUUAUGAACUCCCUCUCGUGUAUUGAAUUAAAGAUUAUGGUUUUGUGAUUUUGAAGCUGUUUUCUCAAUAUUAUAGCAUUUGAGCAUGAUUUGAAAUUGUUGAGAGGGUGUUUCUUGAUAUAAAUAUGUUCUUGUGUUUAAGAGAAAGAAUCGCAUGUGAAUUGAGAACUUUGACAUGACCACCUUGUACUAUUGAAAUGAUUGACAAAGAUAAGUUCCUUGCAUGUGUUUACAUGAGGUUUGAGAAAGAAUUUUUUUGAGUUGAAUUAUUGAAAUGGUGGUCCCAAAACUUGUGUUUUGAAAAUAGAGAUUUAUGAUAGACUAAUAAUGGCUCAGAGAUGUGACUUGCAAGUCAAUGGUAUGACAAUACCAUAUGUAUUUAUGCCAUAACAGGGUAUGUUUUCAGAGUAUGUUUUCUGAGACUGCAUGUUUUGAUAGAGUUUUAAAAAGGGGCUUAAAGAGGGUUAGGUGAUAACCCAAAGAAGGCGCGAGUUCAAGCAAUUCUUAGCCUGAAACCGUAUUUACCGAUACGGGUAGAUUAAUAUUGUACGCUGGCGACGGCCGUGUGGCGUAGUAGAUUCAGAGACUCUGACUCUUGUGGCACACUUGGGUUGGGGGCUUCGCUGCCGAGUUAAUGGUAGUUUCCAUAGCGCAUGGAAUUUUUUAGAGUUGUAGGGUAUACAACCUAGCGCAGAAGUAACACAAAUUUCUUAAAGUUGAGAUGGUUUUUACAAAUUCUUUAAAAUGCCCAUGUGAAUUCUUACUAUAUGAUAUACUUAUUAACUAUUUUAAAUUGCAUUCAUAUAUGUUGAUUUAUAAAUGAUUAUUUUUGAUAUUCUCUGCGUACCAGUGCAUCUGUAUUGACCCCCGGUCCCCCUACCGCUUAGGUUCUAAGACUCAGUCUAGGGUUCCAGAUAAGCAGUAGAUAUUUCGGACAACUAAUCAGAUUGUGUAGUGGUGAGACUUCUCUAUUCCAAAAGACUUGUCUUUUUAGAUUAUGUCACUUAAUUCAGUUUUUGUCUACUGGGGGCCUUGUCCCAGUUUCAGACAGUUGUCAGAUUUUCUUAAAGUAGAGAUUUUGCAGACUGAGUCAAAUGUUAUUUAGAUAUAGUUGAUUUACAGUUUCCAUACUUAUGUUUAAUUCAGAAUUGACCAUGUUUCUGUUGAAGAUUACGUUUCUGCAUAUUCUUUAAUUAUAUGAAUGUUGUGCAUGAUUACCAGAUAGAGAAGGGCAUUCCGGUCCUUCAGGGUUCGGGAUGUCCGUCAUGGACAGACCCUCAUUUAGGUCAUGACAAACGUGGUAUCAGAUCACGGUUCAUGGUCCCACGGUGUUUGCAAAAUUGCGUCGGGUAGAAUCUUAUUUAUGGGUGUGUAGCGCGCCACACUUAUAAGCAGGAGGCUACUUGUAACGCCCUGGAAAACGGGUCCCGGAGCGUUACACGGUGCUUGAGGCUACGAGUAGCCCCAAUCUAACCCUUUGAGCCAUUUUCAUUCAGUUCAACACAAAUCAACGGGGUUUCCAUAAAUAACCCUCAAAUAUCAACAAAGUAAUCAUCAUCCAAGAAUAAAGAAUUUCAGAAAGAUAACAAAAUCCGACUUAUUAGUCAACUCCCAACAUCUAUAGUAGUCUGACAAGCCUCUAAGAAAAUCAAUAAAACCAGCAAUCCAUUGAGACAUGUCUCAACUGACUCAUACUUAGUUAUCAAAUGUAAACAAUUCCGUGAAACCAACAUCAGACAUCAUGUCCUCGGAAUAUGAGGUCUCACCACAAUAGAGGAUGUAGAACAGCAUGCCUGAAGAAUCAUUGUCGAACCUGGAACUGAGCGCCUGAACCUACAUUCUGAGAAAAUGCAGCCCACAUCCAAAGAUGUGGGUCAGUACCAUGGAAAGGAACCGAGUAUAUGGGGGUGUAUGCAGUUGUUUAAACAUCAUCAUCAUAAAUAUUUAUAAGAAAUAUGCAGGAUGUAUGAAAGACUCACAUAGCCCGAACAAAAUCAUCAUAAUCAUGAGAGGAUGAAAUAAGUACAAUAACACAUGUGAGUCAUCAUAUAAUUUGUCAAUCACUUUCAGUUCAUCAAGAAUAUCAAUUCUCAUAAUGUAAAUAUCAUUUAAAUCUUUCAAAAGAAUAAUUUUCACAAUUCCACUUUCGAAUCACUUCACCAUUCACCAUAAACAUAAGGAAACACACACACUGGGAGAUCCUAUAUAAAUAUAUAUCGGGAGCCAUCAUGCUUCCCAUCUAUCAAAAUCAACCACGUUGUGGAUUUCUUUCACACUCGAGUUCAAAACAACUCCAUUAAGACCAAAAGGUCAAAUCAUUCAAAAUAUCUCAAAUAUUCAACAUCAACGUGCUUAUAACGCACACUUUCUCAAAAAAAAAAAAAACACAAUUUCCAAUGGGGAAUCACAACUCAAAUAUCAAAAUCAUGAUAAAUAUUGUUCAAGAUUCAUGCUUUAUAUCUCCACACGUGUAAAUUCAUCUUUCAAAAUCAUAAACAUCAACAUUUCAUAGUAAUCAUCAUAAGAUACGGGUUCAUGCUUCAAAUUCGUAAAAAUCAAAUAAAAAUCAUGCCUUUGUAAAGAAAAUUACUUUUGGGCACAAGAACGAAAGAGAGUUCUUGUUGAAAAACCUCACAUACCUUGAAUGAUGAACUUUAGAUAGAUACUCAUUUUUGAUAUGUUAAUCUUGCCUUUGAAUGAUGGUCCUUGGAGUUCUUGAACUAGGAACUUGGAAUCUUGAAUAAAUUUGCAGAAUUAAUAGUGAACUUUGGAGGUUCUUGAAGUUGGAUGUAGGAGCUUAAGGUUUUCUUUNNNNNNNNNNNNNNNNNNNNNNNNNNNNNNNNNNNNNNNNNNNNNNNNNNNNNNNNNNNNNNNNNNNNNNNNNNNNNNNNNNNNNNNNNNNNNNNNNNNNNNNNNNNNNNNNNNNNNNNNNNNNNNNNNNNNNNNNNNNNNNNNNNNNNNNNNNNNNNNNNNNNNNNNNNNNNNNNNNNNNNNNNNNNNNNNNNNNNNNNNNNNNNNNNNNNNNNNNNNNNNNNNNNNNNNNNNNNNNNNNNNNNNNNNNNNNNNNNNNNNNNNNNNNNNNNNNNNNNNNNNNNNNNNNNNNNNNNNNNNNNNNNNNNNNNNNNNNNNNNNNNNNNNNNNNNNNNNNNNNNNNNNNNNNNNNNNNNNNNNNNNNNNNNNNNNNNNNNNNNNNNNNNNNNNNNNNNNNNNNNNNNNNNNNNNNNNNNNNNNNNNNNNNNNNNNNNNNNNNNNNNNNNNNNNNNNNNNNNNNNNNNNNNNNNNNNNNNNNNNNNNNNNNNNNNNNNNNNNNNNNNNNNNNNNNNNNNNNNNNNNNNNNNNNNNNNNNNNNNNNNNNNNNNNNNNNNNNNNNNNNNNNNNNNNNNNNNNNNNNNNNNNNNNNNNNNNNNNNNNNNNNNNNNNNNNNNNNNNNNNNNNNNNNNNNNNNNNNNNNNNNNNNNNNNNNNNNNNNNNNNNNNNNNNNNNNNNNNNNNNNNNNNNNNNNNNNNNNNNNNNNNNNNNNNNNNNNNNNNNNNNNNNNNNNNNNNNNNNNNNNNNNNNNNNNNNNNNNNNNNNNNNNNNNNNNNNNNNNNNNNNNNNNNNNNNNNNNNNNNNNNNNNNNNNNNNNNNNNNNNNNNNNNNNNNNNNNNNNNNNNNNNNNNNNNNNNNNNNNNNNNNNNNNNNNNNNNNNNNNNNNNNNNNNUUUCUCACUUCGAAUGCAACAUAGAAUGCAUAAAUUCAAGAAACUACAGCUGAACACAUAAUAAAUGAUAGCUGAACUGUUGCAACUUUUAUCAAAAGUGCAUGAUUUAGGAAAGAACGGUACCUUCGUCUUGAUCGGAGUUCGCAGAAAAUAGGUACGGAUACUUGGAUUGCAAAUCCGCCUCAGCUUCCCAAGUUUCACCAUCAACAGAUUGGUUUCGUCACAACACCUUGACCAAGGGAACUUCUUUGUUCCUUAGUCUUCGGACACUGAAAUCAAGAAUCUCAACAGGUUUCUCAUCAAAAGAAAGAUUUUCUUGAAUGUCAGCACUCACAGAGGAAUCCACUACCACAUCAUCGCUAAUAUGCUUUCUAAGCAUGGAGACAUGGAAUAUUGGAUGAACAGAGGACAACUCGGAAGACAACUCGACCUCAUAAGCUACCUUACCAACACGACUAAGAAUUUUGUAAGGACCAACAUAAAGGGGACUAAGCUUCCCCUUCUUUUCGAAUCUCUUCACCCCCCUCAUGGGUGAAAUUUUCAGAUACACUAGGUCACCAACUUCAAACUCAAGGUCUCUCUUUCUAACAUCCGCAUAUGGCUUUUGACGACUCUGCGCAGUUUUCAACCUUUCCCUAAUCAACUUAACUUUUUCUAUAGCCUCAAUUACCGAAUCAGGACCACUCACAGCCGCUUCAACCACCUCGAACCAACCUAUGGGUGAUCUACACUUUCUCCCAUAUAAGGCUUCAAAUGGAGCCAUGCCAAUACUAGAGUGGAAACUGUUAUUGUAAGCAAACUCUAUCAACGGUAAGUGAUCAUCCCAGCUUCCGUUAAAGUCAAGUGCAUAAGCUCUCAACAUAUCCGCUAAGGUCUGGAUGUCUGCAGAUGAAAAGAAGAACUCAAAAGCACUUAGGUACCAAGACCCUUUUGAAAAGCUUUCCAAAAUUGCAAAGUAAACUGAGUACCCCUAUUCGAAAUGAUAGACAAGGUAACUCUGUGCAGUCUGACUAGUUCUCAGAUAUACAAUCUAGCGUAAUCCUCAGCAGUAUAUGAAAUAUGAAUAGGUAAGAAAUGAGUAAACUUAGUCAACCUAUCAACCACAACCCAAAUGGAAUCAUGAUGGCAUCGGGAAGGAGGUAAACCAAUCAUGAAGUCCAUAAUUAUCUCUUCCCACUUCCAGGUGGGAAUACUAAACUCUUGAAUCAUAUCACCAGGUCUUUGGUGUUCAACCUUAACCUGUUGGCAUAUUGCAAACUUAGCUACAAAUGCUGCUAUAUGUUUCUUCAUGACACUCCACCAAUAGAUUUCCUACAAGUCUCGGUACAUCUUAGUGGCACCAGGAUGAAUAGAAUAUCGCGCCCCAUGCACUUUAGCCAUAAUCCUCUAUCUCAGAUCAUCAACAUUCGGGACACAUAAUCUAUCCUGUAAUCUCAACAUACCAUCUCCCCCUUGGGAUAAAACCUCUACUUUUUGGUCCUUGACCGACUCCUUUAGUCUGACUAAACUAGCAUGUAAGUAUUGCUUUUCCUUCACUUCCAAAACCAAGGAGGAUUUGGAACUACUCUGAACCCCUAUACUACCUUUAGCAGAGUCAAACAACCUAACCCCUAAUCUAGCCAAACGAUGUACAUCACGAGCCAACUCUUUCUUACCUUAUACCACAUGUGAAACACUACCAAUGGACACUAUACUUAGGGUAUUCACCACAAUAUUGGCCUUCCUCGGAUGGUACAACACACUCAUAUCAUAGCCCUUUAACAAUUCAAUUCUCUCUAGGUAAACACAUACUGCAGACUCUUAUGAUCAGUGAAAACAUCAACAUGGACACCAUACAAAUAGUGUCUCCAGAUUUUCAAAGCAAACACAAUAGCAGCCAACUUAAGGUCAUGGGUGGGGUAAUAUUUCUACUUGGGUUUCAAUUGUCUAGAAGCAUAAGCUAUCACCUUACCCUUCUGCAUUAAUACGCAACCCAACCCAACUCUCGAAGCAUCACAGUACACCACAAAACCAUCAACACCAUCAGGCAAAGUCAAAAUAGGGGAUGAAGUGAGUCGAGACUUCAACUCCUGAAAACUCUUCUCACAAGAUUCAGACCACAAGAACUUCACUUUCUUUUGGGUCAACCGAGUNNNNNNNNNNNNNNNNNNNNNNNNNNNNNNNNNNNNNNNNNNNNNNNNNNNNNNNNNNNNNNNNNNNNNNNNNNNNNNNNNNNCAGCCAACUCAAGGUCAUGGGUGGGGUAAUUUUUCUCAUGGGGUUUCAACUUUCUAGAAGCAUAAGCUAUCACCUUACCCUUCUGUAUCAAUACGCAACCCAACCCAACUCUCGAAGCAUCACAGUACACCACAAAACCAUCAACACCAUCAGGCAAAGUCAAAAUAGGGGCUGAACUGAGUUGAGUCUUCAACUCCUGAAAACUCUUCUUACAAGAUUCGAACCAUAAGAACUUCACUUUCUUUUGGGUCAACUGAGUCAUAGGAGACUCUAUAGAGGAGAAACCCUUAAAAAAAUGGUGGUAAUAGCCAGCUAAACCCAAGAAACUUCAGAUAUCAGUUGGAGAAAUAGGUUUAGGCCAAUUUCUAACAGCUUUGAUCUUUUGGGGAUUAACUCUAAUACCCUCGGAAGCAAUGAUAUGACCCAAAAAAGCAAUUGACCUUGGCCAAAACUCACACUUACUGAACUUGGAAAACAACUUGUGAUCUCUAAGGGUUUGCAAGACAGUUCAGAGAUGAUCAGAAUGUUCAUCCUCACUACGGGAGUAUAUUAGUAUAUCAUCGAUGAACACUAUGACAAACAUAUCAAGUUAUGGUCUGAACACUCGAUUCAUGAGGUCCAUGAAAGCUACUGGGGCAUUAGUUAACCCGAAAGACAUAACAAGAAAGUCAAAAUGGCCAUAAUGAGUUUGAAAAGCGGUUUUCGGUAGAUCACACUCCCUAACUUUGAGUUGAUGAUAGCCGGAAUAAAGGUCUAUCUUUGAGAAAUAACUUGCACCUUGCAAUUGGUCAAACAAAUCAUCUAUUCUUGAAAGGGGGUACUUAUUUUUGAUAGGGACUUUAUUCAGUUGGCAGUAAUCAAUGCACAUACACAAAGAGCCAUCUUUGUUUUUCACAAACAACACAGGAGAACCCCAAGGAGAAACACUGGGCCUUAUGAAACCCUUAUCUAGUAGAUCUUUGAGUUACUCUUUCAACUCUUUAAGUUCUAUAGGGGCCAUACGGUAAGGAGAAAUAGAAAUGGGUUGGGUAUCGGGAAGAAGAUCAAUCCCAAACUCUAUCUCUCUAUCAGGAGGUAUCCCUAGGAGAUCAUCCGAAAAGACAUCAGAAAACUCAUUGAUGACGUUAACAGACUGGAGAGCUGAAGUCUCAGACUUAGUGUCUUUGACUCUAACCAAAUGGCAAAUACACCCUUUGGAAAUAAGCUUUCUAGUUUUGAGGUAAGACAUAAAAUGACUCUUGGGUGACAAAGAAUUCCCAGACCACUCAAACACGGAUGUACCCAAAAACUGAAACUUGACCACUCGGGUCCGACAAUCAAUAGAGGCAUAAGAAGAAUACAGCUAGUCCAUACCCAGAAUCACAUCAAAAUCUACCAUGUCUAACUCAAUCAGAUCAGCCAACAAGACUCUAUGAAGAACGGUAAUAGGACACUUUUUAUACACUUUCUGGGCAACAAUCGAAUCACUCACUGGGGUAGAAACUAGGAUAGGCUCAGGAAUAAUCUCUGGACUCAUUUCAAAAUUCACAGUAAUCAAAGGUGUAACAUAUGAGAAACUGGAUCCAGGAUCCAACAAAGUAUACACAUCAAACUAAAAUAUACGAAGCAUACCAGUAACAACAUUGGGAGAGUCCUCCUGUUCCUGGCAGGAUGGUAAAGCAUAGAAUCUAUUCUGGCACUGCCCGCCAGUAUUGCUAGAAGAGGCACCCUGAGCUGGGGCUGGGCAAGUCGCUGGAACUGGAGCACUAACAGUCUUAGUCUGGGUUUGAGGGCGAUAGUCACGAUGCCCUUGUCUAUCCUGUGGAAAAUCUCUAACUCUGUAAGCCAUGUCACCACACCGAAAACAACCCCUCUUCUCACCCCAACACUCACCCGAAUGAGCCCUACCAUACUUAGGACACAGGGUAUGAUUUGGCUUACUGCUAAUACUGUACUGAGACCUGGAUGCAUAUGACCUGCUACCUUGCUCCUGCCUACCUCUAGGCAUGGGAGCACUAGCAGAUGACGGUGCUGGCAUAGACAAAGGAUCCUGAUACUGAGGGCGACUCCCUCCCUGCGAUCUAGUCUGACACUGUUCGUGCUGCUUGGACCUAACUCUCCUAUUCCCUCUUAUUCUAUCUCUCUCCUUAAUCUUGUCUGCCUCAAUCUGUUGGGCAUGAGUCAUCAACCUAUAAAGAUUCAUCUCAUUAUUCAGCAUAGCAGACCUACACUCCAUAACCACAUAACUAGAUAAUCCAGUCACUAACUUACUCAUACUAGCCCGAUUAUCAGCCACUAAGUCAGGAGCAUACUUGGCCAACUGAUUGAACUUUAGACAGUAUUCCCUAAUAGUCAUAGAGCCCUGUCACAGGUUCAUAAACUCUUCCACCUUCGCCUCUCUCAUCUCCAAAAGGAAAAACUUACCUAGGAAUGCAUCCUGGAACUCUUGCCAAGUAGUAGGGACAGCUCCCUCACCUCUACAUUUCCUCCAAGAAACAACCCAAUCAUAAGCUAGGUCUUUUAAGAUAUACGCAGCCAACUCCACACUAUAUUCCUCAGAUAUAUGCAUCACUUGAAUAGUCUUCCGCACCUCCUUUAAAAACAACCAUGGAUCCUCAUCAGACUUGGACCCAUAGAAUUCUGGCGGAUUCAUCCGCAUGAAGUCAUGGAUCCUGGCAGCAGCUGAAUCACCUCCUUGUUGCUGUGGAGCUAGGCCCAGGUUGGCCUGAACAUUUGCAGUAACAAAUUGGGCCGGCGCGGGAAAGGCUACCCGAAAUUUAGCAUGAGACACGUUUUCAUUCAAUGGGUCAGCGGGUUGAGGUUGCUGGCCAUCAUUAUUUCUUCUCGCUCGACGUGGAGGUAUAUUUCUGAAAGAGGAGAGCAUGAAUCAAUAGCAGAGAGAGACACUUUAAAAAUGAUAGACUUCUGAAAGAAAGAAUCACACUUUUUCCUAAAACGUCUUGUAGCUUCUUGCUCAUAGAUAUGGCGCGCUACACACCGAUGAUCAAGACUCUACUUAACGCGGCUUGUCAGACUCCCUAGGACACCUUAAAAACUUAGGCUCUGAUACCAAGUUUGUAACUCCCCAGAAAAUGGGUCCCAGAGCGUCACACAGUGCUUGAGGCUACAUGUAGCCCCAAGCUAACCCUUUGAGCCAUUUUCAUUCAAUUCAACACAAAUCAACGGGGUUUCCUUAAAUAACCCUCAAAUAUCAAUAGAGUAAUCAUCAUCCAAGAAUAAAAAAAUUUCAUAAAGAUAACAAAAUAUGACUUAUUAGUCAACUCCUAACAUCUAUACUAGUCUGACAAGCCUCAGAGGAUGUAGAACAGCGUGCCCGAAGAAUCACUGUCGAAUCUGAACCUACAUUCUGAGAAAAUGUAGCCCGCAUCCGAAGAUGUGGGUCAGUACCAUGGAAAGGAACCAAGUAUAUGGGGGUGCAUAUAGUUGUAUAAACAUCAUCAUCAUAAAUAUUUAUAAGAAAUAUGCAGGAUUUAUGAAAUACUCACAUAGCCUGAAGAAAAUCAUCAUAAUCAUGAGAGGAUGAAAUAAGUACAAUAACACAUGUGAGUCAUCAUAUAAUUUGUCAAUCACUUUCAGUUCAUCAAGAAUAUCAAUUCUCAUAAUGUAAAUAUCAUUUGAAUCUUUUGAAAGAAUAACUUUCACAAUUUCACUUUCAAAUCACUUCACCAUUCACCAUAGACACAAGACAACACACACACACUGGGAGAUCCUAUAACCGACAUAAACCUUGUGAGAUACAUGGAGUCCAACGUACAACCCACAUUGGGGAGAGUUAUCCUUUCCUUGCCAUCGAAGUAGGACUAUCGAUAUCAAAUCCGUACAAACUAGUGAUCACUAUAUAAAUCAGCCUCAGGCUCACUCCUAUGGGGGCAUGUAGUUCUAGGGAAGUUAGGUCGGCUUAUACCUCCCACUCGGUGCUAAAGAUUUCUCCCAGACUUAGCUCAGAUCAUUUCAAAGACAAUCCAUAACAAAAUAAUUUUCAGCAAUAUAUAAAUAUAUAUCGGGAGCCAUCAUGCUACCCAUCUAUCAAAAUCAACCACGUUGUGGAUUUCUUUCACACUCGAGUUCAGAAGAACUCUAUUAAGAACAAAAGGUAAAAUCAUUCAAAAUAUCUCAAAUAUACAACAUCAACGUGCUUAUAACACACACUUUCUAAAAAAACACAAUUUCCAAUGGAGAUUCACCACUCAAAUAGCAAAAUCAUGAUAACUAUCGUUCAAGAUUCAUGCUUUAUAUCUCCACACAUGUAAAUUCAUCUUUCAAAAUCAUAAACAUGAAGAUUUCAUAGUAAUCAUCAUAAGAUAUGAGUUCAUGCUUCAAAUUCAUAAAAAUCAAAUAAAAAUCGUGCUUUUGUAAAGAAAAUUACUUUUGGGCACAAGAACGAAAGAGAGUUCUUGUUGAAAACCCCCACAUACCUUGAAUGAUAAACUUUGGAUCGAUAAUCGUUUUUGAGAUGUUAAUCGUGCCUUUGAAUGAUGGUUCUUGGAUUUCUUGAACUUGGAGCUUGGAAUCUUGAAUAAAUUUACAGAAUUAAUGGUGAACUUUGGAGGUUUUUGAAGUUGGAUGUAGGAGCUUAGGAUUUUUCUUUUUGACGGAAUUUGAUGAAAUAUAACAUAUAAUGUUUGUAAUAGGCUUUAAUAUAGGGUUUGGACGGAUUUUGGGUGAGGGGGAAUGACCAAAACGCCCCUAAAAAUCAAAUAAUUCUCGAAUCUGUUCUUUGGUGGAAUGUUUUGAUAGUCUGAAGUAGAUCAAUCAUAACAUUUUACUCUGAUAUCCAAAUUGGAUAAAACUAAUCUCAUUUGAAAGAAGACUCUCAUAUCUUUCUAUUGAUAUAUAUUAUCUCACCCAAAUUAUUGUGUACGAGGAGUUAUGAUCAUUUGAAGUUGACCCAAAAAUUUGCUUUUGAUAGGCUGAAGUAGACCGACCAUAACUUUUUGCUCCGAUAGACAAAUUUGAUGAAACCAAUUUCAUUGGAAAGAGAACUCGCAGAGCUUUUCAUUGAUAUAUAUUAUCUCACCCAAAUUAUUGUGUACGAGGAGUUAUGAUCAUUUGAAGUUGACCCAAAAAUUUGCUUUUGAUAGGCUGAAGUAGACCGACCAUAACUUUUUGCUCCGAUAGACAAAUUUGAUGAAACCAAUUUCAUUGGAAAGAGAACUCGCAGAGCUUUUCAUUGAUAUAUAGUAAAUCACCCAGAUCAUUAUGUACAAGGAGAUAUGAUUGUUUAAAUUUGGAACAAAAAUACGCCAGGCCUUAGUACUUUACCUGGACGGUUUAUUGUUCACUACUAUUCACGGUUCGAUCGGAAUGUUCAUAACUCAUCGCUCUGGUGUCCGUUUUGGAUGAUCCACAUAUCGUUGGAAAUCUUAUUCGAUACUCUACACAAUGGUGGGUCAUAAUCUAAGACAUUCUGUACGAAAAAUUUAUAAUUUACUCUAGAAGAUAGAACCCAACACGUUUACGCACAAAAUUUCAACAAAAAAUUUCCCGGGGUAUUACACUACUAGGUAUUUAAGAAUGUUCCUCUUAUUUGUGAUUUAGUUCAUGCUUCAGAGUCUAAUAUCACCCCUAAUCAAUGACCUCUUGCUUGUUAGAAAACCAGCGAUGCCUCCCCAUCGCACCAAUAUUAACGCUGAGGAUGAUGAAGUCUGUCCCACCCAUAGGAUACGGACCCGUAACAGAGCUCAUACCCUAAAAUAUAUUCCUACUCUGGGAGUACCUACUGUACUAACCAGUCCUCCCAAAGCUCUCCAGAUGGGGGCCAGUCGCACUCAGCCUCGUGAAUGAGAGGUUUCUAGUGCUGAAUUCAGACAAUCUAUUCAUAUUCUUGAACAACUGGUAGCUACAUAGACUCAUAGAUUGGAGAAUACUGGGUCUGCAUCUAUUACUUUGGAAGUUACUAGAGUGGGCCAGUUCAUGAGAAUGAACUCGCUCAAGUUCUCUGGCGCUAAGGUAGAAGAGGACCCGCAGGAGUUCGUAUACAAAAUGGAGAAGAUUUUCAAAGUAAUGCAUGUUGAUCAAGUGGAGGGUGUUAAGCUAUCAUUAUACUAGCCAAACGAUGUAGCGAACCAAUGGUACAAUGAGUGGGAAGAUACGAAGGGUGACAGUGCUGAGCCCACAGGUUGGGACAAGUUCGUGAAAGCUUUACUUGACCAAUUCUUUCCUCUAGAGCUGAGGAAAGCUAAAGUAGAGGAGUUUAUGAACCUUAAGUAGGGUAAGAUAAGUGUUCAAGAGUGUACUUUGACGUUUAACCAACUGGACCGUUAUGCUCCUGAGAUGACGAGUAGUAUGAUGGCCCGAAUGAGGAAGUUUGCUUCUGGCCUUUUAGAUGACCUGGUUCUUGGGUGUCAGGGAGCUAUGCUGAACAGGGAUAUGGAAUUUGCAAGACUAUUAGUCAAUAUGCUGCAAGUUGAGGAGAAUAACCAGAAGAUAGUUGAAUCUAGGGAAAACUACAGGUAGAUAAAGAGAGCCAGAGCAACAGAGCAGAGUCAUAGUCAGUAGUAAGAUGGUAAUUAGGGAGGCAAAUGGCAAAAGAAAAAGAAUUAGGGUAAUACACAAUCGGCAGCUAGUGCUUCGGUGUCCAGACACAUAUUUGAGCAGUGCACCUAGAAUUUUCAGUUUAUUCAGGGGCUGAGGAUUCAGGGUACACAGUCGCAGGUAAGUAUAGCCCAGACCUCUCGGUCCUAUCCGCGCUAUGGGAGAUGCAGGAGAAAUCAUCUAGGGAGAUGUCAGUUUGGCACUUUGGUGUGUUAUUCAUGCGGCCAGUUGGGCCAUAUCCAGAGAGACUAUCCAAUAGCAAAGAGUAGUGUUGGAGGAGCUAAGUCGCAGGAAAACUCAUCUGCACCACCACCUUAAAAGGGUUCCACUUCAGCCAUCAAAAAUGGUCAGAACCAGUUGUAUGCUUUGACCAACCGCCAGGAGGCAAAGGCCUCACUAGAUGUAGUCACCGGUAUGUUGCAAAUCUUUUCUCGUAAUGUGUAUGUAUUAAUUGAUCCUGAGUCUACCUUAUCUUAUAUGACCCCAUACGUGUCUGUUGGUUUAGGGUUUGAGCCUGAUGUGAUUGCUGAACCUUUUUCAGUUUUCACCCCGGUAAGAGAUUUUGUUGUGUCUAAGAGGGUGUAUAAAAAUUAUGUUGUGUCUAUUUUCAGCUGGAUACUGAGUCCGAUCUCAUAGAACUUGAUAUGGUUUAUUUUGAUGCCAUCUUAGGGAUAGACUGGCUCCAUUCGUGCUAUGCCACCUUGAAUUGUAGGACCCAAAGAGUCCCCUUUUCUUUUCCAAAUGAGUCGGUGAUAGAAUGGGAGGGACAAUCUCUAGCACCUAGAGGGCAUUUCAUAUCUUAUCUCAGGGCCCAUAAACUUAUUUCCAAAGGUUGCUUGUAUCAUCUUAUUCGGGUUAAAAAUUCUAGUGAUGAAAGACUUUCUCUUCAGUCUGUCUCCAUAGUGAAUAAAUUCUUGUAAGUUUUUCUAGAUAAUCUCCCAGGAAUACCACCUGAUAGGGACAUAGAUUUUGGUAUUGAUUUAUUGCGAGAUACCUAUCCUAAUUCUAUUUCGCCAUAUAGGAUGGCUCCUGCAGAGCUAAAAGAGUUGAAAGAACAGCUAGUAGAUCAUCUAGAUAAAGUUUUUAUCCACCCCAGUGUGUCUCCCUGUGGUGCACCUAUAUUUUUCGUACAAAAGAAAGAUGGUUCCCUUCAUAUGUGCAUAGAUUACUGCCAGUUAAAUAAGGUUACGAUUAAAAAUAAAUAUCCCCUUCAUAGAAUUGAUGAUCUUUUUGAUCAACUUCAGGGUGCUAAAUGAUUUUCAAAGAUAAAACUUCAUUUAGGAUAUCACCUGUUGAAAGUUAGAGUGCCAGAUAUUCCUAAAAUAGCUUUCCGAACUAGAUACGGCCAUUAUGAAUUCUUAGUCAUGUCCUUCAAGUUUACUUAUGCCCCUGCAGCUUUCAUGGAUCUAAUGAAUAGGGUUUUUGAUCAGUUUCUGGAUCUGUUUGUCAUUGUAUUCAUUGAUAACAUUUUGGUGUAUUAUAAGAGCGAGGAGGACCAUGCCAAUCACCUUCGAAUCAUCCUUUAUACCCUUAAAGAUAAUAAAUUGUAUGCAAAAUUUUCCAAGUGGGAAUUCUGGUUGAACGCUAUUGCAUUCUUGGGGCAUAUCGUGUCUUGUGAAGGGAUUAAGGUUGAUCCCCAAAAGAUUGAGGCAGCGAUAAAAUGGCCCAGACCCACGACUGCAACCGAAAUUCGGAGCUUCUUGGGUUUGGUGAGUUAUUACAAAAGAUUCGGCAAGAGUUUUUCUUCCAUAGCUGCACUACUUACUAAGUUGACUCAGAAAAAGGUGAAGUUUUUAUGGUCUGACUCUUGUGGGAAUAGUUUUGAGAAGUUGAAAGACAAGUUGACUACUGCUCUUGUUUCGACUAUUUUGGAGGGUACAGAGGGUUUUAUUGUAUACUGUGAUGCAUCCCGAGUAGGACUUGGGUGUAUCCUUAUGCAACACGGUAAUGUAGUGGCUUAUGCAUCUAGGUAGUUAAAAGUGCAUGAAUGAAACUACCUACUCAUGACUUGGAGUUAGCGGCUAUGGUUUUUGCACUUAAGAUCUAGCAACACUAUUUGUAUGGGGUACACGUUGAUAUAUUUACUGACCACAAGAUUUUAUAGUAUGUUUUCUUACAGAAAGAAUUGAAUCUCAGGAAGAGGCGGUGGUUGGACAUUUUAAAAGACUAUGACAUAAGCCUUCACUAUCAUCCGGGCAAGGCUAAUGUGGUAGUCGACGCCCUCAGCAGGUUAUCUAUGGGCAGUCUUUCUCAUGUGGGGAACGAAAAGAGGGAGAUGGUGAAGGAUAUUCACCGACUUGCAAAUCUAGGAGUGCGGAUUUUAGAUUCCGAUGAUGGAGGAGUAGUUGUUCAUGAGAUAACUAAAUCUUCCCUUUGUGCAGAAGUUAAAAAGAAGCAGGUUAAAGAUCCCAUCUUGAUGUAGAUCAAGAAAGAUGUGGGUCAACAAAAGUUAAUGUCAUUUGAAAUUGGUGGUGAUGGUGUUUUGAGAUACCAGGGUAGAUUGUGUGUGCCAGAUGUAUAUGGUCUGAGGAAGAGAAUCCUUGACGAAGCUCACACGUCGAGAUAUGUUGUUCACCAUGAAUCUACUAAGAUGUUUCAGGAUUUGAAAACCAUUUAUUGGUGAAAUAAUAUGAAGCGUGAUGUGGCUAACUAUGUUGCCAAAUAUUUGAAUUGUCAACAAGUUAAAGUGAAACAAGUGAGGCCAGGUGGUUCUUCUCAAGAGAUAGCUUUGCCUUUGUGGAAGUGGGAGAUGAUUAGUAUGGACUUCAUUACAGGACUUACGAGGCCCCAAAACCAGUAUGCUUUUAUUUGGAUAAUUGUAGAUAGGUUGACCAAGUCAGCUCACUUUCUACCUGUCUAGACAAAUUAUUCGGAGAGGAUUAUGACAAGCUGUUCAUUGUAGAAAUAGUUCGUUUGCAUGGGGCACCUGUGUCCAUCAUAUUUGACAGAGGUACACAUUUUUCUUCAUAAUUUUGGAGAUCAUUUCAAAAGGGUUUAGGUACCUAAGUGAAUUUGAGCACGACUUUCCACCUUCAGAUAGAUGGGCAAGCUGAGUGCACCAUCCAGACCCAUGAAGGGAGUCAUGCAGUUCAGGAAGAAAGGUAACCUGAGUCCUCGCUAUAUAAUACCAUAUCAGAUUGUGAGAAGGAUAGGUGGAGUUACGUAUGAGUUAGAAUUGCCAGUUAGUUUGGGUUCGGUUCAUCCGGUAUUUCAUAUAUCUAUGUUGAAGAAGUGUAUUGGAGACCAUUCUUUAGUAUUGCAUGUUAAAGAGAUCAAAGUGACAGACUCCUUAUCCUAUGAAGAAGAGCCUGUAGAGAUUUUGGAUCACCAAGUUAUAAUAUUGAGGAACAAAGAGAUAGCCUCAGUUAAAGUGUUGUGGAGAAACCAGAAAAUUGAAGAAGCGACUUGGGAAUUAGAAGUUGACAUGAGAGCUAGCUUCCCAAACCUUUUUGAUACAAUGGAUGAUGAAAUGGAAAGUACAAUCCUUACCUUAUUCUUUCUAUGCCUUAGUAUGCUUGACAUUAUACUUGUUUGUAUCCCGCAUCAACAUUCGGGGAUGAAUAUUCCCAAGGGGGGAUAUUGUAAUGCCCCAAAGUUUUUCUUAGCUAAAUUUUGUCCCUAAAAUAUCAAGCAUUGGCUUAUAUACUGAUUUAUACUUAUUUUCUUGUGAAAUCCCUUAUUUUUCAACUUUUCAUUACGUAGAUGACUGAAUAAGCUUUCCAUCGAUAUAAGAUUUGUCCAAAAUGGACACUCAGUGAAGAAGUUAUGGCUAUUUUAUGUGCUAGUCAUAAAACAUUGUCAUUCUGGUGUUUAGCGCAUCACAGAGAGGGUUUAAUUAGAAAUUUUCAAUUUCUUGUGGGACCUACCAAUAGUGACGCGUCAUAGAGGAUCCCAAUUUUCCAUUCGUCAAUUUCCAAUGAGCCACCGCGAUAGUGGCGCGUUGCGGUGGCCCAUAAAAUUGAGUUCCCAGUUUAAUUUUUUCAUCUUUGUUCAGAAGUUAACAAGGGUAAUUUGGACUUUUUCCAAGCCUAUUAAAAUGUCCAAAUAGCAUAUUUAAAACAUCAAGAAGAAUAUAUGACAUUCUCAAAAUUUUCCUCAAAACAAAAACCCUAGUUCAUAUACUUUUCCUCCAAGAAACUCAAGAUUUAACCGUAGGUUUUCAAAAUUGACUGAAGAUUUGGAAUCCUCAAACCAUAGGCUUCAAGGAUCAUCCCUUAUUCUUAAUAAUCGAGGUACGUGGUGUUUGUCCUAAAAACUACAUGGGCUUAAAACCAUUAGAGCAUGAUUUUUAGAUUUUUAUGCAUGAAUUUCGAAGGGGUUUUGGAAUCUAUGUUCUAAAUUACGUACUCUGAAUGUUGUAAUGUUACUAUUGUUUUGACCUUGUGGUCCUAUCCCAUAAAUUGAUUUACAUGUAUACGUAUAUGUAUGGAAUUUGAGAUUUAAGAUCGUUUAGAGCGUAAAUUAUGAACUCCCUCUCGUGUAUUGAAUUAAAAAUUAUGGUUUUGUGAUUUGAAAGAUGUUUUUGCAAUACUAUAGCAUUUGAGCAUUGAUUUGAAAUUGUUGAGAGGGUGUUUCUUGAUAUAAAUGUGUUCUUGUGUUUAAGAUAAAGAAUCACAUGUGAAUUGAGAACUUUGACAUGACCACCUUGUACUAUUGAAAUGCUUUACCCCCCUCCCCCUAUCUCUCAGGUUUUGACACUCGGUCUAGGGGUCUAUAAUUCGAACAGCUGAUCAGACUUAGCAGUGGUGAGCCUUCUCUAUUCCGGAAGACCUUUCUUUUUAGAUUAUGUCACUAAAUUCUAUUUUGGUCUACUGGGGGCCUUGUCCAAGUUUCAGAUAGUUGUCAGAUUUUCAUAAAGUAGAGAUUUCAUAGACUGAUUCAGAUUUUGUUUAGAUGUAGUUGAUUUACAGUUUUCAUACUUAUGUUGAAUUCAGAAUUGACCAUGUUUUGAUAGCAGAUUAUGUUUCCGCAUCUUCUUUUAUUAUAUGAAUGUGGUCCAUGAUUACCAAAUAAAGAAGGGCGUUCCACGCCUUCAUAGUUUGGGAUAUCCAUCACGGCCAGGCCCUCAUUCGGGUCGUGACAGUAUCUAUCUCUCAUGUUAUCUUCUGAUUCCUAAGUUGCUUCUUCAACUUUAUGAUUCUUCCACAACACUUUAAUUGAGGUUAUCUCUUUGCUCCUCAAUCUUCUAACUUGAUAAUAUAAGAUUUCUAGAGGAUCUUCUUUAUAAGACAAGGAGUCUGUUACCUUGAUCUUCUCUACAGGAAAUACUAAAGAAUGGUCUCCGAUACAUUUCUUCAACAUGGACACAUAGAAUACUGGAUGAACGGAACUCAAACUAGCAGGCAACUCUAACUCAUACGCAACUGAACCUACCCUUCUCAAAAUCUGAUAUGGUCCUAUAUAGCGAGGACUCAACUUACCUUUCUUCCCAAAUCGCAUGACCCCCUUCAUAGGAGAAACUUUUAGAAAUACCUAAUCACCAACCUCGAAUUAGAAGUCCCUUCUUCUAACAUCGGCAUAGGAUUUUUGUCUACUCUGAGUUGUCUUAAGUCAUUCCCUAAUAAGUUUAACAUCUUCCAUUGCCUGGUGAACAAGAUCAGGCCUAAACAACUGAGUCUCGUCCACCUCAUACCACCCUAUAGGCGACCUAUAUCUUCUCCCUUACAACGCUUCAAAAAGGAGCCAUCUUAAUUCUGGCAUGGUAGCUAUUAUUAUUUGCAAACUCUAUUAGAGUCAAGUGAUCCACCCAACUAACCUUGAAAUCAAUAACACAGGCUCUCAACAUAUCCUCUAGGGUCUGAAUGGUGUGAUCAGGCCUCAGUACUUUUUCCUGCACGUUUUACUGUUCACUACUAUUCAUGGUUCAUUCGGAAUGUUCAUAACUCGUUGCUCCGGUGUCCGUUUUGGAUGAUUCACAUAUCAUUGGAAAUCUUAUUCGAUACUCUAUGUAAUGGUGGGUCAUAAUCUAAGACAUUCUAUACUAAAAAUUUAUAAUUCAUUCUAGAAGAUAGAACCCAACACGUUUAUGCACAAAAUUUCAACGAAAAAUUCCCGGGGUAUUACAUCAUCCCCCCUUGGAAACAUUCAUCCUCGAAUGACGCUAGACAUGACAAGAUUAGAUAGGGAAUAGAGAAAAUAGCUGAAACCAUUCGUUAGACUCAUCGCCACAUUGUUUCUCACUCCGAAUGCAAUAUAGAAUGCAUAAAUUCAAGAAACUACCGCUGAACACAUUAUAAAUGACAGCUGAACUGCUGCAACUUUUAUCAAAAGUGCAUGAUUUAGGAAAGAACGGUACCUUCGGCCUGAUCGGAGUUCGCGAAAAAUAGGUGCGGGUACUUGGAUUGCAUAUCCGCCUCAGCUUCCCAAGUUACAACCUCAACAGAUUGGUUUCACCACAACACCUUGACCAAGGGAACUUCUUUGUUCCUUAGUCUUCAGACACUGAAAUCAAGAAUCUCAAUAGGAAUCUCAUCAAAAGAAAUAUUUCCUUGAAUGUCAGCACUCACAGAGGAAUCCACUACCACAGCAUCGCUAAUAUGCUUUCUAAGCAUGGAGACAUGGAAUAUUGGAUGAACAGAGAGGGCAACUCGACCUCAUAAGCUACCUUACCAACACGGCUAAGAAUUUUGUAAGGACCAACAUAACGGGGACUAAGCUUCCCCUUCUUUCCGAAUCUCUUCACCCCCCUCAUGGGUGAAAUUUUCAGANNNNNNNNNNNNNNNNNNNNNNNNNNNNNNNNNNNNNNNNNNNNNNNNNNNNNNNNNNNNNNNNNNNNNNNNNNNNNNNNNNNNNNNNNNNNNNNNNNNNNNNNNNNNNNNNNNNNNNNNNNNNNNNNNNNNNNNNNNNNNNNNNNNNNNNNNNNNNNNNNNNNNNNNNNNNNNNNNNNNNNNNNNNNNNNNNNNNNNNNNNNNNNNNNNNNNNNNNNNNNNNNNNNNNNNNNNNNNNNNNNNNNNNNNNNNNNNNNNNNNNNNNNNNNNNNNNNNNNNNNNNNNNNNNNNNNNNNNNNNNNNNNNNNNNNNNNNNNNNNNNNNNNNNNNNNNNNNNNNNNNNNNNNNNNNNNNNNNNNNNNNNNNNNNNNNNNNNNNNNNNNNNNNNNNNNNNNNNNNNNNNNNNNNNNNNNNNNNNNNNNNNNNNNNNNNNNNNNNNNNNNNNNNNNNNNNNNNNNNNNNNNNNNNNNNNNNNNNNNNNNNNNNNNNNNNNNNNNNNNNNNNNNNNNNNNNNNNNUAUCAACCACAACCCAAAUGGAAUCAUGAUGUCAUCAGGAAGGAGGUAAACCAAUCAUGAAGUCCAUAUUUAUCUCUUCCCACUUCCAGGUGGGAAUACUAAACUCUUGCAUCAUAUCACCAGGUCUUUGGUGUUCAACCUUAACCUGUUGGCAUAUUGCACACUUAGCUACAAAUGCUGCUAUAUCUUUCUUAAUGCCACUCCACCAAUAGAUUUCCCGCAAGUCUUGAUUCAUCUUGGUGGCACCAGGAUGAAUAAAAUAUCGCGCCUCGUGCGCUUCAUCCAUAAUCCUCUAUCUCAGGUCAUCAACAUUGGGGAUACAAAAUCUACCCUGUAAUCUCAACACACCAUCUCCCUCUUGGGAGAAAACCUCUACUUUUUGGUCCUUGACUGACGCCUUUAGUCUGACCAAACUACCAUCUAAGUAUUGCUUUUCCUUCACUUCCAAAACCAAGGAGGAUUCGGAACUACUCUGAACCCCUAUACUACCUUUAGCAGAGUCAAACAUCCUAACCCCCAAUCAAGCCAAACGAUGUACAUUAAUGAUCCAACUCUUUCUUACCUUAUACCACCUGCGAAACACUACCCAUGGACACUCUACUUAGGGUAUUCGCCACAAUAUUGGCCUUCCUCGGAUGGUACAACACACUCAUAUCAUAGUCCUUUAACAAUUAUAACCAUCGUCUCUGCCUAAGAUUCAAUUCUCUCUAGGUAAACACAUGCUACAGACUCUUAUGAUUAGUGAAAACAUCAACAUGGACACCAUACAAAUAGUGUCUUUAGAUUUUCAAAGCAAACACAAUAGCAGCCAACUCAAGGUCAUGGGNNNNNNNNNNNNNNNNNNNNNNNNNNNNNNNNNNNNNNNNNNNNNNNNNNNNNNNNNNNNNNNNNNNNNNNNNNNNNNNNNNNNNNNNNNNNNNNNNNNNNNNNNNNNNNNNNNNNNNNNNNNNNNNNNNNNNNNNNNNNNNNNNNNNNNNNNNNNNNNNNNNNNNNNNNNNNNNNNNNNNNNNNNNNNNNNNNNNNNNNNNNNNNNNNNNNNNNNNNNNNNNNNNNNNNNNNNNNNNNNNNNNNNNNNNNNNNNNNNNNNNNNNNNNNNNNNNNNNNNNNNNNNNNNNNNNNNNNNNNNNNNNNNNNNNNNNNNNNNNNNNNNNNNNNNNNNNNNNNNNNNNNNNNNNNNNNNNNNNNNNNNNNNNNNNNNNNNNNNNNNNNNNNNNNNNNNNNNNNNNNNNNNNNNNNNNNNNNNNNNNNNNNNNNNNNNNNNNNNNNNNNNNNNNNNNNNNNNNNNNNNNNNNNNNNNNNNNNNNNNNNNNNNNNNNNNNNNNNNNNNNNNNNNNNNNNNNNNNNNNNNNNNNNNNNNNNNNNNNNNNNNNNNNNNNNNNNNNNNNNNNNNNNNNNNNNNNNNNNNNNNNNNNNNNNNNNNNNNNNNNNNNNNNNNNNNNNNNNNNNNNNNNNNNNNNNNNNNNNNNNNNNNNNNNNNNNNNNNNNNNNNNNNNNNNNNNNNNNNNNNNNNNNNNNNNNNNNNNNNNNNNNNNNNNNNNNNNNNNNNNNNNNNNNNNNNNNNNNNNNNNNNNNNNNNNNNNNNNNNNNNNNNNNNNNNNNNNNNNNNNNNNNNNNNNNNNNNNNNNNNNNNNNNNNNNNNNAGUUCGAAAAGUAGUUUUCGGGAUGUCACACUCCCUAACUUUGAGUUGAUAGUCAGAACGAAGGUCUAUCUUUGAGAAAUAACUUGCACCUUGAAAUUGGUCAAACAAAUCAUCUAUUCUCAGAAGGGGGUACUUAUUUUUUACGGUGACUUUAUUCAGUUGGCGGUAAUCAAUGCACAUACACUAAGAGCCAUCUUUCUUUCUCAUAAACAACACAGGAGCACCCCAAGAAAUGGGCUGAGUAUCGGGAAGAGGAUAAAUUUUGAACUCUAUCUCUCUAUCAGGAGGUAUCCCUGGGAGAUCAUCCAGAAAGAAAUCAGAAAACUGAUUGACGACGUUAACAGAUUGAAGAGUUGGAGUCUCAGACUUAGUGUCUUUGACUCUAACCAAAUGGUAAAUACACCCCUUGCAAAUAAGCUUUCUAGCUUUAGGGUAAGAGGUAAAAUGACUCUUGGGUGACACAGAAUUCCCAGACCACUCAAAAAUGGAUGCACCCGGAAACUGAAACUUGACCACUCGGGUCCGACAAUCAAUAGAGGCAUAAGAAGAAUAUAGCUAGUCCAUACCCAGAAUCACAUCAAAAUCUACCAUGUCUAACUCAAUCAGAUCAGCCAACAAAACUCUAUGAAGAACGGUAACAUGACACUUUUUAUACACUUUCUGGGCAACAAUCAAAUCACCCACUGGGGUAGAAACUAGGAUAGGCUCAAGAAUAAUCUCAGGACUCAUUUCAACAUUCACAGUAAUCAAAGGUGUAACAUAUGAGAAACUGGAUCCAGGAUUCAACAAAGCAUACACAUAGAACUGAAAUAUACGAAGCAUACCAGUAACAACAUUGGGAGAGUCCUCCUGUUCCUGGCAGGAUGGUAAAGCAUAGAAUCUAUUCUGGCACUGCCCGCCAGCAUUGCUAGAAGAGGUGCCCUGAGCUGCGGCUGGGCGAGUCACUAGAACUGGAGCACUAACAGUCUUAGUCUGGGUCUGAGGGCGAUAGUCACGGUGCCUUUGUCCAUCCUAUGGAAAAUAUCUAAAUCUGUGACCCAUGUCACCACAUCGGAAACAACCCCUCUUCUCACCCCAAUACUCACCCGAAUGAGCCCUACCACACUUAGGACACAAGGGAUUAUUUGGCUUACUGCCAGCACUGUACUAGGACCUGGAUGCAUAUGAACUGCUACCUUGAUCCUGCCUACCUCUAGGCACGGGAGCACUAGAAGAUGACGGUGCUGGCAUAGACGAACAAUCCGGAUACUGAGGGCGACUCCCUCCCUAUGAUCUAGUUUGACCCUGUCUAUGCUGCUCGAACCUAACUCUUUUAUUCUCUCUCAUUCUAUCUCUCUCCUUAAUCUUGUCUGCCUCUAUUUGUUUGGCAUGAGUCAUCAACCUAGAAAGAUUCAUCUCACUAUUUAGCAAACCAACACUCCUUAACCACAUAACUAGAUACUCCAGUCACUAACUUACUCAUACUAACCUGAUUAUCAGCCACUAAGUUAGGAGCACACUUGGCAAAAUGAUUGAACUUUAGACAGUACUCCCUAAUAGUCAUAGAGCCCUGUCGCAGGUUCAUAAACUCUUCCACCUUUGCCUCCCUCAUCUCCAAAGGGAAAAACUUACACAGGAGUGUAUCUUAGAACACUUCCCAAGUUGUAGGGACAGCUCCCUCACCUCUACUUUUUCUUCAAGCAACAACCUAAUCAUAAGCAAGGUCUUUCAACCUAUAUGCAGCCAACUCCACACUAUGUUCCUCAUAUACAUGCAUCACCUGAGUAAUCUUUCGUACCUCCUCUAAAAACAAUCGUGGAUCCUUAUUAGAUUUGGACCCAUAGAAUUCUGAUGGAUUCAUCCGCAUGAAGUCAUGGAUCCUGGCAGCAGCUGAAUCACCUCCCUGAUGCUAUGGAGCUGGGGCCAGGUUGGCCUGAACAUUUACAGUAAUAGCUUGGACCGGCGCCUGAAAGGCUACCCAAAAUUUAGCAUGAGACACAUUUUCAUUCAAUGGGUCAGCGGGUUAAGCUUGCUGACCAUCAUUAUUUCUUCUCGCUCUAUGUGGAGGCAUAUUUCUGAAAGAGGAGAGCACUAAUCAAUAGCAGAGAGAGACACUUUAAGAAUGAUAGACUUCUAAAAGAAAGAAUCAUACUUUUUCCUAAAACGUCUUGUAGCCUCUUGCUCAUAGAUGUGGCGCGCUGCACACCGAUGAUCAAGACUCUACUUAACACGGCUUCUCAGACUCCCUAGGAUAGCUUAAAAUCUUAGGCUCUGAUACCAAGUUUGUAACGCCCAAAAAAUGGGUCUCAGAGCGUCACACGGUGCUUGAGGCUACGUGUAGCCCCAAGCUAACCCUUUGAUUCAUUUUCAUUCAGUUCAACACAAAUCAACGGGGUUUCUAUAAAUAGACCUCAAAUAUCAACAAAAUAAUCAUCAUCCAAGAAUUAAAGUAUUUCAAAAAGAUAACAAAAUAUGACUUAUUAGUCAACUCCUAACAUCUAUACUAGUCUGAUAAGCCUCUAAGAAAAUCAAUAAAACCAAUGAGCCAUUGAGACAUCCCCCAACUGACUCAUACUCAGUUAUCAAAUGUAAAUAANNNNNNNNNNNNNNNNNNNNNNNNNNNNNNNNNNNNNNNNNNNNNNNNNNNNNNNNNNNNNNNNNNNNNNNNNNNNNNNNNNNNNNNNNNNNNNNNNNNNNNNNNNNNNNNNNNNNNNNNNNNNNNNNNNNNNNNNNNNNNNNNNNNNNNNNNNNNNNNNNNNNNNNNNNNNNNNNNNNNNNNNNNNNNNNNNNNNNNNNNNNNNNNNNNNNNNNNNNNNNNNNNNNNNNNNNNNNNNNNNNNNNNNNNNNNNNNNNNNNNNNNNNNNNNNNNNNNNNNNNNNNNNNNNNNNNNNNNNNNNNNNNNNNNNNNNNNNNNNNNNNNNNNNNNNNNNNNNNNNNNNNNNNNNNNNNNNNNNNNNNNNNNNNNNNNNNNNNNNNNNNNNNNNNNNNNNNNNNNNNNNNNNNNNNNNNNNNNNNNNNNNNNNNNNNNNNNNNNNNNNNNNNNNNNNNNNNNNNNNNNNNNNNNNNNNNNNNNNNNNNNNNNNNNNNNNNNNNNNNNNNNNNNNNNNNNNNNNNNNNNNNNNNNNNNNNNNNNNNNNNNNNNNNNNNNNNNNNNNNNNNNNNNNNNNNNNNNNNNNNNNNNNNNNNNNNNNNNNNNNNNNNNNNNNNNNNNNNNNNNNNNNNNNNNNNNNNNNNNNNNNNNNNNCAGUUGUAUAAACAUCAUCAUCAUAAAUAUUUAUAAGAAAUAUGCGGGAUGUAUGAAAGACUCACAUAUCCCAAAGAAAAUCAUCAUAAUCAUGGGAGGAUGAAAUAAGUACAAUAACACAUAUGAGUCAUCAUAUAAUUUGUCAAUCACUUUCAGUUUAUCAAGAAUAUCAAUUCUCAUAAUGUAAAUAUCAUUUAAAUCUUUCGAAAAAAUAACUUUCACAAUUUCACUUUCAAAUCACUUCACCAUUCACCAUAGACACAAGGAAGCACACACACACUGGGAGAUCCUAUAACCGACAUAAACCAUGUGAGCUACAUGGAGUACAACGUACAACCACGUUGGGGAGAGUCAUUCUAUCCUUGCCAUCGAAGUAAGACUAUCGAUAUCAAAUCCACACAAACUAGUGAUCACUAUAUAAAUCAGCCUCAGGCUCACUUCUAUGGGGGCACAUAGUUCUAGGGAAGUAAGGUCGCCUUAUACCUCCCACUCGGUGCUAAAGAUUUCUCCUGGACUUAGCUCACAUCAUUUCAAAGACAAUCCAUAACAAAAUAAUUUUUAGCAAUAUAUAAAUAUAUAUCGGGAGCCAUCAUGCUACCCAUCUAUCAAAAUCAACAAUGUUGUGGAUUUCUUUCACACUCGAGUUCAAAACAACUUCAUUAAGACCAAAAGGUCAAAUCAUUCAAAAUAUCUCAAAUAUUGAAAAACCCCACAUACAUUGAAUGAUGAACUUUAGAUUGAUACUUGUUUUUGAGAUGUUAAUCAUGCCUUUGAAUGAUGGUUCUUGGAGUUCUUGAACUAGGAGCUUGGAAUUUUGAAUAAAUUUGCAGAAUUAAUGAACUUUGGAGGUUUUUGAAGUUGGAUGUAGGAGCUUAGGGUUUUCUUUUUGAGGAAAUUUGAUGAAAUAUAACAUAUAAUACUUCUAAUGGGAUUUAAUAUAGGGUUUGGAUGGAUUUUGGGUGAGGCGGGAUGACCAAAACGCCCCUAAAAAUCAAAUAAUUCUCGAAUCUGUCCUUUGGUGGAAUGUUUUGAUAGUUUGAAGUAGAUCAACCAUAACAUUUUACUCUGAUAUCCAAAUUGGAUGAAACUAAUUUCAUUAGAAAGAGGACUCUCAUAUCUUUCCAUUGAUAUAUAGUAUGUCACCCAGAUCAUUGUUUAAGAGGAGUUAUGAUCGUUUGAAGUUUACCUAAAAAUUUGCUUUUGGUAGGCUGAAGUAGAUCAACCAUAACUUUUUGCUCCGAUAGACAAAUUGGAUGAAACCAAUUUCAUUGGAAAGAGAACUCAUAGAGCUUUUCGUUAAUAUAUAGUAGAUCACCUAGAUCAAUAUGUACAAGGAGUUAUGAUCAUUUAAAUUUGUAGCAAAAAUACGCCAGGCCUCAGUACUUUUUCCUGGAUGUUUUACUGUUCACUACUAUUCAUGGUUCAAUUGAAAUGUUCAUAACUCGUCGCUCGGGUGUCUGUUUUGGAUGAUCCACAUAUCGUUGGAAAUCUUAUUCGAUACUCUACGCAAUGGUGGGUCAUAAUCUAAGACAUUCCUCAUGAAAAAUUUACAAUUUAUUCUAGAAGAUAGAACCCAACACAUUUACGCACAAAAUUUCAACGAAAAAUUUCCCGGGGUAUUACACUACUAGGUAUUUAAGAAUGUUCCUCUUAUUUGUGAUUUAGUUCAUGCUUCAAAUUCUAAUAUCUCCCCUAAUCAAUGACCUCUUACUUUUUAGAAAACCAGUGAUGCCUCCCCGUCGCACCAACAUUAAUACUGAGGAUGAUGAAGUCCAUCCCACCCAUGGGAUAUGGACCCGUAACAGAGCUCAUACCCUAAAAUAUAUUCCUACUCCGGGAGUACCUUAUGUACUAACUAGUCCUCCCAGAGCUCUCCAUACGGGGGCCAGUCGCACUUAGCCUCGUGAAGGAGAGGUUUCUAAUGCUGAAUUCAGACAAUCUAUUCAUAUUUUUUCACAGCUGGUAGCUACACAGACUCAUAGAUUAGAGAAUACUAGGUAUGCAUCUAUUACUUUUGAAGUUACUAGAGUAGGCCAGUUCAUGAGAAUGAACUUGCCCAAGUUCUCUGGCGCUAAGGUAGAAGAGGACCCGCAGGAGUUCGUGUAUGAAAUGGAGAAGAUUUUUAAAGUAAUGCAUGUUGAUCAAGUGGAGGGUGUUAAGCUAUCAUUAUACCAGCCAAAGGAUGUAGCGAACCAAUGGUACAAUGAGUGGGAAGAUACGAAGGGUGACAGUGCUAAGCCCACAGUUUAGGACAAGUUCGUGAAAGCUUUACUUGACCGAUUCUUUCCUCUAGAGCUGAGAAAAGAUAAAGUAGAGGAGUUUAUGAACCUUAAGUAGGGUAAGAUAAGUUUUCAAGAGUAUACUUUAAUGUUUAACCAACUGGACCGUUAUGCUCCUGAGAUGAUGAGUAGUAUGAGGGCCCGAAUGAGGAAGUUUGCUUCUGGCCUUUUAGAUGACCUAGUUCUUGGGUGUCAGGGAGCUAUGCUGAACAGGGAUAUGGAAUUUGCUAGACUAUCAGUCCACAUGCAGUAAGUUGAGGAGAAUAAGAAGAAGAUAAUUGAAUCUAGGGAAAACUAUAGGUAGAUAAAGAGAGCCAAACCGAAAGACCAGAGUCAUAGUCAACAGUAGAGCGGUAAUUGGGGAGAAAAAUGGCAAAAGAAAAAGAAUUAGGGUUAUGCACAAUCGGCAGCUAGUGCUUCGGUGACCAGACACACAGCUGAGCAGCGCACCCAGAAUUUUCAGUUUAGUCAGGGGCUGAGGAUGUAGGGUACGCAGUCGUAGGGAAGUGUAGCCCAGACCUCUCGGUCCUAUCCGCACUAUGGGAGAUACAGGGGAAAUCAUGUAGGGAGAUGUCAGUUUGACACUUUGGUGUGUUAUUCAUGUGGCCAGAUGGGCCAUAUCCAGAGAGACUGUGCAGUAGCAAAGAGUAGUGUUGGAGGAGCCAAGUCGCAGGCAAACUCAUCUGCACCACCACCUCAAAAGGGUUCCACUUUAGCCAUCGAAAAUGGUCGGAACUAGUUGUAUGCUUUGACUAAUCGCCAAGAGGCAAAGGCCUCACUAGAUGUAGUCACCGGUAUAUUGCAAAUAUUUUCUUUUGAUGUGUAUGUAUUACUUGAUCCCAAGUCUACCUUAUCUUAUGUGACCCCAUACGUGUCUGUUGGUUUUAGGUUUGAGCUUGAUGUGAUUGUUGAACCUUUUUUAGUUUCCACCCCGGUAGGAGAUUCUGUUGUGUCUAAGAGGGUGUAUAGAAAUUAUUUUGUGUCUAUUUUCAGCUGGGAUACUGAGGCCGAUCUCAUAGAACUUGAUAUGGUUGAUUUUGAUGCCAUCUUAGGGAUAGACUGGCUCCAUUCGUGCUAUGCCACCUUGAAUUAUAGGACCCAAAGAGUCACCUUUUCUUUUCUGAAUGAGUCGAUGAUAGAAUGGGGAGGGGGCAAUCUCUAGCACCUAGAGGGCAUUUCAUAGCUUAUCUUAGGGCCCAUAAACUUAUUUCCAAAGGUUGCUUGUAUCAUCUUAUUUGGGUUAAAAAUUCUAGUGCCGAAAGCCUUUCUCUUCAGUCUGUCUCCGUAGUGAAUAAAUUCUCAAAAGUUUUUCCAGAUGAUCUCCUAGGAAUACCACCUAAUAGGGAGAUAGAGUUUGGUAUUGAUUUAUUGCGAGAUACCUGUCCUGAUUCUAUUCCGCCAUAUCGGAUGGCCCCUGCAGAGCUAAAAGAGUUGAAAGAACAGCUAGUAGAUCUUCUAGAUAAAAUUUUUAUCCACCCCAGUGUGUCUCCCUGUGGUGCACCUGUACUUUUUGUAUGAAAGAAAGAUGGUUCCCUUUGUAUGUGCAUAGAUUACUGCCAGUUGAAUAAGGUCACGAUUAAAAAUAAAUAUCUCCUUCCUAGAAUUGAUGAUCUUUUGGAUCAACUUCAGGGUGCUAAAUGUUUUUCAAAGAUAGAACUUCAUUUGGGAUAUCACCUGUUGAAAGUUAGAGUGCUAGAUAUUCCUAAAACAUCUUUUCGAACCAGAUAUAGCCAUUAUGAAUUCUUAGUCAUGUCUUUCAGGUUGUCUAACGCCCUUGCAGCUUUCAUGGAUCUAAUGAAUAGGGUUUUUCAUUAGUUUCUAGAUCUGUUUGUCAUUGUAUUCAUUAAUGACAUUUUGGUAUAUUAUAAGAGUGAGGAGGACCAUGCCAAUCAACUCCAAAUCAUCCUUCAAACCCUUAAAGAUCAUAAAUUGUAUGCAAAAUUUUCCAAGUGGGAAUUCUGGUUGAACGCUAUUGCAUUCGUGGGGCAUAUCAUGUCUUGUGAAGGGAUUAAGGUUGAUCCCCAAAAGAUUGAGGAUGCGAUAAAAUGGCCUAGACCCACGACUCCAACCGACAUUCGGAGCUUCUUGGGUUUGGUGGGUUAUUACAAAAGAUUCGGCAAGAGUUUUUCUUCCAUAGCUGCAUUACUUACUAAGUUGACUCAGAAAAAGGUGAUGUUUUUGUGGUCUAACUCUUGUGAGAAUAGUUUUGAGAAGUUGAAAGAAAAGUUGACUACUGCUCCUAUUCCGACCAUUUUAGAGGGUACAUAAGGUUUUGUUGUAUACUGUGAUGCAUCCUGAGUAGGACUUGGGUGUGUCUUUAUACAGCACGGUAAGGUAGUGGCUUAUGCAUCUAGGCAGUUGAAGGUGCAUGAACGAAACUACCUACUCAUGACUUGGAUUUAGCGGCUAUGGUUUUUGUACUUAAGAUCUGGAGGCACUAUUUGUAUGGGGUAUACGUUGAUAUAUUUACUGACCACAAGAGUUUAUAGUAUGUUUUCUUGCAGAAAGAAUUGAAUCUCAGGAAGAGGCGGUGGUUGGAACUUUUAAAAGACUAUGACAUAAGCCUUCACUAUCAUCCGGGCAAGGCAAAUGUGGUAACCGACGCCCUCAACAGGUUAUCUAUGGGCAGUCUUUCUCAUGUGGGGAAUGAAAAGAGGGAGAUGGUGAAGGAUAUUCACUGACUUGCAAAUCUAGGAGUGCAACUUUUCGAUUCCGAUGAUGGAGGAGUAGUUGUUCAUGAGAUAACUAAAUCUUCCCUUUGUACAGAAGUUAAAGAGAAGCAGGUCAAAGAUCCCAUCUUGAUGCAGAUCAAGAAAGAUGUGGGUCAACAAAAGGUAAUGACAUUUGAAAUUGGUGGUGAUGGUGUUUUGAGAUACCGGGGUAGAUUGUGUGUGCCAGAUUUUGAUGGUCUGAGGAAGAGAAUCCUUGACGAAGCUCACACGUCGACAUAUAUUGUUCACCCUGACUCUACUAAGAUGUAUCAGGAUUUGAAAACCAUUUAUUGGUGGAAUAAUAUGAAGCGUGAUGUGGCUAACUAUGUUGCCAAAUGUUUGAAUUGUCAACAAGUUAACAUAGGAGAAACAUUUAGAAAUACCUAAUCACCAACCUCGAAUUCCAACUCCCUUCUUCUAACAUCGGCAUAGGAUUUUUGUCUACUCUGAGCUGUCUUAAGUCAUUCCCUAAUAAGUUUAACAUUUUCCAUUGCCUGGUGAACAAGAUCAGGCCUAAACAACUGAGUUUCGCCUACCUCAUACCAUCCUAUAGGCGACCUAUAUCUUCUUCCUUACAACGUUUCAAAAAGGAGCCAUCUUAAUUCUGGCAUGGUAGCUAUUAUUAUUUGCAAACUCUAUUAGAGUCAAGUGAUCCACCCAACUACCCUUGAAAUCAAUAACACAGGCUCUCAACAUAUCCUCUAGGGUCUGAAUGGUGUGCUCAACUUUCCCAUUCAUCUAAGGGUGAAAUGCAGUACUUAGGUUCACUUGAGUACCUAAACCCCUCUGAAAAGACCUCAAAAACUAUGAAGAAAAUUGUGUACCUCGAUAAGAUAUGAUGGAUACUGGUGUUCCAUGCAAACAGAUUAUUUCCUCAAUGUCAAUCUUGGAAUAAUUAUCUCCCGAAUAGUUGGUCCUAACAGGCAGAAAAUGGGCUGACUUAGUCAGCUGAUUAACAAUUACCAAAAUGGAAUCAUAUUGGUUUCGAGGCCUCGGAAGCCCCGUAAUGGUCCAUAUUGACCAUUUCCCACUUCCACAAAGGUAAGGCUAUCUCUUGGGAUUUACCACCUCGCCUUAAAUGCUCUACUUUAACUUGCUGACAAUUCAAACACUUGGCAACAAAGUUAGCCACAUCACAUUUCAUAUUAUUCCACCAGUAUAUAGCUUUUAAAUCAUGACACAUCUUAGUAUAACCUGGAUAAACAACAUCCCUCAAAGUGUGAGCUUCGUCAAGGAUUCUUUUUUGCAUACCAUCCACAUCUGGCACAUAUAAUCUCCCCUGAUAUCUCAAAAUACCAUCACCACCAAUUUCAAAUAACAUCACCUUCUGCUGACCCACAUUAUUCUUAAUUUUCAUCAAGAUGGGAUCUUCGGUUUGCUUUUCUUUAACUUCUGUACAAAGGAAAGAUUUAGCUAUCUCAUGAACAACCACACCCCCAUCCUUGGAAUCUAAGAGUUGUACCCCAAGAUUUGCAAUUCUGUGAAUAUCCUUCACCAUUUCCCUCUUUCCUUCCUCAACAUGAGAAAGACUACCCAUAGACAACCUGCUGAGGGUAUCAGCUACAAUAUUUACCUUACCCGGAUGAUAGUGAAGGCUCAUGUCAUAAUCUUUCAAAAGGUCUAUCCAACUCCUAUGCCUGAGGUUUAAUUCUUUCUGUGAGAAAAUAUACUGCAAACUUUUGUGGUCAGUGAAAAUAUCAACAUGCACCCCAUAAAGAUAAUGCCGCCAGAUUCUAAGUGCAAACACCACAGCCGCUAAUUCUAAGUCAUGGGUAGGGUAAUUGCGCUCAUGUACUUUUAACUGCCUAGAUGCAUAAACCACCACCUUAUAUACUGCAUAAGAAUACAUCCAAGUCCCAUUCGGGAUGCAUCGCAGUAUACAACAAAACCUUCUGUACCUUUCAUAAGAUUCAGUACAGGUGCAGUAGUCAAUUUUUCCUUCAACUUCUCAAAACUACUCUCAAAUGAGUCAGACCAAACAAAUUUCACCUUUUUCUGGGUCAAUUUAGUAAGUCGAGAAGCUAUGGAAGAAAAAUUCUCUAUGAAUCUUCUGUAAUACCUUGACAAACCCAAGAAGCUCUGGAUGUCGAUUAGAGUUGUGGGUCUGGGCCAUUUUCUCACUGCCUCAAUCUUUUGGGGAUCAACCUUAAUUCCCUCACAAGACACAAUAUGCCCCAAGAGAGAAAUAACAUUCAACCAGAAUUCACAUUUGAAGAAUUUUGCAUACAACUUAUGAUCCUUGAGAGUCUGAAGGAUCAUUCAGAGAUGAUUGGCAUGAUCCUCCCCACUCUUAGAAUAGGCCCAAAUUUCAUCAAUAAAAACUAUGAAAAACAGAUCUAGAAAUUGACGGAAGACCCUAUUUAUUAGAUCCAUAAAAGCUGCAGGGGCGUUAGUUAAUUCGAAGGACAUGACUAAGAAUUUGUAAUGGCCGUAUCUGGUUUGGAAAGCUAUUUUAGGAAUAUCUAACUCUCUAAAUUUGAACUGAUAGUAUCCCGAACGAAGGUCUAUCUUUUAAAAACAUUUAGCACCCUGGAGUUGGUCGAACAAAUCGUCAAUUCUAGGCAGAGGGUACUUAUUUUAAAUGGUGACCUUAUUCAGCUGGCGGUAAUCUAUGCACAUACGCAAGGAGCCAUUUUUCGUUCACACGAAAAGUACAGGUGCAGUCCAGGGAGAAAUACUAGGACGAAUAAAACCGUUAUCUAGAAGAUCUGCUAGCUGCUCUUUCAUCUCUUUCAACUCUACUGGAGCCAUUCUAUAUGGAGAAAUAGAGAUGGGACGGGUAUCUGGCAAUAAAUCAAUGCCAAAAUCUAUCUCUGUAUCAUGUGGUAUUCCUGGGAGAUCAUCAGGAAAGGCUUCUAGAAACUCAUUUACCACAGAGACUAACUGAAGAGGUGGACUCUCAAUAUUAGAAUCUUUCACUCAAAUCAGAUGAUAUAGACAACCCCUGAAAAUGAUCUUACAAGCUCUAAGAUAAGAUAUAAAGUGCCCUCUAGGUGCUAAAGAAUGCCCUUCCCAUUCUACCACUGGUUCAUUUGGAAAGGAAAAAUUAAUCUUUCGAGUUCUACAGUCUAGUGUGGCAUAACAUGAAUGAAGCCAUUAUGUCCAUAUGAUGGCAUCAAAAUUGACCAUAUCAAGCUCUACGAGGUCUGCUACUGUAUCCCGGCUAAAAAUAGACACAACGCAAUUCUUUUACACUCUCUUAGCCACAAUAGGGUCACCUACUGAGGUGGAAAUAGAAAAAGGUUCAGCAAUCACAUCAGGCUCAAACCCAAAACCAACAGCUACAUAAGGGGUCACAUAGGAUAAGGUAGACCCAAGAUCUAGUAACACAUAAACAUCAUGUGAAAAGAUUUGCAACGUACCGGUGACUACAACAGGUGAGGCUUCUGCCUCCUGAUGGUUGGACAAAUCAUAUAGCCGGUUGCGACCACUCCCGACGGCUGAAGUAGUGUCCUUUUGAGGAGGUGGUGGCGCGAAAGAAUUUGCAUGUGACUUAGCUCCACUAAAAUUUCUCCUAUUGGAGGGACAAUUUCUUUGAAAGUGACCCGACUGACCACAUGAAUAACACACCAGCUUGCCCAACUGACACCUCCCUGGGUGUUUCUUUUCGCAUGUCUCACACCACGAACAAUGACGGUACUGCUGAGCCACACUGCCCUGUGACUGAGUAUCCUGAGCUCUGGGUCCAUGACUAGUUUGAAAACUUGAGAUCGUCUAUCAAAUGGGGUUCUGGGAGCUGAGGCGCUAGCUGCAGACUACGCAUUACUCCAAAACUUCUUCUUUUGCCAUCUAUUUCCCCAAUUACCACUCUGUCCUUGAUUGUUGUUCUGAUCCACUGUUCUGGCUUUCUUUGCCUGUCUGUCCUUCUCCCUAGAUUUGGUGAUUUUCUUUUCUUCACUUCUACCUGCUGCAUGUGAACUGACAACCUAGCAACGUCCAUAUACCUAUUUAGCAUCGCCCUUUGACAUUCAAGUUCUAGAUCAUCUGAAAGGCCAGAUGCAAAUUUACUCAUCCGGGCUCUCAUAUUUCCUAUCAUCUCUGGUGCAUAACGGGCCAGUUGGUUAAAAUAUCCAGAGUGUACUCUUGGACACUCAUUUUCUCCUGUUUAAGAUUCAUAAAUUCUUUUGCGUUGGCUUUCCUCAAAUCCAGAGGAAAGAAUUAGUCAAGAAAAGUUUCCACGAACUCGCCCCAAACUGUGGGCUCAACACUCUCACCCUUCGUCUCUUCCCACUCGUUAUACCAUUGGUUCGCUACAUCCUUAAGCUAGUAUGAUGCUAACUCAACCCCUUUUACCUGAUCCAUAUGCAUUGCUCUGAGAAUCUUCUCUAUUUUGUCUAUGAACUCCUGGGGGUCCUCUUCUACCUUAGUGCCAGAAAAUUCGGGCGGGUUCAUUUUCAUGAACUGGCCCACCCUAGUAUCCUCAGAAGUAACAGAUACAGACCCAGUAUCUUUCGACCUCUGAGUUUGAGCGGCUACUAGCUGUGAAAACAUAUGAAUGAACUGUCUGAAUUCUGCAUUUGAUAUGUCCCUCUAAGAAUACUGGGGACGAUUAACAUUUGUUCUUGGAGCUCGAGGAGGACUGGUCGGGAUUGGAGGUACUCUCAGAGUAGGAACAGGUUUUGGGGUGUGCGCUCUAUUACGGGUCCGCAUACUAUGGGUGGGGUGGACUUCAUCAUCCUAAGUAUCCUGGUUAUUGGAGAGACGAGGAGGCAUGGUUGUUUUCUAAAAUACAAUAGAUCACUAAUUAGGGGACAAUUCUAAUUCAGACUUUAAAGCACGAACUAAAUCACAAAGAGGGGAAACACUUUCCUAAACGCCUAGUAGCCUCCUGCUUAUAAGUGUGGCAUGCUACACACCCAUAAACAAGAUUCUACCUGAUGCGAUUUCGCAGACACCCUGGGAUCAUGAACCGUACUCUGAUACCAAGUUUGUCAUAAACUGAACCGAGGCCCUAGCCGCGAUGAGCAUCCCGAACCAUAAACGCCCGAGAAACCUUCUAACUCAUAAUAAUGUACACCAUUCAUAUACAAAUAGAAAAUGCGGAAUAAUACAAAAUAAAAUAGAAUAAUGGUCAUAAAUCUGAUAUAAUUUGAACUAUGGAAAAUGAAAUCCAAACCGUCUAACGAUAUCUGAAAACUGUCUGCGAAAUCUCUACUACAUGACCACUAACAAAAUCUAAAAACUGGGACAAGGCCACCAGUAGACCAAAAACAUAACUAAUAAUAAUUGACUGAAAGUAAACAGUCAUUCUGGAAUAUAGAAGGCUCACCAACUAGACACUGCAUGAAAUCUACUGCUUAUCUAGACCCCUAGACUGAGCCUCAGAACCUGAGAGGUAGGAGUAGGGUUCAAUACAGAUAUACUGGUACACAAAGUAAUCCAAAAUAAAGCUUUUAUAUAAAUAAAAUAAUGGAGAGCAAUUUGUCAAAACAUCAUAGAUAAAAUAGUUUUCAAAACACAUGGGCAUCUUUCUGAAAAAAAAGCCAUAAAACAUUCUUGACAAUGAAGUUUCUGAUCUUUGUAUUAAUUCUGAGUUAGGUGGUACACUCCUACAAGUUUAAACUCCACGGGAAAUAUGGAGUCCUCCAUGACUCGGCGGGGAAUCCCCCAACCCAAGUGUACCGCAAGGGUUGGAGUGUCUAAGUCUUAUACACCACAGAGCACUAGGCCAGCGUAUAAUAAUAUACCAGGAUCGUCAAAUCACAGUUUUGGGCAAUGAGUUGUCUGAAACUCGUGCCUUCUUCGGGGACCACCCAACAUCUCUUUGUGCCCAAUUUUAAUCCAUUUCUAGCACAUAUCAUUCUAAAAUCUUAAGUCAUGAAAAUCUGGUUUCUAAGCUUGUUUGAGUCUAUUAUGGCAUUGUUUAUUUUGGUAUCAUCAUACCAAGACUUGCAAGUCAUAAUUAUAAGCCAUAAUUCAUUAAGCAUAAUUCUUUCAUUAAAACUCAAUUUAUACCACCUAGCUUUGCAAAUAGUAUAAGAGAUUUCAUAUUCCGAAACAUAAGUCAAAACUAUGCAAGAAUCCUUCAAACGUAUGGUGGUCAUGUGCUUUUGGAAAAAUCAUGCACUCUUUUAUUAUAUGAAUAUUUUCAACAUUUAUCAACACAACUACCCUCUCUUUUAAAAUCCAAAUCGUAAUCCAAUCAUAACACAAUUCAAGACAUUUUAUACCAUGCUUUUCAAGGAUGCAUUCAAAAUAAUCUAUAGCAUACGAUAAGUAAAGAAAAAUCAAAACAAGAGAGGGAUUUUACAUAAAUCACGCUCUCAAUUAAAUUAUCAACCUUAAAUCACAAGCAUACAUAUAUACACAAUUUCAAAUCAAUGUAGUGGAGGGUCAAAAGACCAAAACAAUACCGUCAAGAUUUCUAAAACAUGAAUGUAUUUAUAUAUUUGAAAACCCUUUCUUAAAAUCAUGAUUUCUAUGCCUAUGAAAUUUUAGGAAAACCCCACGUACCUCUAUUUAGGAAAUUAAAGAAUGCUUCUUGAUGCCUACGGCUUGGGGAUUCCAAAUCUUUAAUUUAUUUCGAAACCCACGGUUGAAUCUUGAGUUAUUUGGGUUUUUAGUUUGAAACCCUUGGGAUUGUUCUUGAUGAAUUUUGGAGAAAAUAUGUAUAAUGUGGUUAUUUGGGAGCUUGAUCCCAUGUUUAAGAUGUUAUAGGGAUUGGAAAAUACCCUCAAUAUCAUGGGAAAAACUGAAUAAUUGGCUUGGGGCGCCAGGAGAGGUGCCGCCCUGGCUGGACCGCUGCUCUAAGCAAGGCGCCGCCUUGCCUAUCGAGGGGUCCCCCAGAAAAGGCUCCAGGCAAGGCGUCGUAGGCCAAAUGCCUUUUGGCCACUGGUUCACAAUCCCAAAUAUGGCCUUAUGCUUGUCUAAAAAUUUUGAAACACACUCGAGACAUACCCUUGAAUUCCCCGAUUAUAACGCUACUUGAGAAUUGGAAAACGGAGGUCGGGAUGGUCAAAAAUAAAUUGCUCGAAGAUUGAAAGCUAAAAAUGAUUCUAAGUCCCCUUUUACACUUAGAAAAUUUUUAAGCUUUUAACUCAAUAAGCAUACUACUACGAUAUAACAUAUGAAGGAUUUUACGGGGUGUUACACUUAUAAAAGCAUGCGACUUCCUAAAUUCAGAGAUGAAGAGCAUAUAUGAUAAAGAUGGGUUUCAUCAGACCAUGAAGAAGUUUGUGCAGAAUGCCGAGCCUGAUGUCAUGUCAUUACUUAAGGAAGAAAAGCGAAUAAUGGCUCUUGUUAAGAGCACGGGUGAUUAUUUCCAUGGAAAUGCUAAGAGGGAUGAAGGUUUGUGAUUGUUAGUGAUUGUUAGGGAUUUUCUAGCUAUUUUGGAUAAGGUAUGCAAAGAGGUAAAAAAUUCUCCAAGAAAGAUAAAUAGCACACCAAGGAGUUCAGAAUCCACCCUUUCGCAGUGACCUGAUCAAUCCACCCCUUCACAACGACCUGGUCUAUCCAUCCCUUCACCAAGACCUGAUCAAUCUGUUCCUUCACAACCACCUGAUCAGUGUCAGAAGCUUUUUCCGGCUAUCUCAGACUGGCAAAUUGAUGAUUUUAGUUCAGACGAUGACAAUCCUUAUAUACUUUUUUUCUCAUCAGGUACAAGGUACCUAGCUCUUAUUGUUUGUUUCCGUUUAAUUCCUUCUAUUUUUCCUAGCUAACUAGUAUAGCUUCCUUAUUUAUUGGUUUUCAUGUUAUGUUUUGCUUAGGGAUCUGAGCACACCAACUAUGCCUCAAUAUGAAUCCUUACUGCCCAUAUCGCUCCAUUUAUGCUCGUCUGAGUCUGAUAACCGCUGCUUAGGGAUCUUAGUGAACGAGGACAAUGGGAUAAAAUAUUCUUUCAUUUCGAACCCCAGGAAUGGUAGAUGGAAAUCCAGAAGAGAUUGACUCGUUGCUUGGUAGGCUAACUUGAUUGGAACAGAGACCUGACAAAAGCUUCAGUGAAUUCCAGAGAUGAUCUGCUACCUGGCUCUGCAUCGAUGUUUCCCAUCUUGCAGCUUCGUUUGUCCUUAAGGAAGUAGCUAGGAUCAUCCUUUUUGUUCUUUGUAAUUAUUUUGUCAUUUUUGCUGACAAUUCUUUGUUGGAAUGGAAGUAGCGCUGUGCAUUAUUUAUUCGCGAUGUUUACACGAAAGCAAUGUAUAUAGUUUGUUCCGCCACAGGAAAUUAUUUGAUUCGUCAUUUAAAAAGUUGUCCAAAUUAUUCUUGCCCAGUUUUCUUGCCUUCUCUACUAGUUUUGGGGUGUUAAAAGGACUUCUUGUACACUUCCUCAGUUUCUUGUAAGGUCAAAUUAUCAAUGUUCUGUGAGGUCAUGAUCCGUAGGGGAUUGGAUUACUCGUUCUUUCACUGGGGAUGGGCGAAAGAAGGAUAACUCCAAACGUCACACAUUCAUCGCCUAUCUACCAUUUAGGUGGCACAUUGAUACAGUUCCAAGCGAACAAAUUUAACCCAAAAUCUCGCUAUAUAUUAUGAAUUAUUCAGCUUUCGCUAUUUCAAAUAGAUACAGAGUUUGCUCUGUAACAUAAUUUUUCCGAAACGUAAAAAGACAUAAGUACAUAAAAUAAUCUCUUGGCAUUAGUUUUGCCCAAGAACAAGUGCAAAUAAAUUGCGAGAAAAGAAAAGAUAAAAAUAAAAGACUAAAUUUGAAUUUAAAAAGAGAAUUAAGUUCAAAGACUAAAAUAUAUAUAUAGCAAGUAAAAGUUACAACCGCUUCUGUUACAGACAGUUAACCAUCUGUUGAGUGACUUGAUAUUCGAAAGCAAGCGUUAAAAUCUCUCCUCUCCUUUUUUUUCUUUCUGUCUGCAAGAAAAUGGUAGCUUCAUCAUCACCAAUUCCUGAUCCUCCGCAGGCCGAUGAAUCCGUGAGUGAUAUUAUGAAAGAAGAAAAUGAAGAAGAAGUUGUUAACUCUGAUGCUUCUCCCACUAAUAAUUAUACUGGCCUUGCGUUGAGUGGACGUAAGAGAUUACGUACUGAUGAAAAAGAAGAUGGUAAUGCAACAUCUGAUGCAAAUAAAUUACGUAAUGGAGAAGAAGAAGAAGAAGAAGAAGAAGAAGAAGAAUGGCUAAAGGAGGUUGAUGGACAGAAUGAAAAUCAAGAAUCGAAACAAGGAGAAAGAGGAAACAAUGGAAAUCAAGAAAACAAGAAUGGAGAAGAGGAAGAAGCUGGAGGGAGUCUAUUAGGAGAAGCAGAUGAAAAUCAAGAAGAAAAUGAUAACGAAGAAGAAGACAGCAGAGAGAAUACAGGAGGGGACGGUAAUGUGAUUCAUCAAAAUUCUGAACAAAAUGGAAGUGGAAAUCAAGAAUCAGAAGGAGAUGAAGGCGACGAAGACACAGAAAAUAAUGAUAAUCAAGAAGAAAUUGACGACCAAGAGGAAGAUGAAGAGGAAUACGAAUUAGUAAUAGAAGAAGAUGACAACGAAGAAGAAGAAGAAGAAGAAGAAGAAGAAGAAGAAGAAGAAGAAGAAGAAGAAGAAGAAGAGGAAGAAGAAGAAGUUGAAGAUGAAGAAGAAAGAAGAAGAAGAGCUGCUGAAAAAGGAAAACAACAAGUGUCAGAACAAGGAGGACUAUCAGCUACUGAAUACUACGUCGGCUAUGAUGCUGAUCCUCUGGAUGUGGCGAUUUUAAGAUCAAUCUUGGAUUUCAAGUGCCACUAUGGGUAUUGUCCACAUCCACCCUUACUUGAUCUCAUCUAUCACAUCAUGACUGCAGUCCCCCAUUUGGAAAUCAGCAGAGAGGAAUUAAGAGAAAAGAUCAUAGCAUAUAAGGAAAAUUUCAAUAAAGUUAGGAAACUGGAAGGAGAUAACCCCCAGAUGGACCGACCUAUUGAUUAAGAAUUUUUUGACUUGUGUAUGCGAAUAUGGGGUAAUCAGGAUGAUGAUAAUAGAUUGACAUAGAAAGCUUGUGAUACUAAUUUUCAAACUCAUUGCAGUAUAAACAUUACAGCAGCAUCAGGAUUUUCUGGGUAAAAGUUCUUUUACUCAUUAGCAGGUUGAUUUUGUGAGUGGAUUUGAUGUAUGGGCUAUUCUUGUUAACCUGUUUGAAAUAUCUUUUCUUCCAUUUAUAGAUGGAGUAUUGUUAAUGACAAUUAGUUAGCAUAUCAAUUUGAAAACGAAGUGCACGAUGCAGUUUAUGAGAAUGUGAGAAACUGGAGCUUCUGAUCCAUUUAUUCUGAUAUGCAAUCUAUGGUUGGUAUAUAUUACAUGCAUAGUAUGUUACGAAACCUUUAAAGUAGAUAAUCAGAUCAUUGUGAUGUGGUUUGCCUGUAUUUUCAGUUCACUUUCCGCUUUUGUUUGAUAUCUUCUCUUUAACUUAAUUACAGAAUCAGAGAUGUUAAUUAUUCUGAGGACGGCAAAAAAAAAACAGAUAGAUAUAUAGCAAUCUUCCAUUUAUAGAUGGAGUAUUGUUAAUGACAAUUAGUUAGCAUAUAAAUUUGAAAAUGAAGUGCACGAUGCAGUUUAUGAGAAUGUGAGAAACUGGAGCUUCUGAUCCAUUUAUUCUGAUAUGCAAUGUAUGGUUGAUAUAUAUUGCAUGCAUAGUAUGUUACGAAACCUUUAAAGUAGAUAAUCAGAUCAUCGUGAUGUGGUUUGCCUGUAUUUUCAGUUCACUUUCCGCUUUUGUUUGAUAUCUUCUCUUUAACUUAAUUACAGAAUCAGAGAUGUUAAUUAUUCUGAGGACGGCGAAAAAAAAAAACAGAUAGAUAUAUGGCAUGCUUGAAAUGUACAAGCAGAUGGUAUUAGCUAUCGUAUUGAUGAAACUCGAAAGACCUAGAAAUGAUGAGCAGAAAAACCUAGUGACAGAUGUACCAUAUAAUCUAAGAAUCUAAGUGAACCCGACAUUUGAAAAAUCCUCGGAGAUGAAUUAACGAAGAUUUGAAGAUGAAUUUUGUCUAAUGUGCUAUGUACUUUGUCUCUGCUAUAGAUGAAAUGAUCAUCAUAUCCGAAUUAUAAAGUUAUGACACAAUCAAAUCUGAGCAAAUAGAAUGUUGAAUUGAAUCGAACCAAUUUCUGCCGGAGGUUAAUACAAGUAGUUUGCUGGCGCUUUUCAGUUCACUAGAAAACUGGAAAAGACUAAUGGGAUCAGAAAACAUGCACAGACUCUGUAUUUUUCAUCAACAACUUAAUAAUAUGUUCGAUCGAUAAAGAACAUUUAACUCAGUGUUUAGUCUAUAUUAGAAUGUACGCUAUGCUUGAGGACAUUCCUAUUUGUUGUAGUUUUCCAUAUAAGCCAAGUUUUACCAGCCAUAAAUCACGACAGAUCAGUACACGCCUUACUCGAAAGGUCAUUUAAUGUAUGGUCAACAAAAUGAUCUAGUGUGAACACUAUACGUAGAGUUAUGGACAGUAAUCUACAGUGAGAUUUAGUACAACUAAUAUUUUACUGAUUUUAGUGAAAUGAAAUAGCUAUAAAUGUAGCAAGAGAAAGAACCAUCUCCUCAUUCUCAUCAACAAAUCUUCUUUCUUUCUUUAUCAGCUCCAACAUUUUCACAAAGAAUCACCAUGCCCAAAAUGCUAACUUCAGGAGAAAAUCAAUAAUCGAUCAUCCCUGAACUUGCAAAAACAACAGGAAAAAGAAAGCUCCCAGCAUCUGAAGUGNNNNNNNNNNNNNNNNNNNNNNNNNNNNNNNNNNNNNNNNNNNNNNNNNNNNNNNNNNNNNNNNNNNNNNNNNNNNNNNNNNNNNNNNNNNNNNNNNNNNNNNNNNNNNNNNNNNNNNNNNNNNNNNNNNNNNNNNNNNNNNNNNNNNNNNNNNNNNNNNNNNNNNNNNNNNNNNNNNNNNNNNNNNNNNNNNNNNNNNNNNNNNNNNNNNNNNNNNNNNNNNNNNNNNNNNNNNNNNNNNNNNNNNNNNNNNNNNNNNNNNNNNNNNNNNNNNNNNNNNNNNNNNNNNNNNNNNNNNNNNNNNNNNNNNNNNNNNNNNNNNNNNNNNNNNNNNNNNNNNNNNNNNNNNNNNNNNNNNNNNNNNNNNNNNNNNNNNNNNNNNNNNNNNNNNNNNNNNNNNNNNNNNNNNNNNNNNNNNNNNNNNNNNNNNNNNNNNNNNNNNNNNNNNNNNNNNNNNNNNNNNNNNNNNNNNNNNNNNNNNNNNNNNNNNNNNNNNNNNNNNNNNNNNNNNNNNNNNNNNNNNNNNNNNNNNNNNNNNNNNNNNNNNNNNNNNNNNNNNNNNNNNNNNNNNNNNNNNNNNNNNNNNNNNNNNNNNNNNNNNNNNNNNNNNNNNNNNNNNNNNNNNNNNNNNNNNNNNNNNNNNNNNNNNNNNNNNNNNNNNNNNNNNNNNNNNNNNNNNNNNNNNNNNNNNNNNNNNNNNNNNNNNNNNNNNNNNNNNNNNNNNNNNNNNNNNNNNNNNNNNNNNNNNNNNNNNNNNNNNNNNNNNNNNNNNNNNNNNNNNNNNNNNNNNNNNNNNNNNNNNNNNNNNNNNNNNNNNNNNNNNNNNNNNNNNNNNNNNNNNNNNNNNNNNNNNNNNNNNNNNNNNNNNNNNNAAACUUGAAAGCUUAGAAAUGAAGAGCAACACCACUCCUCUAAGUAAAUAGAAUGUUAGCAAAAUCAAGUUACCGUCAUCAUUUGUCCAAAUGGGGGAAUCAGUAGAUACGGUUAAGUCUGGAAAGGAUACGUCGUACAUAUAUGUAUAGAGAAGUAUCACUUAAAUGCAUCAACUUAUGCUUCAAUACUGAAAAAACAACCUAGAAUUAUGCUUCAAUUUAAAACUUUAUCUACCUAAAACUGCUGGGGUCUGAAUGUGGUAAAGAUUUUAGGUAACUAUUGGACGAGAAUACGAACGUAAAAUGGAACGUAAAUUGGAACCUAAAAUUUCAAUUUUUGGAACGUAAAUUUCAUAGUAAUUAAUAUUGUUAUUAUGUUUUCGCUUGUAGAAUUGCAGUGCAAGGGGAUCAAAAAUUGUAAACUUAAUAUUGGAUAUAAGUCGCAAAAAGAAAAAAAGCUUAAUAUUGUUAUUAUGUUUUCACUUGUAGAAUUUCACAGGUAUUUCAUAUCUUUUCUUCCUCGGGUUAAGUAGAAGUGCAAAGUGAAAAGGAAGUUCUUGUCACUAUUUCACAAGUCCUUUCAGUUCUCCCUAGUCAUAUCCUUUGUAUCAGAUUACUUAACAUCAAUUAGUAAAUAAUCGUUUUAUUCUACAAAAUAAUAUAAGCCUAUAAUGACAUCGACAACUUUCAUAUUAACGGAAUGUAAGAGUAAUUUGUAUUUUCAACGAGUUUAGAAAAAUUUACUUGAAAAAAGAUGCGCUUGGUAGAAGAAUAUUUAGUUGUAUACUUGACUGAGAAACUACCUUUCCCAUUCCUCAUCCCAAUACGCUAAAAUCUCAGUUUUCUUCUUCCCUGUUCCCUUCCCACAACCCUCAAAAUUCAUGUUCCAUUGCCGACCUUGUCGUUUGGAGAUUUUAAAACUUCACCAUUGUUUUACUUGUUUAAUCCAGAAAAUGAUUUCGUGCAAGUACAUCUUGUUAGGAUUGAUUAGCAGUUCACACACACUAAAUCUGUGGAGAAGAUGAAGACAACUAGAGAGAGAGUUCUUUAGGAGACAGAGAGAAUUAAUUUCGUGGUAGCACCCGUGGGUAACCUCCACGGUGGAUGGGCUAUUUAUAUUAAUGAAUCGGAGUAUGUACAAUUACACAGAGAAAUGAGAAUGAAAGGUACAACCUAAAAUCACACCCCCUGGCAACCUCACCGCGGAGGUUGAACCGCGUGAACAUUAAUAUAUAAUAGUAAGUUACAUAUUAAUCAGGCUCCAAAACCUAACAAUUCUCCCCCUUGGAGACUAAUUCUGUCAUCCAAGAAUUACAUUCUCAAAAAAAAAAAAAUUCCUCUAUCAUCAAUAUGUUCGCCACACCGCAACAUCUAUAGUCACAACUAUAGAAAACCAACUAAGAUUUUGCACAACCUUAAUUUACCAACAUCAAUACAUUUUGUCAACAUGUCUGCUGGAUUUUUUUCACCCUCUAUCUUUUCCAAACACAUAUCACCUUUUUCCACUGCCUUGUGAGUGAAAUGGUACCGUGUGAGUGAAAUGGUACCGUCUUCUAAUGUGCUUCGUCUUUGAAUGAUAGACCGGGUUCUUCACCAAAUGUAUGGCACUCUGGCUAUCUGUGUAAAGAAUCUUCUUAAGCUGCUUCUUGCCCAGUUCUUCCAGAUAAUCUGCCAGCCAUAUCAUCUUCUUUCCAGCUUUAGCUAUUGCCACAUACUUAGCCUCAAUAGAUGAAACAGCAACGCACUUCUGAAGCCUGGACAUCCAAUUCACUACUUUACCACCUAUGGUGUAAAUGUAUCCGAAAGUGCUCAUGCUUGAGUCCACAUCCCCACCAAGAUCAGCAUCAACAAAACCUUGCAGAAUCACUUCACCAUUGCCAAAACAAAGUGAAGUACUAGAUGUACCUUUCAGAUAUCUUAGAAGCCACUUCACAGCUUCCCAAUGCUCUUUCCCGGGGAUUACUAUGUACCUGAUAACAACUCCCACUGCAUGUGCUAUAUCAGGUCUAGUGUAGUCCAUAGCAUACAUCAGGCUCCCAAUUGCAGAGGCAUAUGGAACAAGUGCCAUGUGCUCCCACUCCUGAGCUGUCUUUGGUGACUGCUCCUUUAAUAAUUUUGUGUGAUUUGCCAAUGGAGUAGUCCUGGGUUUAGCAUCAUUAACUCUAAAUCUGGCUAGCACCUUCUCAACAUACUACUAUUGGGAUAGAUUCAAAGUGCCAGUACAUCUAUCCCGAGAAAUCCUCAUCCCAAGAAUCUGUUUUACUGUACCUAAAUCUUUCAUCUUAAACUCAAAAGAUAGACUUUGAUAUGAGUAUAACCACGAGGAUGGACAAGAAUGAGUGCGUAUUGAAUCUUUCCAAGGAAGUGCUCAAGUAAAGUGUGAAAGAGGGCCUAAAUGCACUAAAAUAGCCCCUAAGUUACACUUGAUGGGAACCUCACCCUUGAGGGGUAUUGUGGUCAUUUUGUAUUCUAUUUUGUAAUACACUAUAUAUCGAUCCUAUUAGGGUCUUUAGUCUUAGAUGUUUUUUGAUAUUGAAAGUUGUAAAAAGAACAUUUCUCUCUUGUGAGAAAGGCCUAUGGUCGAAACAUUGUAACUAGGAUUUCCAACUUGAGUGUGGAAUCAUUCGUGUUGGAUUCAUGCUUAGAACGUUGGGUGCUAGAGGAGGUUGAGUUCUCUCUUGUGCUCACCGGAUAGGUAUUUGUAGUGUGUAGUGUUAAGGGUCCAAGAGUGGAAUAGGCUCUUGGGUUCUUAAGAUUAUACCUCCACUUUGUCUAUCUAUCUUUUACAUUUCUUGUACUCUUUGUUGUUGUUCUAGUCAAAAACCGUGUGUUGUUGUUUCCAUUGUAUUAUUGUUCAUCUUGUUCUUCAUAUUAUUAUCUUGAUACUCUCUUUGUUAGUUUGUAGUGGCAGUUUUGGUGUCAAAUACACCAUUGUUAUCUCGUAUUGUUAUUGUUGUAGUGAAUCCGAGAGUGGUCUCCAAAAAGGUCCUCGGAUCCUUAAGAUUAGUGGACUGAUUUGGAGUGUGUUUUCGUGCUUUCGUUGUCUUUCUCGUAUCAUUUGGUAUCAAAGCAUGGCUUGAACUUAUUCCUACAAGAUAAAUCUUGGGCUUUCUUGUUAGAAAAUUCAAAAAAAAAAGAAUUGUUGUUGAUAAACUGAAAAUUCCAGAAAAAAAAGAGAAAUCUGUCCAUUUAGUGUUCUUGGCCGAAAAUUGUGUUUUUGUUGUGUAUUGGCCAAUAUUUUUACUUGUCUUUGUUGUCUUUAAGUGUUAGUUUUGUUUCUCAUUAACACGUUGAGUCUAUAUCAUAGAUUUGAGCUUGAAAUAUUGAUGUUGUUAAUGUGAACAAAGUGUGGCCGAUUGUUGUUGGUAUUGUUGUUGCGGGUUCAAGACUUGAAUGUGUGAUAUUGUCACGACCCGAAACAGAGCCCUGGUCGUGACGAGCAUUCUAGAAAUCCAAAGGCCCAAAACGCCCUCUGUCUAUAUGGUAAUCAUGCACAUAAUUCAUAUGAUCAAAGUAAUAUGGAAUAGACACAAUAAUAUGGAAACAUGAUCAACAAUUUAAAAUAGUUAAAGGCCUGAAAACAUGCCCAACAAUAUUCAAUAAACAUCUGCAACAGUCUGCAAAAUCUCUACUGACAUACUAUCUGAAUAACUGGGACAAGGCCUCCAGCAAACCAAAAGCCAUACUGAAAUAAAUACCUAAAUGACUAGGCCUUCCGAAGCAAAGAAGGCUCACCAACUGAACUCUGAGACAACCCUGUCUAUAGACUCUACUGAGGAUCUGGACCCUUAGACUGCACCUCAGUACCUGGGAGGAAGGAGGGGUCAGCACAAUUGUACUAGCAUGCGAAGCAAUCCAAAAUAGAGUAAUUUAACAUAUAUAUAUAUAUAAUACGUGAGAGCAAAUGUUCAUCAAAAAUUAUGCAUAAAACAGUUUCUGAAAAACACAUGGGCACCUUCUGAAAACAUGUAACUUGUCUGUAAAUCUCAAACUCUGAUCUGUGUAUUACUUCUGAGUUAGGUGGUAUCCCCUUCAAGUCUGAUAUUCCACGGGCAAUAUGUAAUCCGCCAUUUACUCGGCGGGGAAGCCUCCAACCCGAGUAUGCCUCAAGGGUUGGAGUUCCCGAAUUUGAUACGCCACACGACAGUUAAGUCAGCGUAUAAUAAUAUACAUGGGUCGGCAAACCACAGUUUUAGGCAAUGAUUUGCUUGAACUCAAUCCUUCUUUGGGGAACCACCUAACAUCUCUGUAUGCCCAUUUUUUAACCUUUUCUGUACAUGCAACAUUCUGAAUGUCUAAAAUCAUGAUAGUCUGAAAUGUCUAUUAGUCUGAGUCUGAUAUGGCAUUGGUCUAAAUUGGUAUCUUCAUACCAAGACUUGCAAGUCAUCAUUUCUGAGUCAUAAUACAUUAAGCUAAAUCUUUCAUUUAAAGUAUAAUUUAGACCACCAAAAACAUGCAAUUGAUAUGGAAGAUUUCAUAUUUCGAAACUCAAGUCAAAAUCAUGCAAAAACUUCAUCAACAUAUGGUGGUCUAGUGCCUUUAGCAAAUCCAUGCACUCUUUCAUUAUAUGCAUUAUGAACAUUAAACAUUUAUUCUAGAUUCCUUCUUUAGUGAUUUAAAACCACCUUAAAAUCAUAACAAGAGUUCAAUCAUUUCAUAUAGUGUUUUUCAGGGAUGCAUUGCAAAACAAUUCAUAUGCCAUGAGAAAUCUGAAAAAUUCACUAAAGAGGGAAUUCACCAAAAAUCAUGCUCUCAACAAGAAUUCAUUCUUAAAUACAUGGUUUCAUACAUUCAUAUUCUCAAAUCACUUUGGGGAAGGUCAAAAGACCAAAACAAUGAUGGCUAAACAUUUAAUACAUGAAUAUAUACAUAGAUUCAAAAACCCCAUUCUAAAACAUGAUUUUUCUUCCAAAACCCAAGGUUGAAUCUUGAGUUAUUUGGGAUUUUUGUUUGAAACCCUAAGGGGUGUUCUGGAGAGAAAAUUUGAGAGAAGGAUUAUAUUUUUAUAAAUUGGGGGCUAAAUCUGGUGUUAUAGAUGAAAUUUGGGUGAGGUGAAAUGACUAAAAUGCCCCUAAGAAAACAAACAAAGUCGAAACUGUCCCUCAGUUGACAAACUGAUAGGCUGAAGUAAAAUGGGUAUAACUCCUUACUCAGAUGUUAGAUUUGGAUGAAACCAGUUGCAUUGGAAAUAAAACAUAAAGAGAUUUUAUUUGAUAGGUAGCAUCUCUCCCAGUUCAUUAUAUUCAGAGAGUUCUGAUCGUUUGAAGUUGACCCUGAAAUGCUGAAAACUGGGCAACAGGCUAUGCAUUUUACUACUGUUUUGAAAUCCAAACGCAGCCUUAUGCGUUCCGAGAAAUUCUGAAACUUAUCCGAGAUGUACUAUGAGCUUGUCCGAUCGUAACGCAGCUUGAAAAUCUAAAAACGGAGGUCAAAAAAUGUUGAAAAGUUGUAUCCCAAAGAUUUCCAGCUAAAAUGACUCUAAGUCCUCAUUACACUUACAAAAAUUUUCAUGUUUUUAUGUGUAAGAGCACUCAAUUAAAGGCUAAUCCAUGCACAACUUUUACGGGGAGUUACAUUAUCUCCCCCUUGGGAUCAUUCGUCCCCGAAUGAUUGAUUGGAAAUGUUGAAGCUCAAAGGUAUAGAAUGACACUGACAUGAUGUGUCUUCUAAGAAAGUAUAUAACUGAUCUAAAACAUUUAAACUUCUAUCACGAAACGGAAUUCUGAGUUGACUUGCCCUUACUUGCUUCAAGAAACUGAUUCAUGCUAAGCGUUUAGGAUUCCCUUGAAGUGUUCAUGAUACAAUCAUACAUAUUGAAUUGAGAAGUGAUAACUUAUGCAAUUAUGAAUCAUUAGGCAUCAAGACUUACAUCGUACCAGGGUAUUAUACUAACUGGGCUAAAAUACAUGGAAGUAUUUGAGAUUAUGCAAUGAACACUUAUGAACUGAGUCACGACUAAAUAGCUGAAUCUGAAACAUGAUGCUUUGACUGAACUGAAUUCGCAACUUAGGAUGAAAUAUAUUAUUUCUUGGGAUGGUCAUACACAUGAGACUUCAGAUAGCAGGAUUGGUGAAAAGGUGGAUAACCACCGUAACUUCUCUGCCUGACUGUUAAACUGAAAUACAUCGGAAACUUAUAUUCAACGGGAGUAUCUGUUCAACACUUAAUCUAAAGAAAUUCUAGCAGAAUUAUGGAGCAAAAGAUCUUGGACAAUGCAACUUCUUAUUUUCGAGCUUAGCACACUUCUUUAAUACUCCCUUAACUAUACUAUUUCCCUUAAAUACCAUAUUCAUUCCAUUCAACUUAUAAUUCUCAUAUGGGUAUUGAUAGCUCUUUCUCCAAUGUCUAUAGUAGCUUAAAUCCUUUCAGUGCGAUCAAGCCUAACUCCAAGUCACAAAAAUACAACAUGUCAUACCAUGAUACUAGUCUAAACAAUAUGAUUCAAUCUUCCAUAUCUUUUUAAAGUUCGCACCCUAAGCAUAUCAUGCCUUCCCACAUUAAUGACUAACUCUGAACUCUUACUAUAGAUUCACUAGCGCAUAUUGCGUCCGUUCACUAAAAUCCCAACAUGUCAUUCAAGUCUAUCUUUAUAACCUCAUAUGAACUUCAAGGCAAACACCCAUGAAGACACACUUCACAUAUUCUCAAAACCACUAUUAAUAUAACUCCCACGGCUACCGCAAGAACAUACACACACAAAUUUCCACUAACCAUCACAUAUAUCAAAAACUUGGCCCCAAAUCUUACUUCACACUUAUGGUCUUAUCUAAAACAAGAAUACUAUAAAGCGUGAGUACAUGAGUCAUGAGCUACAUGACCUGAAUUUGGAGUUCAUAAUUUAUGGAAUGGGAUUCCGACUACUGAAUGAACUGAAACUUCUCAUUUUGGAACUUGAAGAGUACAUGAUUCUCUAUCAUAAGCAUGAACAUGAAUUUUGAUCAUUGGACUAAAGCGUAAGGCAUGAGUAGAUAUUGGGAUAACUGGAAAAAAAAAUACUGAGAUAAGAAUGGGUGGAGUCUCACCCUCACUUUCUGACGUUCUAAAUCAUCAUGACAUCACGACUAGAAUCUGAAAGUCUGACUUGGUUAUUCGCUCUAUCAUCUCCCCCUUAGCUUCAAGCCAUCAUAUUAUGUUUGGGAGAUCCCUUACUAGACUCUAAACUGAAGUACACUUACUGCACUCUGGGUCUGGAAAACUACUAUACACGCAUCUCAUGGCACUUAACCCGAAUGACUACACCUAAAAGUGGAAAACCCAUUGUUAAUACUACCUUCUUAGAUACACUUUAUCAUUCUAUAGACCCAACAGUCAUCAUAUAAUACUUGCACACUUACUAACUUUGGGUCUUCAUGAGUAUCCCCAUAGUCGGAGUGCACACCCUCUAGUGCUUUAACUCUUAUUUCUAUUAGUUCAACCUUCAAAAACUCAAACUUAGAAUCUAGCAAUCAAAUACCUUGGGCAUAUUUCUACAUUAUAUAUGCAACAUCAUACUUCACUACGAAUCAAAUAAACUUAAGCUCUUGCAUAUACCGUUCAAGCCUAUUAGAUUACUUCCAUAAAACUCGUAUCAUUAACCAAGAAAUCAUCACAUCCACCUUCAUAGACAUCAAUUGUUCAAACUUAAUGUCCAGUGCUAAACAUGAUUUACAAACCAACCUUAUACAUAAUUCUUACAAAACAUACAUCAUUAAUAUUAAGUCACUAUUUUUACAACCACAUUGUGAUGCUCAACGUCACAACCCAUUAAAUUCCUCACGUUUUGGGCAUGUUUCGAACUAUUCGGGCGUGUUUUUGAGCUUGGCGGGGCUUCGAUAAAUGCCCCGCAUUGCUGCCAACGUUCCAGCACCUUCUAGAUGGUCAAAAUAGGAUGGCAGCACAUUUAUUAGACUUUAGGAAGUUAACACGGGCUGGUAUGAAAGUGCAGAUUUUCCAUCUUUAAAAGGUCCACAAAGGUUGGCAUGCAUGUGCAGAAAUUUCAGCAUCCAUGUGCAGGAUUUGCAGAUUUUCAGCUUGUAGUUGAUAAUUGUAUAGCUUGCAUUGUUGUACUUUGUUGACUUAGGGACUUUUAGGAACUAUAAAUAUAUGUUGUAAGGCAUCAUAGGCAUCAUCUCAUACUUGUUUUAUUCAGUAAAUACCACCCAUGAAGAAUACAACAUAAUUUACUGGUCCAUCAAAUUGGGACAUUCUACCCCAAAUACCUGAUUUUAUCUAGAUACUAUCCACGACCAAAGCACCUUUAUGACAUUACUACUACACCUAAAAAAUCUACUACAUACCUUCUCACAAGUAGUACUAGUUUACAACUACCAAGGAAAAGAAGGUCAAGGGGUAAAGUCACAUAAUAGACAUGAUCGACAUUAAUCCUAUACUAUAACCCCAUACAAUCUUAUCUACUUAUACAGCUUCUCACAUCACGCUUACUUAUCCAAGCAUACAUUUAAAAUACCUUUAAAUUCCACAAACAACCAUGAGUCUAUACUUACAACUUACUGGCUAAUAUAGUCAUUUUCACACUUCAAGCAACCGACAAAUCACCCUAACUAACAACUCCUUCUCUACUUUCUACUAAACUAACACAAAAGGACGAAUCACCUCUUUACCAACUCAAUCUCAUGCAAACAAUUUGGCUAUACAUAUAUUAAACCAACACAAGAACAACAAGUUGGACAACAAGUUGCUAGUGAAUCAAAAUAGGCCUCACACGGCUUCACUAGACUUUGAUUUUUUUUGAACAAACAUGAGAUAGAAAUUUAAUAUGCAAUAUCCAAUGAACUAAGAAUACACAUCUUACUCUGUAUAAAUAAAAUAGAAGUCAAACACUUCCUCCACGAACUACCAUACCAUCCACACAUGCUACUAGUUACCAAUUAGUCUAUCACCAUAAGGGGGGUAAAUCAUUCUCGAACAUCGGUUAUUCAACUAAAAUAUUCAUUUACACAAAAGUCACCUUCACUCUGACUUCUAACUUUGUAACAUCACAUCACCAACUUCUUGGUCUAAUUUCACUACCAAUAGGUCAUGACAACAACACUUUAACGCAUACUACUAUUCGGGUGGAAAUAUAGUUCCAACAUUCUACUACACAUCAUCACCCCUUAAGCAAGAUAUUUGUAACAUAAAUUUGAAGGGGACUAAAUGCAGUUAAUACCUCAAGCUGAAAAGCACGAUUCCAUCAGGAUCAAUGUUUACAUCGGAAUCAAUACACAUUGAAGCACUAAUGGACUCUUCUCAAGUCAUUGCACAAAUUUUAACUCUUAUAUGGUUCAAUUAGAAAGGACCAUACCAUUUAGAUUCUAAACUUCUGCACUUGAAUCACCUCAAUAAUGAGACAUAUCUGAGGACAUUAGAGUAAGGAAAGAAUUUAGGAUGACUUUUUACUUUCAUAUGGGCGACACCAUAGCACGAAUUAGAGUAUGAAAGAGGAACAUUCUGACUCGAUUGCACGAACUAGAACAAGAAGAAAGAGAGACAUUCCUAAACUCUUAGUAGUCUCCUGCUUAUAAGUGUAGUGUGCUACACACCCAUAAACAAGACUACCCGAUGCGAUUUUGCAGACAUCCUAGGACCAUGAACCAUGCUUUGUUACCAAGUUUAUCACGACCCAAACUGGGGCCCUGUCUGUGAUGAGCAUUCCCAAACCCGAAGGCCUAAAACGCCCUCUGUCUAUUUGAUAAUCAUGCACAUAAUUCAUAUGAUCAAAGUAACACGGAAUAGACACAAUAAUACGGAUACAUGGUCAACAAUUUAAAAUAUUUAAAGGCCUGAAAAUAUGCCCAACAAUAUUUAAUAAAUAUUUGUAACAGUCUACGAAAUCUCUACUGACAUACUAUCUGAAUAACUGGGACAAGGCCCUCCGCAGACCAAAAGGCAUACUGAAAUAAAUACCUAAAUGACUAGGCCUUUCGAAGCAAAGAAGGCUCACCAACUGAACUCUGAGACAACCCUGUCUGUAGACUCUACUGAGGAUCUGGACCCUUAGACUGCGCCUUAGUAACUGGGAGGAAAGGGGGGUCAACACAAUUGUACUGGCAUGCAAAGCAAUCCAAAAUAGAGUAAUUUAACAUAUAUAUAUAUAUAAUACGUGAGAAAAUAUUCAUCAAACAUUAUGCAUAAAAUAGUUUCUGAAAAACACAUGGGCACCUUCUAAAAACAUGUAACCUGUUUGUAAAUCUCAAACUCUGAUCUGUGUAUUACUUCUGAGUUAGGUGGUAUUCCCUACAAGUCUAAUAUUCUACGGGCGAUAUGUAACCCUCCAUUGAAUCGGCAGGGAAGCCUCUAAAUCAAGUAUGACUCAAGGGUUGGAGUUCCUGAAACUGAUACGUCACACGACAUUUAAGUCAGCGUAUAAUAAUAUACCUGGGUUGACAGACCACGAUUUUAGGCAAUGAAUUGCUUGAACUCAAGCCCUCUUCAGGGAACCACCUAACAUCUCUGUAUGCCCAUUUUUAAACCUUUUUUGUACAUGCAACAUUCUGAAUGUCUAAAAUCAUGAUAGUCUGAAAUGUCUAUUAGUCUGAGUCUGAUAUCGCAUUGGUCUGAAUUGGUAUCGUCAUACCAAGACUUGCAAGUCAUGAUUUCUGAGCCAUAAUACAUUAAGCUAAAAUUUUCAUUUAAAGCAUAAUUUAGACAACCAAAAACUUGCAACAAAUAUAGAAAAUUUUGUGUUACGAAACUCAAGUCAAAAUCAUGCAAAAACUUCAUCAACAUAUGGUGGUCUAGUUCCUUUAGCAAAUCCAUGCACUCUUUCAUUACAUGCAUUAUGAACAUUAAAUAUUCAUGCUAGAUUCCCUCUUUAGUGAUUUAAAACCACCUUAAAAUCAUAACAAGAGUUCAAUCAUUUCAUAUAGUUCUUUUCAAGGAUGCAUUGCAAAACAAUUCAUAUGCUAUGAGAAAUCUGAAAAAUUCACUGAAGAGGGAAUCACCUAAAAUCUUGCUUUCAACACGAAUUCAUUCUUAAAUACAUGGUUUCAUACAUUCAUAUUCUCAAAUCACUUUGGGGAAGGUCAAAAGAUCAAAACAAUGAUGGCUAAACAUUUAAUACAUGAAUAUAUACAUAGAUUCAAAAACCCUAUUCUAAAACAUGAUUUUUCUAUGCCCACGAGAAUUUAGGAAAGCCCCGCGUAUCUCUAUUUAAGAAAUUGAGGGAUGAUCCUUGAAGCCUAUGAUUUGGGGAUUCCAAAUCUCUAAUUAUCUUCCAAAACCCAAGGUUGAAUCUUGAGUUAUUUGGGAUCUUUGUUUGAAACCCUAAGAGGUGUUCUUGAGAGAAAAUUUGAGAAAAGGAUUAUAUUUUUAUAAAUUGGGGGCUAAAUCUGGUGUUAUAGAUGAAAUUUGGGUGAGGUGAAAUGACUAAAAUGCCCCUAGGAAAACAAACAAAGUCGAAACUGUCCCUCAGUUGACAAACUGACUGACAGGCUGAAGUAAAACGGGUAUAACUUCUUACUCAGAUGUUGGAUUUGGAUGAAACCAGUUGCAUUGGAAAGAAAACUCAAAGAUAUUUCAUUUGAUAGGUAGCAUAUCUCCCAGUUUAUUAUAUUUAGAGAGUUAUGAUCGUUUGAAGUUGACCUUGAAAUGCUGAAAACUGGGCAAUAGGCUAUGCGUUUUGCUACUGUUUUGAAAUCCAAACGCAGCCUUAUGCGUUCCAAGAAAUUCAAUAACUUAUCCGAGAUGUACUAUGAGCUUGUCCGAUCGUAACACAGCUUGAAAAUCUAAGAGAGGAGGUCAGAAAGGUUGAAAAGUUGUAUCCUGAAGAUUUCCAGCUAAAAUGACUCUAAGUCCUCAUUACACUUAGAAAAAUUUUCAAAUUUUUAAGUCUAAGAGCACUCUAUUAAAGGCUAAUCCAUCCACGACUUUUACGGGGUGUUACAGAUAUAUUGUUGGUUCAAGUUUUGAACGUGUAUUGUGGAGAUUGUGUUGUGGAAUUUAAGCUUGGGAAGUUUUUGUUGUUGUUUGGGAGGUCCAACUUGAACCUUAGAACUUCGAGACUCAAAGUUUGUGUUCUUGGUGUUCUUCACCAUCUCCAUAUAUUGUUGACAAAGAAAGUGGUUGUUGAUCUUAGAAGUUGAAGAAAAAGAGUGUUUAUUAUGUAUUCUUGCAAGACAUAGAUCUAAGUUUCAAGGUGUAGUACUUGUGACUCAAAGGAUUUUCCUACACACUAAAGACUUUACAUCACUUUUCAACCACUUUUCUAUGAAACAAGGGUCCAUGUUUUAAGGAAAAGUGCUACAAAAGUCAAGUCUUGAAAUGAGAAACUUGAAAAAAAGGCUCCAAGACUUAUUCUUCCCUCCUUAAAACAAAUUUCACCAAUCCAGAUUAAAAUUGGUCAAGACUUGGACUUUGGAAAAUAUAAAUUGAAGAAACCGCAACCAAUACGUGGCUACCAUGUCAUCAAGUUACUGUUCACGCAUCAAAUUUUGGCUCAAAUUUCAGAUUUUCUUAGUUUCUUUUUAUUGUUCCGUAGUUUCAUUUGUUGGUUCCAAUACUAAUUGGAAAACUAGUACUCAUCUACUAGAUUGUUAGUUAGUCUUUGUGUUCGUUCAUUCGUGUUUAGCAUUUGUUGUAUGCUUUUUUUCUCUUUUGUGAAUUCAUUGUGUCUUGUUGGUUCAAGUUCGUAAAUAAUUUUUCUUUUGAGUCAAAUCAAACGAAAAUAUACAGCAAAUAUGGAGUCAUCCCUCAAUCACUCACAAAGUACAAGCCAACUUUCAACACUUUUGAAACCAAGUGUGAGGUAAAACCAAGAGUGAGAGUGUGGUGAGGCAGUUUGAACUAACAAGUUUGUUUUGUUGCUUGUUGUUGUCCUUUGCUUUAGGUACAGCUGCCACUAAUCUUGAUGCCACAUUUGAUCGCAUCAAUGAUGAUAUUAAAGAAAUGAAAUGGCACGUGAAAAGGCUACGCCAAUUGUUACCUAAACUUAUCCCACAAAAUCCAACUUCCCUUGUCCAAAUACCUUGUUUCGAGAGCUUCCCGAAGGAAGAGGUGGGUUUCCCCGAACCAUACCAAGGUAAAGAGGAGAUUGAAACAUCUUUGGUACUUGAUAGUGAACUUAUAGAGAGUGAAACACUUGGUAGUUCCAAAUUUGUCCGUGAGAUAGAUCAUGCUCUCUUUAGGUUUAAUGUUUUAUUUGAAGAUGAUAGAAAUACUCCUAAUGAACCUACUGGUGAAAAUGAUGGUAUAGCUUACCUUGAAGGCUAUAGCCGAUAUGCUAACCCACUAUGGUGUGACAACAUUCCUAAUAAAGAUAGAAAUCUUUUCUUGAAAGAUGAUAGUACUCUUAUGGGGAAGGAAUGUUUAGUCUCGGUAAUGAGUACUCUUCGUGUUCAUGAUGAUCAAUUUACUCUUAAAUGUAGCUUACUACUUGAGCAUAUGAAUUUAGUGCUUAAAAAUUCGCAAGUUAGUGAUGGUGUCUAUAGAAUUGAUCUUGAUAAUGCGCAUGACUCUUUGAACAUCUUAUGUGGUAAAAACAUUGCGAUUAGUUUUCUUCAUAGAGAUCAUGUGUAUAAAAAUGUUUUUAUGUGUGAAUGUGGGAGUGACAUUCUAUAUAAAGGAAGGGCUAGCCUCGGCUUAGGCCUUUGGAUAAUUCUUCCAUUUGAUCUCGGUACCAUCUUAGGGUGGGAAAGGAUGACUCUCGACCUAUUUUCCUUUUGUCUUAAUGCUUGUCCGAGCCACUUCCUUUGUAGCAAUUGUACUAAUAUUUUCAUGCUUAAAACAAAGGACCCAUGGAUAUACUUGAAAUUUGUCCCACCUCGGCAUGGCAUGUUGAUGUCUUAUUUUUGCUAACUCUAACCUCUCAUAUCAUGAGGAUGUGUGCUUGUUUGUCUUCUCUUGAUUUUCAAGGUAUGGAUUUGAGGUCGAAUCCUUUUCAAAAAUAGGAGGAUGAUACGAGUACGUCCACGAGGAUGGAUGAGAACGUGUGAGUAUUGAAUCUGUCCAAGGAAGUGCACAAGUAAAGUGUGAAAGAGGGCCUAAAUGCACUAAAAACAACCCUAAGUUACACUUGAUGGGCACCUCACCCUUGAGGGGUAUUGUGGUCAUUUAGUAUUCUAUUUUGUAAUACAUUAUAUAUAGAACCUCUUAGGUUUUUAGUCUCAGAUGUUUAUUGAUAUUGAAAGUUGUAAAAAGAAUAUUUCUCUCUAGUGAGAAAGGCCUAUGGCCGAAACAUUGUAACCAGGAUUUCCAACUUGAGUGUGGAAUCAUUCGUGUUGGAUUCAUGCUUGGAGCGUUGGGUGCUAUAGGAGGUUGAGGUCUCUUUUGUGCUCACCGAAGAGAUAGGUCUCUUAAGGGUCCAAGAGUGGAAUAGGCUCUUGGGUUCUUAAGAUUAUACCUUCACUUUGUUGAUCUAUCUAUCUUUACAUUUCUUUUACUCUUUGUUGUUGUUCUAGUCAAAAACCAUGUGUUGUUGUUUCCAUUGUGUUAUUGUUCAUCUUGUUCUUCAUAUUAUUAUCUUGAUACUCUUUUUUUAGUUUGUGGUGUCUGUUUUGGUGUCAAAUACACCAUUGUUAUCUCGUAUUGUUAUUGUUGUAGUGAAUCGAGAGUGGUCUCCAAAAAGGUCCUCGGAUCCUUAAGAUUAGUGGACUGAUUUGGAGUGUGUUUUCGUGCUUCCGUUGUCUAUCUCGUCAGACUUGACUUCAGAGAAAUUAUCUCCUUCAUACUGGAUCUACAAUCAACAUAUCACCCACAUACAAGAGUAAAAAUACAUAAGAAUCAGUGUAUUUCUUGAAGUAGCAACAUUGAUCCUUUUCACUCUUGCGGAAGCCGCUCUUGCUCAUAAAGGAGUCAAACUUCUUGUACCACUGUCUAGGUGCUUGCUUCUGCCCAUACAAGCUCCUGUUGAGCUUGAACACCAUGUGUUCCUUGCCUGGAACUACAAACCCCCCUGGCUGCUGCAUAUAGAUUUCCUUAUCCAAAUCUCCAUGUAAAAAUGCAGUCUUUACAUCCAUUUGCUCAAGAUGCAAAUUCUCCAAUGCUACAAUACUCAAUAAAAUUUGGAUAGUAGUUAAUUUCACAAUAGGAGAAAAUAUUUCAGCAUAAUCAAUACCUUUUCUUUGUGAAUAUCUUUUAACUACUAACUGGGCCUUGAACUUUCUUUUGCCAUCUGGUUCUGCCUUGAUUCUGAACACCCACUUGUUCAACAAGGCUCUCUUCCCUGCAGGUAACUUAAUCAACAUCCACGUGUUAUUCCUCUCAAGUUAUCUCAUCUCAUCAUCCAUGGCUUGCUCCUACUUGAUUGAAUCCUCCACCUCCAGGGCCUUAGCAGCAGACUCUGGUUCCCCUUCACCAGUCAGCAACAGAUAAUGUAAUGAUGGUGAAUACCUAUCUGGUGCUCUAAUGGUCCUGGAUGAUCUCCUCUCAACCUGCUCAGGUGUCACUUAUUUCGCCUCUGGUUCCUCAACGACAGUCUCUGGAUUUUGUUGAGUAUCCGCUGUAACAUCUUUGGGUGUGCUCUUCGGCAACUCAAGCUCAACUCCCACUUGCUUUGUAGUUUUUUGGAACCUUUUGCUCUCUGUCCUUGUACAAGACAUUUUCAUCAAAUGUCACAUCACAAUGUAUUAGGGUCUUCUUGUUCAUACGAUACAACUUUGGUACGUGUAAAAAACAAGCCAAAAAUAGUUCACAAACAAAGGAAACCCGAAAGCUCAACAAACACCAAAUCUCGGUUCCAAUAACAUUAAGAAACAAGGUGUAAAUGAAACCAAAAGCACCACCAACAACAAGAGAUAAACAACAAUAACUAGAGGAACAACACUGCAAUAACAACAAUCCAAUGGUUACAAGAUUACAAGAACAACAAGAACCAAACGGUUCACUAGACUACACAACUAGUACAUGAUAUGUAAAGAUAGGAAGUGAGACAUACACUAUUACAAGGUUAAUAACCCAAAGUUUUAUUAAAUCGAAGGACCCUUAAGACUUACAAUAUAAACACCACACUCUUACGUGACACAAGAGGGAUUCCACCGCUUAACAACCAACGUUUCCAAGCAAUACACAAUCACAACUGAAUCCACACUUGUUCAUGUCCUAGUUUAGGCCUAGAGACCCUCUCUCUCAAGAGAUGUGUUCUUUCAACAGUAUCCAACAAAAACUAAUAAACUAAAACCGUAUAUUGUUCUAGUUAUAGUACUUUACAAAUAAAAAGAUAAAAUGACAAAAAGACCUUUUAACGACUAAGUAGGCAAAUAGGCACCCAUGGAGUGUUUUUAGGGGCGGUUUGGAGCCCUUUUUAACACUUCAACUCAUACACCUCUGAGGUUACAUCCAAAAUGCUCAAAAAUGUUCAUCUUCAUGAUCGUGCUUGUAUUACUGUCAGACCAAAAACUGUACCCAAACAUGUCAGAACCAUAACCUAUAAAGUAGCACUUUAUAGAUUUAGCAUCAAGCUUAUCUCUCUUCUCUGGAUCAACAUGAACAUAAGCAGUGGAACCAAAAGUUCUCAAGUGAGAAUACUUGAGCUCUUUUCCUGUCCAUACUUCUUCAGGAAUCUUGAACCCCAGAGGAACUGAUGGUCCCCUGUUGAUCAAGUAUGCAGCUGUGCUCACAUCAUUUGCCAAAAAGUCUUAGGCAGUCCACAGUGUAUCCUCAUGCUUCUUGCACGCUCAUUCAAUAUUUUGUUCGUCCUUUCAGUAACUCCAUUCUACCUUGCCUUCCCAGGAACUGUCCUCAUCAAUCUGAUUCCCUCAACUACACAAAAUUGUUUGAACUCUGACUUGUCAUAUUCUCCUCCAUUAUUAGACCUCAGGCAUUUGAUUUUCAAGCCAGUUUGAUUUUCAACUUUAGCUUUCCACCUCUUGAAAGUAUCAAACACAUCUAACUUAUGUUUCAAGAAGUAAACCCAUACCUUUCUACUGAAAUCAUCAAUGAAGUGACAUAGAAUCUGGAUCCACCAAGUGAUGAAAUAGGAGAUGGUCCCCAAACAUCUGUAUGGACCAUUUCCACCCGUACUUUCUUUGGUUCUCUUGCAGUCUUCGUAAAGCUUACUCGUUUCUAUUUACCCAUAACACAACUCUCACAAAGACUCAUAUCAAUAGAUUUUAGCCCCUCUAAAGCUCCUUUUGCAGCCAACAUCUUCAUUCCUUUAGCACUCAUGUGUCCAAGUCUGUUGUGCCACAGACAUGAACCGGAAUCACCCUCAGCAACAAUAGUAGCCAUGUUUAUACACCAUGUAGUGGUGCUACAAAGUUUCGAUUUUGAUCUUCCAUGUGUAUUUUUCUUCAGUUUUUGGAAAUGAUUCAAUUUAUUUGUUUGCUUAUUAAUGAAUUAAACACAAUAUGAAUUGCUAUACCAACAAUUUUGCUUAUAUUCAUAAUUGAUCUAAUUUAUGUUAUUAGUUGGAUUUAUGUUUUAUAAUUGAUUUAAUUUCUAUUCUUUGUUGGAUCUAUUAAUAAGUAAUGUGCUUCCUCACUUAAAUAUAUGAAAACGACUCACACAUUCAGGUAUAAUUUUUUUCAACUCAUCAAUUUUUUCCUUCUAAAUCAUUCGUUGUUGCUUUUAUAAUUUAUUUUUUUAGGCUACUAUUGCAAUGGACCCAAAGAAAAGAGGUAUUGCAUGGCAAACACAAUUUUCGGUGGUAAAAUAUAUACGUGCUUACACUAAAAUGUAUGUUUAUGUUUACACUAUUAUAUUAAAGUGUGAAGGAUAUUUGAAAAGUAAUUUGAACUUUUUGUACUUCAUUACACAUCUCCUCAAUAAAUAAGACUAUUUAAUUCUAAAUAAUCAAAUGUUACAUGUGCAAGACACGUGCGGCUAAACUAGUUUAACUAAAAUCACUAAAAUACUAUACUUCACUUCAGAUUAUUAUUCCAUAGUGUCAUUUAAUGAAUGGAUUAUGGAGAAGUAAUUAAGGAUGUAAACAAUGAAUUUGAAAUAACUUCAGCGUUAUCAAAAUUAGUCUUACAAAGAGAAAUGGUUAACAAUGAUAUAAACUCAUUCCUAUCUUAAUUACUCGUUCCAUUUUAAAAUAGUUGUCAUGUUUUACUUUUUGAAAGUCAAGUUGACUAAUUUUCAAGAGAUAAGGCACAAAUAUCCCUCCCCUCCCCCCCCUCCAAAAAAAAACUAUAUUCGAAAUCCUAACGACACAGCUAAACUUUACAGGGGUCCAAUUACCCCCCUAAACUCAUAUAAUUGUAUUUUUAUACUCGUUUUGUGCUCAAAAAAAAAAAGAUACUUGUGCCUUAUCCCAAUUUUCAAAGCUAAAUCAUUUUAUAUUAACACAAAAUUUUAAAAUUAAAUUUAGAUAGUCAAAAAUUAUAUGAGAAGUAUUAUAAAUUGCACUUUUUCUCAUAUCAAUAUGAUGAAAAGCAUAUCUUAAAACAUUGAUAAAAAUUAUAUCAUCUGACUCUCAAAAUGAAAAUUGUGACGAGUAAAAAGGAACGGUGAAAAGAUUACUAUAUGCUACUCAUAAUGUCACUCUUGAGUCUUGACAAAGAUUUCAUAGAAACUUUAAAUAAGACCUCCUAUUCAUAUAAUUUUAUAAUAAUUGUGGAUUAUGUAUAAUAUGUUAUUAAAAAUUAUUAAGUCAUGUCAUUCUUACAUCUACUUAUGAUAGAUCAUGGUAAAUUAGCUUUUAAGUCUCUUCAAGUUUUCAAUUAGCAAAAUGGUCUAAUUCUAUUUUUUCAUCUAUCGGAUUGAUAAUCGAUCUGUCCAUAUAUAGGUAAGAUGAUAAUUGAUCUGUCAGACUGAUAAUCGAUUUGUCCAUAUAUAGGUCGGAUUGAUAAUCGAUCUGUCUAUAUAUCCGUUGGAUAGAUAAUAUAUCUGUCUCAAAAAUGGCUCAUUUCCACCCAAAAAAAUUGUAGUUUAUUUAAUUAAAAAGAAGACUUGAAAAGGCCAUUUAACAAAAGAUCCCGUGCUAUGUCUACUUAAGUGUUUUGUUGUUAAAUGAAAUUUACUCCUUUUAGGGUUCAGUAACUAUUUUCUACUCAUUGUUUGUUAUAUUCAUACCAAAAUUUAAUUUUUCACUUUAUUCGAAAACACACACACGGAAGCCAUUGAAGCAGAGAAGAGAAGAAAGGAAAGUGGUAAGAUAUUGUUAUUCAAGUGGUAAAAGUGUACAAUGAGAGGCAUGGUUGCUAUUUAUAGGCUCACAUGUAUGUCACAUGAGCUUUUAGAACAUUCCUAACUAACUCUAACAAAUUGGAUAACUAAUCUAAUUAGCAACCACUAACAUGGUGCCUCCACUAAAUUCAAUAACUAAGUUGGCUAAUCAACAUUUUAUCAAUGUAACAGUGAAAACAAAAAAAACAGUAAAAUAUGAGCUAAUGAGCUAACUCAGAAAAGUGAUCAAUAACUAAUACAUUCUAACACUCCCCCUCAAGCUGAAGGGUGCAAAAUGUUUAUCAUACCAAGCUUGCUCAUGAGGUGUACGUGUUGAUCUUGAGUCAAACUUUUGGUAAGGAUGUCAGCAACUUGGUGAUUGGUUGGAACAUACACAGGCUGAACCAAUCUCUCCUUGAUCUUGUCUCUAAUGAACUGAUAGUCAACUUCAAUGUGCUUUGUUAUUUCGUGAAAAAUAGGGUUGGCAGCUAACUGUAUUGCAGACUUGUUGUCACUGAACACUGUGAUAGGUUUACUGAUAGAUACACCUAGUUUUGAAAACAAGCCUUCCAGCCAUGUAAUUUCUGAUAAAGCUGAAACCAUGCUUCUAUAUUCAGCUUCUGCUGAACUUAUGGAUACUGUGUGCUGUUUUUUAAACUUCCAAGAUAUCAGAGAACCACCAAAAUGUACUGCAUUGCAUAACCUUUAACAGAUCUCCUUGUAUUUGGGCAUGCAACCUAAUCUGAAUCACACCAACACACAAGCUUAGUUAUAGGUUGAGACUUAAGCCAAACAUCUUGUCCCACAGUGCCUUUCAAGUAUCUCACAACCUUGUUUAAAGCUUCCAAAUGAUACUUCUUAGGUUGCUGUAUAAACUGGCUUAAAGUUUGUACUGCAUAGCUGAUGUUUGAUCUUGUAAUAGUUGCAUACAUUAGCUUCCCAACCAACCUUUGAUAGGAUGUAUCAUCUUGAAGAAUAGCAUCUUCUAUAACUCUCAUUGCAUUGUCUACUUCUACUGAUGUUAGCCUGGCAUUGGUUUCCAUUGGAGUAAGGGCUGGUUUUGCACCAGCAAGUCUUGUGUCAGCUAUGAGAUCCAAAAUGUACUUCCUUUGGUUUAAUAUAUCUCCUUUUGUAGAUAUCAACACUUCAAUGCCUAGAAAAUACUUUAUUUCUCCAAGAUCUUUGAGUUUGAACUGUUGAUGUAGUAUUCCCUUUGCCUCAUUUAUCAUGGCAUCAUUGUUUCCUAUAACAAGAAGAUCAUCUACAUAUACCAAUAUCACCACCAUUCCUUCUGAUCUUUUUAAGGUGAAAAGAGAGUAAUCAUAUGUGCUUUGAGAGAAACCAUCCUUACUAGUGCAGCAGUAAGCUUAAUGUUCCACUGCCUGGAAGCUUGUUUAAGUCCAUAUAAGGACUUCACUAAUCUACAAACCUUGUGUAUCCCUUCUUUUUAGAAUCCAUCUGGUAAUUCCAUAUACACUUCCUCAUCUAAGUCACCUUUCAAAAAAGCAUUGUAGGCAGCCAUCUGGUACAUGUACCAGCCUUUUGAAACUGCCAGAGAAAUGACACUUCUUACAGUAACCAUCUUUGCUAUUGGUGAGAAAGUAUCAUGAUAGUCCAACCCUUCUAGCUGACUGUACUCUUUAGCAACUAGUCUAGCUUUGAAUCUUUCAACCUUUCCAAUGGACUUAUACUUGAUCUUGUAUACCCAUCUUGACCCUAUGAUAUUUUCAUCUUGUGGCAACUCAACGACCUCCCAAGUAUGAUUAUCUUUAAGUGACUUCACCUCUGCUUUCAUAGCUUCAAUCCACCUUUCAUCCUUGUUGACACCUAAUUUUUGCCCUCUGCAAUUCAAUUUAAUUUUGAGUUUCUUCAAUUUUAAAAUAAAAUCACAACAAUUAUUUUGUUCAAAUAAAUGCUAGUUUAAAUUACUUAUUCAAUUUAAUUUUAUCAUUUAAUUAAUGAUUAUACAUUCUUCGCAUUUUUAUAUACGAGAGUGUAUAAAUUUUGUUAUCUAAAUGAACGUUUUCAUUAAAAUUAGAUUUUUAUUGAUUAAGCUUGAAAAUUAAUUCAAAUGGAUAAAAUCUUGGUUUUAAAAAUGUUUUGCUCUCAAAAUAUUUUAUCUGGAUGAAUAUUUGUUAGAUUUUUAUCAAAUUAAGAAACUCGAGGUUGAUUUGUUACUUGAUUCGUGCUAGAUUGUGAUUCAAUUUAGCGAACGAAUUAAAUAUGACCUCAAUUGAAAUCAAAUUGGCCAAUAGAUAUUCAAUUUGGUUAUAAUUUAAAUAAGCCGUUUAAAUUGUAAUUCAAUCUUAAUCCCAAAAGUUAUCAUUUCUCAAUUGGGAUUAUUUUAAUUCGAUUAAAUUUAAUUAGAGUUAUUUUUUUUAUCCAAUUAAAUUUAAUUAUGAUUAUUCUAAUCUAAUUAAAUUUAAUUAGGGUUAUUUAAUAAUCCAAUUAGAUUUAAUUAGGGUUAUUAAAUAAUCCCAAUUGUUAACCCAUGUACCAGCAGCCUACAACAAUUUCAGCCCAACACCUAAAGUUGUCCAACCCAGCCCAUUUCUCCCUUCUUCUUCAAUAGCACUAACAACAGCUAAGCACCGAUAUUCUAUCAAUAACAAAACAACAAUAACGCAUCCAGUGACCUACUCAACCCGAAUUCGUCAACCCAAUACACGAACAACUUCAAUCCCGACCCAACCGGACCUUUCUCCAUGCACGUCUCACAUGGAUUCGUCCGAAGAAAGCUUGAUAAGUUUCUAGAAUCGGAUGAGCUGUCCCCCCAAUGGUUUGAUUCCGUGAUUUUUGGGUGUAGUUGUACGAUUUCGUACAUAUCUGGACGAAUCUCAUUGGUUCUUGGGGUUAAUUUAUUUUUUUCCAAAUCUUAUUGGUCCAUAAUUUUCAUUUUUCUUCAAGGAAUCCAAAAAUGGAUGCGACAUGGAUAAACACCGAAGAGGGGGAGGUUUGGAAUUUCAAAUUUCAAAAUUUCCUAUUAUGGAAAAUCCCUAAUUUACGCCCAUAGAUAAACCCUAUUUGACUCUCUAUAAAAGGGGAGUUUUAGAAGCAAGGAAGGGGAUUCCGGUUCAAGAGGAGAAAGGUUGGAAAUUUAGGGUUGAAGAUUCUUGGGUUGGGAAACUUUUGGGUCCAAAAAGGAUUAGAAAUUCCGAACUCGAAAACCUAGGUAGAAAAGUUCUUUUAGGGUGGCAAAACUUUUCUUUGAGAGGUGAAAACAAGAAAGAAAAAAGGAAAAACAGUCAUCUAGUCGAGUGUUCACAACGGUAUUGAGCUUUUCGGUGGUGGUGGAAGUCUGAAGUUAGCUCGUAGUACUGUUUUGCUGCUCCGAAAUAGGUAACACUCCACUACGUUCAGUUUUUAAAUUGUUUCUGCCUGUUUCUGCUUCAUCUUGUUGUUCUAUGGUGAUAAAUAAUAUCUUGCUAUGCUAGGAUGUUCGCUGUUAGAGGCCUCGAAAGCCAUAGGUUAUGAUGGAUGCUGGCUGUUUGCUUUUGUGAUUUUAUUAUACCCUCAUUUCCCGUGUCUAUAAGCUGUUGUAGCUAAAGAGAAAAUGCAUUCUUUCUACGUGUCCAAACUAGUCUUCCUUCUUAGUAUGGUUAUGGUUAGAAUAUAGAGUAUUAAAACAUUUUCCUUUAUCUUACCUGCGAAGUGCAAAUAAUGGUUUGACUAUGAAGUUGGUUUUGGUUGAGUCCAAGAUCAUAAUUUAUUUGAUUAUUGAUGUUAAAAUUUAUGCUUUGAUGAACUUUGCACCAGUCUGCUUGAAAUUUGCCCUAUUUGUAGUUAUUUGACUAUCUCUAGAAAUGCCAUUGUUCAUGUUCUGUUGGUAUUUUACUGCUUGAAAUAGUUACUUUAGGAUAAUGUAAAUCUUAUAUCCUUUUGGGUGAUAUUUUGUGAAAGACGUUUCGAGUUCUAUGCAUAUUUAAUAUUGCUUGUUUCUUGUUGUUUUCUUGGUUGAAAGAGGACUCUUCACUUUGUUUUUCCUUGACUCAUAAUGUCAAGAAUUUAUCUUUCAAAUGAAUGAUAAAUCAAUACUCGAAGAUGUCCAUCUCUAGCAUUUUCCUUAACCCCAUUUGUUUUUUCGUGGCUUGUUAUGAUUGACGUCAAAAAUUUGAAUUUUUUUUUGUUGCUUAGUCAAGCAUGUUUUAAAGAAGGAUUUUUCCUGUUGUAGUAUAGACGGACCAAAAGAGGUCUUAUAGGAGUGAUAUUUUGAAAAAAAAAAAAAAAUUCUUUCUCUAUUUUCAUGGUUCUUCGAAACUGCAUUUUAGUUUGCUGAACAAAGAUAUGAAAGCCGCUCUUAAUUCAUGAGGAUGGGUUGGUCAAGUGUCAAAUUCUUACUUCUUUUUUUUAGUCUUUAAUGUCUACAAGUAUCAUGUUAUGAAGAUGCUCCUAUUUUUCUCUUGAUAAAAAUAAUACUGGAUCUUGGUUAUCCAUAAAGUUGACUUUUUCAUCAUUGGUUAGCUUCCUUCUUUAUGUCCCAACUAAAGGCAGUGCAUUGAUUUGCCUGCAUAUUCGUUGAAAAUCUGGUUUAAUUCUUUUUUCUAAAAAUUUUAGUGAUUAUAUCGGUACCAUACGCGAUCGAAAGUAGUUGAGACUUGGUUAUUUAAGCUUCCUAACACUCUCUUGAAAUAGUGUAGAGAUUAUAGAAUGUGGAUUUAUUUGUCCGAGUGUAUUGAUUAACACAUUCGUUAACUAAUUAACUUGCUUGCAAGCCAUAUACUUUUCUAAUCUUAAGGCUCAUGUAUUUAUGUUUUUUAUAGUUCACAUGUCUAUAUGUAGCAAGUGAAUUGCUAUUUUCUCCCGCCUAAAGCGUUGUGCCUUUUAUUGCAUAAUUUAUCUAUUAGUGUAAAAACUCUUGAGAACGUAUACUAAUUCACUCAUCUUUUUCUUUGCAUGAACCCGCUUCGGAGUCUGAAGGGACUACUUCCCCUUUGCAUGUCUUAAACGGGCCAAUGAGGCCUAUCUUUCGUGUCAAUUCUUAGAGAAAGCUUGAAUAUCAACCCUAUGGUAUACUGGGCGCAAGGAGCUGAAACAAGAAAGUGGGUUAAAGUUCCACUUCGAAGCGGUUAAGAGACAAAAGUCGCAUUUAUUAUUUCAUUUUAUAUAUUUAUUGUCAUCUUUUAUUUAUUUACUUAUUUAUUUGUUUAUUUAUUCAUUCAUGUGGGCCUCGAAGCCAAAGUUGUAAAUUUAAUACAGUUGGAGCGAGACUCGAGCCAAAGGCUCAAAAUAUAGACUAGGACAGGUGGAAGAUGGGUCGAAAGCCCAAUAUCUAGACUAGGACAGGGUGACAGAUUUGGGCAUAAAAGCCCAAAUCAUUUAUUUCUUCCUCUAUUUCCCUUUCGUUAUUUUAUUUGCUUAGUGUUCGAAUCUAGUUAAUCCCUAACUAAGUCGCUACAAAACUGAUUUUGCAAAAAAACUUUUCCUUAAUCAAAUACUUUUCCCACAAGUUGAUUUUCCAAGUUAGUCAAAAGAGAUGAUUUUCAAACAGAUCGGAUAACCUCAAGUUAGCGAACGUUUUAGGUGCCUAACACCUUCCUAAAACGUUAAUAGGAACUGCUUAUUCAGAAUCUCUGACUUAAAUGAUUUUUUUUCUAUUUUGGAUCGUUUAAAGUAUUUAAGGUUUCUUAAUUUCUUUUCAAAAUUAAGUGGCGACUCUUAUCAAAAAGUCAAAAUUAUUGCAAAACAAUCCUUAACUGCUUGAUUAUAUGAUUGAGGUUCAACUAAUACUGACAAAUUGGACACAAAAUACUGAUAAUUAAGACUAGUCCCAGCGUAGAACAAAUAUUUGGCUAAGGGAAAUCUUGUUCCUUUUCCCUUUCCUGGUGUUGCAUAGUCCAUCAUCCAAGCAGGUAGCUUGUGUACUCUGGUUGAUUUUCUUGGAGCAGGUACUUCAGGUUGUGAGGAUGAUGUUGUAGCAUAUGAUGAGUUGGAGGGAACAUCAUCUAGUAUGCUAUUUGGAACAUUGGAAAUAUUCAUAUUCUCAUCUGAAGACAUAGGAAUCUGGUGACAAGACUCUGGUAUAACAGGUGAGAAUCUACAUGAUCAUCCAUGUCUGCAUCUGCACAUUCAUUCUCACUUAUUGUGAGAAAGUCAGAAGACAACUCUGAAGUGGUCUUGUCUGCAAAAGGGAACAAGUGUUCUUGAAACACAACAUCUUUUGUAACAAAUAGUUUGUUAGUAAGAAAUUCCAUUAACAAAUGACCUUUCUGAGAAGUAGAAUAUCCCAUAAGUACUGCAGGUUUGGCUCUUUCAGUAAACUUAUCUCCUCUGGGUUGUAUUGAGGCAUAACACUUACAGCCAAUAACUCUAAGAUGUGUCAGUGAGGGAAUUUUACAGAAUAGCACCUCAUAAGGACUCUUAUCUCCAAUAGAAGAAGAAGGUAGCAUGUUCAUAAGAUAAACCACAGCCUUGGCAUUCAAUCCCCAAAACUUGAUAGGCAUCUGAGACUGAAGCCUGAUAGCUCAAGCAAUAUUUAGUAUUUGCCUGUGCUUUCUUUCAACAAUCUCAUUCUGCUGUGGUGUGUAGGGGUAGCUACUUUGAUGAAAUACACCCAAGGAUUGAAAUAACUCUCUAUAUUGUGAGUUUAUAAAUUCCGUUCCAUUAUUUGAUCUGAGAACUUUUAUUUGAGCACCAAAUUGAUUUCUCAUCAAAUUCAAAAAGUUUUUAAUAGCCAUAAUACAUUCAGAUUUCAACUGUAACAAGUGAAGCCAAGUAUACCUACUAUGAUCAUCUACUACAGUAAGAAAGUAGUGUUUCUUAUCAAAAGUAGGAACUUUUUAAGGCCCCCAAAGAUCCAUACGUACUACAUCAAAAGGCUUCACAACUUUAGAAUUACUAUCAGGAAAUGGUAUUCUAGUUCGUUUAGCUAGAAGAAAGACAUGGCAUUGGUAGACACCUAAUUUCGUCCCUCCCCAAUAUCGUUUUUACUCAUUUUUUACUUUAUCCUACCGUGUACCCUCACCCAUGUAAUUAUACCCCACAAAAAUACAAAAAUAACAAAAAUUUAAUAAAUCCCUAACCUUAUACUAACAAACUUUAUCCUAUACCCUAUCCCACUACCUCACCACCCCUUACCCCUACCUUUAACCCUCCUCCCAUGUUUCUUUCCAAAAAAAAAAAGAAAAGAAGAAGACAAAACAAAAUAGGGGGGAGGGGGGGUUAUGAUCAUCUUCAACAGAGAACUCUCCAUGUUCACACUCUCACACACACACAAGCAUUUUUAUACACACUUACUGGAAACCAUGGUGAAGGAUUACCCACACACUUCACAGUAAAGAGGAGGGGGUUUCUUUUCUUCUUCGGAGCAAUAGAGAGAGAUUAACAAAGAGAAAGAGAAAGUAACCAAGAGAAAAACUGUGGGACUGAGGCAAAAUGGGAUAGAUCAUCGCACAUAGAGGAAAGGAUUACAGAUUUGGGUGUGAGAGAGACGGAGAAAAUGUAAGAGAGAGAGAAAAGGUUGUUCACCAUCUGUCACUCUUACGACGGACGAUCCACCACCGAUUGUGAGUCCAAAAUGGAGUCCUUCACCGGAAAGGGACACCCAUCACCGAUCUCGGUCGAAAUCAUCUCAAAUCAUCCAGAAAACCAUCGCAAAUCAGUCAUUAAACAACCCACCACUGCUAAAAAUCAAUAGCCAAGCCUACCAGGGUUUUGAUCAAGUUAGCGAGUUCGUAGUUGAGGUUUGAAUUGAAGUUCUCGAUGCGGGCCGCACCUGAUUUUGAUUAAAAUAAUAUAUUGAUUUCGAAAGCUUCUUCUAAGGUCCAAUUUUUCAAAUCCUUUUAAUUUUACUCAAUUUGAUAUGUUGAUGUUGUGAUUUGAAUAUUUCGUGAUGAUUGAUGCUAUAAUUUUGAUCGAUGUCUGAACAUCUAUGAUUGUCGUGGAUUUGAUUGGUUGUUUCUAUAUUGAAGUUGAUUGUUUGAUCAAAAAUGAGAUUUGAGGGGCGGGAAUUAAGAACAUUGAUAAAAGUGAAUAUUAGUUUAUGUUGAUUCAUUGAUAGUCGCUUGAUUCGGGAUAAGCAUCGACUUUGUUAAAUUCGAUAGUCCCUUGUGAUAGGUCGAUUCGGAUAGGCAAAUGUAGAUUCGGGUAGGAAAAUUUAGAACUUAUGUUUGGUUGAAUGUUUGAAUGUGUGUGGGAAUGUUUCUUUCAAGUUUAUCAUAUUUUAUUCAAGUGUAUUCAUUUGGCCGGGGAAUGCCCCAAGGUUUCUUGUAUUUAUUCACCAGGGAAUGCCCCGACGUAUUAUGUCCUCGAAGGAAGUUCGUGAUCAAGUCCCGAGGCAUCGGGUAAAGUAUUGGAGCUUAGUUUAGGUCUAAUUUAGAAUAGGUUUUAUAUUUUCUGCAGUUUUCUAUUUCAGACUGUAUAAUUGGACUGGACACUAAGUUUUGAACUGUUUUGUUCUGUUUUGUUUGCUUGAUUGAUUGUUUUGCGUGCUUUGUGUGGUUUAUAACUUCGUAGUGUAUUAGCCGAUAUACUCCACCAAGUGAUAGUGUUCAAACUACGGAAAUUAGGGGUGCCUAACACCUUCUCCUCGGUCAACAAAAUUCCUUAGCCGGAAUCUCUGUUCACAAACUACUUUUAAAAAGUCAAAACAGUUUUGAAAAGGAUUUUUCAAAGGUGACAUGGCACACCGAAAUAUGCCAAGUGUCGACUCUGAAUGAAAAACUUAAAUAGUCCUUUUUGGAAAUAAAUUUUUAAUCUUUUUUCACUUUAAUAAUAAAAACCCUUUCAAACUAAAAAUCAAAUCUUUUGGGAGUUAAAAAGGAGGUGUGACAACAUUUAUUUUGAACCUCUAAGUAUGUUUUGCGUCUUAUUAGACUAAGUGAUUGCAAAGCAUGAGAAGAAGGGUGCCCAAGACUUCUAUGCCAUAAGUUGCAGUCUUGCAUAUCUACUUCCACAACCAGCAGCCUUUGAGAACUUCUUUCCUAUGCGUCAUUCAAUUCACAGACGUUCUUAAGAAAGUAUAGUCCCCCUUUUUCCUUACCAAUCCCCUUCAUCUUGUCAGUAUGAAGGUCCUGAACUAAACAUAAAUCAGGGUAGAAUGACACAAAGCAUGAAAGUAGUUUGGUCAUUUUUGAUACUGAUAACAGAUUGAGUUUAAAGUCAGGAACAAACAACACAUCACUAACAGUUUCCUCAUUUAGGAUUUGUGUUUCUCCGAUGUGUGAAAUAUUUUCCUUGGCUCGAGUAGGAAGAUUCACCAUUUCUUUUUCGAUAUUAACUACUUUAUGACACUGUGAGAAUACACGUUUAUGUUCUGCCACAUGAUGUGUUGCAAUAGAAUCUAUUACUUGUAGACACGUAAUUUUGUCCAUCCCAGAAAACAUUUUUUUCUAUUUUUUACCUUAUCCUACUGUGUACCCUCAACCAUAUAAUCAUACCCCACAAAAAUACAAAAAUAACAAAUUUUAUCUUGUUCUAAUUCUAUCCAAACAACCUCUCCAAUUAAAAAUGGACACAUUACCACCCCACCCCAUACCCUACGUUUACCCGACCUACCCUACCCCUACCCCACCCAUUUCCCUUCACAUUUUUCCACUGGUCAACAUUUAUACACCAUCACACAAUAUACAAAGAGGGGGACACAAAAAAAAGGGGAGCACACAUAGACUCCAUUUUUCUUCUGGAAGCUCCAUUUUGGUUUCAUUUUUGAUUCAUCAAGAGCAUACCUGCACAUACUAUCUUCUUCUCCACUAAUACACAUAGCUCACCCUCCAAAUUCAUAGACCACCAAUCAAUUGUCCAUCAUCUUCCAUUUUUUUUAUUCACAGAAACCAUCGCAUAGAGGAAAGAAAAACCCAGGGAUCUCCAUUUUUUUUGAUCGACUCACACGCACACAAAGACGCCAUAGUUAACACCCUCACGGAUCCUCACUCUCAACGUAGAAGAAAAUUGCACACAUACACUGAUUAAAAUUCAUAAAAAAUAUAGUGAAAAACCAGUGAGAAAAGAAGUAAAAAAUGGGUAAGAUGAAGUAAAAACAUCGAGGGAAAUAACAAAUCUCAGGUCGACGAUCACUGUUCCGGCGAUUGGUUCGCCGAAAAAAUGUCAAGCCACUCAAAACUUGCUGGAAUCCGACUUAUUCCUAUCGGUUCUAUUACUGUUAGCUCACCGGAGUUCAGCUUGUAAGGUUUCUCAGUUUUUUUUUUGCCGGAAAUUGGGUUCGGAUUUUGUUCGUUAGUCUUUGUUACCGGGCUGGAGUAGUUUAUUUUAAGAUUCUCCAUCGGGUUUCAAACCUGAUCGAGUUGUAUUUCUCUACACCAAGUAGAGUUUGGUCGUGGUUGAGGUUUGGUUCGAGGUUUCCAGAUGUGGACUCUCUUAGUUGAAUAACAUUGAGUUCGAAAGCUUCAAAUUGAGGUCCGAUUCUACUCUUUCACUCUUUUAUUUCACUGUUGAUGAUACUUGGGGCAUCGGAUUGAAUGUUGUGUUGAUUGAUCUUGAUUGGUGGUUGCAUUGCUACUUGUUUGAUUUUUUGUUGAUUUUCUUAGAUUAUAAAUUAUGGAAAUUUGGUAUUAAAAGGAAUUUGGGGUGGAAUCGAGAAGUUGAUAAAAUAGUGAAUUGAGUUUAACGUUGGUUUUACUAUUGUUUUUGUUUAAUUCGAAAUAAGCAUGAAUGUGAAUCGGAGCGUGAUAGAAUCAUGACAUGUUGAAACGGAUAGGCAAAGUUUAGGUUUAGGUAGGUAAAUUUAGAGAUAUUUUUGAAUGUUGAAAGUUUGAAUGCAUGUGUGGUGAAUGUUUUAUAGUUUAUCAUACUUGAUUAAGUGUAUUCAUUCAGCCAGGGAAUGCCCCGAGGUUUCAUGUAUUUAUUCACCGAGAAAUUACCCAACAUAUUAUGUAGUCAAAGGACGUCCAUGACGAAGGACCGAGGAAUUGGGUAAAGCAUUGGAGCGUAGCCUAGGAUUAGUUUAGAAUAGGAUUUAUAUUUUUGCAUUUUUUUGUUUCGGUUUGUAAUAAAUGGACUGGACAUUAUGAUUUUGGAUUUUUUUGUUUUGUUGGUUUGAUUGAUUGUUUUGUGUGUUUUAUGUGGUUUAUAUAUUUGUAGUGUCAAAAUUAGCCGAUAUUCUCCACCAAGCGACCGUGGUUGAACCAUGGGAUCGAGGGGUGCCUAACACCUUCCCCUCAGUCAACAGAAUUCCUUAGCUAGAAUCUUUGUUCGCAAACCAGUUUUAAAGAGUCAAAUUAUUUAUAAAAAGAUAGUCCAUAGGUGACUUGGCACACUGGAUUAUACCAAGUGGCGACGCUGAGUUUUGAAUGUAAAAAUAAUCCUUUUUCAAAUUUUUUUCACCUUUUGUCACUUUAAUAAUAACAAUCCCUUUCAAACUUAAAAAUGAAAUCUUUUGGGAGUUAAAAAAGGGGUGUGACAGCUCUAGUGACUCUGCUGGGGACCUUUUUCAGAAUUCGAUCUUAUUUUUGGAGUUAUAUCGGCUUAGUUUUGACAUUAUGAGUGUAUAGACAUUGUUUGUGUUAUUGUUUGUAUUUGUUUAUCGUUAUUGAGUGCCUACGUGCUUACAGUUUUUCUCUUAUGUGUUACCGCUUUAUAUCUGGCAUCAUUUGCAUAAUCUGAGUCAAUUCUUUCUGUAAGAAGUUCUGUAGUACACAUUGUGUACACGACCUAUAGUUGAGUCACCCUUAUUUUUAGGAGGGGGAGCCGUCGGCUGGUAUGGAGUGGGUGGAAAGCUAGAGCAGCCACUAUUGACCAUACGCUUCCCUGAACGGCCUUGUUAGUAAACCCCAAUGUAGGUCAGCCGUUAGGUCAUACUUAACUACAUCAUAUUGAGACCAAGCAGGACCCACUUAGUCCUUUGUAGGAGACUCACCUCAAAACCAUCCCUAUGUGCUAAAUGUUUCAUUUUUAGGGUAAUGGGGUCAUUUGACAUAUUGAUUUGGACAAAAGCAUGUGUUAGAAGCAAAGUGUGUAGGCAAAAUUUGUUGGAAAAAAAGAUUAAAAAAAAAUAAAAAGGUGUAUCGAAAAAAAAAGUGUUUCGUAGUGUUUUUAGAGUUUUUUAAUGGUUUUUGUUCUUCACAAUCCAAAAAUUCAAAAAGAUUUUUACCUUUUGCACUCACUUCUCAAAAACAAAAACAUCAAAAAGAUUUUUCCUUUGUCUCGUUUAGCAUGCAUUCACAAUUCAAAAAACUUCAAAAAGAUUCUUCAUUCAUAUAGGAGUUUUUAUACAAGAAGAAUGCAAAAAAAUUGUAGGAUUUUUGAACAUUUCAUGAAAAUACCAAAAAGAUUUUUCUUUCAUAGUUGUUGGUGUCAUUUUUCUGUAAAGUUUGAAAUUGAAAACUCAAAAAGAUUUUAUAGAUGUUUUGCAUGUUCAAUUUGUGCUCGUGUCUCUCAAGUCAGGGAGUUGGUUAUUUAAUCCUUAAUUGUCCAAUCUGUACGAACUACGCACCCCUGAUUCUCAUCUCUCGGGAGUGAGAUACGUAGGUAGACUAUUGUGGGUUCGGGGAUCUUAUUUGAAAAAUUCAAAAAAAAAAAAAUUCUUCACUUUUCCUUUAAAGUAGGUGUUUCCUAUAUAUCUUUAAAAUAAAAUUACAAAAAAGUUUUUUGUUAAUAGCUUCAGUCUCAUUUUCGUAUGAAAUUCAAAAAUUGAAAACCCAAAAAGAUUUUCGUCAAUUCUUUCGACAAUUUAUUAUUUUUGAAGUUUCUGAAAAAAAAAAGGAAAAAGAAUUAAUUGGCCAUUUUGGCAAGACUUCAUGAACUACGCACACCUGAUUCUCCUCUUUCGGGGGUGAGAUACGUAGGCACCCCUCUUGGGUUUGGUGACCUUUUCAAAAAGAAAAACAAGGUUUUGAAAAUAAAAUGUUGAAUUCUAAAGAAUUUGCUAUCUUUUGUUCAAUUAGUUUAAGGUGGUUAGUUUGUGGCAUUUUGGCUGGUCCUCCAUAUUGCACCAAGUCAUAGAUAAAGUUAUGGCCAAGAAGGAUAUCGAGUUUGUUGUCACUGAUUAGAGAAUUUAGGAGCUAAUGAAGAGAUUCGAAAAUUAAGGAAACAAAUGAUAGAAAUGCAUCGAGCUUGGGCUAAUGGGUUGCCACCUCCUCCAUUUCCCACUGAUAAUCUAGAAUAUCUUUCUAGCUUGCCUCCAGUGUCACAUACACAGUUUCCUAUUUUUGUUGACACACCACAACAUGCAUCAGGACCUGCUCCGGGGCAACACUAUCCAAACACUUCCAAUAUUCAUUUCCUCACUACUCAACACAAAGCUACCACAUGCUCGGCUCCACCCACUGUUCAGGUUUUUGCAGCACUACCCCUACCCGAAGAUCCUACUUUUGAGGUUUAUCCAUAAGUUGUGCCUCCCCACUCUGCAAGAAGAGGAAUAUUUCUACUGAUCAACAUCAUGCUAUUGAUCCCACAUUUAAGUUGACUAAUCCUUAUGGCUAUACUCACCCGCUUGAAUUUCCUCUUAACACUGAGAAGUCUGUUAUAAUAGAAGAACAAGGGGAAAUGACCAGAAAAUUAAAAAGUUUGGAACUGGCUAUGAAAGACCUCCAGGGACUUGAGGGGUACAAAAGUGUCUUAUAUAAAUAUCUGUGCAUAUUUCCAGGGGAUCAUCUUCCUUUUGGGUUUAAAAUGCCGAAGUUUGAGAAGUAUGAUGGACAUGGCGAUCUUGUGGAACAUUUGAGACGUUAUUCCAACCAACUAAGGGGUGAUGGGGGAAGGAAGUUACUCAUGGCAUAUUUCGGUGAGAGUCUUUCAGGCGUAGCUUCAGAAUGGUUUGUUGACCAAGACAUCCACAAGUGGAUUAGUUGGGAUGACCUAGCUAAUGAAUUUGUGCAACAAUUCCAAUACAAUGUGGAGUUGAUUCUUAAUGAGAAAUCCCUAACUACCAUGAAUAAAAAGAGUACUGAGACUUUCAGAGAAUAUGCGAUUAGAUGGCGUGAACAAGCUGCUAGGUUGAAACCGUCAAUGAAAAAAAGUAAGAUAGUGGAGGUAUUUAUUCAAGCAUAGGAUGAAACAUAUUAUCAACAAUUGUUACUUGUAUUAGGCAAGCCAUUUAUUAAGGUCCUCAAAAUGGGGGAGAUGAUAGAGGAUGGAAUUAAAACUGGCCGCAUUAUGAGUUUUGCAACAUUGAAAGCGACUACUCAAGCAGUUCAAAAAAGUUCGGGAAGUGUCGGAGGGAAGAAGUAUGAGGAAGAUGCAUCAGCCAUUGUAGUUGGACAAUAGGCAUGGGCAAGAGGACCACACCAUCAUUACCCAUAGGCUCAAACCCAAGUUUAUGCCCAAGCUCUACAGAAUCUUUCCCAAAAUCCAUUAUAUUCUAUUCACCCACUUCCAUAUCAAGUGUAUGAUGUGCAACCAUAUGUUCAACCUCUAUCUUACCCACAAUGGCGUGCGCCAACUCUAUCGAGUCAUCCUCUAACUCCACAUACAUACUGAAGCCCUUCUAGGCCUGGUUUUUAAUUUAAUCCAAACGAUGAAAUGAGAUAGAAGUUGAGAGAUAGUUUCACAUCAAUCGAAGAGUCGUAUGCAAGUUUAUUCCAGAGAUUGGUACAACAUGACGUGAUCACUCCUCUCCUUGGGUAUACUCCUGACCCACAUUCAAGAAGUUUUGAUGCUAAUAUACGAUGUCCAUAUCAUUCUGAUGUUCAGAGUCACAGUAUUGAAGAUUGUUGUUCUUUGAAAAGAGAAAUAGAAAAGAUGAUUCAAGAUAAAUCAAUUAUGGUGCAGACCAUUGACAGUGAGGAAAGCUCCAGUCAUGCUGAUAUGCAAACUAGUGGCUAAGAUGUCUGGAGCAAUUGAGAAGUCACCCCUCGCCCUACUAGGAAGAGGUCUGGUAGUUUGUUUUGUUUUUUAUUUUUUUCUAUUUUUUGAAUUAUUGUCCCUGUGUCGUUUAUGUUCAAACCAUUCUAUCUUUUAUUUCAAUUAAAUGGAGUGUCCCUUUUUUCUUUGUGUUUUAAAUUUAUGUUGUUUGUUUGUUUUCUUUACAUAGUACAUUUUCUGUUGAUUCUAGUGUUAUGAAAUGCUAGCAGAAUUUUCAUCCAGAUCUUAAAAUCCAGUUUAAGCAUGAGCAUUGAUUCAAAGGAUUAAUGUUAGAAAAAGAGAGUAUCUGAGGACAUAGGUAGAGUGUUGAGACAUUUGGUGACAAGUUGAAGCCUUAUUUGAAAAAUUAGCCUUAUUUGAAAAAUUAAGGCAAUUAUUUAUAGAAUCGUAAGAAUAAAUUGGUCAUUAAUGAAAAGACAUGUCUCAAUUAGGUCAAAUAGUGAAUGUGUGGUCCUACAUCAAAAGGAGAAGAAAAAUUAGCUCCAUGAAAAUAUGAGUCAUUCGAUGUGAUGAAUGUACAACAAAGGUGGAGUUUGCGGAAGAAGUAGUGAUGCACAAACUCAGUCAAAGUUAAUGUUGUAAAAGAUGUCACAAUGAUCUUCAUCUUUCACUUUCACAUGCAUGCUAUCUACUAGUAUUUUCAAGGAUUGAUAUGAUGAAGGCAUUUUAUUCUGUUAUCCAAACAUUGUGUCAUCCUUUGUUUACCCUAUUUGAGCUUUAGUCCCAUUUUAUUUCAUACCCCUCUUUUGGAAUCAAGAUAGAGUUAGGAAAACUCAAAAGAAAAGUGUCAAGCAAAAGAAUAGUCUCAGAAAGUUUCAAAAAAAAAAGAGAAAAAAUGUGUCCAAAAAGAAAAAAGAGUGUAAAGAAAAAUAAAGUCAGGAAAGUACCAAAGAGAAAGAGUCAAAAAAAGAAAAAUUUAGAAUCAAGUGGAAGAACAGGCUGCCAGAACUACGCAUGACCUGAUUCUCCUCUUUCAAGGGUGAGAUACGUAGGCUGCCCUAUUCUGGGCUCGGUCCAAUCAAAUAAAUUAUUUAGAGUCACCCAGUCAAAAGAAACUGGGGCAUGAGUUAAUCCUCAUUGUUUGAGUCGAUUCCAAAAGUUGUAAGUCCCACCCCACAUCAAAUUUCGUUUGGUCCUCAUGCCAUCCUUUCUUUCUAACCCUAUCCAAAAGCCAAGUUACAACCAAAGAAAAAUCUUCAGAUCAAUCUUUGAGGAUGUUAAGGCUAAGCAUGCAAGGGAUAUGAUGAUGUAUUUUGGAUCUAGUUGUCUUCCUUAGCAUAAGAAAUUAGGGGAGAAAUAAAACUGAGAGUCUAAUUGGUGAAAACCCUCAGGGGCACCAUAAGGCGAUGGUAAGUUGAGAGAGAUAAAAAUGAGAGAGACUUAUUGGUGAAAACCCCACGGGCACCAUAAAGAGAGGGUCAGUGAGAAAAAAAUGUGAGAGGCUUGUUGGGAAGGUGUCACUAGCAGAAUGAGCUCUUUGAAUGCAAUGGGUCAAAGCAAGUAACUCAGUUUCAGAGCCAUUAGCUCAAGAACAAUUGGUAGAAUGUUUGGAUGGAAAUAUCAGGAAGCCUAAUCCAAAAUGCAUGGCAUAAUCAUUAGAGUUGACUGUCAUUUUUCGAUAAAUUUUUGUUUCUUUGUUUCAAAUGGGGACAUUCGUUGUCUUUUCUUUCUUCUCUUCAUUUUUUAUUUUAUUUUCUUUAGUCAGUUAUCCAAAUAAAAAUCAUUGUCAUUUUUUCUAUUGUCUUUGAGUCAAGUUCAUGUCAAAAUAAGUGAAAAAAGAUUUCAAAAUUGGCUACCAUCUUCUUCAAUUGCACAAAGAAUGACAAAAGGCCAACACAUGAUUGUGAGCUGAAACAAGGCAUACAGAAAGUUUUGUCAACAGAUAUAUCAAGGUUAAAAGGGUUUAUCUGAGAAGUAUGGAAAAGAAGAAAUACUGUGUUUAUUUCAAAGUCACUCUUAAUAAUCUGAGUUCGGAUCAAUGAUGAAGUGAGUCAAUGACAUAUGCUAAUGGUUGAAAGCAAGAUUAAUGUGACAGGAGCAAGAAAGAUUUUCACAAAAUCCAAAGUCACAAACUAGCCACCAUGUUUUUAAACUAACAAGUUUUCUUUAUAUAAAACAAGAACACAUGUUACCUUCGAAUCAAGGAUUUCAAAGCCUACACAUCAAAAGUUGCAAUGCCUCACUUCUACAAAUGCAGAAGACAAUAUUGUUACACAGGUUUGGUAAUCAAAACCAUGGUAAAACUCAUCAUCCAAUAUAUCUAGGAGACACUUCCUUGUUGGGAUAAUUCAAGAGACAUUUGUAAGGAGACACACUUUCUUAUUUGGUAAUUCAAGCAGCAUUUGUAAGGAGAUGUACUUCCUUAUUUGGGUAAUUUCGGCAAUAUUUGCAAGGAGACGCACUUCCUUGUUUGGGAAAUUCAAGCAACAUUUGUAAGGAGACGUACUUCCUUGUUUGGUAAUUCAAGCGGUAUUUGUAAGGAGACACACUUCCUUGUUUGGAUAAUUCAAGCAGCAUUUGUAAGGAGACACACUUUCAUAUUUGGGUAAUUCAAGCGGUACUGGUAAGGAGACGCACUCCUUUGUUUUGAUAAUUCAAGCAACAUUUGUAAGGAGACGCAUUUCCUUGUUUGGUAAUUCAAGUGGUAUUUGUAAGGAGAGGCACUUCCUUAUUUGGUCAAUUCAUGAAACAUUUGUAAGAAGAUGCACUUCCUUAUUUGGGUAAUUCAAGCAACAUUGAUAAGGAGACGCACUUUCUUGUUUUGGUAAUUCAAGCGGCAUUGGUAAGGAUAUGCACUUUCUUGUUUUGAUAAUUUAAGGAACAUUGGUAAGGAAAUGCACUUCCUUGAUUGGGUAAUUUGAAUUUUGGUUUUUAGGUGAUGCAUUACCUAACUUAAGUCUUGAUUCCUAGUAGAUGUACUUCCUAGUCGAGUCAGUCCCUUUGAUUUCUAAAAAAUGCACUUUCUAGUUGAGUCAUUGGAUUUAACCCUUAGGAGAUGCACUUUCUUGCUAGUUUUCAUUUGUCAAGUGGCACACUUUUUAAUUUAAACUUCUAUCUCUGGAAGACGCACUUUAUAGUCAAAAUUCCUCACUUUAAUUUUUAGGAGACACACUUUCUAGUCAGAAUUCCUCACUUUAAUUCUUAGGAGACGCACUUCCUAGUCUUGGUCAUUCAAUUUUACUCUCAAGAGAUGCAUUUAUUUGUCAGAGUCUUGAUUCAUCAUUGCAACAUGCAAGUAGGUAUGAUGUGACUUUCUCAAAAGUCUUCUGAUGAUAAACUAGGGCAAAGAUUUAAUUUUUGUUUUUGGAAAUUUACUUUUCUGGCAAACGGAAUUUCUGUUUACAAUAAUUAUGUUUGGAAUAAUUUCCUUUCUAGUUUUGAUGUGAUUUUAGGAGCCCACUUGAAGAACAGGGCGAAUAAAUGGAAAGUCAAACAACAAGGUGAAGAAGUUGAGAGCCAAGCAGCAAGGUAAAGAAAUGGAAAGUUAAAAAAUUGAAAAAUAGCAAGUCAGGAGCCCACCUGAAGAAUAGGGUGAAGAAAUUCAAAGCCAUGCAACAAGUUAAAGAAAUUACAAGUCAGGAGCCCACCUGAAGAAUAGGGUGAUGAAGUAGCAAGUCAAGAGUCAAGGAAAUUUGCAUAGAUAGGAUUUUGUAAUUUCAUUUAUGUUUUAACUUGUAAUUUUCAUUUUGAUGUAAUGAUAGAGCCGCGAACCGGAGCCUCAAUGGGACCUCACUCGACUCUCCAACUCGAUUGUCCUUCUUCCUUUUGUUUCUUUCCUGUGAAUAAUGGUCGGGUCAAAAUUCUGUCUCAUUGUCUACUUCUUUGUAUGAAAACACUUUGUGUUUACAUACAAAGAGGGGCAUGAUGUGGACACGCAAUUUUGUCCAUCCCAGAAAGUGUUUUUGUCUAUUUUUUACCUUAUCCUACCGUGUACACCCAACCAUAUAAUCAUAACAAAUUUUAUCUUGUUUUAAUCCUAUCCUAACAACCUCACCAAUUAAAAGAGGACACAUUACCACCCCACCCCAUACCCUACCUCUACCCUACCUACCCUAUCCCUACCCCACCCAUUUCCCUUCAUGUUUUUCCACUGGUCAACAUUUAUACACAAUCACACAAUACACAAAGAAGGGGACACCAAAAAAAAGGGGAGCACACACAAACUCCAUUUUUCUUCUGGAAGCUCCAUUUUGGUUUCAUUUUUGAUUCAUCGAGAGCAUACGUGCACAUACUAUCUUCUUCUCCACUAAUACACACAGCUCACCCUCUAAAUUCACAGACCACCAAUCAAUUGUCCAUCAUCUUCCAUUUUUUAUUCACAGAAACCAUUGCACGGAGGAGAGAAAAACCCAGGGAUCUCCUUUUUUGUUGAUUGACUCACACGCACACAAAGACGCCAUAGUUAAUACCCUCACGGAUCCUCACUCUCAACACAGAAGAAAAUUGCACACAUACACUGAUUAAAAUUCAUAAAAAAUAUAGUGAAAAAUAGUGAGAAAAGAAGUGAAAAUGGGUAAGAUAAAGUAAAAAAAAUCGAGGGAAAUAACAGAUCUCAGGUCGACGAUCACUAUUCCAGUGACUGGGUCAUCGAAAAAACAUCAAGCCACUCAAAACUCGCCGGAAUUGACCUAUUCCUAUCGGUUCUAUCACUGUUAGCUCACCAGAGUUCACGUUGUAAGGUUUCUCAGUUUUUUUUUGCCAAAAAUCGGGUUCGGAUUUUGACGUUGGUUUUUGAUACCGGGCUGGAGUAGUUCAUUUUGAGAUUCUCCAUCGAUUUUCAAACCCGAUCGGGUUGUAUUUCUCUAAACCGAGUCGAGUUUGGUCGUGGUUGAGGUUUGGGGUUUCCAGAUGUGAACUCUCUUAUUUGAAUAACAUUGAGUUCGAAAGCUUCAAAUUGAGGCCCAAUUCUACUCUUUCACUCUUUUAUUUCACUAUUGAUGAUACUUGGGGCAUCGUAUUGAAUGUUGUGUUGAUUGAUCUUGAUUGGUGGUUGAAUUGCUACUUGUUCGAUUUGUUGUUGAUUUUCUUAGAUUAAAAAAUGUGGAAAUUUGGUAUUAAAAGGAAUUUUGGGUGGAAUCGAGAAGUUGAUAAAAUAGUGAAUUGAGUUUAACAUUGGUUUUACUAUUGUUUUUGUUUAAUUUAGAAUAAGCAUGAAUGUGGAUCGAAACGUGAUAGAAUCAUGACAUAUUGAAAUGGAUAGGCAAAGUGUAGGUUUGGGUAGGCAAAUUUAGAGAUAUUUUUGAAUGUUGAAAGUUUGAAUGUAUGUGUGGUAAAUGUCUUAUAGUUUAUCGUAGUUGAUUAAGUGUAUUCAUUCAGCCAGGGAAUGGCGCGAGGUUUCAUGUAUUUAUUCAUCGGGAAAUGUCCCGAAGUAUUAUGUACUCGGAGGAUGUCCAUGACGAAGGCUCAAAGCAUCGGGUAAAGCAUUGGAGCGUAGACUAGGACUAGUUUAGAAUAGGAUUUAUAUUUUAGCAUUUUUUUGUUUUGGUUUGUAAUAAUUGGACUGGAAAUUAUGAUUUUGGAUUUGUUUUAUUUUGUUGGUUUGAUUGAUUGUUUUAUGUGGUUUAUACAUUUUUAGUGUCAAAAUUAGCCGAUAUUCUCCACCAAGCGACCAUGGUUGAACCAUGGGAUCUAGGGGUGCCUAACACCUUCCCCUUAGUCAACAGAAUUCCUUAGCCGGAAUCUCUGUUUGCAAACUAGUUUUAAAGAGUCAAAUUAUUUUCAAAAGGAUUUUCCAAAGGUGACUUGGCACACAAGAUUAUGCCAAGUGGCGACUCUGAGUUUUGAAUGUAAAAGUAAUCCUUUUUAAAAAUUUUUUUUAACCUUUUGUCACUUUAAUAAUAAAAACCCCUUUCAAACUUAAAAAUGAAAUCUUUUGGGAGUUAAAAAAAGGGUGUGAAAUUACCCAUUCAUGUGGAACAACAUGUGUUGAUAGACAAGUAACUAUACUUGACAUGUUGACCUGCUUUGAAUCAUGUGCAUCUUUGUUCAGCAAUGCCAUGAUCUUUCUGUACUCUUCAUCUAAGAAACCUUGUCCUCUAGCUAUCAUUGCAUUAUUGAUAUCCUUUCUCCCUUGACCAACUUGACCAUUAGAUGAGCCUGCUACAUUUGUGUAACUUGUGUUCUCUCCUGACUGGUUCCCAGUGAAAUUAUGAGUUGAGAACUGAUUGUUAGAUUGUCCUGUGGCUUGAUAUCCAUAUCCACUUGAUCUUGACUGAUAUGAUCCCCUUGGAUUGCAAUUGUAGUUUUCUUUCUUCUUAUAUUUCUAAUCUGCAGGAUAUCCUAUCAAUAUAACAAGCAUCUCUAGUGUGUCCAUUUAGAUGACAGUAAUCACACCUCUUCCCUUUAUAACCUUGAGCACUAUGACUUGUUUCUGCAAAAUUUUUGUUUACCUACAUAGCUAUGGGAUCAGUCUUAUCACUAGUUACUGCAAUACAAGCCAGCUGCUGAAUCUCAUCCUCAAAUAUCAUUGCAUAUGCUUGAUUAAGAGUAGGUGUCACUCCUUUCAUAAGUAUCUGCCUCUUAGCUUGAUCAUAAGAUUCAUUCAACCCACUCAAAAAUUGUAUUAACCUCUGUUGAAUUAAGUAAUCUGCAUAGACUUUGGACUUGGCACAAUCACAAGAUGGUGCUAGGAUCACAACAUCAUACUCAUACGAGAGAUUUUUCAGCUUAGUAAAGUAUAUAGAAACAGAAUCAGUUCUUUGAUGAAGAUUGUUGAUUUCUUUGUGCAAAUGAUACAAUCGCAUUCUGUUAAUCUUGUCAAACUUUUCCUUGAGAUCUUCCCUUGUCAAACCUUUCCUUGAGAUCUUCCCAUCCUUCAAAUGCACUUGUGGCAUACAUAAUGCCACUCAGCAACUCAACACUUACUGAAAUCAUCAACCAAGACAACACAACUGCAUUAGAAGUCUCCUAUUGCUCAUGUAGAUCUUCUCUAUACAUAUCCUUUCUGCACAUGCCAGUCACAAAACCAUAUUUUCGUUUGCCUAGUAAUGCAAUAUUCAUAGAUCUACUCCAGAUUUCAUAAUUUUCCGAUCCAAUCAACUUGAUUGGAAUCAAUGUAGCACCAGUAACAUCCGAUGCUCCCAGAAACAAAGGAUCUGUAGGAUCGAUCUUAGGUUCCAUUACUUUCUUACUCAGAAUUCCAACUUCAACUUACAAAAAAAAAAACAGAGACCUACUUUCUCCUUAUUGAUAGUAGCACAUAAUCCAAAAUAGAAUGGAGUAUUGAUACUUUCUAUAGACCUCCAUGGAUCGUUGAUCUGAUACCAUGUUAAACUAAUGCAUUACAAUACUCACACGCACAUACGGAAGCCAUUGAAGCAGAGAAUAGAAGAAAGAAAAGUGAUAAGAUAUUGUUAUUCAAGUGAUAAAAAUGUACAAUGAGAGAGGCAUGGUUGCUAUUUAUAGGCUCACAUGUAUGUCACAUGAGCUUUUAGAAUAUUCCUAACUAACUCUAACAACUUGGAUAACUAAUCUAAUCAGCAACCACUAACUUGGUGUCUUAAAAGAUUGAAAAAAAGGUCCCACAUUGGGGGUUAAUGAGAUGGGUGGUCUCUUUAUAAGGCUUGGGCAAUCCUCCUCCUCAUAAGCUAGCUUUUGGGGUGUGAGUUAAUCCCAAGACCAAUUUUAACAUGGUAUCAGAGCAGGGCCCAUUCUCACCCAAUGUUGGGCCCCCGAAUUGAUAUGUCGGGGAGAUUGUCCACACCAAGUUGAGGUAUGGGCAUGAGGUGAGGUGUUAAAAGAUUGAAAAGAAAGUCCCACAUUGGUGGUUAAUGAUAUGGGUGGUCUCUUUAUAAGGCUUGGACAAUCCUCCUCCUCAUGUGCUAGCUUUUGGGGUGUGAGUUAGGCCCAAGACCAAUUUUAACAAAAUAAACCUAAAAAGGAUAAAUUUGUAACAUCUUGAUUGAUUUAACAAAGUGAGGGCAAACUUCACUAAUCAUUAAUUUAACACACGUGUGCCUAUGUGGACCUUCAGUGUGUUGAUUUACUGAUGUGCCACGUAGACACUAAGGUUGCCAAAAAUACGAUUUUAUUUAGUCCAUAGGGUAAUGAGAUCCUUCUAAAGUACGGGUGUAUCUCAGCAAUUUUGUGUAUAGUUCAGGGUGGAAGCAGAACAUUUUUCCAAAAAAAAUGAAAAUCCGUCGUGAAUGGGUCUCAAACCCGAGAACGUGAGGCCCUUUGCGUGAAAGCUUACACCCUUUUUGCCAUUGAACCAAGAUUCGAAUGAACCCCCAAAAUCCACGUAGCUCCACCCCUGGUUGAGAUGACGUAAUAAUCUCAACCAUUUAAGUUAAUAAAGAACAAAAGAUAAUCUUGAUCGUAUAAAUUAAUUUAGUACAAAAUUAAUAUCAAUUUAAAUAUAUGUACUUAAAGUUAGUUAGUAUGGACAAGAAUCUCGAGCGUAUAAAUGAAUAUGGUACAAAAAAAAAUCAAUUAAAACAUGAACACAUUAAGUUAAUAAAGUACAGAAAAAAUCUCAAAUAUAUAAACACACACAUAUAUAUACAGUAUGAAAAUAAAAUAACUUCAAACAUCAAUACUCUUAAUUAUAUUAAAGGUUGACUGGACGAAUUAAAUAAUACUAAAAUAAAAAUAAUCUAAAUCAUAAGGGAUAGAUAAAACAUAUCUGUCAUAAUAUAUAGAUCAGUCAUGUAGAAGGUUAAUUCAAGAAAAUAAGAAAGCAAGAAAGAAUUUUUUUUUUAUUUGAAGUGAGUGAGGAUAGGGUAUAUGUGUGAGAAUGGCGAUGCAGCUCUUCCUAGAUUCAUAGUACUAAAAUCAGUGUGUACAUAUUAAUUAAUUAUUAUUAUAAUAAUGUUUUAUUAUUUCAUUUGUUUAUUUUUCUAUUAUCUUUUUUAUUUAUUCAUUGACUUCUAUUUAUUGUUUAUCUUUAUUUAUUAUUAUUAAUUAAAUAAUAUAUAAUAUAUAGAUUUUGAUUUUUAAAUUUUAAUUUUUUUUCCCCUUCCCCUUAUCUGACUUUUAACCGUUCCCUCCCAAAAGUCCUUUUAUAAAAGGACUCUCUAUUCAGUUAAAAAAAGGCAGAGACUACGUACUUGAACUCUACAAUAUCAUGUAGAAAGAAAACCAGAGAGAAAAAUACAGAGAGAAAAACACAGUAAGGAAAAACUACAAAGGAGAAAACAAAGAAAAGAAAGACUAAAAAAUCAAACUUCAAGAUUCCGUUGAAGUUUUCGGUGACAAUCUUUUAUUUCAUCACUCAAUUUAUUCAUUACAGGUUCAUAUUCAAACAUUUAUGUUAUCAAUUUUAUGGUGAAAAAAACAUGAAUGAAAUAUUCAAUAUGUUCUCUGUGGAUGAAUACAUAUAAUAAGAUAAUUUAUGCUUGAUAUUUCACACAAUGUAUUAACUAAAUCCAUAUUUUGCACUGUAUAUUCACAGCACACUGCAUCACUGAUAUUUUAAUUUUUUACUGCCAUACACACACACCUCCAAAAACACAUGCAUAUACUGUAGCGCGCACAAAUACAGUAAUAAUAAUUGAUGGAAAAUUAGCAAAACAGAGAAGAAAAUCAGUGACAAAUGAGAAAGCAUGAGUCGAGAAAAAGGAUAAGUUAGAAAAGUUUGCAAAUCGUGGCCGAGGCAGAGGUGGCUUUCGAGGAAGAGGUCGUGGAAGAGGUCAAGGAAGGAGUCGAGAUAGAGGAGGAUCAAAUGAAGAGAAGCAUAACAGAACAUUUCUAUGCAACUACUGUAGAAAACCAGGUCAUAAAAAAGCUUAUUGCUGGCAAAAGCAAAAGGAUGAAAAUAGCUAAGCAAGCUUUGCAGAGGAAAAUGAUGAUGGAAGUAAGCUGUUCAUGGCCCUUUAUUGUGAAAAAUACUCCUAAAGAUGUUUGAUUUUUGGAAAGUGUAUGUUCCAACCAUAUGUCUACAACAAGAUAUUUGUUUAAGGAGCUCGAUGAGUCCAAAAAGUUAGACUUAAGGCUAGGAGACAAUAAUAAGAUUCAGGUUAAAGGCAGAUGUACUGUUAGCAUCAUGACCAGCCAAGGUAAUGCUAAAAUUUUAGAAGAUGUGAUGUUGUUUCUAGUCUAUCGCAUAAUUUACUUAGCAUUGGACAAUUAAUGAUUAACGGAUACUCGAUUUCUUUUGACAAUGGUGUUUGCACUAUUAAAAAUAAGAAAUCUGGGAAAACCAUUGCUAAAGUUCCAACGACUAACAAUAAAAUGUUUCCUUUAGAAGUUUCAAUGGUCGAGAAAUGUGCGAUGGUAGCUAGUGGUGAUAAUGAAACUAGACUAUGGCAUUUGUGCUAUGGGCAUUUAAAUGUUAAUGGGUUGAAGUUAUUGAGUCAAAAGGAAAUGGUUUUUGGAUUGCCAAAAUUUGAGAAUCUUGAUUUUUGGGAAAGUUGUGCUUAUGGAAAACAAAGUAAAAAGGUUUUUCCUGUAGGCAAGUCUUGGAGAGCUUCUAUUUGUCUUGAGUUAGUUCAUGCAGAUUUGUGCGGUCCUAUGAGUGUUGAGUCCUUAGGGGGGAGUCGAUAAUUUUUUGUUUUUACUGAUGACUAUAGUCGUAUGAAUUGGAUAUAUUUCUUUUAAAUCUAAAACAUUUGGUAAUUUCAAGAAAUUUAAAUCUUUUGUUAAGAGGCAAAGUGGAUGUAGGCUCAAAACUCUUUGGACAUAUAGAGGUGGUGAGUUUAUGUCUAAGGAAUUCAGUUCCUUUUGUGAAGAAAAUGGAAUACAUCGGGAGCUUACAGCAUCUUAUACACCAAUGGUGUAGCCGAAUGAAAGAACUGCACAAUUGUUGAGAUGGGCAGAAGCAUGAUGGAAGGGAGAAGUUCACCGAAAUGUUUUUGGGCUGAAGCUAUUGCCACUGCAGUCUAUUUGCUGAAUAUUUCACCCACCAAGGCUGUGUAUAAUCAAACACUGUAUGAAGCUUGGAGAGGUAACAAGCCCAAGGUAAGCCACUUACGUGUCUUUGGUUGUAUAGCUUAUGCAUUGGUAAAUUCACAAGAUCGACGUAAGCUUGAUGAAAAAUGUGAAAAAUGUAUCGUUGUUGGAGUGGCAAAAUUACGGUCAAUAGAAAUGUUGUGUUUAAUGAAGAUUCAAGAUGGAAACUUUAAUUCUGAAAAUGAAAUUUCAAAUAUUCAAUUAUUGCCUUCUAAUAAUAUUGUUGAUCAAGAGUAUGUAGCAGAUCCUGGUUUGGCAGGUCCGUCGACUACCUCAUCAGUUGCACCACCAACUUCUCCAAUAUUAGAAGAACCUUCAGCUGAGCCAACUCCAUUAAGAAGAUCAGCAAGGGAUAGAAAAUCAAAGCCCAGAUAUGCUGACAGUACAUCUUGUACUUUGCUUUACUUAUUUCAGAUCCUAUUUUCUUUAAAGAUGCCGAAGGAGAGGAUAAAUGGUGCAAAGCUAUGGAGGAAGAGCUGUUAGCUAUUCAAAAGAAUCAGACUUGGGACUUGGUAAAUUUGCCCGAAGGAGAGAAGGCAAUUGGGCUCAAAUGGGUGUUUAGAACCAAAUAUCAAGCAGAUGGCAGUAUUCAAAAACACAAGGCAAGGCUUGUUGCAAAAGGUUAUUCUCAAUAGUAAGGUAUUGACUUUGAUGAAACUUUUUCUCCUGUUGCCCGCUUUGAAACUGUGAGAACCUUUUUAGCCUUGGCUUCAAAAUUAAAUUGGUCAGUGUACCAAUUUGAUGUUAAAUUCGCCUUUUUAAAUGGUGUUUUGGAAGAGGAAUUUUAUGUCUCACAACCUGAAGGUUUGUAGUAAAUAGUAAAGAAGAUAAGGUUUACAGGUUAAAAAAGGCACUUUAUGGCUUGAAGCAAGCGUCGCGGGCAUGGUACUUCAAAAUUGAUUCUUAUUUCUAGGAGAGUGGCUUUGAAAGGAGUAACAAUGAACCUACUCUUUAUAUAAAAAGAGGAGGUAAAAAUGAUUUUCUGGUUGUAUAUAUUUAUGUAGACGAUAUGAUAUAUAUGGGUUCAAGUGAGUCUAUUGUCAAUGAAUUUAAAGACUGCAAGAAUUUUGAUAUGUCCAAUUUGGGAAUGUUGCAUUAAUUUCUUGGCCUUGAGGUGAAACAGGAAGUUGAUAGCAUAGUUCUUUCACAAAGAAAGUAUGCAACGGAUCUUUUGAAAAGGUUCAAUAUGGUAAAUUGUAAUGUUGCUGCUACUCCGAUGAAUAUCAAUGAGAAGUUGUGUCAUGAUGAUGGUUCUGAAAUGGCAAAUGCAACUUAUUUUAGAAGUAUAGCUGGUGGUUUGAACUACUUGUCUCAUACAAGACCAGACAUUGCUUUCUCUGUCGGUGUCGUUUCCAGAUUUAUGCACAAUCCAAGCAAGCUUCACCUUGGAGCUGUAAAGAGAAUACUUAGAUAUAUCGUUGGGACAUUAGAUCAUGGUAUUUGGUAUUCUAAGGUAACAAGUUUCACAUUAACUGGUUUUACUGAUAGUGACUAUGCAGGAAACAUUGAUGACAGAAAGAGCACCUCUGGUUUCUUGUUUAAUCUUGGAUCUGGAGCAAUUUCAUGGAGUUCGAAGAAGCAGGAAGUGGUGGCCUUGUCAACUUCAGAGUCUGAGUAUAUUGCAUUAGCUUCUGCAGCUUGUCAAGAAGUUUGGUUAAGGAGACUUGUUGCAGAUUUUAAUUAGAAACCAGCUGGUGCGACUGAGAUUUUUUGUGACAAUAGAUCUUCCAUUGCGAUAACGAAGAAGCCAACUUUCCACAGUAGAACAAAGCACAUAGAUGUUCCCUAUCAUUAUAUUUGAAAUCUUGUUUCUAAUGGAGAAAUUACUUUGAAGUCUUUUGAUACAAAUGAGCAAGUAGCAGACAUCUUCACCAAAUCACUUUCGCAAGAAAAGAACGAGUUCUUUAAAGGUCAACUUGGAGUUUGCAUUUUUGAAUCAAGGGGGAGUGUCAAGAAAUGAUUCAAAAAGAUUCUUGACCAAGUAUUCAGGAAGUUAGUGAGUUGUUAGUUAGUUUCCUAUACUCUAGCAAGUUGGAUAGUGCUGCAGAUUAUUAGCUAGUCAAUAAAUUAGUGGGUUAGUGGACCUAAAGUUUAGAAUUUUUAGUUUAUUGUGAGCCUAUUUAUAGGCAUGUCUCUUUACUUUCAUAUGCAAUCAGAAAUAAAGAAAUGACUGCAGUAUUUUCUUCUCUUUGCUCUGUUUCUGUCCAGCUAUUCAUUUAGCUUCUUUUUUUCCUUUACAACAUAUAUGCCCCUCUAUUACUGUAACUUCAAAUGGAUAGUGUACUUAUACUCUCGCCAUCUACCAAGUUAAAAUUAAUUCUUUUUAAUUUCAAACAAUAAGACAUGGCUUUAAAAAUUAUCUCACCCAUUUUAUUUACCUCUAGAGACCCAACCUAGCUAAAAAAAAUCAAUUAGUCUUUUAUUCAGACCUGACAAUUUCAUUUAUUGAUUGUGUAGAUGGAUUGGAUUUUUUCUGUUGGACAGUGUUUGGAGUGGUAAAAUGUGAGGUAAUUUUUUUAAAGCCGCAUGAUAUUCUUGGAAUUUAAAAAAAGUCAGUUUUAGAUUAUUUUCUAAUUCAGUAAAUAUAUGUCUUUCAACAAAAAUUGUAAAUAUGCCUAAUUUGUCAGACAAUGGCGUAUAUAUGCAUAAAUUUUUUUAAUGAGGCAUAUAUGUCACGACCUGACCUGAGGCCCUGGCCGCGACGGGCAUCCCAAAUCACGAAGGCCCGAGAGACCCCUGCCUCUGCCCAACCCACAAGUGAUAUUGUCCGCUCUGGGCCCAGGCCCGCACCACUUUAAAACGCGUCACUACGAAGUAAGAUUUUCUUACUUGUAUACCCAGCAUCCUUCCUGGGUUUUUGCUGAUAUGGGACUCCUUCCUAAGUUGGGGUGUUACAUACACCCCCCUUAUGGACUCAGCGUCCUCGCGGAGGUUUUUCUCACUGAAUGGGAUUUGCCUAGACACAAGACUGAGGUUUGCCCCGCCUUUUCAGGAUUUGCCUACACUCAGUUUGAACUCUGGCCCAUAUCGACAGGGCUGACAUAGUGGGUUGGGGAGUUAUAGGGGUAUCUCGGGCCUUUGUGGUUCGGGAUACCCAAUGCGGACAGAGCCCCGGCUCGGGUCGUGACAAAGUGGUAUCAGAGCCGCUCCUGUGUCAGCCCUGUCGAUGUGGGCUAGAGUUCAAACUAAGUGUAGACGUAUCCGGGUAACGCAGCAUAAACCUCAGUCCUGAGUGUAGGCGAAUCCCAUUCGGUAGGGCAAACCUCAGCGAGGACAUUGAGUCCAUAAGGGGGGUGUAUGUAACACCCCAACUUAGGAUAUAGAGUCCCACAUAGAUAAAAAACAAGAGGGAUGCUGGGUAUAUAAGUAAGAAAGCCUUACUCUCCAAUUACGCGUUUAAAAGCUAUGCGGGCCUGGGCCCAGAGCGGGCAAUAUCACUAGUUGGUUGGGUAGAGACAGGGGUCUCUCGGGCCUUCGUGGUUCAGGAUGCCCGUCGCUGCCAGGGCCUCGAGUUGUUUCAUGACAAUAUAUUCUCUCUAAAUCACAAAAUUGGCGGGUAUAUUUACCCCUUUUUUCCUAUAACAAUUGUUAAUUAUGCAUAAUUUGUUAUUAAAUGAUACGCUUCUUACAUCUACUUAUGAUUAAUCAUGGUCCAGGGCCUCGUGUCGGGUCAUGACAAUAUAUUCUCUCUAAAUCACAAAAUUGGCGGGUAUAUUUACCCCUUUUUUCCUAUAACAAUUGUUAAUUAUGCAUAAUUUGUUAUUAAAUGAUAUGCUUCUUACAUCGACUUAUGAUUAAUCAUGGUAAAAUAUCGCGCUGCGUCUACUACUCUCUUCAGUGGGAUCAGAAAACAUGCACAGACUAUAUUUUUUCUUCAACAACUUAAUAAUAUGUUCGAUAAAGAACAUUUAACUCAGUGUUUAGUCUAUAUUAGAAUGUAUGCUAUGCUUGAGGACAUUCCUAUGUGUUGUAGUUUUCCAUAUAAGCCAAGUUUUACCAGCCAUAAAUCAUGACAGAUCAGUACACGCCUUACUCGAAAGGUCAUUUAUUGUCUGAUCAACAAAAUAAUCUAGUGUGAACACUAUACAUAGAGUUAUGGACAGUAAUCUGCAGUGAGAUUUAGUACAAUAAAUAUUUCACUAGCAAGAGAAAGAACCAUCUCUGCAUUCUCAUAAAAAAAACUUCUUUCUUUCUUUAUCAGCUCCAAGAUUUUCAGAAAGAAUCACCUUGCCCAAAAUGCUAACUUCAGGAGAAAAGACUAAUGGGAUCAGUGUUUAGUCUAUAUUAGAAUGUACGCUAUGCUUGAGGACAUUCCUAUGUGUUUUUAGUUUUCCAUAUAAGCCAAGUUUUACCAGCCAUAUAAAUCAUGACAGAUCAGCACAUGCCAUACUCAAAAGGUCAUUUAAUGUCUCGUCAGCAAAGUAAUCUAGUAUGAACAUUAUACAUAGAGUUAUGGAUAGUAAUCUGCAGUGAGAUUUAGUACAAUUAAUAUUUUACUGAUUUUAGUGAAAUGAAUUAGCUGUAAAUAUAGCAAGAGAAAGUAUCAAUUGAAUCACCAAAAUUCUUUAUCAGCAUUCUCAUAAAAAAUUCAUUUUCAUAAAGAAUCACCAAGCCCAAAAUGCUAACUUCAGGAGAAGAAUAGAUCAUCUCUAGACAUGCAAAAACAACAGGAAAAAGAAAGCUCCCAGCAUCUGAAGUGUAUAAAUCGAAGCGCGUGUUUGCUAAAAUUGAAGAAAAAGGAAAGCAUAUGAUGUCUGAACCAUAUGAAUUGAAGCCAAUUAAUGUGCCUACAUUUUCCAAUCUUGAAAGGGGAGGAACAUCUGAAAGUAAACUGGAAAAAGAGGACGAUUAUGAUUAUAAUCAUGACUUAGCAAUCUUGAAGGCUAUCUAUCACUACUAUUUCAAUCGUGGGGUAAUUCCGAAUCCUCCUUAUUCAAAGAACUUCAUCGACUACAUCGAGGCUUCAGUUCCCAACAUGAAAUUUCGUGGUCAGGCAUUGGUGAAUAAGAUUGUUAUGUUAGAGCACCAUUUCUUAAAGGUUAUGAAAAUGGCUGCACGUGUAGGAUAUUACCCCGAAAUAAUCCACCCUAUUUGCCGCAAAAUUUUCAACUUGUCCAUGGGUUUAUGGGGAUAAUUUUGGAGACUAUUAUCCAGUUGGCAAAGAGCAAGAUGAAACUAGAGUUGUUGAUGCAUUCUUGAUUUUCAAGGUCGAUGUCUUCAUAGCGGCAUUUUAAAUUAUUUCUUGGAGCAUUAAUUUAAAGGUCUUAAUUUUCUUUCAUUAAACUGAAUCUAGUUGUCGUGUGAAUUAUUAAUUUGGAUAUUGGUUUGCUCAAAAUUUUCAGUUACGCUCAAAGUUUGAUUUGAUAUAAAAUGUUUCCUUUUUCCAAGUUUGAUAUCUUGUCUUCAACUUAUAGAAUCAGAUAUGUUAAUUGUUCCUCUCUUCUUUCGAGGAAGGAAAAGAAUAUCGAUCAAAUGACAUCAUUUAACAUAGAAAGAUAGCAAAAUCAAGUGAACGUCAUCAUUUGUCCAAAUGGGGGCAUCAGUAGCUACGGUUAAGUCUGGAAAGGAUACAUCGUACAUAUAUGUAUAGAGAAGUAUCAAUUAAAUGCAUCUACUUAUGGAAAAGAUUUUAGGUAACUAUUAAAGGAGAAUGAAUGAACUAGUAACUAAUAUAGUUAUUAUGUUUUCGCUUGUAGAAUUGCAGUGCAAGGGGAUGAAAAAUUGUAAACGUAAAAUUGGAUAUAAGUCGCAAAAAAAAUCCCAAUGAAGGUAUUUCAUAUCUUUUCUUCCUCGGGUUAAUAUAAGUAGAAGUGCAAAGUGAAAAGAAAGUCCUUUUCACUAUUUCACAUGUCCUUUCAGUUCUCCCUUGUCAUAUCCUUUGUAUCAGAUUCCUUAACGUCAACUAGUGAAUAAUCGUUUUAGUUUCAAUGAGUUAAAAAGUUUACUUGAAAAAAGAUGUUCAUGGUAAAAGAAUAUUUAGUUGUAUACUUGACUGAGAAACAGCCUUUCCCAUUCCUCGUCCCAAUACGCUGAAAUCUCAGUUUUCUUCUUCCCUGCUCCAUUCCCGCAUCAAAAUUCAUGUUCCAUUGCCAACCUUGUCGUUUGGAGAUUUUAAAAUCUCCCCAUUGUUUUGCUUCUUUAAUCCAGAAGAUGAUUUGGUGCAACUACUGUUAGAAUUAUUUAAUUUAUAUGGAUUUAACAUUAACUUUUUGGUACGUUAAAGUAAAACGGGUUGAUGUUAUUAGUUGGUGGACAAGACACGGGCGGUGUAUUCAUGCGAAUUCCAUAUGGAUCAGUGUAGGUCUGUAGUAGACCUAUAAGCCCAUAAUGGGGGUGCACUAGGUUAAGACUUUUAAGCCUAUAAAUAUAAGGCUAGGUCUCCUCUCCUGGCUUCAACAUAAGACAUAUUCCCAUAAGCUAUCCGCCGUCAUAAGCAAAGAUAAGUUCACUGAUGUAUAUAGGGCCCAAACCAUGAACUAAUAUGUGAUAGUUCAAUAUUACUCUAGAAAGAUACAUUGCAUGAGAUUGUAACUUCAUAUCUCUUCUAACCCCAUCUACGUCACCUAAAAGUUUCUUCCUUUCAUAAAUAGAUCUAUUAUUAAUGUAGUUACUUUGAUGUCCAUAUUUAUGAGAAAUUAUCUCCAUUACUGAUGGGCAGUUCUUCCCUUUCCCCAUACCUCACCAUUUACAGGUAUCAAAACAAUGUCUCGAUCAGCAUACAUUGGAUAUUAUAUCAUUCUAGAAUUUCGAUUUAAUGCCCAUCUCAAGCACCAUUUUGUUGAAAAUUUUCACAUGCAAUUUAUUUUUUCUUUUGUUUCUUCAUCAAGUUUCAUUAAAUUAAAAGUUUCCUCAAUUAAUGCUGCUGCAUAAAAGUUAACAAUGAGAAAACCACAACAUGUGUGUCAAACUAUUGAUCGAACACUAUUUUUUGUUGGAUUGAAGUUUUUUCUUUAUCUAUUUUUGAGAAAAAAAAAAUAAAAACAUAAUUAUCACUUCUCCUAAAGUUCUAUGUUCACGAGUUUUUCCGUCUAUUCCAUAAUCACAUCAAUCAAAUAUUUCCUCUAUUGCUUUCCCUAAUUAAUUCAACCCAUUCUUGCUAAUAUUAUUGUUAUUACUAAAGUGAAAGAAGAUACAACCUUCCAUUGGCCAAAUACCUAAAUUAAUUGAAGGACAAAGCCAAAGAAUUUAAUUAUCUAGUAGCAACAAUGAGAUUCUUUUUUCAUGAAAAUAGUAGAAAGGAAGGGUCAAAUGAAAUAUCCAUGAAGAUGUUGGUAAAGGUCUCCUUAAAAUAUGUCUUUUGCAAAAUACAUAAAAUCAAACACAUACAAAUCAUCACUUACAGUACAGUUGCAAUAAUCAUAAUAUUUGUCGCCUUCAAUCUUGUAGUGUCCCUGCUUCAUUUUGUGAAAGCGGGCAGACAAGGGUUGGAAAGAAUUCCGUCAAAAGACCAUAAUGAAAUUCAUUAAUAUGUAAACAGUUGCUUACAUUAUCCUUCAGAUUGUAUAUCAUGAUUUUAUCGUGAAACAUAAGCAGAAAUUCACCUCUUUUUGUUAGAAAAAAGAGUGAGAAAAUAAAUAAUCCACGGGAUAGUAAAAAUCUUUCUCCAGGAUUCUUUAUUCUCAUACAUUACUUUUCAACACUCCUAACACGAGAAAUUUAUCCUCUUCUCCACAAUAAGGUCGCUCUACCUUUUUCCAUUUCUCAUUCCUCAAAUCAAAAGAGGUUAUGCUCCAACCACUUUUUAUAUCAAUACUAGUAGCCCAAUAAAGAGUGCCAUUCACAUAUUUACCUGAACCAAUUAACCGCGUCACUCUCCGAGAACAAUGUAUUGUUCGCCAGGAAUUAUCCUUUAGGCUAUAGAUAUUGAUCUGUUGAAAGUUACGUGGAUAGCGAGUAAUAGAAAAACUACACAGUACCUUAUAACAAUCAUGAAUAUUAUCAUAUCCAAAACCAUAUGUGCAAUGAGCAUCAUCCUUCAAUUUAGUUCUAAAAUCAGGAGACUUCUUAUACUUUCUUAAUGCUGGAUUCCAUAAAAACAAUUCUUUUGCCUCAUUGACAAGACAAAUCAAUCCAUUGACAGAACCCUCAAUCACACAAGAUAUACUAAAGUUUUUCAUGUGAUAAUCCAAGUUAGUUUCCUCCAUAAUAGGACAUUCCUUAAGGUUGAAUCCUGGUUGUGCUAUCCUCCACAUAACACUAUGGUUAGUAUAGUCUUUGUUAUUAUUAGCUGAUAAACUUAGGUGAUAUUUGGUAAACUCAGGGCUAGAAAUCAAAGAACUCCAAGAUUAUAAAACAGACUUGAAUCGCAAGAGAGAUUUAAUGGGAAGCCUUGAGAGAAUUUCAGUAAGGAUUUUAGCUGGCCAAUAAAGUUUUGUGGGGUUGCUUUGAUUUGGGUGUUGAUGGGAGGCUUCAUCAGAUACCGGGUGUUUUCUUGAUAAGUCGAAGGCCUCAAUUUCAGAAAUUGUUUGUCCUAAUAGUUUCAGCUUUUCCAUGUCUUCUUGAUUGAUUAAUCCUUUAUCUUGUUCAUCAGAUUCUAAAUUUUCUUGCUUUAUUGCGUUGUUCUCUCCAUUUAGUAGCAUUUGGAUAUUUGUAAAUGUUGGAGCCGAUAAACAGAGAAAGAUAGAAAGAAAGAAAGAAAUGAAUGAACUAAAGAUGAAGUUUCUUUUGCUAGAAUUUAUAACUUGAUCAUAUCGCUAGAUUAAGUGAAGUGUUAUACUAAAUCUCUCAUCUCACUCAUUUAUGUAAAUUUAUGAUUAGAUUAUGGUGAAUUAAUUAAGGAUGGAAUCAAAUUGAAUGAACAAUUAUGAUUAGAUUAUGGUGAAUUAAUUAAGGAUGAAAUCAAGUUGAAUGAGCAAUUACAUAGGUUAUAAAUGCUAAAUGGUUCUUUUUGUUGUUUCGGAUACACAAUCUGUAUGUAACUUUGCAUAAACUUCAACUAAGUUCAAGAACAAACUAAUGUCCAAACUAAUAAUCCAUGUAAGUGUAGCAAGUAGAUUCAGCAUAGAGAAAUAAUAUUGGGAAAUUUAAACUAUUGCUCCAAGAAAUUAUUUAAAAUGCUGCUAUGAAGAUUUUGACCUUGAAAAUCAAGAAUGGAUCAGCAACUCCAAUUUCCAAUUUCAUUUUGCUGUUCAUCAACUAAUAAUAAUCUCUGAAAUUAAUCCCAUAAAGCCAUACACAAGAAGAAGAUCUGUUGAGAAACAGGGUGGAUUAUCUCAGGGUAAUAUCCCGUACGUGCUGCCAUAUUCAUAAGAGUUAAGAAAUGUUGCUCUAAUGUAAUGAUCUUAGUUGCCAUUGCUUGGCCACGGCAUUUCAAGUUGGGAACUGAAAUUUCGAUGUAAUCAAUAAAUUUCUCUGAAUAAGGAGGAUAUGGAACUACCCCAUGAUUAGAGUGGUAAUGAUAGAUAGACUUCAAGAUUGCUAAAUUUUGAUUAUAGUCAUAGUCAUCUUCAUUUUUCAAUUCAUUUUAUCAUGUUCCUCCUUGUUAGAAAUUGGAAAAUGUUGGUACAUUAAUGAGCUUCAAUUCAUAUGAUACGGACAUGGGACACUUUCCUUUUUCUUCAGUUUUUGGAAAUGAUUCAAUUCAUUUGCUUUCUUAUUAAUGAAUUAAACACAAUAUGAAUUUCUAUGCCAACAAUUUUGCUUAUAUUCUUAGUUGAUCUAAUUUAUGUUAUUAGUUGGAUUUAUGUUUUAUAAUUGAUUUAGUUUCUAUUCUUUGUUGGAUCUAUUAAUAAGUAAUGUGCUUCCUCAAUUAAAUAUGAGAAAACGACUCACACAUUCAGGUACAAUUUUUUCCAACUUAUCAAUUUUUUUCUUUCUAAAUCAUGCGUUGUUGCUUUUAUAAUUUAUAUUUUUAGGCUUCUAUUGCAAUGGACCCAAAGAAAAGAGGUAUUUCAUGGCAAACACAAUUUAUGGUGGUAAAAUAUAUACGUGCUUACACUAAAAUGUAUGUUUAUGUUUACACUAUUAUAUUAAAGUGUGAGGGAUAUUUGGAAAGUGAUUUGAACUUUUUGUACUUCAUUACAAAUCUCCGUAAUAAUUAAGACUAUUUCAUUUUAAAUAAUCAAAUGUUACACAUGCAAGACACGUGCGGUUAAACUAGUUUAACUAAAAUCACUAAAAAAUACUGUACUUCACUUCAGAUUAUUAUUCCAUAAUGUCAUUUAAUGAAUGGAUUAUGGAGAAGUGAUUAAGGAUGCCAACAAUAAAUUUGAAAUAACUUCAGUAUUAUCAAAAUUAAUCUUACAAAGAGAAAUGGUUAACAAUGAUAUAAACUCAUUCUUAUCUUAAUUACUCGCUCCAUUUCAAAAUAAUUAUCAUGUUUUACUUUUUGAAAGUCAAGUUGACUAAUUUUCAAGAGAUAAGGCCCAAAUACCCCCCCCCCCCCCCCCAUCCCCCCUAAAAAAGUAAAAAUAUAUUCGAAAUCCUAGCGACACAACUAAACUUUACAAAGGUCCAAUUACCCCCCUAAACUCAUAUAAUUGUAUUUUUAUACUCGUUUUAUACUCACGUGGUUGUCAAGUCAAAUACAAAAUGAACAUAAAAUAUUUUGCUACUUAGCAGCCACGUCAGCACAAAAGGAGUAAAAAAUAAUAGAAAAAUGAGCUUAGGGUGCAGUAGGACGUUGUAAAGUUUAGGUAUGUCACUAGAAUUUCGGGUAUAGUUUGGAAGAUACUUGUGUCUUAUCCCAAAAAAAAAAGACUUGUAGUUUAUUUAAUUAAAAAGAAAACUUGAAAAGACCAUUUAACAAAAGAUCCCAUGCUAUGUCUACUUAAGUGUUUCGUUGUUAAAUGAAAUUUACUCCUUUUAGGGUUCAAUUACUAUUUUCUACUCAUUGUUUGUUAUAUUCAUACCAAAAUUUAAUUUUUCACUUUAUCCGAAAAUUAACGUUUGACCUUUGAAAAUUUCAAACGCAACUGUUACAUUCUUUCGAAAAAGUUUAGUCUUUAGAAAAUAAUGUUAUGUGAAAGAUCUUUUAUUGAAGUUAUGAAUUAGUUAUUCUAUAUUAAAAUAAAACUAAACAGGACAAAUUUGUAACGUCUUGAUUGAUUUAGCAAAAGUGUGGGUAAACUUCACUAAUCAUUAAUUUAACACACGUGUAUCUAUGUGGACCCUCAGUAUAGACACGUAAAUUUUUUAUCCUCCCUAAAUUUUAACUUGUCUAUCAAUAUUAAAUAUUUAUAUUUAUAUUUAAUCAUAUAUUAUUUUUAUUUUUAUUCUAAUUUUAAAAAAAUAAUAUAAAAAUUAUGUAGUUGUAACGCUCUAAAAUUCUAUUCCGAGACAUCACAUGGUGCUUAGGACCACAAGUGAUCCCAAGCUAAUCUUAUACUGGCAUAACUCUUGACCAACUAUUUAAAACACAUAAAUCUGAAGAAAAUAUGGAAAAUAAUUUUUUUCUAAACUUGAACAAUGCAAAGCUACAUUAAGAUGAAUACAACUCUACUUAUACAAAACAAAACUGAAACUGAAGUUUACAUAACUGACGCUAACUGGCAUUUGUGAAACCUCUACUAUACUGACAAUAGAUAGCUAGGAUGCGACCCCAACUACCACUAAUUAAUACAUAGGAAUAAGAAAGUAAAGGCCCCCCCCCUACCCUUAUCUGACUUUUAACCAUUCCCUUUCAAAAGUACUUUUAUAAAAGGACUCCCUAUUCAGUUAAAAAGAGGCAGAGACUACGUACUUGAACUCUACAAUAUUAGAUAGAGAGAAAAUCAGAGAGAAAAAUACAGAGAGAAAAACACUGUAAGGAAAAACUCUAAAGGAGAAAACAAAGAAAAGAAAGAGUAAAAAAUCAAAUUUCAAGAUUCCGUUGAAGUUUUCGGUGACAAUCUCUUAUUUCAUCUCUCAAUUUAUUCAUUACAGGUUCAUAUUCAAACAUUUAUGUUAUCAAUUUUAUGGUGAAAAAACAUGAAUGAAAUAUUCAAUAUGUUCUCUGUGGAUGAAUACAUAUAAUGAGAUAAUUUAUACUUGAUAUUUCACACAAUGUAUUAUUAACAAAAUCCAUCUUUUACAUUGUAUAGUCACUGUCCUUUCUCCUCUUCUGCCGUCCUUGUCGCGCCAUGGAAAGGCUAGAUCUAGCCGGAAUUGUUUACCAGCGAAUCCCAAACGGCGCUACCCCUUCUCUUUCCUUUCUUCUGACACUGGUGAACCUCCUUAUCACUGUCGCCGACAAAAUUCCAGUGAAUUUUCAUCAUCCACACGCAGAAAAAUCCUAACCUCAAUAGCAGAUUUGGCUAGUUUGGUUGUACGUAAAAAAUAAGCUGUUAAAGAUUAUUUAAUGUACUAUUGUAUAUAUAUUUUUGAAUAUUCAAAUGAAUUUUAUGUUUAACUUAUAGUCUAUUUUGCUGUUUAAAGGUUUAAAUGAAAAGGCUUUACGUUUGUAUAUAUAUUUUAUUAUUUUAUUAUUAAACUUAAUUAUUAAAACUUAAUAAUUAUUUAUUAAAUUAAUUAUAUGCUUUAAUUGAAUAUUGUUUUAAUUUACUGUCACGGUUAAAUAGUAUUUCAAAAAGAUAAAUUGUAUGAAUUUACAAAAAAUAAAUUAAAGUGUUUAAUGCCAGAUAGUUUUUAGAUACGUUAAAAUAUUCAUCUCAAUUAAUAAUGCGGCAUAUGCAUCUUUCGGAGACCUUUAAAAAUUUAAGGAUGCAAUAAUGCACCUCGAUAAAUAUUUUUCUAAAUUUUUUUUUCACUGAAUUAACUCGAGAGUAUUAAAUAGUUUGAGUAUAUUAAAAAAAGGAGCGUACCUAGGCCUUAACAUAAUAUAUUCAAAAUAUUUUAAGUUAAGAUAAGUCAAGAAAAGCGACCGUGCUAGAACCACGGGACUCGAGGGGUGCCUCACACCUUCCCCUCGAUCAACAAAAUUCCUUACCCGGUCUUCUGUUUUCGCAGACCAACAAAGAGUCAUUUCCUUUUGAUUAGGGAUUCAAUAAGGUGACUUGGAACACCAUAACUCAAUUCCAAGUGGCAACUCUAAAAAUGAUAAAAAUUAAUUCCUAUUCAAUACCAUCAUUUUAAUUGAAAAAAUCCUUCGACUCAUUCUUGGAGCGAAAAAGUGAUGCGACAUCUCUGGCGACCCUGCUGGGGACUAAUAAGAAUUCGAGCUUUUUAUAUUGGCUUAUACUUUCUUUAAUUAUUGUUGAUAUUGUGUUUGUUGGUGUUAUGUGCUACUUGUCGCUUAUUUACCGCUUUAAUAUUUAUUGAACUAUAUUACAUACUGUCUUCUCUUGCGCACCUCUCUGAGUCUCUGAAAUAGGAUAGAAGGAAUGCAAAACAUGCAUCCUACUUUUAUUUUGAGAUAGGCGGAGUGUCAAGACACCUGGUGAAGGAUAUAGUCAUACAUGUAAGGCGGGGUUCAGAUCGACAACGAAGGCGGUGUUGCCCUGCCACCGACCAAGUUGUCCCUCCCUGGCUCGACGGACGCUCGGGUAAGCCAGUCUAGACACCUAUCCCUAUUAGGUUUAAACUUAGAAGAACUGAAAACUUAGAAUCCGGUUAUCCCUAUUAGGUGCCGCUUUAUUUGCAUCAUAUGCAUUUGACUUAGCGGGACUCGGCACAGAGGCCGGGUCUGUCUAGGACAGUUAACCUACUUUAUAAAGACCAACAUGUGUAUCCUAUGUGCUCUUUGACAUUUGUUUGGAAGGCUAUUUGUUUUUUGACCGGCUUUUAGGCAACAUUAAAAUGCAAGAGAUUAAAUUAAGUAUUUGAGUUUUUUGAUGAGUAUUAUGUCAAUCAAGCCUAAUAGGGAGGUGAUUGAUGCAUUACUAACCUUCUGGGACCCGAAGAACAAUGUGUUUCAUUUUUUGGAUUUUGAGUUCACUCCUACUUUAAGGAGAUAGGGGCGUAUGUUGGAUAUGGGGAUAUGAAUCGGAAGAAACUUAUAGCCCCAAGAUUCAUUUCGAUAAACAGAUUCUGCAAGCUCAUGAACAUAUAAAACUCAAAAGAAGAAUCAAUGAAAAAAGGUUGGGUUUCCUUGCAGUUUUUGUAUGACAAAUAUGGAAAAUGAGAGGGGUUUGAAAAGUACGGUAAACAGCUUUGUAAUAAAGAAAGUUUUGAGGCUUGGAAAGUUAAUAGACGAUUUACAUUCAUGGUAGCCUUUCUAGGCACUAUGAUCUUCUCGAGGAGAGAAGAAACAAUUAAUAUUCGUUUAGCGAGGGUGGUACAGAUACUUAUUGAGAAAGAUUACACUAUGGUCCAUGCUUUGACCGUUUGUCAAAAAGGAAAGAGUUUUUUUCGAGGGAUGUAAUAUCUUGUUACAGAUGUGGAUUAUGAAGCAGCUUUAUCGACGUCCUACAAUGGCAAGGUUUAAUCCUGAACGAUUUAAUCGUAUCAAAGAUUACGAAGAGAGAUUAGAGAAAUAUAAAUGCCCAGAAGGAGUUACAGAUUGGGAUAAGCUUUUUUGUUCUCUGACAGCAGAUAAAAUCACUUGCAAUCUCCCUUGGUUCCCUUGGAGGCAAGUCAUACAUAGUUCUAUCAUUCGGUCGUUCUUGUUAUUAAUGGGUAUUAGGGGUGUUCAACCGUAUGUUCCAUUGAGAGUUCUUUGUUAGCUAGGAAGACGUCAAAUAAUUCCCAUAACGGAAAAUAUGACCGAGUUUGUAUUUGAGAUUAGACCAGAGAUCCUACUUCCGGAGGAAUUGGCCCAGCAGAUUUGGGAGGGUUGCCGUAUCAUUGGGAUUGAAACAAUGGUCAUAGAGCAUGAGAAAGGAGAAGUGCACCCAAAUUACCGUGAAUGGUUUGAAGAAUAGUUAAGUCUCCCAGUCAGACCAGAAAGAUCGAUUAGGGGACCUAUAGAUCAGGAAGCUGCAAUCAAGAUAGGGAUUGAGAGAGCCAUGUGAGAAUAUCAUGAGUCUAACCAAACUUUGAGAGAAGAAUUAGAGCAUGCCAGGGCAAAAAUAGACGAACAACAAAGGGAAUUUACUGAAUACAAAGCUAAAUCAGCAGAUAUUGAGGUUGCACUUUGGGGACAAAUUAAACUGUUUACCACUAGAGGGUCUUGCCGCAUCUAGCCGAUAGCAGCUAUUAGAAGUUGAAAAUAACAUGCAAGAAGAAUUUGAUCGAGAGAGAUCUCACUGGAUCUGUGAAAGAGGAAUAUUACGAGAAAAGUUGGAGGUUGCUUCUGCUCGUAAAUAGCGUGCAAGAGAGAUGGUUGAUUUCCGAGAUCGACAGGCCCAUGAAUGGGAUCAGGCCUUUAGUUCCCUUUGAGGGAAGGUCCUCGCGUAGCACAGGAUACUGCCAAAAUAGGUUUGGAUUAUCAACAGUUAUAUCAUGAAGACUUUUUGGUGCAAGCACCAGCUUUUGUAUAGUGUCUCACUACUUCAUUGGAGGACAUAUACUUGGGUUUGGGAGGACAUAUCAAGCUGAAGUCUCCUUGAAUGGAUAGUUGUUUUCUUGGUCAUAGUUUUUCAUUUUCAUUUUUAAAACUUCUUGUUUAGAUGUUAUGUCUUUUAGUUUUCAGAUAACAGUUAGUAGGUUUUAUCUUAGGAGUUGGGUCAAUUCUUUUGUCGUAUUUAUAUUAUAGAAUGUAAUGAAGUUGAUUGUUUAUUACUAUAUAUAUUAUAUAUGUUUUACUUCCCUUACUUUAUUUUUCUUCAAUAACAAAAAAGACAAAACAAUCAUUUUGUUAAAAUUCCUCCCGAACUAUGCAAGAUCUGAUUCAUGUCCUGGCAUGAUACGUAGGCAACCCUCCAAAGGGUUCGAUCAUAACUUUUGAAAAGUACGCCUAGAAAAACUGGGAUGAAACACAAAGCCUUCCAUGGUAGGUUGGGAAAUGCAUAUAGAAGCAUGACAUACAAAGUGGCAUUAUAAUGUGUUAAAUAUAUAAAACUGACUUGUUUGUAACUUGAUAAUAGAAAGAUAAAGUAAUUGGUUGUUGGUUUGUGGUUUAAAAUGGCAUCACAUCCGUACAACACAAGAUACAAGGGGAAAAAAAAUGACCCACAAAGAAGGUAUAGAGUCUGAUAGUGAAGAAGAGCAAAAUCAUUUGAUUUCGCAAGAAAUAGCAUCAAUGGAAGAACUUAAGUUAUUGAAACAAUAGAUGGUAGAGAUGUACCAAGCUUGGUUGAAUAGAUAAGCCCCGCCUUCUUCAAUCCCCGGACUUUCGGCUUCAAAUGAUCUAAAUCCUGCUCCAGCUCGAACUAAUGAUCCAUUUUACCCACCAGGAUUUGUCCCAUUUGUUAAUAUGUCUGGUAAUGCUGGUACUUCUACCAUGCGCCCACCAAAUUCAGCUGUCACAAAUAAUCCACUUUUUACUUCUAUGGCACCAACUGCUAUGGGUACUCAACCGAUAGUACCAAAGAAUAUGGGGGAAACAAGUCAUGACCUAUUAUAUCCUCCUAAAAUAACUUUCAAAUCCCAAAAUCCUCAUUAUCAUGCUUAUCAACAUGAUUCUCUAAUCAUGAUUGAAAAGAUUAUUAAAAAUGAGGAACAAGAGAAAAUGACUAGAAAAGUAAGAAGCUUGGAGCAAAGUAUGAGAAAUAUGCAAGGAUUAGGUGGACCAAAAAGUGCUUCAUACAAAGAUUUAUGUAUGUUUCCUGACGUCCAUUUGUCGCAAGGGUUCAAAUUGCCAAAGUUUGACAAAUACGAAGGUCCUGGCGAUCCUGUUUCUCACUUGAAAAAGUUUUGCAACCAAUUAAGUGGAGCAAGAGGAAAAGAAGAAUUAUUGAUGGCUUACUUUGGAGAAAGCGUGACAGGAAUAGCUUCUGAAUGGUUUAUUGACCAAGACAUUUCCCGUUGGCACGUGUGGGAUGACAUGGCUUGAGAUUUCAUUCAACAAUUUAAAUAUAACAUUGAAAUAGUGCUAGAUCACACUACGCUUGCUAAUAUGAGAAAAAAUGACUGAAAGUUUUUGAGAAUAUGCUAUCAAAUGGAGAGAGCAGGCUUCAAGCGUCAGACCAUGGAUAAAGUAAUCUGAAAUGAUUGAUAUCUUUUUGCAAGCUCAAGAACCCAAUUAUUUCCAUCACUUACUUUCUACUAUUGGAAACAAAUUUGCUAAAGUUAUUAAAGUUGGAGAGAUGGUAGAGAAUGGAAUAAAGUCGGGAAAGAUUAUCAGCCAUGCCUGCAGGAAGUUUUGGGGGAAAGAAAAGAAAAAAGGAUGUAGCAAUUGUCAUACCAAGUCCACGACAACAUUGGAUAGGUACGUGUCAACCAUAUGCACAAAAUCAAUUAUAUUUUGUUCCAUCCCCCCAAUAUCCUAUUUACAAUACACAACCAUAUUGGGCUUCUUCAUACCCGCAAUGGCAUGCACCAGCCAUCCAAAAUCAUCCACCGGUCCCGCAAGUUCAAAUAGGCCCUCCUAGGUCUAAUUUUCGUCCUAGAGCAGACUACAAAAGGGAUAACAUGGGCAAAUAUAACUUCACUCCUAUUGGAAUAUCUUACACCAGUUUAUUUCAUAGGCUGAGGAAAAUGAAUGUUCAAAAUCCAAUUGAGAGAAUAAUCCCUAACCCUCCUUCGAAGAACUUGGACUAUUCUAGAAGAUGUGAAUACUAUUCUGAUGCCCCAGGGAACGACACAAGGAAAUAAUGGUAUCUGAAAAGAGCUAUUCAAGGGGUGAUUGACACCCAACAGAUCAUGGUACAAAGUCUAGAUGCUCCAAAUAUCAAUCAAAAUCCACUGCCAGAUCAUAAUGAAGUAAACAUGCUUGAAGUGAUACCCAGUGAUAAAGAUGUUGUAAUGUCCUUCAAGCCGAUCAUUAAAAUUUAAAAUAAUUCAAAAAAAUCAACAAAUACUGUAGAUUUGACAAAAGAAAAACCUGUAGAAGUAUAGGUGGUGAUAACAAACCUCGCAUCAUUGAAUGUUCCCUUGGUGUUAGAGAAAGAUAUUUCAGAAAAUGAUGGGUCAAGUCAAGUAAAGCCAAAACUCAUUGUUCCUGAAAGAUCCCCUAAACCUCUCUUAAUUAUAAAAGGAGCUCCUAUAGCUCCCAUUGUUAUUAAACCAGUGUCAUAGUUGCCUAUGGUUAAUACUAAGGCAGUUCCUUAGAAUUAUGAUCGUGUUGUGGUGAUGCACAAGGGGAAAGAAGUGAUUGAAGAUGUGGAUGAAGUAGGGGGAUUAACUCGAUCUGGAAGAUGUUAUGACCCAAUAGAGUUAAGAAAUAAUAAACAAGGCAAUGAAGAACUAAUGGCGGUCAAAAAGCCUUUUACUAAUGAAGAAGCUGAAGAAUUCUUAAAGAAAAUGAAAUUGCCAGAAUAUUCUGUUGUAGAACAGUUGAGAAGACAUCAGCACAAAUUUCUUUGUUGUCUUUAUUAAUAUAUUUAGAAGAACACCGCAAGGCUAUAAUUAAGAUUCUUAAGGAAUCAUGUGUUCCCAGUGAGAUUAAAGUGAAUCAGCUGGAAAAAGUUGUUGAAAGGAUCCUUGAAGCAAACAAGAUUACUUUCUCAAAAGAUGAAUUUUCUAUGGAAGGUACUGGACAUAAUAAGGGUCUCUACAUUACUAUGAAAUAUGAACAUUCCAUCGUCACUCGAGUGUUAAUUGAUGGAGGAUCAGGUGUUAACAUUUGUCCUAUGUCAACUUUGCAAAAGUUAAAUGUUAAUGUAGAAAGAAUCCGACCUAACAAUGUAUGCGUCAAAGGUUUUGACGGAUCAAAAACUGAUGCCAUUGGUGAAAUAGAACUCAUAUUGAAAAUUGGUCCUAUGGAUUUGCUAAGGAUUUCCAAGUACUGAACAUGGAUGCUUCAUAUAAUAUAUUAGUUGGAAGGCCAUGGAUUCAUAGGGCUAAAGCAGUCGCAUCAACGCUGCACCAAAUGGUCAAAUUUAAACAUGACAGACAAGAGAUAGUUGUUCAUGGUGAAGGAGACUUAUCCAUGUAUAAAGACUACUCCGUUUCCUCCAUCGAAGCAGAUACUACAAACAGAGUAUUAAUUCAUCAAACUUCUGAGGUAGUAGCUGUUGAGCAUAUCCUCGAGGGGAAUCUCACCACAAGACCACAAUUAUCCUCUGCAUCUGUUAUGGUAGUGAAUGAAAUGUUGAAGCAUGGUUUCAAACCAGGGAAAGAUCUAGGAUUAUUUUUGCAAGGCAGGGUUCAUCCAGUAAACCUCUAUGGGAACCUUGGUACUUUAGAUUUGGGAUACGUGCCUAAUGUUGAAGAUAUAAAGAAGGCUAAAAGGCAUAAGAAAGAGUCAUGGGCACUUACUAAGUCGAUACCGGCACUUCACGAAUCAUUUAUAAAAGUCAAUGUUAUGAGGUCCUCUAUGUUAUCUACUGCAGAGUUAGUGAAUGAUGAUGAUAUAGAGUUGAUUGGCCUUUUCCAGAAUAUGUUCAUUGAAGGUGAUAUGGUUGAAAUUGGGAAAGGUAUCAGCAAUGCAUAUGUGCAGUUUAUCGGCCCUGAUGUCCAGCUUAACAAUUGGGGGGCCACUCCUCUCCCUACUAUGAAGGAGUUUUGGUAGUUUGUUUGUUUUUCUUUUAGUCUUGGUAGCUUGUUUUUCUUUCUGUAAUUUGAAUAAUUUUAGGAUUGUAAUUCAGAUCUUUACCUUGGUAUUUUAGGUUAAAACUCUUUCUAGCUUUGUUUUUAAUAAAGUGCAGUCUCCCUUUAUUUUAUUUUGAGUCUGAUAUUUAUUUGUUUAUUUAUUUUCUAUCAUACAGUUCUUUCUAUGCUGAUUUUAAUGAUAUCACAUGCAUGAAGAAUUUUCAACUAAAUUUAAAAACCCAAUCUAAUUAUGAAAUAAUGAAUAAAGAAGAUGAAUAUGAUGAAGAAGUAUUCUAAGAUAUAAGCAAAGAUUUCAAAUAGUUUGAGAACAAGUCAAACACUAAUUUGGAGGAAACUGAAACGAUCAAUUUAGGAGAUUAUGAAAAUAUUAGGGAGACUAAUAUAAGUGCACAUGCUCAACCACAACAAAAGAAAGCUAUAAUUGAAUCUUUUCUUGAGUACAAAGACAUCUUUGCGUGGUCAUAUGAUGAUAUGCCCAAUUUGAGCACCGAUGUGGUAGUUCAUAAGUUGCUAAUUGAUCCUGCUUUCCUACCUGUCAAGCAAAAGUUAAGGAAUUUUAAAACCGAUAUGAGUGUAAAAAUCAAAGAGAAGAUCACAAAGCAACUUGAAGCUAAAGUCAUUGGAGUGGAUCAAUAUCCUACUUGGUUGGAAAAUAUUGUCCCUGUUCCAAAGAAGGAUGACAAAGUUUGGAUGUGUGUUGAUUAUCGUGAUCUAAAUAAAGCGAAUCCGAAAGAUAAUUUUCCACUUCCUAAUGUUCAUAUUUUGUUGGACAAUUAUGCUAAACAUGAUCUUGCAUCUUUUAUGGAUUGUUAUGCGGGGUAUCACCAGAUCAUUAUGGAUCCAGAGGAUUUAAAAAAAAAAAAUUUAUCACGUCAUGGGGGACAUAUUAUUAUCGAGUUAUUCCGUUCCGACUAAAGAAUGUUGGGGUAACUUAUAUGAGGGUAAUGACUACAAUGUUUCACGACAUGAUGCACAAGGAGAUUGAAGUUUAUGUUGACGAUGUGAUCAUUAAAUCCAGAGAGCAGUCUGACCAUGUCAAAGAUCUUAGAAAAUUCUUUGAAAGGCUUCAAAGAUACGAUCCCAAACUUAACCCAGCAAAAUAUGUAUUUGGAGUACCGUCAGGAAAGUUCUUAGGGUUUAUAGUCAGUCGACACGAUAUUGUGUUAGAUUCUUCAAAAAUAAAAGCUAUUCAAUAUUUUCCUCCACCAAAGAAUAAAACAGAGGUGAUGAUCUUACAUGAAAGGUUGAAUUAUAUCAGUAUAUUUAUUGCUCAGCAUACGACAACCUGCGAGCCAAUAUUCAAGUUGUUGAAGAAGAAUGCUAAAGUUGAAUGGACUAAAGAAUGUCAAGAGGCAUUUGACAAAAUUAAGAGAUACUUGUCGAAUCCGCCUAUUUUAGUUCCUCCAGAGCCAGUCAGACCCUUGAUAUUGUAUAUGUCUGUGUUAGAAAAUUCUUUCGACUGUGUAUUGGGUCAACAUGACGUUACAAGUAGAAAAGAACAGGCCAUAUACUACCUUAGCAAACAGUUUACCACUUAUGAGGCUAAGUACACUCUUCUUAAGAAGACAUGUUGCGCCUUAACUUGGGUAGCCCAAAAGCUGAAACAUUAAUUUUUAUAUUAUACUACUUACCUCAUAUCUCGUAUAGAUCCUUUAAAGUAUAUUUUUCAGAAGCCAAUGCUUACAGGCAGACUCGCGAAAUGGUAGAUGUUGCUCACAGAGUUUGAUAUUGUCUAUGUCACACUAACUGCAAUGAAAGAUCAACCUUUAGCAUAUCAUUUGGCUAAAAAUCCUAUUGAUGAGGAGUAUGAACCAUUAAAGACUUACUUUCUAGAUGAAGAGGUAUUUUAUGUUAAUGAGUUUAUUUUUGGCGAUAGCCAUUCAGGCUGGAAGUUGUUCUUUGAUGGAGCUGUUAAUGUAAAAGGAGUGAGAAUAGGAGCAGUUCUUAUUUCUGAAUCAGGACAAUAUUAUCCUACAACAGCCCAACUUUGAUUCUAUUGUACCAAAAAUAUGGCAGAAUAUUAAGCUUGCAUUUUGGGUUUGAGAUUAGCUAUUGACAUGGGGAUCUAAGAAUUGUUAGUGUUAGGAGACUAAAAUUUGUUAGUUCAUCAAAUCCGAGGAGAUUGAGAGACUCGUGAUUCAAAGCUCCUACCAUAUCGAGGGUGUUUGCAAGAUCUAUGUCAAUAAUUUGUAUCAGUAAAGUUCAAACACAUUCCCAGAGCUCAUAAUGUGAUUGCUGAUGCUUUGGUGACCUUAUCUUCCCGACAAAACUUAUAUUGACCCUUUGCAUAUACAGAUUCAUGAUCAAUAAGCAUAUUGCAAUGUGGUUGAGGAAGAACUUGAUGGGGAGCCGUGGUUCCAGGAUAUAAAAGAAUAUAUUCAGACUGAAAAAUAUCCUAUUCAUGCUAAUGGUAACCAAAAGAGAACCAUUUGACGUUUAUCUAGUGAAUUUUUCCUAAGUGGAGGAAUCUUGUAUAAGAAGACUCCUGAUUUGGGACUUUUGAGGUGUGUAGAUGCUAAAGAAGCUUCAAAAAUCAUGACUGAAGUACAUUCUGGGAUUUGUGGACCACACAUGAGUGGGUAUGUUUUGGCAACGAAAAUACUCCAAGCAGGUUAUUAUUGGCUCACCAUGGAGCGAUAUUCCAUAAAUUUCGUUCGUAAAUGUCAUGAAUGUCAAGUACAUGCCUCUAUCUAAGUUGCAUACAAUGACUGCUCCAUGGCCUUUGUGUCUUGGGGAAUGGACAUAAUUGGACCAAUUGAAUCAAAGGCUUCGAAUGGACAUAGGUUCAUCUUAGUAGCCAUUGAUUAUUUUACAAAGUGGGUGGAAGCAGUGACUUUCAAGUCAGUGACUAAGAAAGUGAUGGUUGAUUUUAUCCACUCAAACAUCAUUUGUCAGUUCGGCAUUUCAAAGAUAAUUAUCACGGACAAUACUGCGAAUCUCAAUAGCCAUUUGAUGCAAGAAGUGUGCCAGCAAUUUAAGAUUAUGUAUCGGAAUUCAACUCCUUAUCGUCCAAAGGCGAAUGGAGCUGUAGAAGCUGCCAACAAGAACUUAAAGAAAACACUCCGUAAGAUGGUGCAGGUUCCCGAUAGUGGCAUGAAAAGUUACCUUUUGCUUUUUUGGGUUAUUGUACUAUAGUUCAGACUUCAAUUGGUGCAACUCUUUACUUAUUAGUGUACGGAACUGAAGUAGUUAUACCUGCAAAGAUUGAAACUCUAUCUCUUUAAGUAGUUGUAGAAGCUGAAAUUGAUGAUGACCAAUAGGUCAAGAUUCGUUUGGAGCAACUAAGCUUGAUUGAUGAAAAAAAUUAACAUCAGUAUGUCAUGGACAACUAUACCAGAAGAGAAUGGCCCGAAAAAAAGGUGCGUCAGACACAUUUUGAAGUUGGUCAGUUAGUACUAAGAUGCAUGCUACCCCAUCAGAUUGAAGCCAAAGACAAAUUUUCUUCUAAUUGGCAUGAACCAUUCAUGGUGAAGAAAGUGUUACCUAAUGGCGCGUUAUAUCUGACUGAUAUAGAAGGUGAAAUGGAAGGAAUGUCGGUUAAUGCUGAUGCAGUUAAAAGAUAUUAUGUAUGAUAUUCAUGUACAAUUACAUUAUGUACGUUUUGUACUUGCAUUUUAAAAGAUUGAAAUGAUGAAGGCAUUUUGUUCUACUAUCCGAAUAAUAUAUCUACCUUUGCUUACCCCUUUUGAGUUUUUAUCUUUCUUCGUACCCCUCUUUUGGAAUCAAAUUAAAGUGAAAAAAAAUUAAUCAAAAAUUUAAAAUCAAGCAAAAGAAAUUUUCCUGAACUACGUUUGACCUGACUCUUACUAUGACAAGAUACGUAGGCACCCCUACUUUGGGGUUCGGUCCAACCAAAACAAAAUUCAAAUUACCCAGAAUAAAAUGAAACUGGGGCAAAAGUUUAUCUCCUUAAAAAGAGUCGAUUCCAAAAGUUGUAUGCUUUACGCAAUGUUGUGUAAAUUUUGAGCUUCACGCCGAUCUUUCUUUCUAACCCAGUCUAAAAGCCAAGUUACAACAAAAGAAAGACCUACAGAUCAAUCUUUGAGAAUGUAAAGGCUAAAGAUAUUAUGGGUGCAUGAUAUUUAUAUUUUUGGUGUUUACUUAAAAGAAAAAGUGAAUGAAAAUGAGAGAGUCUUAUUGGUGAAAACCUUUUUGGGCACCAUAAGGCGACUGUGAGCUGAAAAAAAAUGAAAAUAAGAUAGACUCAUUGGCAAAAACCCAUUGAGGUGCCACUAGCCGAAGGAGGUUUGUUAUCCAGAAGGAACAAGUUCAAGAUUGACCUAAUUUAAAUAUCAAUAAGUGGACAAAAGUUGUAAUGAUUAGUGUGGGUAUAUCUGGUUGUUUGAUUCAAAAUGCAUGUCAUAAUCACCCGAAUCAGUUUCCACAUUUAGAUAAGUUUUUCUUUUUGUUUUGAAAAAGAGAUGUCUAUUGUCUUUUUCUUUUUUCUUUUUGAUAUUUUGUGUCCUUAUCAUCAAAUGAAAAUUUUUGUUGUCUUUUGUGUGUUUUUGAGUCAAAUUCACGUCAGGUCAAGUGAGAAAGAACUCCGAACUUACUACCAAUUUCUUCAAUGGUAAAAACCAAGACAAAGGAUCGACGUACAAAAAAAACACUUCAAAAGUAUAAUAAAGUACUCAGAAUGAUUGUUAUUUGACAAUUCUUGGCUAGUUGAAAGAUAAAAGGUAUAUGAAAAGUUAAAUCUUGAGAUAUUAUACAAGAGAAAUAUGUUUUGAGUUGAGAGUAUCAGUAGUCAGAAUUUUGGGUCUGAAGUAUGACAAGUCAAUGGAUAUUAAUCAAGGAAUGAAAAGGAGUUGAGCAUGGAAAGUGCAAGAACAGUCAGCUCAAGAUCCAAAUACCACAAACCAACCACCAUGUGUUUUAAAAAGUCACAAUUUGUCUUUGUUUUGUUUGAAACAGUAACAAAAAGUUUUCAAAUAAAGGAUGCAAUUUCAUACUUCUGUCAAUGCAAGAGUCAUUAUUACAACAUACGAUAUUGAAUCUCAGUUAUGGAUCAUAUUUGAAAAAUCAAAAAAAGGAAGUCCAGGAGCCCGUCUGAAGAGCAGGGUGAAGAAAUUUGUAAGUCUAGGAGCCUGCCCGAAGAACAGGGGGAAGAAAUUUGUAAGCCCAGGAGCCCGCCUGAAGAAUAGGGUGAAGAAAUUACAAGUCUAGGAGCCUGCCUGAAGAACAGGGUGAAGAAAUUACAAGUCCAGGAGCCCGCCUGAAGAACAGGGUAAAAAAAUUUGUAAGUCAGGAGCCCGCCUGAAGAACAGGGUGAAGAAAUUUAUAAGUCUUGGAGCCCGCCUGAAGAACAGGGUGAAGAAAAAGAAAGUUCAGGAGCCUGACUGAAGAACAAGGUGAAGAAAUUAUAAGUCCAGGAGCCCGCAUGAAGAACAGGGUGAAGAAAAAAGGAAGUCCAGGAACCCACCUGAAGAGCAGGGUGAAGAAAAGAGAAAGUCCAGGAGCCCACCUGAAGAACAGGGUGAAGAAAAAAGGAAGUCUAGGAGCCCGCCUGAAGAACAGGGUGAAGAAAAAAGAAGUCCAGGAGCCCACCUGAAGAACAGGGUGAAGAAGUAACAAGUCAGGAGCUCGCCUGAAAAAUAGGGUGAAUUUUGAAGUUCAAGUCACGAAGAUUUGAAUCAAGAUUUUAGAGAUUGUAAUUUUCAUUUGUUUUUUUCAUUUUUGAUUUUUUGUUAGCCAUUUGAAUGUAAAAGGCAAAAGUCGUUAAACGGAAACUCGACGGAACCUUACUCGACUCUCCAACUUGGCAUAGUCCUUCUCAUUCCAAUCCUUUGAAAUACCCGUGACUUGAUUUUCUCAUGACUUGGUAGGUAGGAUUUCUUAAGUCAAGACCCGGUUGUCCUUCUUCCUUCUGUUUCUUUCUUUGAAUAAUUGUCGGGUCAAAAUUUGGUUCGCUGUCUACUUGUUUAUCUGAAAACACUUCGUGUUUACAUUCAAACGGGGCAUGAUUUAGACACCUAAUUUUGUCCCUUCCGAAGUCUAAUUUUAUUCAUUUUUAGUUCACCUUACCAUGUGUCCAACCCCAUGUAAUUAUAUCCCACAAAAAUACAAAAAUAAACAAAAACAAUACCUCUAACUAAUUUAUAAUAUCCCAAUAACCUAUCCAAUUAAAAGUGGACACCUCACACCUCACCACCCCAUACUCAUACCCUUACCUACCCUACCCCUACCCCCUCACCCCACUCACAUGUCCCACACAUCAACACACAAAAAAAAACCCAAGGAAUAAAAUUCACGAACCCCACAUCAAAAGAAAAAUUGAUUCCCUANNNNNNNNNNNNNNNNNNNNNNNNNNNNNNNNNNNNNNNNNNNNNNNNNNNNNNNNNNNGAGGGGGGGAGGGAAAAAGAGGCAAAUACCAUUAUUUCCUCUCUCUGGGAGGGACACAAAAAACAAAAACCUUCCUUCCUUCUUCACAAAAGGAAAUCACGCAUACACACAGAAUAACACACACACAACUCACCAUUCCACUCUCAAAUACAGCCAUACACACGCACACCCAUACAAAAGAUCACAUAAAAGGGAGAAAAAUAGUGAAAGGUGAGGUGAAUCGUAGGGGGAAACAGUGAAAUCGAGAUGAGGGAUGGAGAUGACAAUCGAUACGGGAUAGAGUGAAUGGAAUAGGAGAGAUGUCUGAGCAAGAGAGGAGAGAAAAGAGACUGGGUUGUAACUAUUUUGGCAUUCGUGGACAAGAAAUAGGAUCUUUUCACCAAAAAAUGUUGUUAUGUUCUCUUUCUGCUUGUUUUGGUCACCGUUGGAGCUCACCGGAGUUCCGACAGAAAGGUAACUGUUGAUUUUAACCAUGGUACCUGACUCGAAUUAGUCGACUUGACUGGUUUUGGGUCUAAUCUGGUGAGGUUUAAUCUAAUUUUGGAGAGAUUCAUUUUAGUCCUGGUGAAUUUCGUCUUCCAGUCUUGGUUUUUUUCGUAUUUUAUUUUGGGUGUUCACUAUUUUUGAGUUCAAAUAGGAUUCUGGACAUAUCCGUGUUGGAGUUGGAUCAUAGUCUAGAUUUGGUACCUGUUGAGACUCUCGGAACGACCCUUACUUUUCCCUUUACGUCAAUCGAAAACACUUGAGGUCCAAUUCUAUCCUUUCGCCACUUAAUCUCCACAUAGUUAUGAAUGAUUUGUGUGUUUGACAUGAUUGAAUUUCAUCGUUGUUUGUUGGUUUGAUGUUGAAUUUGAAGUUGAAAACUUGAUUGCUGAAAUGUGUAUAGAAUUGGUUUAAUCAUUCAGAAUAAGUGGGGCGAGAAUUGAAAACUUGAUAUAAUUAGUAAGUUUUGAUUAGUUUGAUUCAUUAGUUGUUUGACUAAAAAUAAACAUUAAUUGAACUUGGUAGUAUCAAGAUACGCCAAUUGGAAUAGGCAAGACGUAGGUCGGGUAGGCAAAUCUACAGAUUGUGGGUUGAUUGAAUGUUUGAAAUUUGAUUGAAUGGUUUGAUUUUAUCACUUUUGAAUCAAUUGUAUAAUUUGGCCGGGGAAUGCCCCGAAGUAUCUGUAUAUAUUUAUUCACAGGGAAAUGCCCUGAGGUAUCAUGUACCUGGAGGACGUUCGUGAUGAAGACUCGAGACGUUGGGUAGAGCAUUAGUCUAGAAUUAAUUUAGAGUAGGAUUUAUUUUUACACAUUUUUUAUUUUUGGACUGUAUAAUUGGACUGGACACUAAAUUUUGGAUUUUUUUAUCUUGUUUGCUUGAUUGAUUGUUUUGCAUGUUUUGUGCGGUUUAUAUAUUCAUAAUGUCAAAUUAGCCUAUACGCUCCGCCAAGGGACCGUGGUCAAACCACGGGUAUAUGUUAUUAUCUUUUUCAGAUUGAGUUAAUAAUUUUAUGUACCGAAAGUCUAUUCUUUUUACACUGCUAGAUUUUAAAUGUCAAUUAUUUUAAACAUCUUAGAGUUAAAAAAAACAUUCAAUAUAAAUUAAUAGGUCAAAUUACACUAUCAUUACAAAAAUCACCUAUAUAAGCUAAAUCCUACGAUAAAUAAAUAUGUACAAAUGCUUUACACGAUUAAUUAAAAUACUCAUUGAUAUAUCUUGUUUAAAGCCGGUUAAAUAAGAAAAACUUAAAAUUUAUAAAUAUUCUUUAAAUGAUCUGAUAGUAAAAAAAAAAAAACUUUUUAUACUAAUAAUGUGUAUAACUUAAUGUAAGUGUUGUUUGUCAUUUCAAUAGUUAAUCACUUCAAGGAGAAAGUGAAAUUAUUAAUUAAUCUUCUGAACCUAGGAUUUUGGUUACGCACCGGAUUAUAUAUACACACACAUAGUAUUAAUUUCCUUUUUUGAACAAAAUGAUGAAGUUCUCUUGAUUUCGCUCACUUUUCUGCUACUUAUUAAUUAGGGGAGUAGUGUUACUCUUUAUUUCUAAGCUUUCACACAAUUGAUUUUUAGUAUCUGUUGGUUUUGUUCUCUCUUAAACUACGCCAUUCCAUCCAUGAAAUCAAUCCAUUGACAGAACCCUCAAUCACACAUGCUAUACUGGAGUUUUUCAUGUGAUAAUCCAAGUUAGUUUCCUCCAUUGUAGGACAUUCCUUAAGGUUGAAUUCUGGUUGGGCUAUCCUCCACAUAACACUAUUGUUAGUGUAGUCUUUGUUAUUUUUAGCUGAUAAACUUAGAUGAUAUUUGGUAAACUCAGGGCUACUAAUCAAAGAACUCCAUGAUUUUAAAACAGACUUGAAUCGAGCCUUGAGAGAAUUUCAGUUGGCCAAUAAAGGUUUCUGGGGUUGCUUUGAUUUGGGUGUUGGUGGGAUGCUUCAUCAAAUACCGGUUGUUUUCUUGAUAAGUCGAAAACCUCAGUUUCACAACUUGUUUGUUCUUCUAGUUCCAGCUUUUCCAUGACUUCUUGACUGAUUAAUCUGUUAUCUUGUUCAUUAGAUUCUGAAUUUUCCUGCUUUACGCCAUUAUUCUCUCCAUUUAGUUUUUUCCGCAGGUAACAUUUAUAUAAAUGUUGGAAGCGAUAAAUAAAGAAAGAGAAAGAAAAAUGAAUGAAAAAUCUUGACCAAAUGUUAAAAUCUUAACGGAGGCUAUAAAUGCUAAAUGAUUCUUUAUUCUUCGAUGAGAGCGUCAAAAAUCUUUCAACAAUAACAAAGCCGGUCUUACUAGGAGAAAUGGUCAAUAGUGAUGUAAUUUCAAGGAAACAUAAAAUACGACCUCCUCCAUAUUUUCUACAUAUUAUAUAACAAUAGAAAAAAAGAUAAAUAUAUUGUUGAGAAAUGAUUCAAAAAGAUUCUUGACCAAGUCUUCAGGAAGUUAGUGAGUUGUUAGUUAGUUUCCUAUAUUCUAGCAAGUUGGAUAGUGCUGCAGAUUAUUAGCUAGUCAAUAAAUUAGUGGGUUAGUGGACCUAAAGCUUAGAAUUUUCAGUUUAUUGUGAGCCUAUUUAUAGGCAUGUCUCUUUACUUUCAUAUGCAAUCAUAAAUAAAGAAAUGACUGCAGUAUUUUCUUCUCUUUGUUGUGCUUCUGUCCAGCUAUUCAUUUAGCUUCUUUUUUUCCUUUCCAACAAAUCUGGUAUCAGCGCCUGGUUUAUUUUUGAAAUGGCAGUGAGUCGUGAGGUUUCGUAACCACUCAUGCCAAUUUUUACUUGUGAAAAGUAUGAGUUUUGGAGUAUCAAAAUGAAAACUCUUUUCAAAUCACAGGGGGUUUGGGAGCUGGUGGAAGCAGGCUUUGUGGAUCAAGCAAGCUUUGAAGAGGAGGCAGACAAAUUGAAAGGGAUCAAAAGGAGUGACGCCAAAGCGUUGUUCCUGAUUCAACAAGCAGUCCAUGACACAAUAUUUGCAAGAAUUGCAGUAGCAACUACAUCUUCGGAGCCAUGGAAUAUUUUGAAGAAGGAAUUUCAAGGUUCAGCCACGGUGAUUACGGUAAAAAUGCAGACUUAUCGUCGUGACUUUGAAACUGUUUUUAUGAAAAGUAAUGAAUCUGUUCAGACUUAUUUGUCUAGAUUUUCUUCUCUUGUUAAUCAAAUGAAUUCUUAUGGUGAAGAUAUAUCUAAGGAAACUGUUGUAGCAAAAGUUUGAAGGAGUCUUACUCCAAAGUUUGAACAUGUUAUUGCUGCGAUAGAAGAAUCUCAUAACUUAUCUGAUUAUACUUUUGAUGAACUAAUGAUUUCUUUGCAAGAUAAUGAAGAGAGGAUCGUAAGGUCACACGAGAAAAAUGAAGAGAAAGCAUUUCAGGUGAAGGGGAGUCCACUCCUAAAAAGGAUAAGUUAGAAAACUUUGCAAAUCGUGGCCGAGGAAGAGGUGGCUUUCGAGGAAGAGGUCAUAGAAGAGGUCAUAGAAGAGGCCAAGGAAGGAGUCGAGAUCGAGGAGGAUAAAAUGAAGAGAAGCAUAACAGAACGUUUCUAUUGAAGGCUAUCUAUCACUACUAUUUCAAUCGUGGGGUAAUUCCGAAUCCUCCUUAUUCAAAGAACUUCAUCGACUACAUCGAGGCUUCAGUUCCCAACGUGAAAUUUCGUGGUAAGGCAUUGGCGAAAACGAUUGUUAUGUUAGAGCACCAUUUCUUAAAGGUUAUGAAAAUGGCUGCACAAGUAGGAUAUUACCCCAAAAUAAUCCACCCUAUUUGCCGCAAAAUUUUCAACUUUUCCAUGGGUUUAUGGGGAUACUUUCGGAGACUAUUAUCCAGUUGGCAAAGAUCAAGAUGAAACUGGAGUUGUUGAUACAUUCUUGAUUUUCAAGGUCGAUGUCUUCAUAGCGUCAUUUUAAAUUAUUUCUUGGAGCAUUAAUUUAAAGUUCUUAAUUUUCUUUCAUUAAACUGAAUCUAGCUGUCCUGUGAAUUAUUAAUUUGGAUAUUAGUUUGCUCGAAAUUUUCAGUUCCGCUCAAAGUUUGAUUUGAUAUAAAAUGUUUCCUUUUUCCAAGUUUGAUAUCUUGUCUUCAACUUAUAGAAUCAGAUAUGUUAAUUGUUCCUCUCUUCUUUCGAGGAAGGAAAAGAACAACGAUGAAAUGACAUAAUUUAACAUAGAAAGUUAGUAAAAUCAAGUGAACGUCAUCAUGUGUCCAAAUGGGGGCAUCAGUAGCUACGGUUAGGUCUGGAAAGGAUACAUCGUACAUAUAUGUAUAAAGAAGUAUCACUUAAAUGCAUCUACUUAUGGUAAAGAUUUUAGGUAACUAUUAAAGGAGAAUGAACGAACUAGUAACUAAUAUAGUUAUUAUGUUUUCGCUUGUAGAAUUACAGUUCAAGGGGAUGAAAAAUUGUAAAUGUAAAAUUGGAUAUAAGUCGCAGAAAAAAAGCCAAUGAAGGUAUUUCAUAUCUUUUCUUCCUCGGGUUAAUAUAAGUAGAAGUGCAAAGUGAAAAGAAAGUCCUUUUCACUAUUUCACAUGUCCUUUCUGUUCUCCCUUGUCAUAUCCUUUAUAUCAGAUUCCUUAACGUCAACUAGUGAAUAAUCGUUUUAGUUUCAAUGAGUUAAAAAGUUUACUUGAAAAAAGAUGUGCAUGGUAGAAGAAUAUUUAGUUGUAUACUUGACUGAGAAACUGCCUUUCCCAUUCCUCGUCCCAAUAUGCUGAAAUCUCAGUUUUCUUCUUCCCUGCUCCAUUCCCACAACCCUCAAAUUCAUGUUCCAUUUCCAACCUUGUCGUUUGGAGAUUUUAAAAUCUCCCCAUUGUUUUGCUUCUUUAAUCCAGAAGAUGAUUUGGUGCAACUACUGUUAGAAUUAUUUAUUUUAUAUGGAUUUAACAUUAACUUUUUGGUACGUUAAAGUAAAACGGGUUGGUGUUAUUAGUUGGUGGACAAGACACGGGCGGUGUAUUCAUGCUAAUUCCAUAUGGAUCAGUGUAGGCCUGUAGUAGACCUAUAAGCCCAUAAUGGGGGUGCACUAGGUUAAGGCUUUUAAGCCUAUAAAUAUAAGGCUAGGUCCCCUCUCCUAUCAUCAACAUAAGACGUAUUGCCAUAAGCUGUCAACAGUCAUAAGCAAAGGUAAGUACAUAAGACGUAUUGCCAUAAGCUGUUAACCUUGUUGCUUGACUAUCAACUUCUUCACUUUGUUGCUUGACAUUUCAUUUCUUCACCCUAUUCUCCAAGCAGGUUCCUGACUUGCUAUUUCAUCAAGUUGUUGCCAUGCUUUCAACUUCUUCACACUGUUCUACAGGUGGGCUCCUGACUUGCUAUUUUUCAAUCUGUUUAACUUUCAAUUUCUUCACCUUGUUGCUUGGUUUUUCAUUUAUUCGCCCUGUGCUUCGGGCAGGCUCCUGAAAUCACAUCAAAACUAAAAAGAAAAUUAUCCCAAACAAAUAUUAUUAUAAAGAGGUUUUAUUUGCUAGAAAAGUUAAGUUUCAAAAACAGAAAUUGAAUUUUUGUCCCAGUUUAUCAUCAGAAGACUUUUGGAAAAGUUACAUCAUACAUAUUUGCAUGUUGGAAUAAUGAAUCAAGACUCUGACCAAGAAAUGCAUCUCUUGAGAGUACAAUUGAAUAAUCAAGACUAGGAAGUGCGUCUCUUAAGAAUUAAAGUGUGGGAUUCUAACUAGAAAGUGUGUCUUCUAGAGAUACAAUUUAAGUUAAAAGUGUGUUACCUGACAAAUGAAAACUAGCAAGGAAGUGCGUCUCCUAAGUAUUAAGUGAAAUAACUCGACUAGAAAGUGCAUUUUCUAGAAAUCAAGACUCAAGUUAGGAAGUGCAUCAUCUAAAAAUCAAAAUUCAAAAUACCCAAUGAAGGAAGUGCAUCUCCUUACCAAUGUUGCUUAAAUUAUCAAAACGAGGAAGUGCAUCACCUAAAAAUCAAAAUUUGAAAUACCCGAUCAAGGAAGUGUAUCUCCUUAUCAAUGUUGCUUGAAUUAUCAAAACAAGGAGGUGCAUCUCCUUACCAAUGCCGCUUGAAUUACUUAAACAAGGAAGUGCAUCUCCUCACAAAUGCUUCUUGAAUUAACCAAACAAGGAACUGCAUCUCCUUAGAAAUGUUUUCAUGAGUUAACCAAACAAGAAAGUUCUUCUCCUUACAAAUGUUGCUCGAAUUGCCUAAACAAGGAAGUGCAUCUCCUUAAAAAUGUUGCUUGAAUUAACCGAGCAAGGAAGUGCAUCUCCUUACCAACAUCGCUUGAAUUACCAAAAUAAGGAAGUGCGUCUCUGAACAAAUUUUGCUUGAAUUAACCAAUCAAGGAAGUGCGUCUUCUUACAAAUGUCGAUCGAAUUACCAAAUAAGGAAGUGCUUCUCUUAACAAAUGUCUUUUGAAUUACUCAAACAAGGAAGUGCAUCUCCUCACAAAUAUUUCUUGAAUUAACCAAAUAAAGGAAGUGCAUCUCCUCACAAAUAUUUCUUGAAUUAACCAAACAAGGAAGUGAAUCUCCUUACAAAUGUUGCUUGAAUUACCAAAAUAAGGAAGGGCGUCUCCUAACAAAUUUUGCUUGAAUUAACCAAUCAAAGAAGUGAAUCUCCUUACAAAUGUCGAUCGAAUUACCAAAUAAGGAAGUGAGUCUCCUAACAAAUGUCUUUUGAAUUAAUCAAACAAGGAAGUGCGUCUCCUCACAAAUGUUUCUUGAAUUAACCAAAUAAAGGAAGUGCAUCUCCUUACAAUUUUGCUUGAAUUUUCCAAACAAGGAAGUGCUUCUCCUUACCAACAUCGCUUGAAUUACAAAAACAAAGAAAUGUGUUUCCUAAUAUAUGUCUCUUGAAUUGCUCUAACAAGGAAGUUCAUCUCCUUACAAAUGUUGUUUGAAUUACCCAACCAAGGAAGUGUGUCUCCUUACAAGGAAGCAUGUCUCCUAGAAAUCUUUAAUUAUGAGUUUUACCAGGGCUUUGAAUACCAAAUAUGUGCAGAAAUAUUGUCUCUUUCAUUUGUGGAAGUGCGGUAUUGCAACUUUCGAUGUUUAGACUUUGAAAUCCUUGAUUUAAAGGUUACAUGUGUUCCUAUUUCAUAAAAGAAAACUUGUUAGUUUAAAAAUAUGGUGGCUGGUUUGCGGCUUUGGCUUUCGUGGAAAUUGCUCUUGCCCCAGUCGUAUUUAAUAUUGCUUUUAAACAUUAGCAUGUGUACUGUCUUGCUGUAUCAAUGACCCAAACUCAGAUUACUAAGAGUGACUCUGAAACAAAUAUAGUAUCCCUGGUUUGUCAUGCUUCUCAGAUAAACCCUCUGAACCUUGGUAUUUCCAUGAGUUCCCAGACUUGUCGGUUGACAAAACUUUCUGCAUUCCUUGUUUUGGCUCAGAAUGAUGUCUUUAGCAUGUGCUUACCCUUUUGUCUUGCUUUGUGCAAUUGAAGAAGCUGGUAGCCAGUUCUGAAAUAUUUCUCACUCAUUUUGACACAAACUUGACUCAAAGACAAGAGAAAAAAGACAAUGACUUUUAUUUGGACAAUUGACUUAAGAAAACAAAAUAAAAAUAAAGAGAAGAAAGAAAAGACAAUGAGUGUCUCCAUUUGAAACAAAGAAAUGAAAAUUUUUUCUAGAGAUGACAGUCAACUCUAAUGAUUAUGCCAUACAUUUUGGAUUAAGCUACCUAAUCUUUCCAUCCAAACUUUCUACCAAUUGUUGUUGAGUUAAUGGCGUUGAAACUGAGAUGCUCUCUUAGGACAAUUGCAUUCAGACCUCAUUUGACUAGUGACGCCUUGAAGGGUCUUUUCCUAAGCUCACCAUUGUCUUACGGUAUCUGUGAGGGUUUUUACUAAUGAAACUCUCUUAUUCUCAUUUCUCCUAACUCAUAAUCGUCUCACGGUGCCCGUGAGGGUUUUCACCAAUAAGACUCUCUCCUUUUUAUCUCUCUCAACUUACUAUCGCCUUACGGUGCCUGUGAGGAUUUUCACCAAUAAGACUCUCUCAUAUUUUAAUUCUCUCUAGAUUCCUUAUGCUGAGAAAGACAAGUAGUUUCCAAAAUGCGUCAUCAUAUCCAUUGCAUGCUUAGCUUUAACAUUCUCAAAGAUUGAUCUGAAGGUCUUUCUUUGGUUAUAACUUGGCUUUUGGAUAGGGUUAGAAAGAAAGGAUGGCAUGAGACCCAAACGACACUUUAAGUGGGUUAGAACUUACAACUUUUGGAAUCGACUCAAACAAAUGAGGAUUAACUCAUGCCCCAGUUUCUUUUGACCGGAUGAUUCUAAAUUAUUUAUUUGGUUGGACCAAGCCCUUGACACUCUUUUUUUGGAAACAUUUUUGUCUAUUUUUUGAAACUUUUUGACUUUAUCUUUUUACUAGACACUAUUCUUUGAACUUUGCUUACUCUAUCUUGAUUCCAAAAGAGAGGGGUAUGAAAGAAAAUAACACUAAGGCUCAAAUAGGAUAAACAAAGGAUGACUCAAUGUUUGGAUAGUAGAAUGAAAUGCCUUCAUCAUAUCAAUCCUUGAGAAUGCAAGUACAUAGCAUGCAAUUGGAAGUGAGAUAUGAAGAUCAUUUGCGAUAUCUUUUUAAGUAGAUUGAGUCUGUGGUCACUACUUCUUCUGUAAACUCCACAUUUGUUGUAUAUUCCUCACAUCAAAUGACUCAUACUUUCGUGGAGCUGCUUAUCUUCUUGUUUCUCUUGAUAUAGCGAUCACACAUCCACUAUUUGACCUAAUUGUGACUUGCCUUUCGAUCGAUGACCAAGUUGUUCUUGUGAUUCCCAAAAUAAUUGCCUUAACUUGUCACCAAAUGUCUCAGCACUCUAUCUAUUUUCUCAUAUGCUCUCUUUUUCUAACUUUAACCCUCUAAUUCAAUGUUCAUGCUUAAACUGGAUUUUAAGAUCUGGCUGAAAAUUUCACUAGCAUGCCAUAUCACUAGAGUUAACAAAAAAUGUACUAUGUAAAGAAAACAAAAAAAACAACACAUAUUUAAAACACAAAGUAAAAUAAGACACUUCAUUUAGUCAAAACAAAAGAUAAAAGGGAUUGAACAUAAACAACAAAAGGAGAAAACAAGACAGAUCCCGAACUACAACCCUGAAAUAAUUCGGAGAACAGAAAAUAAAACAAAACAAGCUACCAAACCCCUUCCUACUAAGGAGAGAGGUGACUUCUCAAUUGCUUAGCCUGACAUCUUAACCACUGGUUUGCAUAUCAGCAUGACUAGAGUUUUCCUCACUGUCAAUGUCUGCACCAUGAUUAAUUUAUCUUGAAUCAUCUUUUCAAUUUCUCUUUUCAAAGCACGAAAAUCUUCAAUACUGUGACCCUGAACAUUGGAAUGAUUUGUACAUCAUACAUUAGGAUCAAAACUUCUUGAAUGUGGGUCAGGAGUAUACCCAAGGAGAGGAGUGAUCAUGUCCUGCUGUACCAAUAUCUAGAAUAAACUUACAUAUGACUCUCCAAUGGGUGUGAAGCUAUCCCUCGACUUCUGUCUCAUUUCAUUAUUUGGCUUAAAUUGAAAACCAGGCCUAGAAGGGCUCAGCAGAGUUGGCGUGCACCAGUGUGGGUAAGAUGGGGUUUGAACAUAUGGUUGCGCAUUAUACACUUGAUAUGGAGAUGGGGGAAUGGAAUAUAAUGGAUUUUGGGAAGGAUUCUGUGGAACUUGGCCAUAAACAUGGGUUUGAGCCCAUGGGUAAUUAUGGUAUGGUCCUCUUGCCCAUGCAUGUUGUCCAACUAUAAUAGAAGAUGCAUCUUCCUCAUUCUUCUUUCCUCCAACACUUCCCAAACCUUUUUGAAUUGCUUGAGUAGUCGCUUUCAAUGUUGCAAAACUCGCAAUGUGACCGGUCUUAAUUCCAUCCUCUAUCAUCUCCCCCAUUUUGAGGACCUCAAUAAAUGGCUUGCCUAAUGUAGGUAACAAGUGUUGAUAAUAUGUUUCAUCUUGCACUUGAAUAAAAACCUCCACUAUCUUGCUUUGUUUCAUUGGCGAUUUUACUCUAGCAGCUUCUUCGCGCCAUCUGAUCGCAUACUCCCUGAAACUCUUAGUAUUCUUCAUUUUUAAACUAGUUAGGGAUUUUUCGUCGGGUCAACUCCACAUUGUAUUGAAAUUGUUGCACAAAUCCAUUAGCUAGGUCAUCCCAACUAAUCCACUUGUCAAUGUCUUGAUCAACAAACCAUUCCGAAGCUAGGCCUGAAAGACUCUCCCCGAAAUAAGCCAUUAGUAGUUCUUCCUUCCCUCUAGCGCCCCUUAGCUGGUUGCAAUAGCGUCUCAAAUGUGCUACAGGAUCACCAUGUCCAUCACACUUCUCAAACUUCGGCAUUUUAACACCAAGAGGAAGAUGUACACCUGGGAACAUGCACAGAUCUUUAUAUGAGACACUUUUGUACCCCCCAAGUCCUUGAAAUUUUUUCAUAGUCAGUUCCAAAGUUCUCAAUAUUUUGGCUAUUUUCUCUUGUUCUUCUGUCAUAACAGGAUACUCAGUGUUAGGAGGAAAUUCAAGCGGUUGAAGGCAAUCGUAAGGACCAGUCGACUUAAAUGUGGGCUCGGGAGUGUAAUGCUGAUCACUAAAAAUAUUCAAUACAGGGUCACUUGUAGAGUGAGGAAUCACAACCGUUGGAUUGACAUUAAAAGCAGGAGCUCCAGACGGGAUUGGGGCUGCAAAAGCAUGAAUAGAAGGCGGAGCCAAACAUGUGGUAAUUUUGUAUGGAGGAGUGAGGAAAUGACUAUUAGAAGUGUUUGGAUACUGUUUCCCCGGAGUAGGUCCUGAUGCAUGUUGUGGCAUGUCGACCAAAAUAGGAAAUUAUGCAUGUGACACUGGAGGCAAACUAAAAAGAUAUUCCAGAUUAUCAACGGGAAAUAGAGGUGGCGGCAACCCAUUAGCCCAAGCUCGAUGCAUUUCUAUCAUUUGUUGCCUCGAUUUCGUAAUCUCUUCAUUGGCUCCUAUAUUCUCAUUCCCCAAACUUCCCAUCUGAUUAGUGACAACAAACUCGGUAUCCUUGUUGGCCAUAACUUUCUCUGUGACUUGGAGUAAUAUGGAGGACCAGCCAAAAUGCCACAAACCAAUCACCUUAAACUAAGUGGACAAGAGAUAGCAAAUGCGUUAGAGUUCAACGAUUUUUCAAAACCUCUCCUUUUUUUUUUUCUUGAAAAAAAUCAGCGAACCCUAGAAGGGCGCCUAAGUAUCUAACCCCCGAAAGGGGAAAAUCAGGUGUGCGUAGUUUGUGAAGUUUUGCCAAAAUGGCCAAUUAAACUCUUUUUUCUUUCUUGAAACAACGUGCCAAAAGAAUUGACAAAUUUUUUUUUAAGGUUUAAAUCUCUAUACAAAAUGAAACUUGUGAUUACCAAAGAAAAAUCUUUUUGAAUUUUUUAUUUUUGAAUUUCAUGUGAAAAUGAAAGUUAAACCUAUUAAAAGAAAAUCUUUUUGUAGUUUUCUUUUAAAGACGUAUAUGAAAUGCCUACUCUAAAUGGAGAGUGAAGAAAUAUUUUUGGAUUUUUUAAAUAAGAUCCCCGAACAACCAAUAGGCUGCCACGUAUCUCACUCCGAAAAGAGGAGAAUCAGGCGUGCGUAGUUCGUCCAUAUUGGACAAAUAAAGAUUAACUAAUAGACUAACCCUAACUUAAGAGACACAACCAAUGACCAAUGAAUAAAAGAAAAUAAAAAAAAAUAAAAAUUGGGUUUUUAAUUUGACACCAACAACUAUGAAAGAAAAAUCUUUUUUUUUUUAAAUUUUCGAAUUAUGAAUGCAUGGUAAAGGAAUAAAAAGAUUUUUUUUUUUUGAUAUUUUCGUUAUAUGAAAUGUACAAAACUUCUAUCAUUUUUUUAUUAUAUUUUUUUUUUUGCAUUUUCCUUUAUAAAACCUCCUAUUAUAAAAACAAAUCUUUUUUAUGAAAUUUUUGAAUUGUGAAAAACAAAAGUCAUAAAUAACUCUAAAAACUACAAAACUCUUUUUUGGACUAAUUUUUUUCUUUUUCUUUUUUCUCUUUUUUUAUUUCACACACUUUACUUUCUAACACAUGCUUUACCCCACAUCAGUCUGUCAAACGACCACGUUAUCCUCAAAGAUGCAACAUUUAGCACGUAGGAAUACUUUAGAGGUAAGUCUCCUACAAAGGAGCAGGUGGACCCGCUAGGUCUCAAUAUGAUGCACAUAAGCAUGACCUAAAGGCUGACCUACGUUGGGGUUCACUAACAAGGACAUUCGGGUGAACAUAUGGUCGAUAGUUGCUACUUAGCUUUCCAUCUACUCCAUACAACCAACGGCUCUCCCCCAAAAAUAAAGGUGACUCAACUAAAGUUCGUGCGUACGACGUGCGCUCCGAGACUUGUUGCAGAAAGAAUUGACUCGGGUUAUGCAAAUGAUGCCAGAUAUAAAGCGGUAACACAUAAGGAAAUCUGUAAACAAAGAGCACAGAACCACACAACAAUGAUUACAAUAACACAAACAAUAAUCACAAACAAUGUUUAUACACCCAUAAUGCCAAACAAAGCUGAUACGACUUCAAAAAUAAGCCCAAAUUCUAAAAUGUCCCCAGUGGACUCGCCAGAGCUGUCACACCCCUUUUUUGGACUCCAGAAGAUUAAUUUUUAAGUUCGAAAGAGUUUUAUUAUUAAGUGACCAAAAAUGAAAAUUUUGUUCCGAAAAGGAAUUUUUUUAUAAUUAAAUUCAGAGCCGCCACUAGGCAUAAUCCGGUGUGCCAAGUCACCUUUGGAAAAUUCUUUUCGAAAUGGUUUGACUCUUUAAAACAGGUUUACGAACAGAGAUUCCGGCUAAGAAAUUUUGUUGACCGAGGGGAAGGUGUUUGGCACCCCUCGAUCCCGUGGUUUGACCACGGUCGCUUGGCGGAGCGUAUAGGCUAAUUUGACAUUAUGAAUAUAUAAACCACACAAAACAUGCAAAACAAUCAAUCAAGCAAACAAGAUAAAACAAUCCAAAAUUUAGUGUCCGGUCCAAUUAUACAGUCCAAAAAUAAAAAAAUAUGUAAAAAUAAAUCCUACUCUAAAUUAAUUCUAGACUAAUGCUCUACCCGACGCCUCGGGCCUUCAUCACGAACGUCCUCUAGGUACAUGAUACCUCGGGGCAUUCCCCGGUGAAUAAAUAUAUACAGAUACUUCGGGGCAUUCCCCGGCCAAAUUAUACAAUUGAUUCAAAAGUGAUAAAAUCAAACCAUUCAAUCAAAUUUCAAACAUUCAAUCAACCCCCAAUCUGUAGAUUUGCCUAUCCGACCUACGUCUUGCCUAUUCCAAUCGGCGUAUUUUGAUACUACCAAGUUCAAUUAACAUUUAUUUCUAGCCAAAAAACUAACGAAUCAAACUAAUCAAGACUCGCUAAUUAUAUCAAGUUUUCAAUUCUUGCCCCACUUAUUCUUAAUGAUUAAACCAAUUCUAUAUACAUUUCAUCAAUCAAGUUUUCAACUUCAAAUUCAACAUCAAACUAACAAACAACGAUGAAAUUUAAUCAUGUCAAACACACAAAUCAUUCAUAAUUAUGUGGGGAUUAAGAGGUAAAAGGAUAUAAUUGGACAUCAAGUGUUUUCGAUUGACUUAAAAGGAGAAGUAAGAGUCGGUCCGAGAGCCUCAACAGGUACCAAAUCUAGACUAUGAUCCAAUCCCAACACGGAUAUGUCCAGAAUACAAUUCGAACUCAAAAAUAGUGAACACCCAAAAUAAAAUACGAAUAAAACCGAGACUGGAAGACAAAAUUCACCUGUACUAAAAUGAAUCUCUCCAGAAUUAGAUUAAAAAUCACCAGAAUUAGACCCAAAACCGGCCAAGUCGACUAAUUCGAGUCAGGUACCACGGUCAAAAUCCACAGUUACCUUUCUGUCGGAACUCCGGUGAGCUCCAACGGUGACCAAAACAUGCAGAAAGAGAACACAACAACAUUUUUUGGUGAAAAGAUCCUAUUUCUUGGCCACGAAUGCCAAAACAGUUAAACCCCAAUCCCUUUUCUCUCCUCUCUUGCUUAGACUUCUCUCCUAUUCCAUUCACUCUAUCCCUUAUCGAUCGUCAUCUCCAUCCCUCUUCUCGAUUUUACUGUUUGCCCCUACGAUUCACCUCGCCUUUGACUAUUUUUCACCUUUUUUAUGUGAUUUUUUGUAUGGGUGUGCGUGUAUAUGGCUGUAUUUGAGAGAGUAAUGGUUAGUUGUGUGUGUGUUAUUCUGUGUGUAUGCGUGAUUUCCUUAUGUGAAGAAGGAAAGAAUGUUUUUGUUUUUGUGUCCCUCCCAGAGAGAGGAAAUAAUGGUAUUUGCCUCUUUUUCCCUCCCCCCCGAAAAAGGAAGUUCUUGGCAUAUAUAUGUUAGAAUGGAAAAAUAGGGAAUUAAUUUUUCUUUUGCUGUGGGGUUCGUGAAUUUUAUUCCUUGGGUUCUUUUUUGUGUGUUGAUGUGUGGGACAUGUGAGUGGGGUGAGGGGGUAGGGGUAGGGUAGGUGAGGGUAUGGGUAUGGGGUGGUGAGGUGUGAGGUGUCCACUUUUAAUUGGAUAGGUUGUUAGGAUAAGAUAUAUUAGUUAGAGGUAUUAUUUUUGUUUAUUUUUGUAUUUUUGUGGGAUAUAAUUACAUGGGGUUGGACACAUGGUAAGGUGAACUAAAAAUGAAUAAAAUUAGACUUCGGGAGGGACAAAAUUAGGUGUCUACAUCAUGGCCCCUUUGAAUGUAAACACGAAGUGUUUUCAGAUAAACAAGUAGACAGCGAGACCAAAUUAUGACCAGACAAUUAUUCAAAGAAAGAAAGAAGGACAACCGGGUCUUGACUUAAGAAAUCCUACCUACCCAAGUUAUGAGAGAAUCAAGUCACAGGUAUUUCAAAGGAUUGAAAAGAGAAGGACUAUGCCGAGUUGGAGAGUCGAGUGAGGUUCCAUCGAGGUUCCGGUCCGACGUUCUAUUACUACAUCAAAAAUGAAAAUUACAAGUUAAAAACAUAAAUGAAAUUACAAAAUCCUAUCUAUGCAGCUUCCUCUGGACUUUUGACUGGAGUUUCAUUACCCUAUUCUUCAGGCAGGCUCCUGACUUUCAAUUUCAUCAACUUGUUGUUUGGCUUUCAAUUGUUUCACCUCGUUGCUUAACUUUAAAUUUCCUCACCCUAUUCUUCAGGCGGGCUCCUGACUUGAUAUUUUUAAAUCUGCUAACUUUCAACUUUUCACGUUGUUGCUUUGUUUUCAACUUCUUCACCUUGUUGCUUGACUUUCAACUUCUUCACUUUGUUGCUUGACUUUUCAUUUCUUCACCCUAUUCUCCAGGUGGGUUCCUGACUUGUUAUUUUUCAAUCUGUUUAACUUUCAAUUUCUUCACCUUGUUGCUUGGUUUUCUAUUUAUUCGCCCUGUGCUUCGGGCAGGCUCCUGAAAUUAUAUCAAAGCUAAAGAGAAAAUUAUCCCAAACAAAUAUUAUUAUAAAGAGGUUUUAUUUGCCAAAAAAGUAAAGUUUCAAAAACAGAAAUUGAAUUUUUACCCCAGUUUAUCAUCAAAAGACUUUUGGAAAAGUCACAUCAGACCUACUUGCAUGUUGCAAUAAUGAAUCAAGACUCUAACCAAGAAAUUCAUCUCUUGAGAGUACAAUUGAAUAAGCAAGACUAGGAAGUGCGUCUCCUAAGAAUUAAAGCGAGGGAUUCUAACUAGAAAGUGUGUCUUCUAGAGAUACAAGUUUAAGUUAAAAGUGUGUCACCUGACAAAUGAAAACUAGCAAGGAAGUGUGUCUCCUCAGAAUUAAGUGCAAUAACUCGACUUGAAAGUGCAUUUUCUAGAAAUCAAGACUCAAGUUAGGAAGUGCAUCACCUAAAAAUCAAAAUUCGAAAUACGCAAUCAAGGAAGUGCAUCUCCUAGCCAAUGUUGCUUAAAUCAUCAAAAGGAGGAAGUGCAUCACCUAAAAAUCAAAAUUCGAAAUACCCAAUCAAGGAAGUUCAUCUCCUUACCAAUGUUGCUUGAAUUAUCAAAACAAGGAAGUGCAUCUCCUUACCAAUGACACUUGAAUUACUCAAACAAGGAAGUGCAUCUCCUCACAAAUGCUUCUUGAAUUAACCAAACAAGGAAGUGCAUCUCUUUAGUAAUGUUUUCAUGAAUUAACCAAACAAGAAAGUGCUUCUCCUUACAAAUAUUGAUCGAAUUGCGUAAACAAGAAAGUGCAUCUCCUUACAAAUGUUGCUUGAAUUAACCGAAUAAGGAAGUGCAUCUCCUUACCAACACCGCUUCAAUUACCAAAAUAAGGAAGUGCGUCUCCUAACAAAUUUUGCUUGAAUUAACCAAUCAAGAAAGUGCGUCUCCUUACAAAUGUCGAUCGAAUUACCAAAUAAAGAAGUGCGUCUCCUAACAAAUGUCUCUUGAAUUAAUCAAAGAAAGUGCAUCUCCUCACAAAUGUUUCUUGAAUUAACAAAAUAAAGGAAGUGCAUCUCCUUACAAUAUUGCUUGAAUUGUCCAAACAAGGAAGUGUGUUUCCUUACAAAUGUUGCUUGAAUUAACCAAACAAGGAAGUGCAUCUCCUAACAAAUGUCUCUUGAAUUAAUCAAAGAAAGUGCAUCUCCUCACAAAUGUUUCUUGAAUUAACCAAAUAAAGGAAGUGCAUCUCCUUACAAUAUUGCUUGAAUUGUCAAAACAAGGAAGUGCUUCGCCUUACCAACAUCGCUUGAAUUACAAAAACAUGGAAGUGUGUCUCCUAAUAAAUGUCUCUUGAAUUGCUGUAAUAAGGAAGUACAUCUCCUUACAAAUGUUGUUUGAAUUACCCAACCAAGGAAGUGUGUCUCCUUACAAGGAAGCGUGUCUCCUAGAAAUCUUUAAUUAUGAGUUUUACCAGGGCUUUGAAUACCAAGUAUGUGCAGAAAUAUUGUCUCCUUCAUUUAUGGAAAUGCGGUAUUGUAACUUUGGAUGUUUAGGCUUUGAAAUCCUUGAUUCGAAGGUAACAUGUGUUCCUAUUUCAUACAAAGAAAACUUGUUAGUUUAAAAACAUGGUGGCUGGUUUGCGACUUUGGCUUUCGUGGAAAUUGCUCUUGCCCCAGUCGUAUUUAAUCUUGAUUUCAACCAUUAGCAUAUGUCACUGGCUUGCUAUAUCAUUGACCUGAACUCAGAUUAUUAAGAGUGACUCUAAAACAAAUACAGUAUCCCUGCUUUGUCAUUCUUCUCAGAUAAACCCUUUGAACCUCGGUAUUUCCAUGAGUUCCCUGACUUGUCGGUUGACAAAACUUUCUGCAUUCCUUGUUUUGGAUCACAAUCAUGUCUUUAGCAUGUGUUCACCCUUUUGUCUUGCUUUGUGCAAUAGAAGAAGCUGGUAGCUAGUUUUGAAAUAUGUCUCACUUAUUUUGACAUGAACUUGACUCAAAGACAAAGACAAGAGAAAAAUGACAAGGACUUUUAUUUGGACAAUUGACUCAAGAAAACAAAAUAAAAAUAAAGAGAAGAAAGAAAAGAUAAUGAGUGCCCCAUUUGAAACAAAGAAAUGAAAAUUUUUUCUAGACAUGAUAGUCAACUCUAAUGAUUAUGCCAUUCAUUUUGGAUUAAGCUACCUGAUCUUUCCAUCAAAACUUUCUACCAAUUGUUGUUGAGAUAAUGGCCUUGGAACUAAGUUGCUCUCUUUGGCCAAUUGCAUUCAGACCUCAUUCGGCUAGUGACGCCAUGAAGGGUCUUUUCCUCAGCUCACCAUUGUCUUAUGGUGUCUGUGAGGGUUUUUACUAAUGAGACUCUCUUAUUCUGAUUUCUCCCAACUCACAAUCGUCUCACAGUGCCCGUGAGGGUUUUCACCAAUAAGACUCUCUCAUUUUUAUAUCUCUCAACUUACUAUCGCCUUACGGUGCCUGUGAGGGUUUUCACCAAUAAGACUGUGUCAUAUUUUAUUUCUCUAUUGAUUCCUUAUGCUGAGGAAGACAAGUAGUUCCCAAACUGCGUCAUCAUAUCCAUUGUAUGCUUAGACUUAACAUUCUUAAAGAUUGAUCUGAAGGUCUUGCUUUGGUUGUAACUUGGCUUUUGGAUAGGGUUAGAAAGAAAGGAUGGUAUGAGGCCCAAACGAUACUUGAAGUGGGUAAGAACAUACAACUUUUGGAAUCGACUCAAACAAAUGAGGAUUAACUUAUGCCCCAGUUUCUUUUGACCGGAUGAUUCUAAAUUGUUUAUUUGGUUUAACCGAGUCCUUAGUAGGGCAGCCUAUGUAUCUCACCCCCGAGAGAGGAGAAUAAGGUCAUGCGUAGUUCUGGCAGCUUGUCUUUUUGCUUUGAUCUAAUUUUUCAUUUUUUUUCUUUUAUUCGUUCUUUUCACUUUACGAUUUUUUUUUCUAACUCUAUUUUUCUUGACACUCUUUUUUUGGAAACAUUUUUGUCUCUUUUUUGUAACUUGUUGACUUUAUCUUUUUACUCGACACUAUUCUUUGAACUUUGCUUACUCUAUCUUGAUUCCAAAAGAGGGGUAUGAAAGAAAAUAACACUAAGGCUCAAAUAGGGUAAACAAAGGAUGACACAAUGUUUGGAUAGAAGAAUAAAAUGCCUUCAUCAUAUCAAUCCUUGAGAAUACAAGUACAUAACAUGCAAUUGGAAGUGAGAGAUGAAGAUCAUUUGCGACAUCUUUUUAAGCAGAUUGAGUCUGUGCAUCACUACUUCUUCUGUAAACUCCACCUUUUUGUACAUUCCUCACAUCAAAUGACUCAUACUUUCAUGGAGCUGCUUAUCCUCUUGUUUCUCUUGAUAUAGCGAUCACACGUCUACUAUUUGACCUAAUUGGGACUUGUCUUUCGAUCGAUGACCAAGUUAUUCUUGUGAUUCUCAAAAUAAUUGCCUUAACUUGUCACCAAAUNNNNNNNNNNNNNNNNNNNNNNNNNNNNNNNNNNNNNNNNNNNNNNNNNNNNNAAACAAACAACACAUAUUUAAAACACAAAGGAAAAUGAGACACUUCAUUUAGUCAAAACAAAAGAUAGAAGGAUUUGAACAUAAACAACAAAAGGACAAAAUAAGACAGAUCCCGAACUACAACCCUGAAAUAAUUCGGAGAACAGAAAAUAAAACAAAAUAAUCUACCAAACCCCUUCCUACUAAGGAGAGAGGUGACUUCUAAAUUGCUCAACCUGACAUCUUAGCCAUUGGUUUGCAUAUUAGCAUGACUAUAGUUUUGCUCACUGUCAAUCAUCUGCACCAUGAUUGAUUUAUCUUGAAUCAUCUUUUCAAUUUCUCUUUUCAAAGCACGAUAAUCUUCAAUACUGUGACCCUGAACAUCGGAAUGAUAUGUACAUCGUACAUUAGGAUCAACACUUAUUGAAUGUGGGUCAGGAGUAUACCCAAGGAGAGGAGUGAUAAUGCCCUGCUGUACCAAUCUCUGGAAUAAACUUGCAUACGACUCUCCAAUGGGUGUGAAGCUAUCCCUCGACUUCUGUCUCAUUUCAUUAUUUGGCUUAAAUUGAAAACCAGGCCUAGAAAAGCUUCGGUAUGUAUGUGGAGUUGGAGGAUAACUCGACAGAGUUGGCGCGCGCCUGUAUGGGUAAGAUAGGGGUUGAAUAUAUGGUUGCGCAUUAUAAACUUGAUAAGGAGAUGGGGGAAUGGAAUAUAAUGGAUUUUGGGAAGAAUUCUGUGGAACUUGGCCAUAAACUUGGGUUUGAGCCCGUGGGUAAAGAUGGUAUGGUCCUCUUGCCCGUGCCUGUUGUCCAACUAUAAUAGCAGAUGCAUCUUCCUCAUUCUUCUUUCCUCCAACACUUCCCGAACCUUUUUUAAUUGCUUGAGUAGUUGUUUUCAAUGUCGCAAAACUCACAAUGCGACCGAUCUUAAUUCUAUCCUCUACCAUCUCCCCCAUUUUAUGACCUCAAUAAAUGGAUUUCUUAAUGUAGGUAACAAGUGUUGAUAAUAUGUUUCAUCUUGCACUUGGAUAAACACCUCCACUAUCUUGCUUUUUUUCAUUGGCGGAUUACUCUAGCAUCUUGGUCGCGCCAUCUGAUCGCAUAGUCCCUGAAACUCUCAGUAUUCUUCUUUUUUAUGCCAGUUAGGGAUUUUUCGUCAGGUAUCAACUCCACAUUGAAUUGAAAUUGUUUCACAAAUCCAUUAGCUAGGUCAUCCCAACUAAUCCAUUUUUCAAUGUCUUGAUCAACAAACCAUUCCAAAGCUAGGCCUGAAAGACUCUCCCCGAAAUAAGCCAUGAGUAGUUCUUCCUUCCUUCUAGCACCCCUUAGCUAGUUGCAAUAGCGUCUCAAAUGUGCUAUAGCAUCAUCAUGUCCAUCAUACUUCUCAAACUUCAGCAUUUUAAAACCAAGAGGAAGAUGUACACCUGGAAACAUGUACAGAUCUUUAUAUCAGACACUUUUGUACCCCGCAAGUCUUUGCAAUUUUUUCAUAGUCAGUUCCAAACUUCUCAAUUUUUUGGCUAUUUUCUCUUGUUAUUCUGUCAUAAUAGGAUUCUCAGUGUUAGGAGGAAAUUCAGGCAGUUGAAGGCAAUCGUAAGGACCAGUCGACUUAAAUGUGGGCUCGGGAGCGUAAUGCUGAUCACUAAAAAUAUUCAAUACAGGGUCACUUGUAGUGUGAGGAAUCACAACCGUUAGAUUGACAUUAAAAGCAGGAGCUCCAGAAGGGAGUGGGGCUGCAAGAGCAUGAAUAGCAGGAGGAGCCGAGCAUGUGGUAAUUUUGUAUUGAGGAGUGAGAAAAUGAAUAUUGGAAGUGUUUGGAUACUGUUUCCCCGGAGUAGGUCCUGAUGCAUGUUGUGGCGUGUCGACCAAAAUAGGAAAUUGUACAUGUGACAAUGGAGGCAAACUAAAAAGAUAUUCCAGAUUAUCUACAGGAAAUAGAGGAGGCGGCAACCCAUUAGCCCAAGCUCGAUGCAUUUCUAUCAUUUGUUGCCUCAAUUUCCGAAUCUCUUCAUUAGCUCCUAUAUUCUCAUUCCUUAAACUCCCCAUCUGAUUAGUGAAAACAAACUUAGUAUCCUUGUUGGCCAUAACUUUCUCUGUGACUUGGAGCAAUAUGGAGGACCAGCCAAAAUGCCACAAACCAACCACCUUAAACUAACUGGACAAGAGAUAGCAAAUGCGUUAGAGUUCAACAAUUUUUCAAAACCUCUUCUUCUUUUUUUUUCUUGAAAAAAAUCAUCGAACCCUAGAAGGGUACCUACAUAUCUCACCUCCAAAAGGGGAGAAUCAGGUGUGCGUAGUUCGUGAAGUUUUGCCAAAAUGGCCAAUUAAACUCUUUUUUCUUUCUUGAAACGUGUCAAAAGAAUUGAUGAAUUUGUUUUUUUUUUACCAAAGAAAAAUCUUUUUGGGUUUUCGAUUUUUGAAUUUCAUGUGAAAAUGAAAGUUGAACCUAUUAAAGGAAAAUCUUUUUGUAGUUUUCUUUUAAAGACGUAUAUGAAAAGCCUACUCUAAAUGGAGAGUGAAGAAAUAUAUUUGGAUUUUCCAAAUAAGAUCCCCGAACCAAGAAUAGGCUGCCUACGUAUCUCACUUCCGAAAAAGGAGAAUCAGGGGUGCGUAGUUCGUCCAUAUUGGACAAAUAAAGAUUAACUAACAGACUGACCCUAACUUAAGAGACACAACCAAAGACCGAUGAAUAAAAGAAAAUAAAAAAAAUAGAAAUUGGGUUUUUAAUUUGACACCAACAACUAUGAAAGAAAAAACUUUUUUUUUUUUUUGAAAUUUUCGAAUUAUGAAUGCGUGGUAAACGAAUAAAAAGAUUUUUUUUUUUUUUUAUAUUUUCGUUAUAUGAAAUGUACAAAACUUCUACCAUUUUUUUAUUAUAUUUUUUUUGCAUUUUCCUUUAUAAAACCUCCUAUUGUAAAAACAAAUCUUUUUUUUUUGAAAUUUUUGAAUUGUGAAAAACAAAAAACAUAAAGAACUCUAAAAACUACAAAACUCUUUUACGGACUAAUUUUUUUCUUUUUCUUUUUUCUUUUUUCUUUUUUCUUUUUCACACCCUUUACUUUCUAACACAUGCUUUACCCCACAUCAGUCUGUCAAAUGACCACGUUAUCUUCAAAGGUGCAACAUUUAGCACGUAGGAAUGCUUUAGAGGUAAGUCUCCUACAAAGGACCAAGUGGACCCGCUAGGUCUCAAUAUGAUGCAUAUAAGCAUGACAUAAAGGCUGACCUACGUUGGGGUUCACUAACAAGGCCAUUCGGGGGAGCAUAUGGUCGAUAGUGGCUGCUUAGCUUUUCAUCUACUCCAUACAUCCAACGGCUCCCCCCCAAAAUAAAGGUGACUCAACUAAAGUUCGUGCGCACGACGUGCGCUCCGAGACUUGUUGCAGAAAGAAUUGACUCGGGUUAUGCAAAUGAUGUCCGAUAUAAAGCGGUAACACAUAAGGAAAACUGCAAACAAAGAGCACAGAAACACACAACAGUGAUAACAAUAACACAAACAAUAAUCACAAACAUUGUUUCUACACCCAUAAUGCAAAACAAAGCUGAUAUGACUCCGAAAAUAAGCCCAAAUUCUGAAACGUCCCAAGUGGAGUCGCCAGACCUGUCACACUCCUUUUUCGUACUCUAAAAGAUUAAUUUUUAAGUUUGAAAGGGUUUUAUUAUUAAGUAACAAAAAAUGAAAAUUCUGUUCCAAAAAGGAUUUUCUAUAAUUAAAUUCAGAGUCGCCACUUGGCAUAAUUCGGUGUGCCAAGUCACCUUUGGAAAAUUCUUUUCGAAAUGGUUUGACUCUUUAAAACUAGUUUGCAAAUAGAGAUUCAGGCUAAGAAAUUUUGUUGACCGAGGGGAAGGUGUUAGGCACCCCUCGAUCCCGUGGUUUGACCACGGUCGCUUGGUGGAGCGUAUAGGCUAAUUUGACAUUAUGAAUAUAUAAACCACACAAAACAUGCAAAACAAUCAAUCAAGCAAACAAGAUAAAACAAUCCAAAAUUUAGUGUCCAGUCCAAAAAUAAAAAAAUGUAUAAAAAUAAAUCCUACUCUAAAUUAAUUCUAGACUAAUGCUCUACCCGACGCAUCGGGCCUUCAUCACGAACGUCCUCCGGGUACAUGAUACCUCAGGGCAUUCCCCAGUGAAUAAAUAUAUACAGAUACUUCGUGGCAUUCCCCGGUCAAAUUAUACAAUUGAUUCAAAAGUGAUAAAAUCAAACCAUUCAAUCAAAUUUCAAACAUUCAAUCAACCCACAAUCUCUAGAUUUGCCUACCCGACCUAUGUCUUGCCUAUUCCAAUCGGCGUAUCCUGAUACUACCAAAUUCAAUUAACGUUUAUUUCAAGUCAAACAACUAAUGAAUCAAACUAAUUAAAAUUCACUAAUUAUAUCAAGUUUCAAUUCUCGCCCCACUUAUUCUUAAAGAUUAAACCAAUUCUAUACACAUUUCAUCAAUCAAGUUUUCAACUUCAGAUUCAACAUCAAAUCAACAAACAACGAUGAAAUUCAAUCAUGUCAAACACACAAAUCAUUCAUAACUAUGUAGAGAUUAAGAGGCGAAAGGAUAGAAUUGGACCUCAAGUGUUUUCGAUUGACUUAAAGGGAUAAGUAAGAGUCGUCCGAGAGCCUCAACGGGUACCAAAUCUCGACUAUGCUCCAACUCCAACACGGAUAUCUCCAGAAUCCAAUUCGAACUCAAAAAUAGUGAACACCCAAAAUAAAAUACGAACAAAACCGAGACUGGAAGACGAAAUUCACCAGGACUAAACUGAAUCUCUCCAGAAUUAGAUUGAACCUCACUGGAAUUAGACCCAAAACUGGUUAAGUUGACUGAUUCAAGUCAGGUACCAUGGUCAAAAUCCAUAGUUACCUCUCCGUCGGAACUCCGGUGAGCUCCAACAGUGACCGAAAUAAGCAGAAAGAGAACACAACAACAUUUUUUGGUGAAAAGAUGCUAUUUCUUGGCCUCGAACGCCGAAACAGUUAAACCCCAGUCCCUUUUCUCUCCUCUCUUGCUCAGACAUCUCUCCUAUUCCAUUCACUCUAUCCCCUGUCGAUCCUCAUCUCCAUCCCUCUUCUCGAUUUCAUUGUUCCCCCUGUGAUUCACCUCGCCUUUCACUGUUUUUCGCCCUUUUUUAUGUGAUUUUUUGUAUGGGUGUGCGUGUGUAUGACUGUAUUUGAGAGUGGAAUGGUGAGUUGUGUGUGUGUUAUUCUGUGUGUUUGUGUGAUUUCCUUUUGUGAAGAAGGAAGGAAGGUUUUUGUUUUUUGUCUCCCUCCCAGAGAGAGGAAAUAAUGGUAUUUGUCUCUUUUUCCCUCACCCCCCCCC